ACUUAUGCCAUUCGUUCUUACUAUGAUUUUGGAACUCUCUUCCAGAAUCUACAAUCCUGUACAAAAAUGUAUGAUGUUUUAUCAGUUCCAAUAGCCUAUGAAUAUUAUGUUUUUCGUUUCAAAUGGUCUAUACCAAAUUGCAGAAAAUGUGGAGAGGGAAAGAAGUGUGGAUGGCAGAACAAUGAAAUUAAAUGUCUUCCCUGGAGGAAACCAAGUAAGGAUAACAUAUGUAUUCAUUGCUAGUUUUAAACAUCUUUACAUUUAUGUCUUAGUAAUUAUUAUUUGAAGGAUGUUGUCCAAUCCAUUUUUACUAGGAAUAUUACCUGACAGUCUCGUUUAAAUUCGCAAUGAUCUUCUACAGGCAACACAUGGAAAAAAGUGGUUACAGGUGGAAUCCUGUGUGCUUUGCUUCUUGUUCUACUGACGAUUGCAGCAUAUCGGGUAUAUAGCGCUGAUAGAAAGGAGAAAGAGAGUCGAUUAAGAAUUGAAAGAUUCUUGGAGGACUACAAAGCACUCAAACCAAGCAGGUAUUCGUACGCAGAUAUUAAGAGGAUUACAAAUCAAUUCAAGGACAAGUUGGGCCAAGGAGCCUAUGGAACUGUCUUCAAAGGAAUGCUCUCUUCUGAAUUUUUUAUUGCUGUCAAAGUCCUCAACAGUUCCAAGGGAGAUGGGGAAGAGUUCGUAAAUGAAGUGCGAACGAUGGGUCAUAUCCACCAUUUAAACGUGGCUCGCUUGGUUGGAUUUUGUGCUGAUGGAUUUGUACGAGCUCUUGUUUACGAGUUCUUCCCCAAUGGUUCCCUGCAGGAUUUCAUUUCAUCUGCAGAUAGUAAGAAUUCAUUUCUUGGUUGGGAUAAACUGCAAGAUAUUGCCCUAGGCAUAGCCAAAGGAAUUGAAUAUCUUCACCAGGGAUGCGAUCUACGAAUCCUGCAUUUCGACAUCAAACCCCAUAAUGUUUUGCUAGACCAAAACUUCACUCCAAAAAUUUCUGAUUUUGGUAUGGCCAAGUUAUGUUCCAAGGAUCAAAGCUUGGUGUCCAUGACUACAGCUAGGGGGACCAUGGGCUACAUUGCACCUGAAGUGUUCUCCAGGAAUUUCGGAAAUGUGUCUUACAAGGCAGAUGUCUAUAGCUUUGGAAUGCUGCUGCUUGAGAUGGUAGGAGGAAGGAAGAAUAUUGGUUCAAUCACGGAUAACACUACAAAUGAAAUUUACUAUCCACAGUGGAUUUAUAAUCUUCUAGAGGAAGGGGAUGACCUACGAAUCCACAUUGGGGAAGAAGGAGAUGGUAAAAUUCCAAAGAAACUUGCAAUUAUAGGGCUAUGGUGUAUCCAAUGGCACCCGUCGGAUCGUCCUUCCAUGAAAAUAGCGGUUCAGAUGUUAGAAGGAGGAGGAGAAAGCUUGAGUAUGCCGCCUAAUCCCUUUGUGCCUACUGGUUCUACAACUAGGAAUGCAAGACGCCUAGAGCUAGAAGCUAUUGCUGAAUUAGAGUAAAAUGUAUAUGCAGAUAUGUAGACGUAUAGAUAUAGUAAUAUUUAUAUUGAAUAAGAGGCCGUUUGAUAACCAUUUCGUUUUCAGCUUUUAAUUUUUAUUUUUCACUUUUUUGAAAACUAAAAACUAAAAUCUUGUUUGGUAAAUACUUUUAGUUUAAAAAAAUUAUGAAGACUGAGAACUAAAAUGUGAAAGCUCAAAGGAAGUAGAUUAAAAGUAGUUACCAAACAAACUGGAAUCUCAAUAAUAAAAAAAGAUUGAAUUGCACAAUGCAAUCCAAACCAAUCAAAACAUUAAAAUAGCAAAAAAAAAUUAAAAUUCUAGUUGAUUAGAUUCUAAACGUAGUAAAAAUGAACAGAUCCAAUGAAAAAACAAAAAAUUCUCAAAUAAAAAUAGGGAUAAAGUAAAAUAUUUAUAAAUAGCUCUUUGUCUCUUAUGUCAUCAAUUAUUUCUAUAGUAUAUACAGGUUUUUGGAAAAAUUAGGUUCUCAUCCCUUAUUUUCAUAUUACAUUGAUUGAAAUCUUAUUAUUUUUCUAUUUUAGAUCAAGGUCCCUUGACUUAUUCCAUGUCAUCAUUUUAGUAUUUAAAAUAUUACACGUCAUCAUAAACGAAAUCUCAUCCCUUUCUGCAUUUAAGGCAAAAUAAACUAUAUGAGUAAGUUUAAAACAAGGAAAAUCCAUUUGAACUCCUCCAUUCUUCUUCUUCCCUUAUGCACAUCUGGAAUCUACAACACCCCAAACCCAAUUUUCUCCAUUUUUUCUCCAUUCCUGAAUUGAUCCAAUGCAUAUAUGUUGAAUAAACCUAUUGUGAUUAAAAUACAAAUUAGCAUCAAUGGUUUUAUCGGCUUGUGAGAUUUGUGUGGCAUAGGCAAGGCAAUGCAGGCAUUGCUUUCUCAAGGAAUCUGGUUGAUUCAAACAUGCAGAGACUGUAGAGUGAGCGGGCUAUGUGAAAAUUGUACCAUUCUGAAGUCAUUUUCUUUUGUUCUUUAUAUUUUUUUUCUUUUUCUUUUAUUAUUAUAUAUUAGUCUUGGUUAUUCAAUGUCUGGUUGGCUACACUUAUAUCCAUGGGUACAUUUUUAAUCUACAUGUUUCGUUCUAAUAUAUCUAUUGCUAUAAUAUGUUUUGGUUGGUUCAAAUUUGUUUUACAUAAAUAUAUGGGUACAAAGUUUUUGGAGAAUAUUAUGUAAAAUGGUUUUUAAGGUUGCUGCAUUUUACGUUCCCACAUAUGCAUGUCUAUAAAACAAUGUGGUAUGAUGUACAUUCUUUUCUUUGAGUUUUUAAAUGUACCCAUGAGUUUUCUUGUAAAUUCGUAUGUACCCAUAUGCUAUUUAUGUUAUGGGUACAUACAUUAUUUUUGGUCUAAGUUCAGGAUACAUUGCUUUUGUAUGUAUGAAUUCAUGGGGUACAUUAUUUCCCUUAAUACUACUCAAUAAAAUUCACAAAAAUAUGUGUAGUGUGCAUGAUUUUUUAUUGUAGAAAUUGUUUGUUUUUUUUAAGUCUCAUAAUUCAUGAAAUUUGUACAUAUAUGAUCCCAUAAAUUUUUUAAUUUUAUUAAAUUUCUGUUAGACUUGAUCGAUUGAUUGAAUCUCAUAAUACUAGGAUUUUGAAUUACAUAAAUUCUUGGAUUUGAAUCCCUUAAAUGUUGGACUGCAAUCAAUAUUUUAAAUUACAGUUUUUUGUUUAAGAUAUCAAAAAGAUGACAUGGGAAUAUAGUAAUACUAAAAUGCUGAGGUGUACAAAGUCAAGGGACUUUGAUCAAAACAUAAAAAACAAUAAGAUUUCAAUCUAACAAUUGAAUUGACUAGGGACCGGAACCAAAAUGACCCUAGAUUUUUAUUGAGUUUAAUCUUAAUCAAAAAAAGACUUCUUGUAUCACAGAAAAUACAAGAACCAUUAUUUGAAUGAAAUAAAAGCUAUGGGAUGGAGAUAUAAAUGGAUCCUUUUAUUCACAAUCGGAUUAUAUUUAUUUGAUACACUGUUGUCAAUAUGAAUGUUGAGAAAAGACUACAAAAGAAAAAACAAUUUAUAAAUAUAACUAAAAAUUCCAAUUUCAAUCAAUUAGAUAAUUAGAAUUAUAAGAAGAAAAAAAACAGAAAUCUCAGUUUUCAGUUUAAAAAAAAAUGAAAACAAAAACUGAAAACUGAAAACAAAAUGGUUAUCAAAGCCGUCCAAAUAAUAGAAGUUUGUUUCCACUCUUUGUUUAAGCAUAGAUGCCAAUUUUUGUUUAUCAUUUUUUUAACCUCUAUUUUUUGUUACAGUAGAAGCCCUAGAAGGAAAUCGAGCACUGGACUUACCAAACUCUUAACUUAUUUCUACACACCAAGAGCUUGAUUUCGGUUCUUAUUUAUACUAUUUAAGCUAUAAGCCGUGAUAAGAAUUAGAGAACUAUCAUUUGUUGUGAGCUUCAAUUGGUUAGCACUUUGUAUGUUUUCAUUAGAAUUUAUAUUUCACUUAGACUUUCUUAUUAAAAAAGGGAUCAUUUGGUGACUUCACCAUGACAGUCCAAUUUUAUGGGGGCCAUGAGUACUCACAAAGGUAUUUCAGCCUCCCCCUAUAUCUACCGUCGCGUGAUUCACCAUUGCCGGGAAUCGAACUCAAGACGUGUUGUAUAGAAUACAAGCCUAAAAUUCGUUUCUAACCACUGAGUCACCCCGCGUUUGAUUAUAUUUCACUUAGACUUAUCUUGCGGUAUAGCAUGUCAUCCCCGCCCAAGUUUUUCUGUUCGCAUUGAGUUUGGGAUACCAAAACUUGCCAAACAAAGUAGAUUGAUUAGUAAGCGAAGCUAAUUAUUCGACUAAACAUUGUUUAGAAUUUUAAUUAAAAGAAACAAUAUGAAUCUGUUUUUUUUUUUUUUUUUUGACAAACUAUAACGUUAAGGAGUUAAAUUGUUAGUUGUUAAGAGUACAGGGAUAGGUGAGGAUCGAACCUCCACCAGAGUGCAUAGACAUUAUUGGUUCUACAACUGCGGUAAAUCACAUAAAACAAAACGUAAUACUUUGAGGAUGGAAGACACUUCGUGGAUAGCGGGCAAUCAACACUAUCAGUCGCUAUCCAAAACUUGGAAUUAUGUUUAUUGUCCGAAGGAUUUUUCUUCCAUUAAAUUGCUAAGGAAGAUGAGGAUGGGUGGAGUGUCUAAAUGUCAAGGUUGAUAAGAAAGUGUAUGGUGUUCAGCAUGCGAUUGAGAUUUGUUGAGUGGCACAACAAACCACAUAAAAUUUUCUAAAUGAUAAGCAAUGAUAAGCUUGAGUAUAAUUUUUUACCACGUAUUUAUCUUUAAAAUCAUUAUAAUUAGAUUUUCUCUUAAUUAAUAUAGACCGUUAGAUUGACCCAAGUUUUUUUCCUCUUUUCUUUCCCCUCGUUUUUUUCUUCUCUGAUUUUCCAUUCACCGUGUAGCAGUCGUUCUUCCCCAACUAAGUUUCUUAUUUUUCUUCACAAAAAAAUUGUAGAAAAUAUUAAGAAAAGAAAAGUCAUCAAUAUCAGACUCGAUCAGGUAAUCGUUCCAACCUUCCCAGCAACUCUCAGUCUUAACAAGGCACCAAAUUUUCUCCGCCACCUAACUCGUCAUUCAUUCAUGGGUGUUUCAAGCUUGGUGAAAAUUGAUAGAGUUCCAUGUGUGUACAGGGAUGUGAACAUAUUGGCCACUCUCUAAGAAUGAGUCAUUGGAAAAGUUGAAGGAAAGAUGUAACCGAUGAAAUUAAUGGAUUGGAAUUACAAUGAAGUCUGUGUUGGUUUAUCACAAAGAACCCAGAAACAAAAUUUUAAAAGCAAACAAUUACAACUUCUCAAAUAUUAUGUAACAAACUUUCAAUGAAAUGUUGCUCAUAAUUGAAAAAAGGUUGACGAAGGACGGAGUUGGGAUUAUUUUAGAUGGGGAAGAGUUAAAAGAAGGAAGCACCAUUUAAUUACUAAAAGUAAUUGGAGAAAUGGUAAUUCAAUGGUGGGCGUUUUUAAGGUGUGGACCUUGUGUCACACCCCGAUCCCAACAUACAUUGAGGAUCGACACCUGACAUGGGGACCUAGGGGACAUAAAUCUUACGUAAGAUACAGAAUGAAAUACUAUAAAUAAUAUCCCAAAAUGAAUAUGAUAGUGGGUUCACCCCCUAUAAAAUAUAUACAAGUUUGUACAUUCACAAAAAAAAAAAAAAAAAAAACACACACACACACACACAAAACUCUUGCUAGGCCAAGACUUGCCCAUGGUUCUCAAAGGAAAGUCCUAAAAGAAAUAGUACAAUGAAGGAUAAAGGGGUAACCUAAACACUCCAAGUCUCUGAUCUCUGCACUGCUACCCCCACCGGCUCCUCGUAAUCUACCUCAGACCUGUCACUUGUACAAACAGUGCCUACAUUGUGGGAAUGGUGCACCGGGCAAACAAAAACCCAGAUAAGCUGCAAAACUCGUGUGGUAGCCGGCCUGGGACAUGGGAGGGGGCCGAGUCUUUCAGAAACCCUUGGGUCAUUGAUCUUCAAGCUUACAUGGAUGGGAUUGUCUCGACGUUGCUUUAGGAAGUCUCGACAGUCGUGAAAGACGGCUUUCGAUCCUUCCACUCCUUCUGUAAGAAGGUGUCUUCCUCCACUCCUUCUGCUUCGGGUUGAAGCAGCUGGGUUGAGAGAAGUCUCAUGUUGGUCGCGAUUUCGAUGAGUAGCUCGCUCCUCAACAGGAAUACCCAUGUCGAGGGAAAAUGAGCCUCUGUGUUGGAGGCACCCAGUUGAUGGUUGACUUCCACAGGGGUGAUGAGCUCGUGUGUUUUAGUAUAUCUAGCCUCGUGGAGCAUCUCGAAGACCUUUUCAUACUGCUCUUGGAGGAUCUCAUUCUUCAUCGCUAUCUUGUUGUUCUGAGCCUCCAGCUCAUCGACUUUAGCCUGAAGAGCAAACUUCUUUUGUUCCUUCUUUCGUUGUUUCGCACCAGGUGUAAGAGGGGUGUCAUUCUGUGUGCCGUGGCUUCCUUCGCUCCCCAUGUUAGAGAGGGAUGCCUGGUCAAAAGAGAGAGUACGAAUGGUGGAAACCAGCUUGGCAAAGCUAAAGAGAGUGGGAAUAAGUGUCGUUCCCACAGACGGCGCCAAAUGUUGAUGCACAAAAUCAGUGAGGACUUUGGUACAACAGAAAGUGUUAAGUUUGUGUCCUUCGCUAGAUUGGUCCGGUCAUUAGUGUGGAUAAGUAUGUAAAUGGAUAGGGACAGGGAAGCAAACACAAGAUGUAUGUGGUUCACCCAGAUUGGCUAUGUCCAUGGAGUGGAAGAGUUCUCAUUAAUUGUGAAGGGUUUACACAAGUACAUAGGUUCAAGCUCUCCUUUAGUGAGUACAAGUGAAUGAUUUAGUACAAAUGACAUUAGGAAAUAUUGUGGGAGAAUGAUCUCCUUUUAUAGAAUAGUUUCUAGCUUUGUUCUGACAUUGACACGUGUCAUGCUGUGAUUGGCUUUUGAUGUUGACAUGUGUCGCAUUGUGAUUGGCCUCCUGGUUUGAGGGAAACUCUUCUGGGUCCUUGACAGUAUAACGUUGACAGGUGCUCAGUAGUUUCGGGAUUGGUCAAGUAUGGUACAAACAAAGUCACUGAAAACUUCGAAGGAGUCACCCAGACAUCCAACGACUUUUCUAAAUCAAAUCUCAGAGAUUCCCAAAACUAUCGUUCACAAAUACACUAAAAACUAAGGCUAGAGUGACACAGUUUGGCCAAAGCCUACAUAAGUAACCAAAUAAGAAGUGGCCCCCCCAUAGCGGAUUAAUCAAGUAGAGCCACUCCUGAGAAAGUAACCAAGUAGGUAGUGACCCCAUCACGAAUUAACCAAGCAGAGUCACUCCUACGAAACUGUUAGGUAGUGAUCACCCAUCGCGGAUUAACUAAGCAUGAUCACCCCUAAGUACGUAUGGCCAUACCUAAGAAAUAAGGAUCGCCCAUCGCGGAUUAACUAAGCAUGAUCACCCCUAAGUACGUAUGGCCAUACCUAAGAAAUAAGGAUCGCCCAUCGCGGAUUAACCAAGCACAAUCCAAAAAUAUUAUGGGUCCCCUAUCGCGGAUUAACCAAGCAGGACCAUCCAUGUACCACUGCUACAUGGUGCAGAUUCGGUGUCACCUAACCCCGUGACACUAGGGUAACGGUCCUCUACUAGCCCUCACGUUUUUCAAACAUUUCAAAUAUAUAAUUUAAAACACAAUUCAUAAACAUUUCGAAUAGGGAAGUCACAUAGUGUUUAAUAAUGUAGGUCAAUGGAAAACUUUAAAAACAAUUAUUUAGCAUAAAACAUAUUUUAGAAAUCCAUGCUGUAUCCACAAAGUAUACUAGCACGGGAGAUUUUCAGGGUAAUAACUCUAUCACAUAUAUUAAAGUCACUCACCUGGAGUCCGCACUAACGCACCCUAGCACGAAUAUCAAGAUGUCACGUACUAUCAUUUGUAACAUCCCACAUCAACCAACAGAGAGGGGGUGAUGUGUCUUAUAUGUACAUGCCCACCUCUAUAGCACGAGGCUUUUUGGGAGCUCAUUGGCUUCAUAUUCCAUCGGAACUCCAAAGUUAAGCGAGUUUGGGCGAUAGUAGUCCAAGGAUGGGUGACCCACUGGAAAGUUCUCGUGUGAGUUCCUAGAAACAAAACCGUGAAGGCGUGGCCAGGGGGGCCAAAGUGGACAAUAUUGUGUUACGACGGAAUUAAGACUGAGAUGUGACAGAAUGGUAUCAGAGCCGCUCUGCCGCGUGGUGCAAGUGUGCCGAAGAGGACAUCGAGCCCCUAAGGGGGGUGGAUUGUAACAUCCCACAUCGACCAACGAAGAGGGGGUGAUGUGCCUUAUAUGUACAUGCCCACCUUCAUUUAGCACGAGGUCUUUUGGGAGCUCACUGGUUCCGGGUUCCAUCGGAACUCCGAAGUUAAGCGAGUUCGAGCGAGAGCAUUCCCAUGAUGGGUGACCCACUGGGAAGUUCUUGUGUGAGUUCCCAGAAACAAAACUGUGAGAGCAUGGCCGGGGCCCAAAGCGGACAAUAUCGUGUUAUGGCGGAGCCGAGAUUGGGAUGUGACAUCGUCACCUAAGACAAAGUACAAGUCCACAUUUAGAGUUCUUCGAGUAUUCACAUAAUCAAAAAUUUACAUACGCACCCUACAACUAAUGAAGAGAAAUCGAGACACGUUGACAAAAAGUCAACCGUCGAUCAACGGUAGGGUCCACAACCCUACGUAACUUAAUCCGUAAGAUCCAGCCACUGUAUUUGUGAUUCAUAAGUUCCUAAGGUCCUCAAAUCUUACGUACAAUAACAUACUAAACUUUAGUGACGAUCUAAUGGUCGAAUCAUCAUUUACUAUAAUGUUCAAAUGACGCAAAUUCGUCAAUCGGAUGUCAAAUAUGGAAUCGGUCAUCGAAUUUAGCCUAGGAAGAUCAAGUGGUGUCUCAAGCCACGCACCACCAUGCGCAGCAGUUGGCAACCCAGAUUCGUCGAAAAAAUCACCUGAUUCCAAAAUGAAUGUCGUGAGACGUGGAGUAAAUUGUAUACCUGUGAGAAGCCCAAUUUGGCCAGGAAGUGGCCUGAAAUCACUUUAGACCGUCGGAAACCCUAAAAUAGGUGAAUCUCGAUUAGUCAUCUCUGGUAUUCCACCGUCCUCAAACUUGUUUAGGGUUCUCAAAAAAAUGCUAAUGAUGAUGGUGAUUGAAGGAGAACGUUUCAGAAAUAGUGAAUCGCCGGCGAGGGUUUCACGGAAUCGACAUGGGUGUUCCUCGUGGAACCAAGACCAAAUCUCAACGGUUUUGGCUAGAAAUGGAUGCUGGGAUGUCGUGGUGAGGUUUGGUAUUGAUGGGAGGUCGAAGAAAGUCAAAAAAAUCGACGAAAAAACUGUCGUCGGAGUCACAGGAAACGUGUUAGAAAAAUGAGUCGCCGAGUUUGAAACGGGUCGAAGGCUUUUGGGACAGCUACUUAAUCUCUCUUCUCUGAUUAGUCACUCCACUCACUCUCUCAUUUGAUUGGUCCAGCCUUCCCACAUGGUGGGAGUUCCCUCAUAUAGUAACCCAAAAUUUACUAUUUAAAUUUGGUAUCAAACGUCCGUAACUUUUUUGUUAUAGUUCCGAUUCACAAACGGCUUUCGCCUACGCGCUCGUAUGAUCGAAUUAUACUUGAAAACAUUAAUUGUGACCUUAAAAAGGUCUACAAGUUUUAAAAGAUUAAUUACAAAAAUUCACACCUUGUAACUAUACGAUUCAAAUUCUAAAAUUAACGGAAUUAAAAUAAACUAAAAAUAAUGUAAACACGAAAUACAGACUUUAAUAAUGAAAUACGUAAUUAAUAGUGGAAUUCUGGGGAUGGGAUUUCACACCUUGCGUCCGGACCUUGAGUGCGGAUCAGAAUCCAAAGGUCGUGAUCUGACGAGCUCAUGUAUAGAACAGAGUUGUUGUGACCCAAUGCAAUUCAAAACUUUUAUGUUUUUUUAUUUACUGGGUACGUUUUUGUAGGAGGAAAAGGGGAAGUCGAGGGAUUCUUUGCGCAAUAAAGAGGGAAAGAGAGAAAAGGGGAGCUAAGAGGUUCUUCGCGCGUUAAAUUUUUGCUUCUGAUUUUGCAACCUAGAAAUAAAGUAUUUUCUUUAUGGUUUAUGGUUCAAGAAUAUAAUGGAUGCAACCUAAAAAUGUUUAUUUUUUUAUUUUUUACUUUUUUUCUUCUUAUGUUGGCUUUUGGUUUAUUCUUAUAAUGCACUAUAUAUUAACUAAAUUUAUAAACAUUUUGUAUCUUUGUUGCAGUCAAAUUAAUCAUAUGGGUUGGCAUGACGAAGUUCGACUGAGACAUACAGAUGUUUUGCAAUCUUAAGUCUAACCUGACACACCCCGACCUCAAUAUCCAGUGGACACCAAAAUUGAGGUGUGAUGGCCAUCAUCCGGAUGGGUGACGAAACCAUUAUAUGCAUGAAAACAUAAUUACCCAAACACGUCUUAUUAAAAUAUUGAGUAAAUACCAUACAAGAUAGAAUACGUCAGAGCUGUUGCAAAAUACCUCAACGUCCGAUGUAAUCACUGAUAGAAUUACUGAAUCAUGUAUAAAUGGAAAGCUGAUAAAUACAUGUAAUUUGAGUGGAUACUUACCAGCAGCAUGGAUACAAUAUCAUCCACCAGUCGUAACUAGUGAAAGUUGGAUAAUAUAAUCAUGUCAUUGCCGAGUAAUCUCAAGGCAAUGACAAGAUGAGAAUGUAACUGAGUAAUCAUAUCAUUACUAAAUAAUCUCAAAGUAAUGACAAGCUAAGAGUAUAACCGUAUAAUCAUGUCAUUACCUCGUAAUCUCAAAAUAAUGAUAAGCUGAGAGUAUAACUGUAGUACCUCUUAUUAGUGCAAUGCAUGAUAUGAAUUCCAUCUCACAUAUAUAUGCAAGCCAUAAUCAAACCAAUAAACAUCCAACAAAAGCCACAAUCCUUUUAACAUUCGACCACAAGAUCAAUUUUCAUAUUUCCCAAACCUAGGUUCCAAAGCAUUGUUUCGAAUUAUUAAUACAAGAAACCACCACCACCUCAAUCAACUCCUAUUCACAAGUGUAAGCAAUUACUAAAUGCAUCACUUUCGACUCUAGUCUUAAUUAGAUUACUUGGGAUACUCACACCAUCAGAUCCAAGUACUAUUUUGAUAAACUUUAAAUAGCAUGGUUAAAAUAAAUGAAACACUUUUAGAAAAUAAGUGAAGAUGUUGUUUACAAAUAUAGAUGCAUCUGUAUAUAAAAGCUUUGGCGGUUGAUCCGUAUACACACUUCCAGAGAUAUAAGCAAGUUCAUUGGAAUAUACAUACAUAGUUAAUGUAUUACAAUAUAAUUAAUAAGAAAACAAUUGCAUCCCUUUCAGAUUAUAUAUAUAUAUAUAUAUAUAUAUAUAUAUAUAGACACACACAUACAUACACACAGGCCCUUUAUGCAAAGGAAUUUCCAUUUUUUUUCAAAAAUGGGGAUUAGUUGUGGGGCCCACGCUGCAUUGAACUUUAACGAUCCGAACAGUCUAUUUUGUAAGUCUCGAUUCAUAGAUCAUCCUUGUAAAAAUUCAAUUCAAUCCGAACCCAUUUGCCUAUUUAAUUAUCAAGAUAAAAUUUUAUUGUUUCUUAUAUAACAAAGUAUUCGUUAAUUUCUUUGAACUCAAUUAGAUAUCUUAAACAUUUCCGAUUUGGUUAAUAUUGUGUAAGGAUGAUCUAUGUGGUGCAACUUGAAAAAUAGACGAUUACGAUCGUUAAAGUUCGAUGUGGUGAGAACCCUACAAUUAAUCUUCAUUUUUAUAAAAGAAUGGGAACCCCUUCCCUUAAAGGUUUCCUAUGUAUAUAUUUGUUCUCCAGACAUAUGCAAAAGGUAAUGUAAAACCAAUGAGAACUUAAAUAGAUAUUCCAUACAUAGGACAAUUCCAUAUAUGCUUUUUCAACAUUUAUAUCGAAAAGCCAAAUUGUUUUGAGGAAAUUAAUUGUAGCAAUGAUCCCUUAACUUUUAUCUUAUUGGAGCAAUGGUCUCUCAACUAAAAAUUCAUAACCAUUGGUUCCUUAACUCCACACAACGUGUAGUUAUGGUCAUUUUCAUUAACUCCGUCAGAACUUUUGUUAAAACAAGUAAUGUUAGAAGAAUCAUUGCUACAAUUAAGUUAAAGUUGGGGACCAUUGCUCUAAUUAAAUUAAAAUUGAGGGAUCAUUUCUCCAAAUUGCUUAAAGUUCAAGGACCAUUUCUACAAUUUUCUCAUCUAGUUUCCCAUAUUUACCCCAUGAUUCAGCUUCACAUGCAUUGCACAUGACUCAUUUUGAAAUUUUUUUUAACGAAAUUGAUGAAAAUGACCAUAAAUGCACGUUUUGAAGAGUUAAGAGACCAAUGGUCGUGGAUUUUAGUUGAGGGAUCAUUGCUCCAAUUUAGUUAAAGUUAAGGGACCCUUGCUACAAUUUUCUCAAAUGUUUUGUAUGCGAAAAUAGGCAUUUGUAAAGUUUGGCUUGUUCAUGGCAUUAUUACUUUAGUCUAAAGUAAGGCUGGAAAUGGCACUGUAGAAAUGAAUAGUGUUCCAAUCCGAAUUUCAGUUUAAUUACAACAAUGCCAUUGCUCUUUGUGUUGCCUUUAGGUGAGCAGCCCGGCUUGCAGCCAGGCCCAAAUGUAUUGGUUUUAGCUGAGAAGCCCGGCCCUUAGUCAAGCCCAAAAUUUUAAAUUACAGUUUUGCCCAUACAAAAUAACAAUCCGAUUGUAUCGAGAAGGACAAUUUUGUCCUUUCAGUUUUGGGUGAGAUAGGGGGUAACAGGGUAAGUUUCAUUUGCUGUCGUUGAAUGAGGGUUUCGAGGAUGAGGGCUCUGUGUGUGUGGGUGUGUGAGAGAGAGAGAGAGAUAGAGAGAGAUAGAGAGGGAUAUGGCGAUGGAAGGAGAGCGAGGGGGAAGGGAAGGGUUCUCGGCACUGUUGCUGCAUGUGAAUUUCACAAGUGGGAGAGUGGGUAUGGUCAGAGAAGACCAUAUAGGUCGUUGGGAUUUCAGGGAAACGGGGUAGGGGUCAUGAAUGAACCCUGCUGAGAGUGGGUACUGGAUCUUGCGCUGCAUGCCUCAAAUCAAAGAUAAGUUCGUUUUUUUUAUUGUAUUUUUUAUGGUAGCUUAGCUUUUGGAAUUGUUUAGUAUGUUAGGUCCGAUUUUGGGGGAUUUAUCUUUUUAGAGAGAGAGAUGGACAGGGAGAUAGAGAUAGAGAGAGAGAGAGAGAGAGAGAGAGAGAGAGAGAUGAGGAAGCAUGACUGUGUGCAAUUUUUUAUGUUAAUUAAUGGGUUGGUGCGCAGGGUGAGUGACAGAGUGACAGAGUGAAGGAGGGACGUGUGGGAGGGUAUGAGUUUUCAGUUCUUUCUUUUGAUUCAACAGGUUAUACACUGUUUGAAAAACCUUUUUUUUAUUAUUUUGUUCUCGUUUGCUUUGUUAAAACCAUCAUUUGAAUUUUUGGGUUUCAUUGUGCUUAUUUCUCUGCUUCUUCAUAAUUUGCUGGUGUUUGCUUCUCAUCCCUCUGUUGGUAGAUCUUUUUCUCAUUUCUUGGUUCCUUAUGUAUUCUUUGGUACAAAUCUGUUUACUUUUUGGCUGUGUGAUAAUCUUAGCAGGUGAACUAUAUGAACGUUUUUUUGAAACGAGUUAAGAAGAUCCAGCUGAAAAGAGCAUACAAGAUAGAGAACUGGUAUGCUGCUCGCCAGGGAAAGGCUGCUGGAAAGGUUGAGACGGAUGCCUCUUUCAGAAACCAGGUCAGUUUCCUGCUGCUCGGCGUCUUAAUGUAUCCAAAUUGUUUAUCUUUUGAUGAAAUUAGCUGGCUAUAUUUUCUAUUUUAUUUAUCUGCAUAUUAUUUUGGUUUGUUGAAAUUUUGACUAUAGUCAUUGUCACAUGGGCGCCUAGCCCAACCCAAAUUAGUUGAGGAUAUUUAAAUCUUCACCAUGGUAUUAUAGUACUCACUCACAGUUGUGAAUACUAAGGUGCAUGCAUGGCAUGAAGAAGUGGACCGUGCACGCCAAGGUCAGAGGGAUGCAGAAGGCAAGCUUUUUUCUUUGGAGGUAAGUAUCCUUUGUUUAUUGCCCAACAGUGUUGUUAUUAUCAAUUUGUAGCUUUGCGUUCUGAAUUUUUUGCUUUGUCAAACAACCUUCUUGAAAUGCUCGAUUUCAAGCCGAAGUCCAAAAAAUGAAAGUUGAGAUGGCUUCCAUGAAGAGGGAUGUAGAGCAUUACUCGCGCUAGGUGAAAUCUGCUUCCUCUCUUUUCGUAUAUCUUCAUAUGAAGAGUUUUACUAAGUUAUAUUGAGAACUAUGUUAUUUAUAGGUUAUAUUUUCCAUUUUGCAGGAACACAUGGAGCUAAGGAAGAGCUAUCGUGAACUCACUGAUCUACUGGUAAUGUCACUCAAACUGCUUUAUUUGUGCAUGCUGCUACUAUGCGCUUGAAUGCAUUUUAUUACUGGCGGGAUGCGAAGAAAGCUAGAUAUAUGUGCUGGAUCGCUUGAUUAAUGUUAGGGUUUUAACAACUAAUUGUUAGCAGCUAGAAGCCCUGGUUAGAUUAAUGCUAAUUUGAUUUUCCUUACAGUACUUGAGUGCCAGUUUCAUAUUGUUUGUUCCCUGUUGGAUACCUGCUGUACAGUUUCAUUUCUGUUUCUUCAUAACUUUCUUGGCCCUGGGAUAUAUGCAUAUUGAGUACAAUGAAUAUCCAUUGUUCUCUAACUGUUGGGCUUUACUAUCUUUGUAGCAGCCUGCCUAACAUUUUUUAGGCUCUACACUCUACCAUCCAAUUUAUGAAAAAUUCAAAGAUUGGACGAUAUUGAUUGCAGAAAUGAAAAAAAUACUAUGAUAUUAGAAAGGUGAAUGUAAUUGUGUUAGAAUAAGCGUCUAGCAUGAUGGGUAAUAUUUUAAGUUUGUAUUUCUAAAAUUUUUUCGUUCUGGAGUAUGAUUUACCUCAAUUGUUUUGUACUUUAAUCUUUACUAAUUUUCAUUGUGGAGUAUGAUUUGCCUCAACUAACAACUUUUCAUUGUUUAACUUUUUCCUCCCUUAGAUAGUUGCAUAUGUUUGAUUUGUUAAUCUGCUUCUUACACAUGUUGUUUCCUAAUGGUGUAGGUGGGUUGUCGGAUGCAUGUGCAGAUUACUUGAAUAGACGAAGCUAAGAAUGACUUAGUAUUAAGUGAGACAGAAGCUUGGGUCAGUUGGAUUUUGACAUUUGAUUUAUUCAUGUUUUUUGUUGCUUGCAAUGUUCUCGCAUUGUUUGUUCUGAGAUUCUGUGAUCUUAUUUUUCAUAGGAACUGACAUUGGUUUGCCAUAUAAUGUUUCAGGAACUAAUACAACAACUAAUCACCUUGCUUAGCUCUCAAGACACAUACUUAACAGGUUAACAAACACUAACCUAUAAACUGAUCUGCUAAGCUGGACCAUUAACCUCUGUUUAUAUCCCUGCCACUCAUCUUUUGGCACUUAUCAAUAGCAAAAUCUAGAGUUGUUGAAACCCCAAUUUUAAUGAAUAUUAUUUUUAGUUGAUAAUUAAAAUUAAUUGAUGAUUAAUCUAUUCCAUUGUGCAUUAUUUUAUCGCCAAAUACUUUGAAUAUUCAUUAGCAAAAGAUAUAGGGUUCACUAUUUAAUGAAUAGAAUUUUGAUGGUGGAUUGCAUUUCCUGAGUUAUAAAUGUGGUGAAUCCAUUAUUUACUAGCUGAAUAAUCAUAAUGUUUUGGCCACUUACCUUGAAUUUUGUUCAAAUUGAAGAAGUCACAUGUUUCUUUCUGUUGUUGAGGUAAUCUCUCUGUUGAAAGCUUCUAUUUCUUUUUUUUUUUUCUUUUUUUCAUUUGGGUAGAUUUUUUUUUUUAUGGAUUUAUGUAUUUUUUUUCCAGAGAAUUCGAAAUGAAAUAAGAAUAGCGGAUUGAGCAUAAACAAAUUGAUGAAAUUUUUAUUUGAGUGUUUGUGUUAGUCCUUUUUUGAUUUGUUGAGGUUUGGAAUUAUUUGAGUUUUUUUGCUGUUAGUACUAUGAAGGAUGCUUGGCAAUCGCGAAAUGGGGGCUACCUCUUUGGAAAGAGAAGUCUCGCUAUCCAACCUCUCAUGAAUUACAAACAGGGUGAUUUCUUGCUGAAAAACCACUGAACCAGUAGAACUUUCCUCGGUUCUUCAAUUCGAUUCGAAUAAUUUUUUUACCCAGAAAAGCCAGCGUUUCCUGGUGGGUUUUACAGCUUUCUCAAUGUUUUUGUGAUUUUGGAUUUGCAAAUUUGUUUUCUGUUCAAAUUUCCUUUUGUGAUUUUGGAGGUUUUGUUUAUCGAUUCUCUCACUCAUCUCUCAGCUCUCUCUCACUUUUGAGGUACAUGCCGUUGGAUUCCGUUUGCUGCUGCUGAUCUGUAGGUAAAGCUUCAAUUACCAUAUAAAGUUUACAUUUUUCAUGAUUUCUUGAAUUUGGGUUUUAAACAAAGGAAAUAUUGCUAGAUUCUUAUCUUAUGUGCAAAUUACUGGCUAUUUGGAUUGGUGCCUGAGAUUUAGAGAAUGCCUCGCAGCUUUAAUUUCUUUUUCCUUCAUUAUUACUGUUUUCAAAAUUUUUAUUGCUGGGUAUUGAUAAUUUGUAGUAUGUGAGGGCUUCAAUAUGUUGGAAUUUUGAAUGGUUAUUGCUUCAUCGGAAUUUGGGUGGUCCAAAUUUUGAAUUAGAAGAAACCCAUUUGAUUAAUAUUUUUGGUGGAUUGGUUCUCUGUGUUUUCCUUGCUAUUUCUCCCCCAGUUGGAAAUUGGAAGCCCCAACUUUGAGCUCAGAGCUUGAAUUUCUCAAUCGUUCGUUUCUCUGCACUCUCAUCAAUCACUCUUGAUCCUCUAUCUAAAGAACUGGGUAAUUUUCCAGCUCUAUCAAGUAAUACUCCAUUUAAUUGCUUAAUUGAGGUUUUUUGUUUCUCUUUUUCGCUCUUUCAUCAGUUCAUUGACUUUGAUGUUGAGCUUAAGUAAAUGGGAGAUCAUUAAUUGGCAUUGUUCAAGAUAUAAUUCUGUGUUUUUGGAUUUGUGAAACGAUUUGCCUAAUGAUGAUAGUGGUUAAAAUAAAUUUUUCGUUAUGAAGAGAACAUUGUUCUUCAUUUGCCUACGGUUUUAACUACAAAGUUAAACUACUAUGCUUUUGUUCAAUUGACUGCAACUCAUGCCGCAGUUUGCUUCACAAACCUCUACGGUUAGCUUCCAUACAGUAUGUUGCAAGUUUGAGGAUAUCUUUACAUCUUAAUUUUUGCUCUCUCUGGUUGCUUCAAGUUUGUAAUUUUACGUGUUACAUUGCUACUUGAUUUGAUUAUAAAAAUGCAAAACAAAAUCCGUUUUGCUUUUAUUCAACUUAAAUGUAUCCUUUUGUUUGUUCAUAAUUGUGUUGAAUUUAUUCAACUUAAAUGUGUUUUAUUCAUCUAUUUACGCUUAAAACAACUGGUUCCCCUAGCAAUGCGCGGGCCUAAUUUCUAGUACAUAUACUAAAAGCCAGCAGAAAAUUACUGUUCAUCAUGGGAGAUAGAGCACUGUUCAUUAACAGUGAAAGGGCGAAAAUGCCCUCGGUUUCUUCUUUACUUCACGUACUGUUUACGAAUUGCUACAGUAUAAAGUCCGUUUUGUCCUUCCUGUCCACACAUCUUUCAUCGUCCGUUUCUCUUGCUUCGACCGUAUCUUUUUUGCUUUACCUUUCCUCUUCAUUUUUCGCAUUCGUUAGGCUGCGAUUUUCGGAGGUGGAUUGUUUGCCCUCCCAUUUCCAUGCUCUCCCCAUGCCUAUGUGGUCACAGUUAAACCACGUCAAUAUUUUAUAUUAAUUUUUUAUAAAAAUAAUAAAACAAAAAGUAAUAAGAAUAUAAAAUAUUGACGUGGCUUAACGUGGUCCGUGAUCACAGUAGGCAUGGAAAUGGUCCGCGACUUUCUCCCUUUUCGCCAGCCCCUCUUUUGCUCUCAAAUCCUUGCUCUUUCUUUUGCAAAAUAGUCUCAGAAGAGAUCCUGGGUUUAUCGAAUCCUUUGUUGUUCGGCGUUUUGUUCUCAUCUUGUGAUCGUCGGGUCAGCAGCUUUAAGGUAAGUUUGUUUUUAAUGAUUUAUCCUCAUUUUACGAUGUCUGGGCUAACAAAUUUAAGAUCUUUAUUUUUCUUUUUGCUGCGGAUCUGCAGGUUUUGACAAGUUUUUUGUGAAAUUGGUGCUGUCAGUGGGUGUUAACAUCAGGUACCCAUGUUCAGUUUUUCGUUUUGAUUUGAAGGAAUUUCUUGCGCAGAAGUGCUAGGGUUUCUUGGUGAGUUCUUCGGGUUGUGCAUAUGGGUAAUUUUCUUUUCGGUUUAACCCGCUGCUUCUGCUGCUCUCUCUCUUUCUCUCAUCCCUGCCUGCUCCUCUCCAAUUGUUUGCUGUUCUUAAAUAUUGUGUUCAUUGCCUGAUACAAGGAGCUGCAGCAAUCUGUUUUAUCCUACACGGGACAACGAGGCAAUGGCGUGACAACAGGUGAGCUUGGAUAUCCAAAGAAAGAGAACAGUUGGUUCAUCUGCUGGAGUCUGAAGCUCAGAGAAGUGGAGGAAAAUUGCAGGUGUGCGAGAAAUUUUAUUUUGCUGAUAGGACUCCUUAUUUACGGAUGCAUUUUGAAAUAAUUGAAAAGUUGGAUUUGAGUUAACAGCUAUAAAAAUGUAGACAUGAUUGCUGAGAUUAUGCUAUGAAAGUGGAAUAAAAAAAUGGUAGUUUAUAAUAUUGCGUACCAAUUUUUUUCUCUCUUUUUUACCAAAUGAUAAGGGUGGUGGCUCAGGCCGCCCCCCCUACGCGUCCCCACUCUUCGACAAGUUGAAAUCAUGGUGAUAGUUUAUGGGCUGUGGUCUUGGGAUUCUGCAAAUAGAUUAAAAAACAGACACUUAACUAUCUUGUUAUUAAACAUUUCUGCAUCAUUCAGUUGCUCUUGAUUUUCGUCUUUUAAGCGAUCUUAUUUCUGCGAUCUGACUUGAGGAGGGUUUUUAGACCUAUGGUUGUGGGUGUUUUGUCUGACCCCAUUAAAUUGGUUUCCGAGAUUUGUAGACUUGCGAUCGGCAGUCAAACAUUUUGUGAUUCUUGCUUUUUUUCCGACUGGGAUUGACGAAUUUUGGCCGAAUCUGUUUCCUGUUUUCUUCUCUGUUUGAGCGGCCGCUGCCUUUCGGUCGUUGAGCGCCGGCAGUCUUUAGAUCUUUGGCAAAUCAAUUUAAUACAACCGAGGUAUGUUUUAUAACUGCUGUCUUUCAAUUUUUGUUCUGUAUUUUUGUUAAUUUGGAUGAAGCUCUAAUAAUUUUGUUUUGGAUCAGUUGUGGUCCUCUGUUAGGAUUUUCCUGGCUAAGAGGGUAUUUGCGUUUUUGUUGCUUGGUUGGUCGAUCACAGAUUUACGAACAGCUGUGGUGGUCCUGUUAUUUUUUUGGUAUGUUUUUUCUCCUUUUUGGUUUUUUCCCGGUUUGAGCACCCAUUCAUGAAGAAUUAAAAUGUGUUUAUAGUUUUUCAGGAGAGAUUAGAAAAGUGAUUUCAAUUUGGGAAAAUUUAAUGUUGGUUAAAAUUUGUCUAUAAUUUUUGGGAAGGAAUGAGAGGACCCAUUGAAGUAUGUGUUGUGAUUAUUUUUUAUUCAUAUUUUUAACAAAUUGGGCAUGAAUUGGUAGGUUAACUGUGUGUGUUUAUUAUUUGAAUCGGCCAUGUUUGUCUUUCUAUGGUUCUAAAAAAUUUGUAAAGGCUGUUAACUUGGAAGAAAAUGGGAUCGAGGGUGAGGGGAAAACGGCAGAGAAAGCAUGGAAGAGAGAUUUGGGAUUAGGGGUAGGAAAACAGAUGAAAAGAAUAUGAUAGAGGAAUGAGUUCAGUUCAUUUUCACUAUUUUUUUUAACUGAUUUGGAUUUUGUUUGGGUUUGAGGCCAUCAUUGGCGUUAAGACGUUUAUUAUCAGAUCGUGUGUGUUUUUUGCUAACUUUUAUUGGUCAUUUUUAUGUUGUUCUUAUGAUUUUGUGUGGUAGGGUUUCUGAAUUUUAUCGUUAUUCAUUUGGUUUUUUGUGUGUGUUGGUUUGUUUAUUUUGCAGGUUGUGUUUGUGCUGGGACAACAUUUUCCACCUUCUGUUUGCACUGGGAUGAUUGCGUUUUAAAACUGUUGGGGUGAGAUUUACAUAUGGAAUCAUUCCAUUUUUUUUCUUCCAAAUAUGUGCAUUUAGUUCUUUUUAUUUUAAAUUUUAAAAAUUAAAUCGUUAUUUGAGUAAAAUGUUUUAUUAAUUUAUGUUAUGUGUUGUGAUCAGGAAUUCUGUUGGAUUUGCAAAUUUUGGUUUGAUGAGAGAGAUGAGGAGUUUUUUUUGUUUGAAUUUUUUAUUGGACCGAUUUUCAAUUGGAUUGCAUUCUGCCUUUUUGCACCAUUCUUAUGCAAGCAAUUCAUUGUUUUAAAUACAAUUUGAAGAGAGCUGGGUUGCGGGUUGGAUAUAAAAUGUUAAGGUGAGAUAAAAUCGAGAUACCAAGGGUGGAAGAAUGAUUCAGAAUUGGGGGAGGAAAACAGAGGGAAGAUGGAAGAGUAUAAGAGAAGGAUAGGGUUGACCUCAUUUAGAGUUUUUAUUUACUUUUUUUUUUAUUAUUUAUAAAUUGAUUCAGGACUAGCAUAUCAUUUCUAAAUUUCUAACAUUUUUGUUUAAUUUGACUCCAGUUGAUGGAAAACAGAGCUCUUACUCCUAUCAAUCAGUUGGUCCCGUACAUAAAUGCAGAAAAAUCAAGGUUCGAGUUUGCAGAGUAUGCAGACCAAGGUUUCCUGAAACUACUGGUGCUGUCACGCCCCAAUCCCGACCUAUGUCCAGGAUCGACACGUGACGUUAACAAAUACCCAUAUCUCUAACAUACCCCGCCUCCGGAAUAUGGGCAAAGCACAACUGCGUAAUAAUUUUUCGUAUACUUUAUGGCUGCAUCUAACAUCCUCGUUAGAUUAUCAUACCUUAUGGCUACAUCUAACAUCCUUGUUAGACUGCCUACGUACUCUCAAAAGGGAUCAAACCAUUCGUAGUUCACCACACUCCAAUCCACAAAAAUUUGCACAUGCACUGAUUAUAAAAUGGAACUGCACCUAUAGAAACCUAAUCAUAACCCGUGGGCGAUUUGCUCCCACAUAAGAAAGACGUCCACAGUACCAUGAAAUACUUCCACAUCUUUCCUUCCCAUUUACACAAUAUUUUAUUUCACCUCCCUGAUAAAUAUAGCAUUUACAUUACAUGUGGCAGACAAAUUUGCAUAUUCAACUAUAAUAAAAUACAAUCUUAGUAGGAAAAACCUACAAGACCACCACUCGUUUGAGCCAAACUUUAGCUUAGCACUCAACUGGUGCUCACACCAUGUGAGUGCACGAUCCUUUAAGAUGGAUGCGAUGGUUCUCUUUUGAGAUUAAUUUUGUUACAGGUAUAACAUAGUUGGCAACCGUUUAGAAAUAGAUGCCUCAUGUUCAAAACUCUCAUUACCAAAUGUUCUAACAAGUUAGUAGAGAAGGUAAAAGAACCCAAAUGGCGAGAAAUAGUGUCCUGAUGAAACAAAAGAUGUAACCCUCAUUCAAGCACGAACAUCAUUUCCUUGAGAAUCUGCGAUUUCUUCCCUCAUUUGGUCAAUAUAGCUUGUAUUCCAACUGCAACUUACUAAUAGCAUUUGUUCUCUCCUCGAAUGAAACCAUAACCAGCCAUUUUAAAUAAAGCUGAACAGUUUCACGUUGGGAAAAUAAAGAUUAUAACAUACAGGUUUUGGAUUAGAUUCCCAAACCAACAGAAAAUUAAGAUAGGAAUCUAUUUUGGGUUAACUGAGGUAUGAGUGGUAUACAAAUGAGAAAUUCCCUACAAAAGUCAAUAAAACCAGUUACAUAACAUGUUGAAUAUAAUACAACAUGAAAUAAGAAGCACCACUUGUUUAUCUGACUUUUUAUACAUGUAUUUUCCUAAGGGAUAAAAACGUGCGGGUUUUGGGAUCAAUCUGAAGAGGGCUUCACCACGAAUACAUAGCCUUUGACCGUGCAUGAUUUCGUUGCCGUAUGAGAAAGUUAUCAUUUUUUUUUUUUGUGAAGAAGAAUUAAGGGGGAGAAGAACAGCUGCCCCCUCUGUUUCUGCAUCUGCCCAGCGGGGAAAGAAAAAGAAGAGAAGCCCUUGGCUUCUAGAAUACUCCCUCCCCAAAAUUACAAUUUUGCUCUCUAACUUUGAUUGUUUAUAUCUUAUUCGUUAUAACUCUGUUUCACGAACAGCUUUUGCUUACAUGCUCACAUAGUCGUCAUCUAUUUAAAUAUAUCAAGAAAUACAAUAAAAUACAUCCUCGUAUAAGUAUGUUAACCAAUUAGGGCACUUUCGUCAUUUCCACUUAUCGAUAGAUUUUAACACGUUAAUUAUAAUAAUGUCCGGAAACAGCUUUAAAAUUUCCAAAUUCUAUUUCCAUAACCAUAAAUCGAUUUAUUAAUUUUUCAGGGUAUCACAGGUGCAUAUUCAGGCUUGCAUUGUAUAUUACUUUCCUAUUAAAAAUUUGUUUGGAAUUUGCUUUUCCCACAAAGGAGAAGAGCUGACAGUUACGCUGUGGGCAGAUGUUGCUCGAAGUAUUGCUUCUUUAUCCAUUGAAUCAUUGUCUCUGCCGAUCUUUGCGGUUUUCACAAGUUUAAAGGUCAAGCUGUACCUAGGUGUUUGACUUAAUUAAAAACUAAUCUAUUUAUUUCGGAGGCGGAGCAAAAUGCUAUCUGUCUUACCCCUCUUGGUGAUCUUAGUCGGAAAGAUCGGCUAGUUUGGGAUGUGAGUAAGAAUGGGCAGUACUCGGUUCGAUCGGGCUAUCAUUGGCUGCAAUCUAGGUCUGUUGGGUUCAGGGAUCAACGCCAGCUUGGUGCUUGCUUAGUUCCGAGGCAUUUGUGGCGCAUGGUUUGGUAGUUGAGUGGGCCUCAUAAGCUCCGUCAUUUCUUUUGGUUAUCUUUGCAUAAUGCAUUACCGUCAUUUCUUUUGGUCCGUGACCAGGCAUGAGGAGAGCAUGGAAAUGAGAGGGCAGACAAUCCACCUCCGCGACUUUCUCCCUUUUCGCCAGCCCCUCUUUUGCUCUCAAAUCCUUGCUCUUUCUUUUGCAAAAUAGUCUCAGAAGAGAUCCUGGGUUUAUCGAAUCCUUUGUUGUUCGGCGUUUUGUUCUCAUCUUGCGAUCGUCGGGGUAGCAGCUUUAAGGUAAGUUUGUUUUUAAUGAUUUAUCCUCAUUUUACUAAACUAUUUAUGGUAACUUAGUAUGGUAACUUAACUAAGUAAGUUUGCUUUUAGCCCAAGGGUUGGAGAUGGUCUUAGUAUGGUAACUUAACUAUUUAAUUCCAUCUCAUUAAACUAAAAAAAACAAUUACAUAAAAAUAAGGGAAACCUUGUCCAGAGAGACCUGAGAAAGUCCACCCCUAAGGACUUUGCGCCAGCACCCAGCGUAUUUAUCUACUCAAGUGAACAGUAAUAGACUGGAGUGAACAGUAAUAGGCCAAGGCAUCUCCACCCCUAAAAAAAUGCGCUGGCACCCAGUGCAUUUAUUUGGUGUGUUUUUUUUUUAAAGUUUAUUUCAGAUAAGAUUUUUAACCAAUUUCGGAUAAAAUUUCAAAUAAACUUAAAAAAAAACACUCUAAAAUAAAAUUACAUACUCAUCAAAUAAACUUAAAAAAACACACUAAAAUAAAAUUACAUAAACUCAUCAAAUAAAUUAAGGAUGAGCUUUUUGGUAUUUUUUUUUCACACAAAAAGUAUAUGAAAGCUUUGGUAGAAGGUCUAGAAAAUAUUGAAAUGUGGUGUAAGGUGGAAGAUGAGGGUUAGGUAUUUAUAGAAAAAAAAUAAUAACUUUUUUAAAAUUUUACUGUAUUUUAAAAAAAAAUCUGUAUUUUUUUAUAUUUUUAAUUAAUUUUAAUGUAGUUAAUUAAUUUGGACCGUUGGAUUUGAAAAAUAUUCAAAUCCAAUAGCCCAGGAUCGGCCACGUGGCCAACGCCAGCAAAUGGCCCAGCUUCUUGGUCAGCCUGUUUUGUGCUGGCCCAGAGACCAGUUUGGGCUGGGUGCCAGUCUGUUUUGUGGGCUGGAGUGAAUGGACAGGGUCCCAGCCUGUUUUUUGUGCUGAGUGCUGGCCUAAUCCACCACCGGUGGACUUGCUCUGAGAGAAAGUGACGACUUCUCCUCUCAUUCCACUCCAUACUUGAUCUCUAAAGUCCAUUUGGCAUGUAAUUGAUGUUCAAUUUCAAAUUUAGUGGUAGCAAUUAGCAAAGCUAAUGAAAGAAUCAAAUAAAAUGAAAGAAAAAGCAUCAUGAAAUAAAUCAAGAUGAAGAAUGAAAUUUUGGCAACUCGCCAUUCUCUUCUUUUAUAUAAAAGAUACAUCCUAUUUGUAGUGAAAACAGGUCCCGACAAACCCAGUUAUCCUCAAGAAGUAUUUUGUAUGACUUUAAAAACAUAAUCCGUGAAAUUAUCUCUUGGCUGAGAACAACAACAAAUCUUCAUGCAUAGCUUGUACAGAAAGACAUCAGGCAUACAAAAGAACACGCAAGCAUAAAAUAAACGACGCAGGGAAAACCAAAAAUACUAUAGAACACGUCGCUGUCAAAAGAACAUGAAUAAAUGAAAAUUACAAAACAAAGAAGUGAUGAGAAACCAAAGUACCCAUUUCAUAAUCUAGUUGCUUUUUAGUUUGCUUGCCAUUUUUAGUUCUUCAAUUUAGAGAGAAACGAUAAUUCAGCACAUGAAUAAAGUGAAAACGUAAAAGAUAUGUGGGAUAAGCUGACAGCCAUCCCUGAGUAAUGCAUUCACUUAUGAACCCCAAACACAACGAAACAAAAAUUCACACAUGAACUACAGCUCCGCUAUGUAACAAGAAUUAAAAGCAUCUCAAGACAAAAUGGCAAACUAUAAGAGCACUGUAAAAGUAAAAUUGCAAGAAAUCUAAUACUUGGAGGGCAAGUACUACUCAGACGAAAAUGAAAGAUUGAACUACCUCGCGUGGAACUGUGCCUUGGUUUUUUCCCAUGCUUACAGGAAGCUUUGCACUGAGCUCUUAUAGCCCAAAUUUUCUCUGAAAGAAAAAAACACAAUUUUGAAAUAAGAUUUUCAUAUUAUACCUUAAAGAGAAGAAUUAGAAAACAAAAAAGAGAACAAUGAGUACUAUUCAUCAUAUAUUGUUAGAGUGUGUGGUCCUUUGGUCCAAUGGUCCUGCAGCCAUAUUUACUUUAUAACUCUUUCUUUUAGUCUAAAAAACAUCUUGGAUCUCAAAUUAAUAUGAAUACGGAUUCAUACGCAUGCAUUGCAUUACAACCACAAUGCAAUAUCUCAUUAGAAAUCCCCACACAAAAUUUUUUUAUUUCUACUUUGAUUUUAGUUUAUAUUUUUUCUAAAGCACGAGGGAGCUAAUUUUUUUUUAAAUUUUUUUUAUUCCAAUAAUGUUAUAGGGUUGAAAGGAUAUUAUCAAUUUAAUUGAUUGUAUUUGAUUGGUGGAACUUCUAUAUCUAUAUUUCAGUUUUUCAAAUUCAGCACUGGGAGAGUCAUUCAUAAAAUGUUUGACAGUGAGAUUACCUCCAUGGAUUAUGCUCACAAUGGACAGCUCAUUUUCCGCAGUGAUGGGACAAUAUAUUUCAGUCAUUCGCCAUUCAAUCAAUUCAAACCGAGGAACAAGCAACAUCAAGAAGAGGAUCUGCCAUGUCAGGAUCACUGUCGUCCAAUUAAUACAAAAAAUCUAGAUAAAAACGAUCAAUUUACAUAAAAGCCUUUCAUUUUCUCAGCAACCAAGCAAAAGAAAAUACCUAUCCGUUAACACUCGAUUUGGGAGUAAAUGUUGCUGAAACUGGACUUCAAUCCCCUCAACCGCAACAACCGAAUCGAGGUGUGCAAGUCAUUGAAAAACUCACCCAAGAUUUCAAAAUCUGCAUAAAUAAAUAAAUAAGCACAUAAAUUAGCCAACCCUGUUAUGAUCCCACAUCGGGUACACAAGAAAUUGUGUAGUGGUACUUAAGUGCAAGGGGUCCUCCCACCUAUUGGACUAGUUUUUUGGAUUGGGCUCUUCCCUUGGGCUUGAGUACCUAACAUUGGUAUCAGAGCCUAGGUUCCCGACGCUGCGGGACUUGGCGAGUGGUGCAGCCUCGUGGUGCCGCCUUGAGAGUAUGGGCUCCUAAGGGUCUUGGCGACGGGCAAGGUAUGAAAUGCCGAUAUUAUCGCGAUAUUUCGCCGAUAAUAUCGGUUUUUUGAGUUACCGAUAUUUUAAUACUUAUCCACUGAGUUUUCGUCAAAAUAUCGCGAUAAUAUCAACAAUAUCGCGAUAUUACCGAUAAUAUCGCGAUAUUUUGGAGAUGUGCGAAUCGGAGAAGAACGCCGGAGCUUUUACAGCUCCGGCCGACUGUAAAAGAGCACCCUAGACUCCGAUCUAGGUAUCAAAAUGAAAUACAAGAUGAGAGGAAUGUUUUUAUAACUUCCGUUUGCCGUGAAACGGUCGAAGGUGUUCGGAAAGUUCGUCGACACCCACGGCCUCGCCAGAGAUGGGUGUGCCUAUUCCCGAGCCGAUUUCGUCCCAAAAACCUUGCAAAAACACGAGAUAGAACUUAAAUUUCACGUCUAAGCUUCAAUCUAGAAUAGAAUGAGGUAAACCCGAAGCUUACCUAACCGGAGAAAUUCAAGAAACUCGUCGGAGGGUUCCUGCGUCGCCGAGUUGCAGAGACGAGAAGGAGAGGGAGAAAGACGAGGUUGCUGAUGACGAUGGGUGUCUUCCUCAAGCAAGUGCGAUGGUGUGCGUGUGUGUAUGUGGGUCUCGGUGCAGAGAGAAAGGAGAGAGAUGAGAGUUUCGAGAGAGAGACGGCACCGACGAGAGCUAUUUGUUUUUUUUUAUCUUAAAAAGAGAGAGGUCUAAGAGAAAUGGGAAGAGAGGGCCGAGUGAAAUGAAAGGAGGUCCUUGAAUUAUUGAGAGAUAUCUCUGAGAGAGGCCUAGGAUUUCUAAAAGGUAAUCAUAAAUGGGAAAAAUGGGGCACAUCUUAGCCUUUAUUUUGGAAUCCUAAGAAGUUCACCACAUGGAUGCAUGACAUGUGUGCAUGCCAUGUUUGUUGAAUGGGAAAAGUCUGACACGGAAAGACAAAGAGUCGUUUGGGGCUCUGGGCUCGAGGCAAGACAGAAAGUGCUAGGGUUUUUUUCUGAAAUGAACAUAAGCUGCUAAAUUCGCAUAUAUUAUAGUUGUUGCUAAAGAUUGUCACUAGUGUGGACUUGGACGUGUUGGUCAACAUGUCCUCACAAUCCCCAAGUUCUCUGGUUCGAACCCUUGCGCCCAUCAAAUUUUCUUUCUUUUUGAUGCGCUUUUCCCAUGGCUCUAGGUCUUGAUUUCGAAUCCAAGUGAGCCCUUUCCUUUUUCUUUUUUGUUCUUUUUGUUUUAUUAUUUGUUUAUUUUAAUUUAUUUGUUUCUUUUAUGUUUUUCUUUUCUUUUAGUUUCUUUGUCUUAGGCGUUCGUUUUUAUUAAAGUAGGAUGUAAAAUCAAUUAUCUUAAAAUUAUGUGUUUUUAAAUUUUGGACUUGUUUGUUGGAUACUUUUUUUUCAUUUUAUCAUUCUUUUAUUAUGAAAAUAUGCUAAAAUAUGCUAAAAUAUCACUUAUGUUUUUGUGAAAAUAUGCUAAAAUAUUUAUAUAUAUGAUUUUGUUUUGAAUUCUUUUUGUACUAAUUCAUUAUAUAUAAAUGAUUAUGGUGUGUUUAAACUUCUUUAAUUAAUUACUACAUAUUUUCUAUACUCACAAUGUUUGCCAGCUCGCUAUAUAAUCAACUUAAAUCAGUUAAAUCCAUCAUGCAAUGCAUUUCCUUCCAAUUUUUUGUGAUAAACUUGUGAACACGGAAAAUUCCUGAAACGAAAGAGACAAGAACGAACGUGCACAAACAAAUAUUAUGUAUUUGAUGAUUUUGGGUUACAAUCUCUCUCUAUUUGAUCCUCUGAUUCAAUCUCCGUAAGGUGUGUAUUUGUGGAUGUGUGAUUGAUCCAAAGGGCCGUUGGGCUUGAUCUAAUGAUGAACGUUCUUCAAGGGCCGUGGACUUGAUCUUGAAGGUGGAUUUGAGCGGAUCUUCAAAGGGGCUUUUGGGCUUGAUCUUGAAGAACGGUUGGAUGUGUGGAUUUGUCGAAGUUGUUGAUCCAAAGGGCCGUUGGGGCUUGAUCUUGGAUGAACGGAUGAUGAACGAUGGUGCUUUCUUCAAGGGUCGUCGGGGCUUGAUCUUGAAUUGGUGGAUGGUUGAUCCAAGGGCCGUCGGGGCUUGAUCUUGGAAGAACGAUGAACGAAGAACGAAGAACACUUUCUUCAAGGGCCGUCGGGGCUUGAUCUUGAAUUGGUGGAUGAUUGUUGAUCCAAAGGGCCGUUGGGGCUUGAUCUUGGAAGAACGAUGAACGAAGAACAAAGAACGCUUUCUUCAAGGGCCGUCGGGGCUUGAUCUUGAAGGUGGAUGAUUGUUGAUCCAAAGGCUGUCGAGGCUUGAUCUUGGAAGAACGAUGAACGAAGAACACUUUCUUGAUUCUUCGGGAACCUGGACGCUUGAGAGCUUCGGAGUUUCAGAGCUUCAGAGCUUCAAGGUGUAAUAUGAAUUGGUCCCCCCUAAAUGAAUGAAAUGGGCUUGUAUUUAUAGAAUUUUCCAAGGCCUAAUUUUGAAUAUAAUAUCUCAGAUGAAAUAAGUCGUUUCUGCCAGGUGUUAACACGUGUCCUAUUUGAUGACUUUUCCAACUCAUUUCAAUUUUCGUUUAGUCACACGCUACGUGUAAAAUUUAUGUAAUACAUGAGCGUUGACACUUUGAUUUAUCGGUCAACAUUUAUUUACCGAAAUUUCGAUGUCUACAAAUGCCCCCACUUCAAGGCACGUCGUAUACCUGUGCUUGUCACGUGUAGGAGAUGCGUUUUGAAGUCCCUUACCGUAGAUGCCGAUUCAAGGGCCGUUGAAGCUUGAUCUUGAAUUGGGCUUGAGAUUUCUUCAAGGGCCGUUGAGGCUUGAUCUUGAAUUUUUGUUUGAAAUUUCUUCAGGGGCCGUCGAGGCUUGAUCUUGAAGGUUGAAAUUGGGCCACAAGGAGCUUCAUGUGGUAGAUGAUCUUUGGCUUUGGUAGUGGAUGAAUCGGCACGUAUUUUAUUGCGCUUGUUGACUUUCCACAGCUUUGAUCUUGAACUGGGUUGGAGGAUUUUCUGGAUUCCUCCAAUUGUUGAUUUUCCACAGCUUAUUCUUGAACUAGGUUUUGAUUCAAGGGUGGUAGACACUUGAUCUUGAAUCGGACUUGUGAUUUCCUCGAUGGCCGUCGAGGCUUGAUCUUGAAUUUGGUUGGAAACUUCUUCAAGGGCCGUCGAGGCUUGAUUCUUGAAGGUUGACUCGAACAUAUGGCAAGCAGGCACGAGGUGAAGGUGACGACUUGUUGCUUUGUUCAAUCUUUCUAAUUCACACCUGAGCAGUUUGGUCAACGGUAUGAUCCUCAAGAUUGAUGGGCUCUUCUUCCAGUUGGUGACUUGAUCUUUAAGGAUUUGAUUCAAGGGUGGUGAAUCGGCACGUGCAGCCCACAACGCCUAGUAAGCCGACCCAAGAAUUUGAGGGUCAAAACGGAUUCACCGUCAGAGUGAUUGCAACUUUGAUGAUAUGAGAUACUCUUGCUUUUGAAGAAGUAGUGGAUGAAUCAGCACGUGCUUUGUUGCGCUUGUCUCCACAUGCUUCAAGGUAUCAUCUUUAUUUCCUUUAUCUAUUCCUCAGGCAGAUGUGGCAUCUUCUCGAGUUCUUCAUCUCAGACUCUUUCUGCUGAGUUGACUGUUCAUGCUGCAUUCUUCUCUGCUUGUUCAUUCUGCACGUUGUCUCCACAUGCUGCAAGGUAUCAUUUUCACUUGCCUUAUCUGUUCUCCGGGCAAAUGUGGCAGCUUCUUUGAAAGUACAGUAGCAGCGGGAGGCGAGUACUCGAGAGCAGUGCUAGGUAGGCAAUCAGGGAAGGGUUCCAAGCAGUCGGUUCCUUACCCGAGUUUGAGUGGAAGUUCCGGCAUAUUGUUUUUUUUAUCCUUGUCUUUGUAGGUAAGAACAAGGACAAAGGAAAGGACAGGGAGAACGCAUGAUAUGAGAUACUCUUGCUUUCUACCCUGGUGAUAUGAGAUACUUUUGCUUUGGAGUCAUUGGCUUGCAGAGGUACCCCAAGGAAUAAGGAACACUGAAUGACUCGAGAGGCUUCGUUGGGAAAACAUCUUUGGAGAUGAAGAAAGACUUUGUGUGUCUGCCUUGCUAUGGAAGGCGAAGGUAGACAAUUAUAGGAAGUUCUUUGAUACCUGUAGAUGUACUAUUCUUUCACUCGUGUCGGCAACCAAUGCGUGAUUGAUCUAUAUGGCUUCACGUGCUUCCUUCUUUAUCAGAAAUCUUCGACAAACUGUCCGUAAUUUCCGCCAAGCUGAGUGUGCAUGUGAUAGGUGUUGACGCGGCUGAAAAAGACUGGCGCUUAUUCGAUAACUGGGAUCUGCGCUUCGACAAAUUACCCGUGAUUUCCGCAAAGCUGAGUUUGCGUGUGAUGGGUGCUGACGUGUCUGGAAAAGACUGGCGUCUCUUCGAUGUCUGGGAUCGGCACUUCGACAAAUUGCCCGUGAUUUUCGCAAAGCUGAGCUUGCGUGUGACGGGUGCUGACGCGUCUGGAAAAGCAAGAUGCUUCUUCGAUUUCUGAGCUUGCCUCUUCGAUUUUUGAAUGGCCUCUUCGAAUUCUGAGCUCGCCUCUUCGAUCUCUGAAAUCCCGUCGAGUGUUGAUUUUUUAUAGAGGCAUGCUGUUCGUUUCAAAGCACACUUGAAUUUUACUUGUGAAAACUCCCUUCUUGCACUUCUAAGAUCUUGAUUCGUCUGACCUCUUCUUCCUUCAACACUUUGAAAAUGUCUGGACCCUCCGACCGUCGUUUUGAUUUGAACUUUGGUGAAGAUGUAGUCCCGUCUUCUCCAGAUAACAUAUGGCGCCCAUCCUUCAUAUCCCCUACUGGUCCUCUUACUGUUGGGGAUUCGGUGGUGAAGAAUGAUAUGACCGCUGCGGUGGUGGCCCGAAACCUUGUCACUCCCAGAGAUAACAGACUACUUUCCAAACGGUCUGAUGAGUUGGCUGUUAAGGAUUCUCUGGCUCUCAGUGUGCAGUGUGCGGGUUCUGUGUCCAACAUGGCCCAACGCCUAUUUGCUCGAACCCGUCAAGUUGAAUCGUUGGCGGCUGAAGUGAUGAGUCUUAAACAGGAGAUUAGAGGGCUCAAGCAUGAGAAUAAACAGUUGCACAAGCUUGCACACAACUAUGCCACAAACAUGAAGAUGAAGAUUGACCAGAUGCAGGAAUCUGAUGGUCAGAUUUUACUUGAUCAUCAGCGGUUUGUGGGUUCGUUCCAACAGCAUUUGCCUUUGUCUUCUGGGGCUGUACCGCGUAGUGAAGCUCCUCAUGAUCAACCUCCAGCCCCUCUUCUUUCUGGAGUUCCACCGAGUGGUGUGACUUCAAACAGUCAACCUCCGACGUCUCUUUUCCCUAGAGCUCCACCGAGCACUGAGACACCACCUGAGCAAUAAAGACUCCCUCCCGUUUGUUUGCACAUUUGUAAAUUUUUUUUUUUUUUUUUUUUUUUUUUUUUUUUGGUAUGUAGAAUGCAAUUUUAUGUAAAAUUUCCAGAAAAAAUAAAUAAAAUGGAUUUUUAUUUCUCUUAAUGCUUUUUUUUUUUUUUUUUUUUUUGCUGUAUAUAUUAUACACACACAUUUAUACAUACAUAUAUACAUACAUAUAUAUAUAUUUUCACGUGGAGUGAUCCACCAUCCCAAAACCCAUUUUCCCUUUGUUUUUUUUUGCAUGGUGCUAGCCACCAAGAAUUCACCUUUUUUUUUUUUUUAAUUAAUUAAUUAAUUUAUUUAUUUAUUAAUUUAUUAUUAUUAUUUCUUUUUCGUCUGCUUUCACAUGGUGCUUGAUCCACCACUCUCUUUUCUUUUUUCACGUGGUGCCAGAUGCACGCCCCUUUUUUUUUCACGUGGUGACAGCACCACUCUGCUUUGCUCUACCACAUUUUUUUUUUUUUUGUAUAAAUUAGGAUGCUUGGCUGAGGGAUUUUGUAGGGAAGGACGAAGACGGACGGAGAGCCGGAGUUUGAGGAAGAGCUUCUCGGCCGGCUAGUCGUUUGACAGCGGUCUUUGAAGUUGGUGGCAGCUGCGAGGCAAGAGACGGAGGAGGACAGGGCAGCUGUGACGGACAGAGACGCCAUGGCAGGACCUCGAGGAGUUUUAAGAUACUGGUGCAGGUACUGGCGAGGUGAUUUUGACGAGAAAAGCAUGAAGAGGGCGUCGAGCACCAUGGGCCUGCAAUCCUUAAGGUUGAUCUCGUAGUCCUUGAGCUCUUGUUCAGGCAUGACGGGAUCCGCUGCGGUCUUUUUUAUCGGCAAUAAAGUUCUUUGCCUCAUAAAACAGCCCAGAACGCGAUAGAAGAGUUACGAACAAAGCACAAUGUGCAACUGUAGGUGUCUUGAUGCAGUUGAAGUAAAACUUCCCUUCCUCGACCAUGCGUGCUGCAACGCAAGCAUGAAGGACAGCAGCAUAGGUGAUUUCAUCGAUCUGUGUACUCGUUUCCUUCUCCAUUUGGCAGAAUAAAUCUACUCCGAUCUUUCCUUGUCCGUGUAAGCUGUACCCAGUUAUCAUCACUGUCCACGAAACAAGAUCUCUUGUACUUCGACCCUGGCAAAAACUUUUGCAGCUGAUUUGAUAAAUCCCGACUUGACAUACAUGUCCAUAAGAGCAUUCAGAACGGUGAGAUUCAUUCGAAUACCAUGUCGCAGCAAGAAUCCAUGAGUCUCUUUUGCCAUGUUUACCUGCAGACAUUCUUGCGCAUGCUGGGAGAACACUAGAGACCGAGAGCGGAUCAGGUUUCACCCCGUCUCCAACCAUCUGCCUAAACAGCUUAAGACCCUCAUUGAAGCAUCCCCUCUUCACAUUGGCAUGAAUCAUUUCUGUCCAAGAAAUGACAUCUUUCUCCGGUAUUUGGUUGAAAACUGCCCAAGCUUCGUCGACACAGCCACAGUCCAUGUAUAUUUUCAAGAUGGUAUUGCUCACCAACACAUCAUACUCCAAUCCACGUUCCUUGGCAACCCUGUGGACUUUUGUUCCAUCAAUCAACGAUCUCAACAUGCCACAGGCACCAGCCGCCGUCGCCACAGCCACAGAAUCUAUCUGUGCUCCGGACUCCACCAUUCUCUCAAACACAUGAACCGCCUUGCCGGGUUUACCUUCCGCAAUGUACAGCCUGGCCAGCAUUGUCCAUGAAACAGAGUCCGUAACCAGGGACUUGUCAAACAGCCCUUUCGCGGAGUCCGCGCUGUCGAGGCGACCGUACAACUCAAUGAGAGCAGCAACCACGUACCGGUCACCAGAGCAGCCGAGCUUGUGAGCGUGGGCAUGGAGUUGCUUGCCGAGGGAGAGAUCAACCGAAAGGCGAGAGGCAGACAAGACGCGAGGAAGAGUGUGUCUGUCGGGCGACGAACGCGCGGAUGAGCAUUUGGUGGUAAGUGGCGAGGGCGUGGUGGAAGUCGGCAUUGGCGAUAUGGGUCUGGAUAAGUCUGUUCCAUGCAAAGGUAUCUGAGUGGGGCAUUUUGUCGAACACCUUGUGGGUGACGGCCACCUUCGUGGUGGGUUUAGCAUUUCGGGAGUGCUUGUAGUGGGCUGUGUUGAUUGGGUUCUCGGUGACGAUCAAGCGCUGGAUUUGGGCGGAUGGAAGGGCUUCCAUUUCAGUUCAGUCGCACCCAAUUCAGCAUUGCCCGUACGGAUUCGAGCGCAGUUAUCGAGGAGGAGUUUCCUUAAGAAUAGAACCAAUCACCGACUCCUCAAACCCAUCCGGAUAUGCGAUUUUCAUGAGGUGCAAACAAGAACCCUCUGCCAUAAGUGGCAUGAUCACCCAAAGGUUUCUUUCAACGACAAAUGAACAAAACGCCCUCACGACAUUGGGAUGAUCUAUUAAUCUCAUCGUCUGCGCCUCCCUCCGGAUAUCCUCGAAAUUGCUAUUGCACCGAUCGAGAUCCAAGCACUUGACGGCGACGACUUCAUUGAAAGGGAGAUAGAUCGCUCUGUAAACCGUUGCGCUGGCGCCAUAUCCGACCUCUUCCAGAAGCUUGUAGUCGUUCGGAUUCGCCGAGUGAAGCCUCGAAUUGCUACCCAUCCUCCCCAUCUGUUCGAGGACUUGUGCUUCAGAUAUGUCGUUUUGAGGCUACGGGCUCUGCGUUUGGGCUGUGUGCCAGUUUGGGCUUAGUGUUGCUUUGGAGAGAUCUAGGUUUGGUUGAAGAGGUACGGUGAAGCCAUGGGCAAGGGAGAUGACGAAUUGGGCUUGGAGGCUGACACUUGGGCCUGGAUGGCCUCCUUUUGAGAGGCUUGCUGCUGAUGGAUAUACAUAUAUAUAUUUGUAUGUAUAUGUAUGUAAAAGAAAUCUUUUUUUUUUUUUUUAAUUUUUUAAUUUUUUUUUUUAUGUGACUGAACUCGAAAAAAUUGAACAUUCGAGCUGCCUACGUACCCCUCCAAAGAAGAGAUCAAGUCGCAACGUAGUUCAAAUACAUUUUUGGUAUUUUCUUUUUGUGUCGUUUGCAGUUUUAACUCAUGCAGGCAAGGAGUGUUGGUGUCGUUUGCAGUUCCAACUCUUGCAUACAAGGAGCGUUGGUGUUGCCUUUUAUGCUCGUGUAGGCCAGGAGCGUUGGUUCGUGCAGUUUAGGCUCGUGCAGGCGAGGAGCCUUUGGUGUCGUUCGCAGUUUCAACUCGUGCAAACAAGGAGCAUUUGGUGUCGUUCGCAGUUUCAACUCGUGCAGACAAGGAGCAUUUGAUGCCGUGUUGCAGUUUAGGCUCAUGCAGGCGAGGAGCGUUGGUGUCUUGUAGUUUAGGCUCUUACAGACAAGGAGCUUUGGUUCGUGCAGUUUAGGCUCGUGCGAACAAGGAGCAUUGUUGGUUCGUCAAGCGAUCCGAGAGAGUUGUUCCUCACAAUCUUCAUAGCAAGGAGCCUUGACCGCGUGAUUGAAGAAGUCUUCGGGUAAAAAGUCGCGCAUCGUGAUGGCAACAGACAAUCUUUGUGUCGUAGUUUCAUCAUCUUCAACACGUUCACGUUGCUUUGAAGGUUGACAAUAGCUGCUUUGCCCCCUUUUCAAUUGGCGGACUUGUGGAGGAGACGUAUGCUUCUUGUGCAAUUUCUUAGGAGUGACUUGAGUCCAUCCUUCAAUUUUGCUUGUCUUGGACGAUGCCCCCAGCGGUUGAGGUGAAAACUUUGAGUCGGAAGAGCCAGAAGUGAAGGUGGUAUAGUUUGACUUUGCCACUUCGUCAAGAUCUAGCUCGAUGAUUCCUUUCUGAGCCAGCUUCAUGAUGAGAUCUUUCAGCACGAAACAUUUUUCUGUCGGAUGACUGAUGAAGCGGUGGAAUUUACAGUACUUUGGACUGUCGGUGCGAUUCAUCUCUUCUGGCCGUUUGCACUCAGGCAAACCAAUCACCUUCUUUUCCAACAGGUCAUCCAGUAUGGCAACCACAUCAGAGUCGGGGAAUGGAUAAGUCUUCUCCUCAAGCUCCUUUAAAGUGCGUCUACGCAUUUCUUGAUCACGAAAAGCUUCGGUUUGAAUCGCCUUGCCUCGUGUGGAUAUUUUGACGGGAGAUGUGUUGACCGUCAUCGCUUCCUUGGUGGGUUUCCAUGCAGCCUUUUCCACCUUUGUCCCAAGAACUUUGUCGUUCUUGUAGUCGGCGAUUGGUUCUUUCUUCCCAUGAUGGGCGAUGCUCAACUCCAUGUCAUGGGCGCGAGUGGCCAAUUCCUCGAAGGUCCGCGGUUUAAUGCCUUGAAGGAUGUAUUGCAAACCCCAUUGCAUGCCUUGGAUGCACAUCUCGAUUGAAGAGGUUUCCGAGAGCCUGUCUUUACAGUCGAGGCUUAGAGUGCGCCAUCUGUUGAUGUAGUCAAUGACUGGCUCGUCCUUCCACUGCUUUGUGCUUGUUAGCUCUAGCAUGCUCACAGUGCGGCGAGUGCUGUAGAAGCGGUUGAGGAAUUCCCGCUCCAAUUGCUCCCAGUUGUUGAUGGACUCAGGCUCUAGGUCAGUGUACCACUCAAAGGCGUUUCCUUUUAGUGAGCGCACAAACUGCUUGGCGAGGUAGUCCCCUUCGGUCCCUGCGUUGUUGCAAGUUUCAACAAAGUGGGCAAUGUGUUGUUUCGGGUUUCCCUUUCCAUCAAAUUGCAUGAACUUUGGCGGUUGAUAACCCUUCGGCAUCCUUAAGGCGUCGAUUUUCUUUGAAUACGGCUUCGAGUACAACCCGGAGGUAUUUGAGCUCCCUUCGUACUGUGCCUUGAUGGUGUUGGUGAUCAUCUAUUGCAGCUGCUGGAUAGAAAGAGAUCCCAUGAGUGCCGCUGCUUGGUCUGGCUCCGGCUUUGCAUCGUUUUUCUCCACCUGAGGCUCAUCUUCUUCGUCAUCUCUUCUCUUUAGUGGAUCAUUCUCUGGGUCGGGUUUAUCGCCGUCCUGCGCCUUUAGUCGAUUGACGAGUGCUGCAAUUUGCAAGUCUUUUUUCUUCCACCGUUCGGGUCAGCCUUGCGAUUGCUUCAUUCAUCUGAGCCAGUUGUUCUUCAACGGAGGUAACGCCGAUAGUCAUGACUUGUGCGACCAAUAUACGUGACUUUCCUUUAGACAUCCAGGAUGCUGAUGAAGAACGUCGUUGGCUGCUUUGGGAUGUCAUCUUAUGUGCCUCAGCAUCAUGCUUCGGUGCCCCCAGCGAGGUCAGGUUGAUGACAGACUCGCACCUUGGAUGCUCCCCUUGCUCUUUUAGCGGCACCAAUUUUGAAGUAGCAUGUUGGGGAGCGGUUGUGGCGCCAAUGGAUUGUCUGUUUGCGGCAGAAGUGCUUAGGAUCCUUCCCUCAGUGGUUGCGAGAAUGGCUUGUCCUUUGCUUGAUGCCAUUGACUUUGAGGUGUGCUUGGAUUCCUUGAACGAAGAAAGAGAUGAGAGGUAGAGAUUGUCCCACCGGGCGUGCCAAUUUGUGAACACGGAAAAUUCCUGAAACGAAAGAGACAAGAACGAACGUGCACAAACAAAUAUUAUGUAUUUGAUGAUUUUGGGUUACAAUCUCUCUCUAUUUGAUCCUCUGAUUCAAUCUCCGUAAGGUGUGUAUUUGUGGAUGUGUGAUUGAUCCAAAGGGCCGUUGGGCUUGAUCUAAGGAUGAACGUUCUUCAAGGGCCGUGGACUUGAUCUUGAAGGUGGAUUUGAGCGGAUCUUUAAAGGGGCUUUUGGGCUUGAUCUUGAAGAACGGUUGGAUGUGUGGAUUUGUCGAAGUUGUUGAUCCAAAGGGCCGUUGGGGCUUGAUCUUGGAUGAACGGAUGAUGAACGAUGGUGCUUUCUUCAAGGGCCGUCGGGGCUUGAUCUUGAAUUGGUGGAUGGUUGAUCCAAGGGCCGUCGGGGCUUGAUCUUGGAAGAACGAUGAACGAAGAACGAAGAACACUUUCUUCAAGGGCCGUCGGGGCUUGAUCUUGAAUUGGUGGAUGAUUGUUGAUCCAAAGGGCCGUUGGGGCUUGAUCUUGGAAGAACGAUGAACGAAGAACAAAGAACGCUUUCUUCAAGGGCCGUCGGGGCUUGAUCUUGAAGGUGGAUGAUUGUUGAUCCAAGGGCUGUCGAGGCUUGAUCUUGGAAGAACGAUGAACGAAGAACACUUUCUUGAUUCUUCGGGAACCUGGACGCUUGAGAGCUUCGGAGUUUCAGAGCUUCAGAGCUUCAAGGUGUAAUAUGAAUUGGUCCCCCCUAAAUGAAUGAAAUGGGCUUGUAUUUAUAGAAUUUUCCAAGGCCUAAUUUUGAAUAUAAUAUCCCAGAUGAAAUAAGUCGUUUCUGCCAGGUGUUGACACGUGUCCUAUUUGAUGACUUUUCCAACUCAUUUCAAUUUUCGUUUAGUCACACGCUACGUGUAAAAUUUAUGUAAUACAUGAGCGUUGACACUUUGAUUUAUCGGUCAACAUUUAUUUACCGAAAUUUCGAUGUCUACAAAACUAAUAGAUAAUUGACUAAAUAAACAUCCUGCAAAGUUUCAAUAAAAAUUUCCAAGUUUUUCUUACAAUUUCUGUGGUUUCCAUAUUAUUUUUAUCGAUAUCGAUAAUAUCCCGAUAUUUCAAUCGAUAUUUCCGUGUUUUUGGACUACCGAUAUUUCCGAUAUCAUCGAUAUUUUAUACCUUGGCGACGGGGGACUUGCCGACUGGUGCCACCGUGGACGUUGGGUCUUUCGAAAUGUGGUGUAAUGUUAUGAUCCCACAUCGGCUACACAAGAAAUUGUGUAGUGGUACUUAAGUGCAAGGGGUCCUCCCACCUAUUGGACUAGUCUUUUGAGUUGGGCUCUUCCCUUAGGCUUGAGUACCUAACAAACCCAUAAAUCAAAGAAAUCAAAAUCCACCCAGAAUCAAAGAAAUCAAAAUCCAUCCAGAACCAAAGAAAUCAAAAUCACACACAGAUAUACAAGGUGUACAGUACUGACAUGCCUUAAAUGAUAUUAUUCACAAGAUUUAUAAAGCUCAUGUCGUAAUACUUGUGCAGAAUCUAUCAUUCACGGCGUCACUUUUGUGCAAGUUGUAAAUAAAAUUAUUCACAAUUUAAACAUUGUGUGUCGUAUUUGACAAUUUAUACUACGCACUUUCUUUUUCUUUUAAAGCUUUGCGUUAUGUCGUGAAGUUGACUUUCUAUAUAUUUGGGUUGUACCUUUUAUGGCGCAAAUAACACGUCGUAAAUAAUGGCUUUUAGCACAGAAGUUUUGUGGUAAAGAAGCCCGCGCACUAAUUCAUUCUCGCGCCUUCUCUUUUUUAUUUAGCCGCUUCUUUUUUUAUUUUUUAUUUUUUUUGUUAAAUUCCCCUCAAAUGUUAAAAGAAAAAUUAAUGAAAUAUUUGAAAACUUUGAGUUUUAACGAUAAGGAUAAAAUAAAAGGUAAAAUGAAUAGUACCAAAAUUGACUUUUUAGUGUUAAAAUAUGAUUUUUCGUUAAAGUGAACAGUGCCGAAAGUUUUUCGUUAAAGUUCAAUGUUAAAAGGUUUGUAUUUUCUUGGUAAACUUGAAAGACAAACAUUGCAAUUGCAUUUUCAUUUACCCAAUAUUAAUUGUCGAGAGCCCACCCCCUUCCCUUCUCACUGACAUCGUAACUCUCUCCUCUCCAUCGAUCUCGCUCCAUCUGCUCGCCGUCGCUCUAUAUGCUCGUCAUCACCGUCGAUUCGUCUGCUCGUCGUCACCGUCGCCCAUCUGCUUUCCGUCACCGUCGAAGUGCCCCGCCAUUCAAGAUCUGAAAUCCCCAAUACAGGGUGCUUUGCGGCAUUUCGUUCUCCAAAACUUUAGGUAUGCUCUCAAUCUGUAUCAACCCUAUCCUGUCCCCUCUAGAUUUUUGUUUAGUCUCAACUUUAUGGUGCUUUUCUUAGAUUUGUUCUAUCACUGUAAUUUUAAGGGAUUUUAGGUAAUAAAUUUGGUUGAGAAUCUCAGUUAGGUUUGUAAUUGUUUUCUUGGUUGCCUGGGUUUGAGGAUGAUUAAUCCACUUUCUGAAGUUUAAUUACUUUGAACUUUGAUUUGUGGGAAACUGCAAUCAAAAUGUUGCUAUGGCUUUAUAGUUAGAAUCGAUUGUGAGUCUUUGCACCACAUCAAGCAAUACCCCGGUGUUGUAAUUCCGAGGUUUGUAAUUGCCGCUGUUAAUGAUGGUUUGGUCCAUCCUUUUUAGGGAGAUGACUUCAAUGAUUGAAACUAGUUUAUCAUUAUUUCAGAACUCUGUAAUACGAGACAUGAUAUUCCAAAAAAUAUUUGCAUGAAUAUAUGUGCAUUGACUGACUAUUUUUCAGUCUUUGAUAGUGGAGAUAACUCUUUCAGGUCAUAUGUAGUUCUUACAGAAAUUGUAUGGUAUUUUGGUUGGUUUUGUGUUCUGGUUGUAGCAAACUGGUGGAUGCCCUGAGAUGAGUAGUUAUCUACAAAGUGGAUGGAUCCUGAAGAGUACAAAGUCUAAGGCAUUUUAUGUAAAGGUAAAUCCUGUUACUUUUAAUUACUUAUAUGUGAAUGCCUGCCAUUUGAAGUAAAAAUUCUUUUAGCCAUUACAUUCUUCAUAAAGAUCUUUAUAUGCUCAAAAGAAGGAUUUUUUUUAGAUGCCAUGUAACUGGUGGUGGCUAGCCUCUUCUUUUUAAGACUCUAGUGUGUUUCAAUUACACUAGUCAAUCGUUCUUAUGUGUAUUAUGUUUUGUUGAUAAGAUGGCCAAGACAAAGUUGUAGAGCCCUAGUAGCAGGGUGCUGUUGGCAUUUAUAUUUUUCUUUUGAAGGGGUGUUUAUUGCUUUUAUACUUUCAUUGUUUACUCUCAUACAUACAAUACUGAAAAAUAAGCAUGUAUUGACGCGUAAUUUUAGAUCCAUAUUUAUACAUAAUUUUGAUUACAUGUCCAAAUUACCCAAGAUUCUUUUUCCUUUACAAAUUUGUGGAGUGCAUUACAUGGAUAUGAUUCAUGUAUGAAAUACACAUGACUCUCACUAAUUUAAGGGCAGCAUCAUUGACUGUACAGUUUUCAAUUCUUUAUAAUCAUGAGUAUAGACAUUUUUUAAUUCUUUAUAAUCAUGAGUACAACAAUAGUUUCUAUAACAAAAUUCUGUUAAAUAUGUAAUAUCAGUAUUUGUUUUCCAGGUUCAUUAGUUGAGGAUGAUUUUUCCAAGAAAGAAAAGAUCGCGGCUUUCAGGCCGAUCUAAAGAACAUUAUGUUGAUAUUGCACCUGAGAUCUUACAAGAAGAGGACGAAGAAGUACCAGAUGACCUAUUUACAGAGGAGUCGAAUCAAACUAAAAGAAAGAGGGGUCCUACUAGAAUGAAGACAAUUUCCACAAAUGAUGGUCAACGAAUUGAGAUUGAAUGGAAUGAAAACGGCCAGUUUAUUGGUGACGGAUCUAUUGACUUAUCUUCUUACAUGGGUUCUUUGGUCCGAGAGGUUGUCCCUAUAACAUUUGAUACUUGGAAGGAUGUUCCUAAGAAAACAAAGGACAUCCUAAUCAAGGUAAUAUGCAGAUAAGUCAAUUCUGAUCCCUCUACUUCAAGGUGAACAAUUUAUAGUUUAUAAAUUUUACUUGUGUUAAUAUAUAUUUUUUGGUAAAUGUUAUGGAUAUUUUAUCAAAUCAGAGAGUAAAUUCGUAUUAAGUGAAGAUUGGCAAAGAACAUAUUGUUUUGAAAGGAUGAAUAAUGUUUGCAGAUCACAUAUAUCAGUAGUUGUGAAGUCCAUAAGAGAAGCAAGAAAUUGGAAAGCAAGGCUUCGUCUAAAACCAAAUAAUGUCAAAUUAAUUCAAGAUUGGAAGACUUCCCUUGCAAAGUGUAAGCUCAUUUUCCUUUUCUUUUAUUUCUAAGAUUAGUUAUCUUCUUUUGAGUUCAAAAUUGGGUCAGAGAAAUCAAACUGAUAGUAGUUAAAAGUCUAUUUCAACACCAAGCCUUGUCUACACAAGAAUUUGGUGUUAGUUAAACAUGUGUAUGAUUCUAUCUUGAUUGCAUGUUAAUUUAGUUUGAAGAUAGAUUUGGUACAUGCUAGCUAAUUGAUACGUGAUAUGAAUCUUUGGUUUCCUUUUGAUAGGACAAAAGCGAAACAUUCAGAGAGAUGAAGUCUAAGCAACUCCGCACACAUGUAGUCGCAAGGGAUAUGGUAGGUUGGCGGAGGAUUUGGUAAUUACAUUUCAUUCUAGUGCCUUCUUUUCUACAGGACAAGAACAAUUUACUAAUUUUAUUCUGUGUUCUACUGUGUGUUUACUACAUUUAUGUUUCUAUUUUGUAGAAAAGAAAAAGUGUAGACCCUUCUCUAGUUUCUAGAGGUGAUGUUUGGAUUGCAGCACAUACUAAAAAGGGUGGUGGACCAUCCAAUUUGCUUGCUGCAGAGACUAUUGUAAGUAAUUUUUAACCAUUUAUUUCUUCUUGUUUGUUGAUAUGCAAUGAUGAAUGAGGUCUUAACUUUGAUGUGCAACGUUAGGAAAAAAAUUAAGCAAUAUGGAAAUGGAUCAUCAUCUGGUUUUCGAGGUGACGUUCUUUCCAAAGUUUUUGGUGCUGAGCGACAUGGUCGUGCAAGAGGAGUUGGAGGUGGUGUUCCUCCUACAAAGCUUGGAAUAUUUUCACAACAAAAAUUGCGUAAUCACCAAAUGGAUGAAAAGGUGCACAAUUUAACUAAUCAGGUCAGAGCACUGACAGAAUUGGUGUAUCUUUUUAUGAAAAAUCAGGUUAGUGAUUUAAUAACAUUGGUAUCAUAUUGAAUAUUUGUGAAAUCAGUUUUAGUGACACAUCAAAUCACAGGGUAAUGAUCUACCAAGUGAGGCAUCUCCUGACACACAGGUUGCAGCUCCUGAGGCACAUGUUGAUACUGUCGCAAGAACUGAAACUUGUCUUUCCCAUUGCGCAACAAAUGAAUCGUGGUGGCGAGGUUGAUACACUUUUUCAAUGAGCCUUCUAACUAUUAAUGCUCAUUGACUCUGUUAAAAGCUCUGCCAUUUUCAAUCUAACUAGACACUAGAAAUGAUCAUUGACUCUGUUAAAAGUUAUGAUGUUUUGGUCCUUCUCCAUAGUUGCGCAUCUACUGAUGUCUAUUUUUUUUCAAAUACUGCAGGUUAUUUCUGAAAACAUUGAAACAUCGUGGUGUACCAGAUGGUUUGAUUAUAAGACACCUUCCUUUUGGUCCACCAACUUAUUUAUAACUGCUAAAUGGUACGUAGUGUGAUAAUUUUCAAAUAUUUUGAUAUUAAGACAGGUGUAGGACAACAUAGAAAUUCUUAGGGCCUUCAGCAACAAAAUUAUGAAAAAGUGAGUGAGAUACAAUUAAAAAAAUGAAAGAGAAGGAUCAUGAUUCAUGAUCUAAAGGUUUGAAUAGGGUAGAAAGGAUUUAGUUUCGUUGUUAAAAUCGAUUGUGAGUCUAUUGUUAUUGUAUUGUCAAUUUGUUUAUUUACUUGAACUUCCUAGUAUCAAUUUGGUUCGAUAUAUCUAGCACCACCAUAGAUAUAUCUAGUAUCAAUUUGGUUAGAUAUUGUCAAUUUGUUAUUGUAUUGUCAACUAUAGAAUGUGCAUCAGUUGUAAAAGGAACAAAACAAUUCAGAUUUUUUGUUUAUGUCCAAACUUAGAAUUGUAUUGUAAUUGACAAUUUCUACUAAUUAAUUUAAAGUAUUUGGAGUUUAAUAUGUUUAUGAUCAAUAUUGUUAUCCUUCUAUUGUAUCAGUUUAGAUGUUAUGAAGUGAGGUCUGUCUAAAAAUGAUAUGCUAAAUAUAGAUGUAAAUUACGGCAUCUAAAAUCAGCAAUAAUUGUUGAUGGUAGUCUUUUUUUACGAUGCACGAUGUAUGCCGUAAUCACCUUCACAAUAUUACGACACUCAACAAAUGCUGUAUCAAAUAUAAAUUACUGCACACAAGUAUGUCGUAAUUGUUUUUCAGUAUUACGACACCCUAUUAACGCUGUAACUAAUACCAAUUAAGGCGCGUAGGACAUGCCUUAAGAACAUUUAUGGCGUGUUUUACUUAAAUUAUUCACUACUAUUAGAGUACGUCGUAUUUGUCAAAACAUCUUUUACAACAGGGGCUUUUACUGCUUGGAGGCUCACGUCGUGAAUUUCCAUUUACGGCACCCUUUGUGCGCCGUAAAAGGCCAAUUCUAUUGUAGUGAUCCAUGGGUACAUUUUUAAUCUACAUGUUUCGUUUUAAUAUAUCUAUUGCUAUAAUAUGUUUUGGUUGGUUCAAAUUCGUUUUACAUAAAUAUAUGGGUACAAAGUUUUUGGAGAAUAUUAUGUAAAAUGGUUUUUAAGGUUGUUGCAUUUUAUGUACCCACAUAUGCAUGUCUAUAAAACAAUGUGGUAUGAUGUACAUUCUUUUCCUUGAGUUUUUAAAUGUACCCAUGAGUUUUCUUGUAAAUUCAGUAUGUAUCCAUAUGCUAUUUAUGUUAUGGGUACAUAAAUUAUUUUUGGUCUAAGUUGGUGGGUACAUUGCUUUUGUAUGUAUGAAUUCAUUGGGUACAUUAUUUCCCUUAAUACUACUCAAUAAAAUUCACAAAAAUAUGUGCAGUGUGCAUGAAUUUUUAUUGUAGAAAUUGUUUUUUUUUAAUUUUUAAUUUUUAAGUCUCAUAAUUCGUGAAUUUUGUACAUAUUGAUCCCAUAAAUUUUUGAAUUUUAUUAAAUUUCUUUUAGACUUGAUCGAUUGAUUGAAUCUCAUAAUAAUCCCUUAAAUGUUCCAAUCAAUAUUUUAAAUUACAGCUUUUUAUUUAAGAUUUCAAAAAGAUGACAUGAAAAUAUAGUAAUACUAAAAUUUUAUUUUAAAUUACAUUUGUGUAACAAUCAAUGGUAUGUUAAAACUGGGCAAAAAAAAAAGGUAUAUUAAAAAAUUAUAAUUUAUUCUUUUUUUCAUAACUGUCUUCUGCUUAGAUUAAAUUUUUACCAAUUUGGGGGAAUUAGUUCUUACCAAUAUAUAUGCACAGUAUUUGCUUUUUACCUGGGCUUAACACAUGAUUAAUUACUUUCCUACCUGCUAACGCGUUGAUUUGCGCAUCCAAAGUAUUAUCAAAGUCACUGCCACCAAAAAGGUGCCCACUCCACAACCUUUGGUUGAACCAAAGAACAUCACAACAAUAAGGAAAUCGUUAAAUCUAUCUCCGCAACAUUUUUAUUAAUCAUUAGAUAGAUUAAACGAUUCCCCUGUUCAUAUUGUGUUCUUUUGUUGAACCAAACCAUGUCAACAAAAUAUAUCUAUGGUUAAGCAUCUAGAUUCAUGCUUUUGGAUGUGCAUCUUAAACCCCUCAAUGAAUAGCCAAGCAAUUUAUCAUGUGUUUACAGUAGGUCAAAAGAAGAAAGUGUUUGUCUAUAUAUUGGUAGGAACCAAUUCCUCUGAAGAGGAGAGAUGGAAGUGAUGAUAAUACUUUAAAUAAUCAAAGCCCAAACAUUUUAUCAAAUUUCAUCUCUGUACUCCACGGAGACACUAAAUGAGACAUAUCUGGUCCAUCUCUGAACAUCUUUUCUUACCGUUCUUACAAUAGAAAGGGCACAAAAUUGACUUACACAGUCUUGCACAAUACUCACUUUGCUUCAACCCAUAUUUCACUUUGUCAAAUCAUACACGUUCCUGCAAUAGGUGAACUCAUAUGUAUCUACCACUUCUUGCUAAUUUUAAUUUUUCCAUUCCCAUUUUUGCUACAAGUUUCACAUAAAUUUUUUAUUGCACUUGUCAAUUCUUUAUACUUUUUUAUUGUAUUUUUUUUUUGUCUUUUUUUUGUAUUAAACAAUUACAUGUCCUCCAAAAGUUUUGCUUAUUGCCCUAUUUCAUCAAGCUCGGUAUAAAUAGAUCUUAAUUUUUUACUACAGUUAAAUACAUGGACAUGCCUCCACAAAUACAAAUUAGUUCUUGCUUAAAUACUUUGUGUGUUUACAUAGAAAAUGUUCCCAUCGUCUACCAAAAUCCUCCACACAUGAAAACAAAAAUUCUUACUCAAAAAUACAUAUUACAAUACCACCAUAUCUGUUGUUUUUUAUUAAAUUAACACACUGUUUUCAAUUUUAUCUUUAACACAAAAGAAAAUGCUCUUACACAAUAUGCUUGUUUACAUUUUAUAACUUAUCUACCACAUGUUAAUCGCAAUUAUAUAAAUAGGAAAACACGUGUCAAUAGAAGUGUGAUGCAUGCUACUUCGUUAACAAUAGUGGCAACUAAACAAUUAAAUAAUUUGUUUCAAUUAGUUAGUACAUUUUAUAAAUUUCUUAAUUAGAACUGUUUCAGUAUAUUCAAUACAUUUUUAAACAACUUUCCAGUUAGUUGCCCAAACUAAUUAUUCCAGCUUAUUCAUAGUAUAAUACCAACAAUUUAACAACCAAUGAUACUUCGUUUAACAUAAACUUCAUUUGGAAAAAACAAAAAAAUAUCUUUUUCUCUGCUGAAAAAUCCAACAGAGUUAUUGAUGCAGAUCAGUUAUACCAACAAAUUACCAUAGUUUACCCAAUGCUAUACAGGUUUGACUUUUGUUUAUAUUCUUGGAUCUGUUGCUUGGUUGUAUAAUUUGGUUGUGUGUUUUGUUUCAGGACAAUUUGUUCUUCGUUUCUUGAGGCUUUUGUGUGUAGAUUUGAAACCGUUUAGCUUUCAAGCCGUGUAUACUCAAGGUAAAUAAUUUCGUUUUUUUCUUUGUAACCUUUUUUGUAAGAAAUUUUUAUUUAAUGUUGUGAGAGUUGUGUUUUCUAGAGUAUGAAAAUUGAAUCUUUGUGAUCUUAUAUCCUUAGAUAUGUUUCUUGGUUAUAUGAUUUGGCUGUGUGCAUUGUUUCAGGACAAUUUGUUCUUCGUUUUUUGGGGCUUCGGUGUGUAGCUUUGAAGCCUUUUGUAGUCAACAUAAAUAAUUUUAUUUUUCUUUGUUUCUAGUCUUCUUUGAAAGAAUUUCUUAGUUAAUAUUCUGAGAAUUAUGUUUACUAUAGUAUGAAAAUUGAAUCUUUGUGAUCUUGUAAGUGAUGUAACGUCAUUGCAACAUGUAUGACUGCCAUUAUCGAACAUGAAGAGCUUUUUGAUUUUUGUACUCCGUCCUUUCAUACGAUCUGACUCAAAAAUUGUUUCAUCACAGGUUCUAACAUGAUUUUUGCGACGUCUUAUGAAAAUACAAUGUCACUUCUGGUAUUCCAACUUAAACAAAUUACAAGGGAUGUCUAGUUUUAAACCUGCAGUUAGUAUAUACUAAAACGACGGUUUUGGCCCUGCUCUCGACUUCUUCAGAAACCUCGAGAAACUUCAAACUGAGAAAGCUUCUCCCUUCCAUCUCUGCUACGCGAUCUCUGCUUUGCGAUCUCUGCUUCCUCCGUGAUUUCUUCCCUCCUGAUCGACAUCUAUUCGAAUUGAAAACCUUCUGGAGCUCUCUUCCCCAAAUUUCAGCAGCAACUUUGCUCCAGAUCUUUCCAAUUGAAAUUCCUCUCCUUCACAUUUUGCAUAUUGAAUUUCGCAUCAUUAUCAUCUCCCUAGAACCUAGGAGUUUGGUUCGGUUUCGAGUUUUCCGACGGAAAUCCGGCGACAGCGGCCAUCGAGGUUGGUCUGAAACUAUUCCUCAUCACCACAAGUACUUUCUACACCUAUUACACUUUAGAAAAAAUUUCAUGAUUUGGUGGAAUCCAAUUUAAUGAUUAGAAAAAUUUUCAUUAAUUUUCUGGGUUCGUGGGUUGGAGGUGGAUUAGAAAUUUUUUCAUUAUUUUUCUGGGUUUGUGGUUUUUUUCCAAAACGUUUUUCCUUUCUACUAAUCCAAGUUCCUUCACAUCAAUCUCUCUGUUUCGUUCUUGAUCUUCCGCGAGUAGAAUACCUCUCCUUGCUCUCGAGCGCGUGGGCAGUCGCUCCAAGGCAGCCCAUGACGUCAUUUUCCGAUUCGACUCGGAGGAGGUUGGCUGCUCUUCUUGGCUGAGCUUCAUGGCUGGCCGAAUUCCCCUAUUCCCUUCCUCUUAUACUCUUUUGUAUUCGUUCACCAAAACAAUAGGAAAACGUCUCCGUCUGUUUGAUUGACGGCGAAGAAAAAAAGACGGAGAUAAAAGCCUGACGGAAGCUGAAAGCUUGGACUCUGUUUGUAUUUUUAAUGGAUUUUCAGAACACAGGUCAAGAAUACUGCGAUUUGAGAAAGAAAGAAAGAACCACGUUGACAUAAUAUAUUCACAAUAGGCGUACAUAAAGCUUUACUGUGGUUCCAUUUUUUUGCAUAUUUCAAAGGCUCUGAAUUGUUAAGGGAAUUAGCCUUUUGUUUUAGGAAGAACUUGGAACCCCCUCCGUCCAUUCUAUUCCCGAUGGAAUUAACACUUAGAUAGUACUAUGACAAUGUGUCAUUAAUUGAUGCAUACCUGUAUAAAUUUAGGCCAAGUGUUUUAUACACAAAUUGAUACAGAUUAAGCUUCUGGGUCGAAAUCAUAUACCGGUGAGCUAACUACACAAUGAUACAUUCUUAUCUGUUAAUUAUCUUUGGUUACCAGCUAUCCAUGUUGCUGACAUAUUAAACUACACAACAUCUAUUGUAAUUUAUGUCUUAUUAGUAUCAUCACUUUUGUUCUUUAUUUCAAUGUCUAACAUAAUGAUCUGGUUUCAAUUUGCUACAGGCAUUAUUUCCAGACAAUAGCUAUGGUUUUGAUUGUAGCGGUGACUGAAAAAUUAUUCCGAAACUAACAUUUGAGGAAUUCAAGGUUUGUUAGUUAAUUUGUACAUCAGAAUACCAUGACAAACUAUGAAGUUGUAAUUGUUGACCUUACAAUGUAUCUUUUUUGGUUUGGAGCAUUAGACUUAUAUGUGUUGCUUUCACUUCAUGAAGGCUAACUCUUUAUUUUAGGCCUUAGAAUAUAAUUUUUUGGAGAAUCUACAUUGUUGAUAAUUUUUUGAACAAUAUUAUCCCCAAAAUUUCUCCGCAUGUUACCCUCAACGUAGACAUCAUAUAACCAUCAUUGAACUUCUGAACCAAAAAUUUGAGUUUUAUGAUUAUAACUAAACGUCUAUAAACACAUGAUACAGAUUGAGACGAAUGUCAAAUUUAAAAUGGCAUUAAUCAGGACAGCUGCAAACUCUGAUUUGCGGCCUUUGAAAUGGAGCAGUUACUUCUUGCUUCACUUCAACAGCAUAGUCCAGCUUCUAAAUUCAGUUCUCAGGUAUGAGGUUUCUCAGUUACCUCUUUUUUGUAAUAAAACAUUUGAUCAGUACUUGCCAGGAUAUCCAAUUAAUUAGGUCAGUUUUUGUUAGCGGUAAUAAUUUGUUUUUGUAGCUUUAUAUGUGUCUCUGUCUCCAAAUAUGAUGAUCUCUUAAUUUGCUUCUAUAGCUUUUGUAAUAUAAUGAUCUCUUAAUUUGCUUUUGCAUAUCUUCUUUGCUUCCUCUGCUAGCUCUAUAUGAGAUUCCAUCUCCAAAUAAUUAUUCCUUAUUUCCUAUUUUUACAGGAAGCAAAUCAUUGAAUACACAUGGAAAAUUAAAAGGGUUUUAGUUUUUGGAGUAGUUUAAAUUUUUUGUUUGUUAUUGCUUGUAUUGCUGUUAAAUAUUUGAUGGGUAGUUUGAAAUGGGGAACUUGGUUGAUUGAGUAUUAACUUUUAUUAAAUUAAUAUUCUUAUUCAAUAUUGAAUUAAGACUCCUCUUAUUAAAUUAAGACUCUUAGAGUGCGUUUGUUGCGCCAGACUGUCUCGGACUGGACUAGCUGCCGGGACUAAGCUGGACUGGCUUAGACUGGACUAAGCUAGACUAACUUAGUGAAGCGUUUGGUGUAAUGUCGGACUAAGAAGCAGGAUAAGAAAAACAGUACUGUUCACCAGAUUUGUGUUUGCUUAGACUAGGAUUACAAAUUUUUGCCAUUGUGUAAUAGAGUAAUGCUACAAAUCUCAUGAUAUGGGUUAAUUGGAGCAUAUUUUUGCCAUGUAUAUUAUGAAUCUUAAAAAAAAUUGACAAUUGUUUUGUUUCUAUUACCUGCUAAUAGAAUUGGGUUUAAUUUGCAAAUGUAGCUUAGUUUAAACUCUAUCACCCAACAGAAGAAAAAUAAUAGUGCCCAAUACAUGCAACUUCAACAAAUACAAGUACAUAAGAAGAUCUCCAUAAUUUAGAAAAUCCUAGUUAACAUUAGUUAACAUUAGCCAAAAUAGAUCUCCAUAAUUUACAAAAUGGCUAGUUAACAUAAGCCAAAAUACUAGUGCAAAGCUAAGUUAUAAGCCAUAACAUAAGAUUGUAUGAUUAAUAAAAUACAUCCAUGUUAACAUUAAUAAAAUACAUCCAUGUUAACAUUAGCCAAAAUCCUCAUCCGCUUGCGUUGUCGCUUAAAAGCCUUUGGACGAACACUUUCUUGAGUUCCGGUUUGAUUGCCCUGAACACUCCCACAUUUUUUGGUUUAUCCAAAAUAAGAGACAAUGCAUCAAUUUGAUCCAUAGGAGAGAGACCCAUUACUUCAAGUUCAUUAGCUAUGUCAGUAUGAUCUGCAAUACCUUGAACUAAAGCUUCAGUUACCAUUUGCAUCCUCUUCCCACUUUCAACAUAAAAAUCUUUCAGUCCACUGAUAAUUGCCUCGGUUCCAUCACUUGAAUUUCCCACAGCUCUUUUCCUCUUUCUUUGGCUAUUUUCAGAUGGGGUGCUUUGUUGGCUUUGUUGGUUCAUUGAAGAAACAAAAUUUUCACCUCCAAUAUCACUUUCACCAACAUGAUCAUGACUUUGUUCCUCCACCAUUUGAGCAGGGGUUUCGGCUACAUUACCCGUAGCCCGAUCUUUUCCAAAUAUAUAUGCAAAUCUAUCAAACAGUGGAAAAGGUUUGCUUCUCCAUCCAUCGGCUUCUUUAUUUCUCUAAGAUUAUAUCAACAUAGCAAAACUAAAAUUUAGCAUGCGUAACAAAUAUAGCAGCAAGAAUAUAACUAAUGUAUAAAUAAAAUAGGAUAUGAACCUGCACAUAAGUUUGCCAUGAGUCAUCACUGUCAACUUCAACGCACUUUUUGACAUCAUUUCAUGCAAAUCCACUUGUGUUUAUCAUGUCAACGACCAUACUAUAUGUUUUUUUCCAUUUCUUCAACUUGGACUCAAUAUGUGGAUUUGCCUUUAUAUUUGAAUGAGGACAUAAAACAUUGACAACUUUUGCUAUUUCAACCAAAGUACCUUGUUUGAAAGCACCGGUGUCACACCGUUGCUUCCGAGCAACAAAAUCCUCAAGAACUCCUAGUAAUACUUCUUCCUCAAAUGCUUCCCAUUUACGCCUUCUUCCUUUUGGCUCUUGAGUAGCAUUCAAAAUAUUUUCGUUAUCCAUACCUAAACAAAAAAUAUUUUAAUGAAGGAAAAUACCAUACAAAUAAUCAAUUUGCAUAAUAUCCAAUCAACUUGCAUAAUAUCCAAUUAAUUUGCAUACCAUCCAAUCUUUGUGCUAAUAUCUAACAAAUGCAUGAUAAAAAGGAAUACUAAAAUAAAAUGUUAUCAUUAACACAUAUAGCUAGUUCGGUUGCUGGUUCCUAAUUGCUCUCCAUUCAUUAUACAUUUCCUGAGCCAUGUCAUUCCUCUUUGCAGUCCACUGGUCAGAUGUUUGAACACUACCAACAUAUUCACCUUCUUCUGUAUUUUGUCCAUCUUCUAUUAUUGGAAAAUUCUCCAUUGGAUCUACAGACAUCUCUUGCCUAAUAAGAUUGUGUAGUAGGCAACAAGCGGUAAUUAUUCGACCUUGUGUCCUUAUCGGAUAGAAAGAUGGACUCCUUAGUAUCGACCACCUUCCUUUUAGCAAGCCAAAACAGCGUUCAAUUACAUUCCUUGCCUUAGAAUGCUUCAUGUUAAAAUAUUCUUCCUUAUUAGAAGGUGUUCGUCCCUCCCAUUCAGAUAAAUGAUAAGGUAUUCCUCUAUAGGGUGCAAGGAAUCCUUCACCAUUUGUAUAACCACCAUCUACAAGGUAAUAAUAACCUAAUGAAAAAAAAAACAGACCUUAUUAGUGUUUUGUAGUUGACAAACAGAACUAGACCUAACUUACAAAGUUGAGACUAAGUAAUAGUCUUACCCGCUGGUACCUUAAAACCAUUAGGCCUAGUAAUUGCAUCAUGUAGCACUCUAGAGUCUGAUGCAGAACCCUCCCACCCCGUAAACACAUAUAUGAACUGCAUAUCUCCUGAACACACACCUAACACAUUAGUUGCGACUCGACCCUUUCUUGUUCGGUAUCUUGGUUUGUCAAUUUCAGGUACAUGCACAUCAAUGUGUGUUCCAUCCAAUGCUCCCAAGCAAUUCUUAAAAAAAAAAAAAAAAGUUUUUGUUAAUUUAUACAAAGGGAAUGAAGAGUUAAAGCUUAGGGAAAAUGAAAAAAAAUUCUCAUCAUACCUUAAAACAUCGCCACCUAGGAUCUGUAGAAUCAAUAGGCACAGGCUGAGGGACUUUUAGUAGGAUACCUUGUAAUCGCAAAAUUCCUUGCAAUACGAUAUUGAAAUACCUACUUAUAGUCUCUCCCGACCUAUAAAAUCUACCGCCAACACUACGAUUCUUAGUAUGAUGUGCUAAUAUUUGUAAAGUCAUACACACAUGCUCCUCUACAGACACCAAACCAUCAGUUUUUACCCUCCCAUCUUGACGAAGUAAGUCACAUAAUAUGCCAAAAGUCCUUCUAUCCAUUCUCAAUUCGUUGACACAUUCAGUAUCAGUAUUCCCUAUUAUACCAUUCAGAUAACACAAACUAAUCUCUCGUCUAAUAAGUGAACGGUUAGUCAAUGUGGGUCGUUCAACAUGUCUCUGUUUGCCACGUAGCAUCAUCAACACAAGAAUCGUACAAAUGCAAAUUGUCUCCAAAUAAGACAUCUCUAACAAUAAGAUCAAUAAAAGCUUCCUUCGAUCCAUAUCUAUCCAAACAAAAAAAAACAAAAAACAAAUUAAGGACAUUAUAUAUGUAAUAUUUACUGUUAUUAAGGGUUAUGGAAAUGAAGUGAUUAUGAUACGAAAUGAACUAGAUCAAAGUAACUAGCGAAGUCACAAUCCGAGGCAUCAAAUAUACGGGUGGUGUUGGAAAAAAAAAAGUUAUCAUUAACCCGAGGCAACAAAUAUACAGGUCAGAUGCACACACUGCAUACACACUCACACACAUACUCACACGGACAUACACACUAUCACACACGGACAUACACUCACACACACCCUACAUACAUACAUACAUACACACACACACUGCAUACAUACACACACACACACACUGCAUAUAUACACACACACACACACUGCAUACAUACACACACACACACACACUGCAUACAUACACACACACACACACACACACACACUGCAUACAUACACACACACACACGACAUACAUACACACACACACACACACACUGGUCAGAUGCACUGCACUCACACGGACAUACACACUCUCACACACUGACAUACAUACACACACACCCUGCAUACAUACACACACACACACUACAUACACACACACACACACACACACACACACUGCAUACAUACAUACACACGCACACACACUGCAUACACACACACACACACAUUGCUUUAUGAAAACCCCAAAUUCCAAAUUUGAAACCCCAAAUUCCAAAUUUCUAAUCUCAAUUUCAAACCCCAAAUUCCAAAUUUCUACUACAUACUUACAUACACACACACUGCUUUAUGAAAACCCCAAAUUCCAAAUUUCAAACCCCAAAUUCCAAAUUUCUAAUCUCAAUUUCAAACCCCAAAUUCCAAGCUUUAUGAAAACCCCAAUUUCUAAUCUCAAUUUCACCCAAAUAUCAAAACCCUAAAAUUUGUUCAACUGCAGAAUCAAAUAAAGCUCAAACCCAAAACAAAUCCGCCCAAAUCGACGAAAAAAAUCCACCCAAAUCGACGAAAAAAAUCGAACAAUCGAAGCUUACCAGACAACUGGAGGCAGAUGAGGGCGAGCAGAUCUGUUACGUGAAGACGAGGGAGUGGACGACGAGAGGAACAGAUGAGGAGCAUGAUGCAGAUGAGGGCGACCAGGAUGCAGCUGACGGCAAGCAGGAUGCAAAGAUAAGGAUGAGGAGGACGACGUGAGGGAGGAGGACGUCGACGACACUCUCUCCUAGGAUGAUCGAGGUUCUUUCUCGCAAGAGCGCAAUCGGAUGAGGAGGACGACGUGAGGGAGGAGGUUUUAUGAAUCUGGACGUUUUUGGGGUGGUUCGCUAAGAACUCCUAGCGAGGGUUUAAUCCGUGCGAGUCAGAUCUAAUCCCAUUAAACCUAAUCCUUGCCCCUACCAAACAUCAGACUACAAUACCAAUUAGUGGAGUCCAGAACAGUCCCCCCUAAGAAGGUCAAACAAACACGCCCUUAAGGCUCUAAUCUAAUGUUCAUGCUCAACAUCUCCUCUAUCUUUCUACGAUUGGUAAAACUUUUGUAUUAUUAUUCCAAUUUUGGUUACUGGGUUGUGGAAUUUUCCAUUUUUUUUCUCGGUAAUCAAUACUAUAUAUAUGCAUGACAAGUAUAAACAAUAUUUUGGGGCAAAUUUAGUUGUUUAAUUUUUAAUUUUUAUGUGACAGUGAGAUUAUGGUAGGAUUUCGUUUAGAUUCUGCGGCCCAAUGGGAGUCUCUGCUUUGAUAAGAUUGGGGUUGAUGCCAAGAAAGCCAAUAAGCCUACUGUGGACGCCGUAGCCGCCUGGCGCUGUUUUCCAAAAUCCUCUCUCACUUGGUUAAGCAAUUAAGACUUUUUGGUUCAGUUUUUAUUAUGCCCAAUUUUGUAUUUAAACCUUAAAAAAAUUUAAACUGAUUUGGGGAUACUGAAAUAGGCUGCAGAGCUGCCAUCCCUGAAUCAGAAGAUGUUCAGAAGGAAGAAGAAGAAGAAGAAGAAGAAAGUCGUGGAAUAUCAAAAGCUUUUAGCUUUGUGAAAGUAUGCUUUUUCCCAACUCACCUCUUGCUUUUGUUGCACUGAAUUGGUAGAUUGGGUUCAAAAAUAUAUAUAUGUGAUUUUUCGUGUAACUAUUUCUUUACAUAAUUACCAAUUGGAGGUGAUUUUAGAUCAUGUAACAUUUCCUCGCUAGAACCAAAGAUUGUCGUCGCUCAGAGCUGCGUUUCAUGAAACAAGUUCAUCUCCUGCCAAAUUUGUGUACCCACCUUUUAUUCAUGAGGGUUGGUGCUUGCUUGCAACACAAUUUGGUGUUAUUAAGUUUUGCGGUUUUACAAUUUGUUCAUGCUUAAACCUCUUUCAAAUUUUCAUUUCUGUGUAAAUCUUGCAGGUAGGACGACACACCUAUCUUGGCAAUGUCGGGAUGUCUAGGCUUGGUGGAGACGUGGUCUUAUGGAAGAGGUGAAGUAGCUUAGCUCGAUCUCAUUAGCUCUUAUCUGUUCUAUUAUGUUAAGAUCAAUAGUAAAAAGUUCUAUUGAUUUUAUAAUCAAAGAUACAUAUAUUAUAGAAAUAGAGGGUAUAUCAUUAAUUUCUUGAUGUAAACAAUCAUAACUUGAGGAACCAUUUAAAGUAUUUUGGUAAUCAACAUACUUAAACUUAAAUGUGAUAUAUCCAUUUAGUAUUUUUUUUAUACAAUGAUAAUACUUAAGUAUAAUUUACAUCAUAUAUCUUUUGAAGUACAUGAAACUAUGAAGAAAAUGAUAAACCAAAUCCCAUUCCAUCUCUGUUUGCUACUGCACAAUCACAAUCCAAUUCCAACAUGGAAUCCUCAGACGACAUGCCUACUGCAGAACAAGUUUCAUACUGACUUAACUUAUAUUUAGUCCACGUCCUGUUUAGAUUGUAAUCCUAGUUCUACGUGUGUUUGUAUAGUACUCCUAUAAAUAUCAAUGAACAUCGCUCACUCUAAUUAAGAGUUGAGAUUUUGCAAAUCAUAUUUACUAUCUUUCAUGGUAUCACGAGCCAGCGUCUAACGACAACGGUUCCUAUUAUAAUUUUUUUCUCUUUUGCAGAUCCUAAACUAUGGCAUCUUCUUCCUCCUCCGCUGCUCCCUCCAUCACAAAUUUUCUUACGAUCAAGCUCGACCGCAACAACUACCCUCUCUGGCAUGCUCAGUUUCUUCCCUUGCUGCGCAGCCGCAACUUACUCUCUUAUGUUACUGGCGAAACUCAAUGCCCCUCUGCCUUUCUUCUUGAUGACAAUGGUAAAUUCACCGACAAAGUCAUUCCAUUAUAUAAUGAAUGGAUCCAGACUGACCAGAUGAUCCUAUCUUGGAUUACGAGUUCUCUUACUCCCAAGGUUCUUGCUACGAUCGUCAACAAAAUUGAUUCGGCCUCUGCUUGGUCGUCAAACCCGAAUUAAUCUAAUUGUGGGGGUUUUGUUUUAUAUCAAUAUAUUGCAACAGAAGUCACACUUUGAAGAGUUCAUGCUGCACAGAAAGAUGAUGAAAUGUUACCCGUUGAGUCUAUCAUUGCUCCAUUGGAGACAGAGCUGAAGCUUACUGCAGGAGUUAUACAGUUGUUAUGCAAUAUGACCCCUUUAAUUUUAUUUUAAAACUGAUACAAAAUACUACAAAAAUUUAUGUAGUAUUUUUGUAUUAGUUUUGAGUGUCUAUUUUGGCUUCCAUAUAUCGUCUGUACAUGUGAGAGGUAUAGUGUUCAAUAUGUAUUUGGUUUCUAUAUUGUUAAUGGAUCCUUUUUUUUUUAAUUUAAUUUAAUUUUAUUAAGGUAACCAAGUUGCAGGAUGACAUCAGAACACUUGAUCUGCAGGUAAACCUUCAAUUUCCAUAUGAAGUUUGCAUGUUCGUUGUUUCUGGAAUUUGAGUUUUUAUUAUUUCUCAAUUCUAUCACAUAGAUUAUGAUUUCACAUAUGGGAUUAUUAAUGGCAAUUAUAUGAUAGAAGAAUUGGGAUUAGAAGAAGAUAUUGAGUUGUUUUAUUUAUGGGGAUUAGAAAAUGAUUAUCAUACGAGUGAUAUUUAUUUUUGUGUGGAUUGUUAAUAUAUAAAACUAUAAGCUUUUGAGAUUGGGAGAUAAAACCCACAAAUUCAAAUCAGACAAAAUAAAUAAAAAAUUUAACUGACUUAAAGAUCAAACUCCAAAAGGGUAUUAAAAACAAGGCUUAUUUGAUCCAUUGAGUGUGAAAGUUUUGAGCUUUGAAGAAGCAUAGGAGGAGAGUUGUUAACCAAGCUGCAUUAUCCAUGUAUUAGGAUGUUGAGGGUAGGCAGGAAAAAUACUUUUUGACGCCAUAUCCAGAGGAGCAUAACGACAGGCCUGCAUUUUUGCAGCAAGGACCAAAACAAGUAGAAGUGAAGGCUUGACUAUUUGGGUAUUAAUCCUAAACCUAAUUAUUCUUAUUUAGGUUUAGGAUAAAUGAUUGAGUGUGUCUCGAUGAUUGUAUUACCAUGUUUGAUGAAUGACUUGAGGAGUUGGAAAUGCUUUAUUGCUUAUGUUUUUCUUAGGUGUGUACUUUGGUUAUUUCCGAGCUUUUCACGACUCUUGAUACCUAAUAGAGAAUAUGGAAACCCCAACUUUAAUUUUAUGAAUUGGUUUUGGUGCCUAAAAUGAAAUCUAGCAUAGUGAAAUCUUGCAUAAUGAAAUUAUGACAAAUUUCCCUUCAUCUUUAGAUUUUCAUUUAGUUCAAUUUGUAUGCAAUUUAGGGUUAUUCAAUUCAUGAGUGAUCAAAUUAUGUUUUUAAUUCCUUCUUCUUUUGAUUUACAGUUCAGCAUUGUCGUACAAAAUGAAAAAGGUGCCAGUAACAGAGUUAUGGAUUUGGAUGCCUUUAGUGGAAUAAAACUGAAUUUUUUAACUUUGUAUAGUUGUAAACAUAAAAUACUCCAUCAGAUAGACUCAUAGCAUUUGAAAACAAUCCUUGAGGAUGGCAUAACAACAUCUCCAACUUUUGUCAUGUAAUGUAUGAAUGUAAAUAGCACUUUGUAAACAUAUGGAUGUAAUAUAUGUAUAUAAACAGUCUUUAGCAUGUAUAUUUUUCAAAACUUUCUACAUCUUCAACAAUGUUUCAAUGAUUUCUUGAUGUAAACAAUGAUAAUUUGAAGAACCAUUUAAAGUAUUUCGGUAAUCAGCAUACUUAAGCUUAAAUGUGAUAUAUCCGUUUAGUAUUUUUUAUACAGUGAUAAUACUCAAGUAUAAUUUACAUCAUAUAUCUUGUGAAGUACAUGAAACUAUGAAGAAAAAACCCUAAUUAAUCUGAUUAUGGGGGUUUUGUUUUAUAUCAAAAUAUUGCAGCAGAAGUCACACUUUGAAGAGUUCACGCUGCACAGAAAGACGAUGAAAUGCUAUCUGUUGAGUCCAUCAUUGCUCCAUUGGAGACAAAGCUGAAGCACACUCCAGGUGGUAUACUUUUGUUCUGCAAUAUGACCACUUUAAUUUUAUUUUAAGACAGAUAGGGUUGAAAAGAAUUUAUGUAGUAUUUUUGUAUCAGUUUUGAGUGUCUAUUUGGACUUCCAUAUUUGGUCCGUACAUGUGAGGUAUAGAGUGUUCAAUAUGUAUUUGGUUUCUAUAUUGUUAAUGGAUCUUUUUUUUUGUUUUAUAGGUAACCAAGUUGCAAGAUGAAAACAGAACACUUGAUCAGCAGGUAAACCUUCAAUUUCCGUAUGAAGUUUGCAUUUUUGUUGUUUCUGGAAUUUGAGUUUUUUGCAGGAUGAAAACAGAACACUUAAUCUGCAGGUAAACACUUGAUUGGUUAUUUCCAAGCUUUUCACGACUUUCGAUACCCAAUAGAGAAUAUGGAAACCCCAACUUUAAUUUUAUGAAUUUGUUUUGGUGCCUAAAAUGAAAUCUAGCAUAGUGAAAUCUUGCAUAAUGAAAUUAUGACAAAUUUCCCUUCAUCUUUACAUUUUCAUUUAGUUCAAAUCGUAUGGUUUAGGGUUAUUCAAUUCAUGAGUGAUCAAAUUAGGUUUUUAAUUCCUUCUUCUUUUGAUUUUCAGUUCAGCAUUGUCGUAUUUUGGAUGCCUUUAGUGGAAUAAAACUGAUUUUUUUUUAACUUUGUAUAGUUGUAAACAUAAAAUACUCCAUGAGAUAGACUCAUAACUUUUGAAAACAAUCUUUGAGGAUGGCAUAACAACAUCUCCAACUUUUGUCAUGUAAUGUAUGAAUGUAAAUAGCACUUUGUAAACAUAUGUAUGUAAUAUAUGUAUAUAAACACCACUCUUUAGCAUAUAUAUUUUUCAAAACUUUCUACAUCUUCAACAAUGUUUCAAGCCCCGCAGCAACGGGCGGGUACACUUGAUAGUAUACAUCUAAAAUUAUAAGACUAAAUCCUUUAGUUCUUGGAUUCAUCUAAGAACUACUUAUUCCAGCAGAUGCUAUGCUUGCACUACUAGAAUUUAUGGCUUGCCCUGUCAACUAUUGCGCGACAGAAGAUUUCGUCGGUUUCACUUUUUUUAACCGACAUAAUAUAAGUUUAGUAGGGCAAAAUCAGUCAACAAACUGGGUUGACUGAAUAAAUUUACAGGAUGGCUAGAGUUCGUAGGUUAAGACAUCAGUCGUUGGGCAAACAUUUGGAGCGAAGAUGUGAGUGUUUUAACUGACGAAUAAGCUGGUCGUCAUGUAGAUCUUCUUUCCCGACUGACGGUUCAACAUGUAGCUCUUUGGAUAAUAAUUCAUCUUCAAGGGGAACAGGUUGCCCCUCAGAUGAAUGGUUAGAGGCAAUUGUGAGACUAUAAUUUUCUAGGGCCGAAAUAAAAAAUACAUAAACCCUCACUCAUUCUGUCUCUGUAACCAUCCACCAAAUACCCUUUCUUCCCUUUCUAUUUCUCUCCUAGUAAUAUCCCCUGACCGAAUCACACAAUCCAACCAACUCUCUUUAAGCCUCCCUCACUGAUUCCAUGGAUUUCAUGGACUUAUCCCACCCUCUCUCCUUCCCUCUAUAUAUAGCAAGUCCCCUUGCCUCAGUGUCCCUGGCAACAGAAUUUAUGGCAUUUCUUCGUUCUUUCAAUUAUUUGAAAGCUUCCUAGCCCUGCAAUCUUGUACAAAGGCGUAUGGUGUUUCAUCAGUUCCAUUUGGUGGUUGGGUGGGAAAUGAAAUUAAAACACUGCAUUUCAAAUGCAUUUCAAAUGGUCUAAACCAAAUUGAAUCAAAUGUGAAGCAAAGGGCAAGAGGUGUAGAUUGAAGAACAAUGGCACCAAGAGCGAAAUUGAACUUGUUGACAGGAGGAAACCAAGUAAGGAUAACACGUCUAAAUCUUAUUUUGAAUCCAUUCAGCUCAUGAUGUUUUGAAUGAUGAUGAUCGGUAUACUCUGCUACAUGCUGUGAUUUUUCCGCUUUCAUGUAAUUAACGGCUUAUAUGUGGUAACGAUAUUGAUUAAAAAAGGUCGUACCCAGUGCAUAAGGCUCCCGCUUUACGCAGGGUCUGGGAGAGGUGAAUGUCGGCUAGCCUUACCCCCAUUUUAUGGAGAGGAUGCUCCAAAGUCUCAAACCCGAGACCUACCGCUCAUGGGCGAAGGCAUUUGCCAUCGCACCAAAUGCGAUAUUAAUUAAUUUCGAGAAAUGACAGUCUGAUUUUUGCAACUGUCUUUUGCAGGCAAAACAAAGACGUUUGCAAGGGUGAGUUGUGUAGGAGCUUUGUUUCAUGUCCAAAUGACACUUGAGAAUAAAUGUUUACACUCAUGGAUAAUAUCUAUCUAUUUGCAGGAGCAACCCUGGGUUCAUUUGUUCUGUAACUGCUGGUCAUUGCGGCAUAUCACGCCUAUAGCACUGACAAAAGUAAAAAGAGAAUCGAAUGAAAUUUGAUAAGUUUUCAGCGGACUACAAAGAUCUUAAGCCAAGCAUAUAUUCCCAUGCAGAUAUUAAGAGGUUUACAAAUCAAUUCAAGUACAAGUUGGGCCAAGGAGCAUACGGAACUGUUUUUAAACGAAAGUUUUUUUCUGAAUGCUUUGUUGCCAUGAAAGUACUUAACAUUUCCAAGGGUGACGGGGAAGAGCUUGUAAAUGAAGUGGGAACAAUGGGCCAUAUUCACCAUGUCAAUGUGGUUCACUUGGUUGGUUUUUGUGCUGAUGGAUUUAGAUGAGCUCUGGUUUAUGAGUUCUUUCCCUUUGGUUCACUCCAGGAUUAUAUUUCAUCAGCAGAUAGAUUUCUUUCCUUGGUUGGCAUAAGUUGCAAGAUCUUGCUAUCAGCAUAGCCAAAGGAACUAGGAAUGUGAUCUACAAAUCCUCCAUUUCGAUAUCAAACCCCAUAAUGUUUUGCUCGACCAAAAAAUCACGCCAAAAAUCUCUGAUUUUGGUCUGGCCAAGUUAUGCCAAACAAUUACAGACAACAGUUAUUCACUAAAUCACUUUAAGGCAAGAAUUUAAUUAAUAAUACAUUACUGCACUUUCUUAACCAUUUGACUAUCACCUAGCUGACAAUGAACACGUUAGCUCCGCGUUAGAACAUCUUGGGUUCAAUUCAUUGUCUUGAAUAUCACCCAUUGUCACAGGCGUCUGUUGGGGGCAUAGAGAAGGCCUGAGAGGCAUUUGCAGACAUUCAACAUCUCCUCCAAGCAUUUUGACAACUUUGGACAUCGAAGGGCGAUCAUUUGGUUUCAUUUGAAUACACCACAAGGCGGUUAUAACCAUCUUUCUUAUUACUUUCUUUUCCUCCUCUGUAACAUUGUCCAUUUCCAGGUCAUUUCCCACAAUAUAUUGAUCGUAUACCCACAUUGGGAAGUAGAUUUGGCUUGAAUGCUCUACCGUUGGAUUCAAAUUCUUCCUUCUGCUUGCCAUUUCCAUCAACAACAUUCCAAAACUAUAGACAUCUGACUUGUAUGAGACGCAUCCAAUAUUUUUGUAGAACAACUCAGGAGCAAUAUAUCCCAGUGUACCCCGUGCUGCCGUCAAAGAGACAAUGCUAUUAUCUACAGGAUACAAUUUUGCAAGCCCAAAGUCAGAAACCUUUGCUUUAAAGUUCUCAUCAAGAAGGAUGUUAUGAGGCUUGAUGUCGAAAUGUAGAAUUUGCAUUUCACAACCUUGGUGUAGAUAUUCGAUCCCUUGAGCCACUCCAAGAGAAAUCUCGUACAUGUUCUUGAUAGUUAAGGGGACACUUCCUUCUUUGGAAUAAAUGUAUUUAUCAAGAGAACCAUUAGGCAUGAAGUCAUAUACUAGAGCGCGUUUUGAUCCCUCAACACAGUAUCCAACAAGUUGUACCACAUUGGCAUGGUGAAUCCUUCCGAUUGUAGCUAUUUCGCUAAUGAAAUCUUGGCCAUCAGCUUUGGGCUUGCCCAAAACUUUAACUGCUACAAAUCGACCACUGCGUAGCUUUCCCUUAAAUACAGAGCCAAAGCCACCUUCGCCCAACUUGUCCUUAAACCUGCGAGUCAUUUUCUUGACGUCCGAGUAAGAGUACCUUAUAAGCAUGAUGUUGUUAUUGCAUUGCAGAAAAUCUUCUAUUGUGCUAUACAUUGAUAAAUGUCUUCUGCGCCAUGUGUAGAUUAGAAAUGCAGUCACAACUGGAACUCCAAAAACAAAUCUGGCUAGGAAAAAUAACCCUGCAUGCAUGGACAAUAAUAUGUUAGAUCCACUGUGUACUACUUUUUCUUCCCUUUCUUUCCAAAUUACUUUAUCUUUGAUGUAAUUAAAGAGAGAGAAUGGGAAAUCUACAUAUGUUGAUAAUAUAAUCUCGUCUUAGUCCUUACCGAUCCAUAUGAGUAUAAACCAUCCAAGUGCUGCAAAAAAAUCAAUCGACUAUGAGUUUGAAAAGUGCAUAAAGUGAAAAAAAAAAAAAAAAAAAAAAAAAUCAAAGGGUGCCUUUAUUGACACCCAAAUUUUAGUUAGUUUUACUCAACUAAAAAAUUUUUGUCAUCAAACUUUUUAAUUUGCCGUCGAAAUUGAGUUCACCCAACCACAAAGCAGCAACUACCACUCACAAAAAAACCAACAACACACAGCCACCAGUACCAUUCACCAAUAGAAAGAGAAGGAACACACAGACCCACCAAGGAGCCGGCAUCGACGCAUCUACGAGGGAGGGACCGGAGGGUGGUGUAGUUUUGUUGGGCGCGCGGUGGUUGUUUUGUUUGUUCAUUUUCUCUUUCUUUUGGUAGGUGGAGGCUGGUGUGGAUUUGGGCGAACUUAAAAAUGAGGGGAAACUAUGAAGUUUGACAAAAUGUUUUAGUUAGGGGAACUUAACUAAAAUUUGGGUGCCGAUAAAGAUACCCAAUUUCAAAAAUACUUGAGCUUAUAGACUAAUUAAAUGAAGUUGAUCUUACAGAUCUCGUGGCUGUAUGAUGAAUGCCACUUGCCAGCUGCAAUAGAUACCACGGAAAAGUGAAUAAAGACAUACAGUUACUAGGUUUAAGAAGUACAGAUAGAGCACACAAAAAAUAAAAGAAGCUUUUGGGAAGAAACUUCUUACGCCAAUAGUUGUGUUCUUGACCUACAGUAAAAAAUGUGAAGAAGAAUACACAACAUUAGCAAUAGCUCACCCAGUCUUCGGAAUUUAAAAAAUCAAGUUUGUCUCGAUCGAAAACUUGUAAAUAAAACAAAAAGAGGACCCCUUACGGAUUUGGUGCCAUAGAUAUUGAAAGAAACCUACAAAAACAAAGAAAGAACAAGACCACAUGCAUUAGCAUAACAAGUGUGAGGUGUAUAAGCCGUUAGAAAAUAAAUUUAAAAUUCUAGUGCUGUCAAUACAUUGAUAAUAUAUAUAUAUAUAUAUAUAUAUAUAUAUAUAUAUAUAUGUAUUAUUUUUCUGAAAAUUUAACUUUCUCCCUCCAAACUCAUUUUUCUAGUCUCUAGCCCAUCAUAUAAUAUUUAUCAGAAUAAAACCAAAUGAUUAGGAUCCAACUAAGAAACUUACCAAAUUAAGUUUGUGUGUCCAUUUUUAUAUUUUUUGGAUCCCUAAUAUACCCCAUCUAAGCCAGUAUGGAAAGUUCUUGUAAUUUUGCUUUAAGUGAUCACGUGCAUUGAAUUUGGCAAGGUCUUGUAGCCAUGAAAUAUGGUUCCAGAUGGAGGAAUGAAUUUGGAUUUUUUUUUAAUUUCGGCAACAAAUUUCAAUUUGAAUAUACCUAAUUUAGUGUUUAUUUUCAACAAUAUCUAUUGUUUAAUUUUAUGAAAAUAAUUAACCUAAUAUGAAAAUUAAUUUUAUGAAAACAAUAUCUAUUGUUUAAUUUUAUACCUACAGGAUAAUUACAUGAAAAUAGUUUACCUACUAUGAAAAUUAAUUUUUUGAAAGCAAUAUCUAUUGUUUAAUUUUAUGAAGAUAAUUUACCUACUAUAAUUACAUGAAAAAAUUUACCUACUAUGAAAAUUAAUUUUUUGAAAACAAUAUUAUUGUUUAAUUUUAUGAAAAUAAUUUACCUACUGUAUAAUUACAUAAAAAUUAGGGAAAAUUAGAAUCCCCUACAGUUUUUAUAUAUCAUUUAGAUUAAACAUUUGUACUUUUUUAAAAUUUGAUUAAAGUGCUUUGACCAAUAGUUACCUCUAUUUUUUUAAAUUAAAAUAAUUUUUGAAUUUAUCCUUUUAUCUGCACAAUGCACUUUUCCUUAUUUAGUGGAGAUAUUAGUAAUGAAACUAUAUUUUCCCUUCUUCCAAAUAUGUUUUUUCGAUCACAGUUUUUUUUUUUUUGGGUAUGCAAACAUUUGAUAUUAUUUUUUUUCCAAAUGGUUUUUUCUUUUUCAAAUAGUUGGUGAUCAACAUAUAAGCUCUGUGUAUUUUUUUCAAUGUUUUUGUGAAAUUAUAUUUUUUUUGCUGUUUUUUAAGUAUAGUUGUUGACGAAUUAUUAUUAGGUACAAUACAUUACGUAUAUAUUAUCUGCGGGUACGUUUGAAUUUACUAAAAUCAUUAAUUGGUACGUUUGAUUUGAUACAUAUUGUUAAUAUUGGUACAUUAUUUUUAUUUUGGUACGUUUUAUUUUGAACACAUUUUGUAUUGGUACGUUUAUAGUAUUCUCAAUCCUAUUUUCUCUUAACGUACUAAAAGAAAAACUCAUUUUGGUACGUUUGAUUUUGGGGGAUUUAAAAAUAUUUUAAACUAUUUUGGAAAAAAAAAAAUCUUAAAUCGUAGAUAAUUAUUGCUAAAUUGUAGCAUUAUUGUGAAAAUAAAUUGAAUCUAACCAACUUUUUUUUUUACAAUUAUCUCUAAUGGAGGAGAGUGUAAUCAAAAGGCUAGAUUAUAGGAAAUUUGUUACAAUAUAAUGGGCAUAUAGCACCAAAAUUAUGAUAAAAAAAAGUUUAAUCAAAUCAUUAAAAGGCAUGGAUGUUUGAUCUAGAAAAUUCAAAACUGAGGCGUCUAUAUCAAAAGAUCCCUAAAAAUUAAUGUGCCUACUUUUUAAAUUUGUAACAAAAUUAAUUUACCUACUUUUUAUGGUAUUAGUAUACAUAAAUGUAGAAUAUAUGUCCGUAUAUAUUUGAUCUAAUUAGGUUUUGGAUUGGAGGAGUUGACACAAAAUUAUAAAUAUAUUAAACAAAUUUAUCUAUUCUAAAGUUGGAGGGGAAUUGGUCUGUACAUUGCUACAGUAAACAAAUGCUACUCAAUUUCACGUUAUUUACAACAAAGCUAUCAGAUUUGGGUUGGGUUGGAGGGUAAUUUGUUAAAAGUUAGGAGGGUAAUUUUGUGCAUAGGGUUUAGGUGCCCUCCUAUACAUGACCCUUGAGUUUACUUUAUUUACACCACUGCCAUCAAAUAUGUGGCUGAAUUGGAGGGUAUUAUUAAAAGUUAAGAGGGUAGUUUUGUUCAAGGGGUGGGGGCGACAUUCGCAGACGGAGGCCGAUGGGAGCCAUGCCCAUUGCACAGAGAGAAAGGGAGUGAUGGGGGAAAUUACAGACAGAAAAGGAAGGGAUGGGAGGAUUUGAUGGAUGGUCACAGAGAGAGAUUCGGUGAGGGAUGUGAGGGGAGAUUACAGAGAGAUAAAUAAAAGGGAGGGAUCGGGGGAUUUGAGGGAUGGUCAGAGAGAGAAAUAGUGAGGGAGGGAGGGAUGGGGGGGCUGAUUUUCGGUUCCUCCUUCAGAUUUGUUCCGUAAAACCUGUUGGGUACAAUUCAAUUUCCUCCCCCUUUCCCCUGAACGAAAAAUUCGAAACCUACAAUUCAAUUUCCUCCCUCCUUGGCUUUCCGCUUUACUCAUCUCCCGGUGGUUCUUUCUCUCCAUACGAUUCGAUUUCGGUGAGUUCUUCGUUGCCCUCAUGAUUUCCCAGUUUGAUUUUUUGAGCGUCCUUAGUCGUUGUUUUUAUCUGGGUUUACUGCAUUGUUGCUUUUAGUUUCUGGAUUUUUAUUUGUUCCGCGGUUCGAUGAAUCGGUUAAUAAUUUCACACCAUGGGAUUUUCGCAUGGAAUUGAGCGCGGGGAUUCGGGGUGGGGUUUUACUGAUAAUUUGUCUUCAUUCAAAUGAAUGGUUAAAAUUUCUGAAGUGAGUGUGCAGGUGGGCCCGUUCACUAACUAAGCUUUCAAGGGAACCCAUCAGCGGUUUGCUUGCUGGGGGAAUUCGGAGACUACCAGUGUAUGAUUUAGUUAUCAUUUAUUUUUUUACUUAAAUUUAUCCAUAUAUAAUAUGUGGGUAAAUUUACACUAAACAAUUGUGAUAAGCCAAUAUGCCAUACGACUUUGAAAGCAUUGAUUUUGUGUUUAGUUUGCAUUUUUGCAUUGUGAAUGUUGAAUUUUGUGUUUGAAUUUGUAGCAUGAUCUUCCGCUGCAGCAUCCAAAUUUUGCAUUUGUAAAUUGUCAAAGAAAAACGAAGUAUGAGGAAAUUAUAGGAGAUUGUGUCGGCUUUGGCCAUGAAGGGUAUCAGCAGCUUGUUCCCCCAUACAGGUGAUUAAUCGUUUUUCAGUCUGUGUUCUAUUUGGAUGAGAAAGUGAUUGAAAAUAUGAUUUUUUUAUUUGUUGGUUGAUUUUGUAUGGACGAUGUAUUAAUUUUAUUUUUUUUGGGAUUUUGUGUAUUGGGCAUUGUGUAGAACCAGCAAUGCAAGAGCAGGAUCUGAUCAGUCAUGCCUGAAAAGGGGUUUGUUUCUCAAAUCACAUUAAUUAAUUAGAUUAUUAACGUGCGUUGGAAGGCUCUUCAAUAUGAUUUCUAAUUUCUCCUUUCCAGCAUUCUCUUUUUGGUUUUUGGAGUAUGUAUGUGAUUUGUAUUUUUUUAUAGAAUAAAAAUUAAUAAAACACGAGAUGCAGCAAUUAAUUUGCAUCCUUAUGACAACACAUAUGAAAGUGCAUUCAAUUUCAAUGUGCGAAUGUGUGACAGGAUGUGCCUGCCCGCUGCUGCUGGUAUGCUUGCUGUUGUUUCUCGCGUUGUUAAUUUUUUGUGUGUGUUGAUUUGAUUAACAACUCAAGCGUAUCUUUUUUUUUUGUGUUGGUUAGCAGCCAGUUUUAUGGCCCCGAUCUAGUGAUGCUUCUCAGUGACUGUGGUAAUUGCAGUUCAUUGCCACCAGUUGGUCAGCUACCUGCUCUGAAAGAGCUAUACGUAGAAGGGAUGAAAGUUGUUAAGAGUGUUGGUGUUGAGUUGUACGGGGGAAAUCAACCAUUUCAAUGUUUAGAGAAGCUAAAGUUUCGGGAGCUAUAGCAGCCUAGUCCAAGUGGAUGUGAAAGUCCAGACUUUCCUCAUCUUAAGGAGCUGGGGUUAUACGAAUGUCCGAAGCUGAGAGGAAACUUGCCCACUCAUCUUCCCUCCUUGAAAACACUUCAUGUGAACAAGUGUGAGGUUCUACAUAAAAACAGGGCCAGUAAUACCCUGAACGUGGAAUCCUUACGAGGAUCUCUUGAAAAACUGACAAUAAAUGGAUGCCCGGGUCUCUCAUUGUUACUAGAGUCGACGGAGACGCUGCCGUCGCUUCAGAAGCUUGAUAUUGAUAAUGUGGUGGGAAAGAGUUGUUGGCGCAAAUGGUGCACAACAGCAAUCGUCUUCAAAGUUUGACUUUAUAUAAAUGUUCCUCACCCUUGUCGUUCCUUACAAAUGGUCUGCCCACCACGCUGACAUCACUGAGCAUAACAGAUUGCAAGAAAUUAGAAUUCCCAUCACGUGAGAUGAUGGCCAAAUUGACUUCCCUUCAGUCUUUGCGUCUAUCCAACAGCUGUGAACGCAAAGGCUUGAGUAUUUGCAGUUUAGUUUUUUUUUUCUUCAUUUUAGAGAUUUUUCUACUGUUUGGUUUUUGGGUUUUGUCUAAUUUUUGUGGUCUGCUUUAUAGAUUGUUCUCUUUGGAAGCUUCUUUCCAGCCUUGACCUUCUUCUUGCCUGGUGCCUUCUCAUUGAGUAUUGGAGGAGCAUUAAAACACAGGUGUGUGUGUUUUGUCGACAUAAGAGAUGAAUGACAUAAAAACAUCCGUCUCUGUAUUUUUUUGUGCUUUUUCUAACCCAUCAAUUUCUUUUGAGUCAACCAAAUAGUCCCAAAUUGCAACUUAUGUUGUGAGGUAUUAUUGUCUAAAAUUAAGUAUGCAUGUAUAUUUUAUGUUUGUGCCCGCGCACACAUCCGCAUGGUGUUAAUCUCUGUGGGUCAUCUAUGUAUAUGUAGAUAUAUCUAUAUGUGUGUGUGGAAUGCAACAUAUCGGAUUUAGGUUAUACUGUGCAUAGUUUUAUUGCCUGUUAUUAUCUACGAUAUCACUAUGCCAUUUCUAUGCAGGCUCUGAAAGUUAUUCAUGAGCUUUAUAAGCACUUACCAUAAUUUAAGCAGUCUGUUUUGGGUUCUUUUUCAUUAGGUCAUUAGCUACAGAUUAAUGGAGAAACGAGGACCAUGCCACUGAUUUGGGUUCUUUUUCUAAUUUUCUGAUUUUGGGGUUUUGCAGGGAGAACUCCGCCUAUGUACUUACAUUGCCGAUCCCAAGCUCGGAUAAAGGAGGAGGGGGAGGGCGUCAGGUAGUCGACAGUCGGCACUCCAUGAUCACGUCGAAUCCUUAUGAAAAUGAAUUCAGAAUAAAAUUGCGCUAAAGCUAGGGCGUCACCCGUAAGUGGCGCGCUGUGUGGCCCGAGCACAGUGAUAAGUGAGCAAGGGUCGCUGUAUCUCCAUCGGCACCCGGAUGCAGUGUUAAAUGAGCAAGGGGGGCAUAGGAACUUCUUUUCGAACGACUCCACUCAAAGUUGUUUGGGAGCAUAUGCUCCUAUCAACUUUACACGGGACACACAAAAGAAGUACUUUGAUCCUAUUAGACGGGGGAGGGUGAAGAAGCUAGGACAGAAGGGUAGAGUUCAAGAAAGCAAAAUGCGUUUAGGAACGUGGAAUAUAGGAACCUUAACGGGAAAAUCUAUGGAAGUAGUGGAAGUUAUGGUGAGGAGAAGGAUAAAUAUUAUGUGCCUACAAGAAACUAAGUGGGUUGGUAGUAAGGCAAUUGAUCUAGAAAACUCAGGGUUUAAACUUUGGUAUUCGGGCACAAAUAGAACGAGAAACGGUGUUGGCAUCAUCGUGGACAAGACCUUGACACAAGAUGUUGUAGAUGUCAAGAGGGUAGGAGAUAGAAUCAUGGCAAUCAAGAUUGUAAUAGGACAAGAACUUAUCAAUGUGGUUAGUGCGUACGCACCUCAAGUAGGGUUGGAUACGAGUUCGAAGGAGAAAUUUUGGGAAGACCUUGGAGACUUGGUGUAAGGAAUUGCUCAGACGGAGAAGUUAUUUAUAGGAGGAGAUUUAAAUGGACACGUGGGCAGAGAGACAGGCAACUAUGGAGGUUUUCAUGGUGGCCAUGGUUUUGGGGAGAGAAAUGAGGAUGGGGAAGCUAUCUUGGAUUUUGCAAUGGCAUAUGAUCUCUUUUUAGCCAACACCUUCUUUAAGAAGAAAGAAGAACAUGUGAUCACCUACAAGAGUGGGUUGUCAAAAACACAAAUAGAUUUUCUUCUAAUGAGAAACGAGGAUGGGGAAGCUAUCUUGGAUUUUGCAAUGGCAUAUGAUCUCUUCUUAGCCAACACAUUCUUUAAGAAGAGAGAAGAACAUGUGAUCACCUACAAGAGUGGGUCGUCAAAAACACAAAUAGAUUUUCUUCUAAUGAGGAAAGGGGAUCGUAUAACUUGUAAGGAUUGCAAAGUUAUACCAGGAGAGAGCGUGGCUAAUCAACAUCGCUUGUUGGUGAUUGAUGUACAUAUCAAAAGAGUGAGACAAAAGAACAAGACUUGGAAGUGCCCAAGGACUAGAUGGUGGAAUCUAAAAGAAGAAAAACAAGCCAUUUUCAAAGAGAAAGUAAUCAUCCAGUGUGUGGGAUAGAGAUGGGGAAGCUAGCCAAAUGUGGGAUUCAAUGGCUAGUUGUAUCCGAAAAGUAGCAAAAGAGGUAUUAGGAGAGUCAAAAGGCUUUGCCCCACACCAAAAAGAAUCUUAGUGGUGGAAUGAGGAGGUACAAACAAAGGUGAAGGCUAAGAAGGAAUGUUGUAAAGCCUUAUACAAGGAUAGAACUGAUGAAAAUGGUGAAAGGUAUAGAAAAGCGAAGCAAGCUGUGAGAGAAGCUAAGUUAGCGGCUUACGACGAUAUGUAUAAACGACUAGAUACCAAAGAAGGAGAGUUGGAUAUCUAUAAACUAGCUAGAGCAAGGGAAAAGAAGACAAGGGACCUAAACCAAGUGAGGUGCAUCAAGGAUGAGGAUGGAAAUGUUCUUGCUACAGAGAACGCGGUUAAAGACAGAUGGAGAGGUUAUUUUCAUAAUCUUUUCAAUGAAGGACAUGGAAGGAGUGCUUCUUUAGGGGAGUUGAGUAACUCAGAAGAGUGUAGAAACUACUCUUUUUAUCGUCGAAUCCGGAAGGAAGAAGUGAUUGUAGCUUUGAAGAAGAUGAAACAUAGAAAAGCAAUAGGCCCAGACGAUGUACCAAUCGAAGUGUGGAAAGUUUUGGGAGAGACAUGUAUAACAUGGCUCACUGACCUUUUCAAUAGGAUUUUGAAAACGAAGAAGAUGCCAAAUGAGUGGCGAACGAGCACUUUGGUGCCUAUCUACAAGAAUAAGGGCGACGUACAAAAUUGCAUGAACUAUAGGGGUAUUAAGCUAAUGAGUCAUACAAUGAAGCUCUGGGAGAGAGUCAUUGAGCAUAGAUUGAGGCAAGAGACACGGGUUUCGGACAACCAAUUUGGGUUCAUGCCAAGGCGCUUAACCAUGGAGGCAAUCUAUCUCUUACGAAGAUUGGUGGAAAGAUAUAGAGAUGGGAAAAAGGAUUUACACAUGGUUUUUAUAGAUUUGGAGAAAUUCGUAUGAUAGGGUCCCAAUAGACAUUCUUUGGAGGAUUUUAGAGAAGAAAGGAGUACGAGUAGCAUAUAUCCAAGCUAUAAAUGAUAUGUAUGAAUGAGCAAAGACUGCUGUAAGAACUCAUGAAGGACAAACUGAAAGUUUUCCCAUAACUGUAGGAUUACACCAAGGCUCAUCCUUAAGUCCCUACCUUUUUGCGUUGGUAAUGGAUGAGUUAACAAGACAUAUUCAAGAUGAUAUUCCUUGGUGUAUGCUUUUCGCAGACGAUAUAGUGUUGAUAGAUGAAACACAGGAAUGGGUAAAUGCAAAGCUUAACCUUUGGAGAGAAGUGUUGGAAUCUAAAGGUCUUCGCCUAAGCCGAUCAAAGACAAAAUAUAUGGAGUGCAAGUUCAGUGCAAAUGGAGGCCAAAACGAGUUAGGGGUGAGGAUCGGAGAUCAAGAAAUACCAAAGAGCGACCGUUUUCGUUACCUAGGAUCUAUCUUGCAAAAGAACGGAGAAUUAGAUGGAGAUCUCAACCAUAGAAUACAAGCUGGAUGGAUGAAGUGGAAGAGUGCAUCCGGCGUGUUGUGUGACCGCCGUAUGCCACUGAAGCUCAAGGGAAAAUUUUAUAGGACGGCAAUAAGGCCGGCGAUGCUGUAUGGCACAUAAUGUUGGGCGGUGAAGCAUCAACACGUACACAAAAUGGGUGUAGCGGAGAUGAAGAUGCUUCGUUGGAUGUGUGGGCACACGAGAAAGGAUAAGAUUAGGAAUGAGGAUAUCCGGGGUAAAGUAGGAGUAGCCGAAAUUGUAGGAAAGAUGAGAGAAAAUCGGUGACGGUGGUUUGGACAUGUGCCAAGAAGGCCUACUGACGCUCCGAUUAGAAGAUGUGACUACUGGACAGAGGUUCAGGGCCGAAGGGGUAGAGGAAGACCUAGAAAAACUUUGGAAGAGACUCUAAGAAAGACUUAGAGUACCUGGAUCUAACGAAGGACAUGACACAGGACCGAGCAUAAUGGCGUUCUAAGAUUCAUAUAGCCGAUCCCACUCAGUGACUUGGAUUUUCCAAGUCUCCAGCCGAGAAGUUUUCCUCACUCAGGAAAUUAAGGGAACACUACCCCAACCUACAUGCUCCACUCACAAAGCUUCAACAAAAGAAAAUUCAAAGAACUUAGCGAAGAAGGCUUUGAUGUAUUUAACACAAUACGUUGAAAUGAAGGAAAGCUUAUUUAUUGAUAUCAUCGAUAAGCUACAAAUAUGUACAUAUACAUAAGUCAAAAUAAACAAACAAGAGGGAGCCUUCACAAAGGUUGCUUAGGAGAAGUCUCAGCAGUCGGUAGAGCCCCAGAAAGAGAAGGCACCGGAGGGGGAUCAUUCGGAGCCUCAGUACUGGACAGAACCCUAGAAGGAGGAGGCAUAAGAGGUUGAUCAUUUGGUGCUUCAUUACGCGGUACAGCCCCAGAAGACGAAGGCAAUAAAUGCCUUUGGAACAAACCCACAAAUCUCUGAUGAUCAAGUAAAACCUGACCAUCAGAUUCCUUCAUCUGGUCAAGCUUCCUCUUCAUGUUUGUAGCAUAGUCAUGUGCGAGCCGGUGCAACUGUUUAUUCUCAUGCUUGAGCCCUCUAAUCUCCUGUUUGAGACUCAUCACUUCAGCCGCCAAUGAUUCAACUUGGCGGGUUCGAGCAAAUAGGUGUUGGGCCAUAUUAGACACAGAACCUGCACACUGAACACUGAGAGCCAGAGAAUCCUUAACAGCUAACUCAUCAGACCGUUUGGAAAGUAGUCUGUUAUCUUUGGGAGUGAGAAGGUUCCUGGCCACCACCGCAGCGGUCAUAUCAUUCUUCAUCACGGAAUCCCCAACGGUAAGAGGACCAGUAGGGGAGACGAAGGAUGGGCGCCAUAUGUUGUCUGGAGAAGGCGGGGCUUCCUCUUCAACAAGGUUCAAGUCAAAACGACGGUCGGAGGGGCCAGACAUUUUCAAAUGUGUUGAAGAGAGAAGAGGUCGGACAAAUCAAGAUCUUAGAAGUGUAAGAAUGGAGCUUCUACUGGUGGAGAUUCAAGUGUGCUUUGGAACUUAAUGUCAGCCCCUAUAAAAAUCUGCACUCAACGGAGCUUCAGAAAUCGAAGAGGCGCCUGCUCAGAAAUCGAAGAGGCGUUUGCUUUCUCAAAAGCAAGGCUGCUCAGAUACCACGAGGGUCGAUCUCAGAAAUCGAAGAGGCGUUUGCUUUCUCAAAAGCUGGGCAGCGCAAAGACCACGAAGGCCGAUCUCAGAAAUCGAAGAGGCGCUCAAAAGUUGGGCUGCUCAGAGACCACGAGGGCCGAUCUCAGAAAUCGAAGAGGCACCUACUUUUCCAGCCUUGUCAGUACCUGUCACACACACACUCAGCUUUGCGAAAAUUAUGGGGAUUCGGUCGAAGACUUCUGGUGAAGUAGAAAGCACAUGAGUCUUACUGUUCAAUCACCCACUUCCCACACGCAACAGUAGCUCAUGGGUACCACAUAUAACUUUUCCAAAGUUCUCUGCCAAAGUUGAACACGUGAAGUUUGCAGCUCCCACUACAUCGCUCUGAUCAAGAAGGGUAAAAGAAUAGCAAAGAAACAACACUAACAAAGUUUAGACACAUAAAUUUUGAUGGUCGAGCUACCAUAUUAUUACCCACAAGGGUAAAGGAACAGUACCACUGCUGGAUAAUUGGAAAGUCCCUGUGUGUCAACCUCUGUGCUUCGUGGCAAGGUAGACUAUCAAACAUGCCCAACCUUUACUCACAUUCGAGAAAACACUCCCAACAAGAUUGCUUGCUCCAAAAUCGAAGAGGCACCGUCCUUCGAAUCUCGAGAGCCAGACUCCCAACAUGACUACUUUCUCAAAAAUCGAAGAGGGUAAAGGAACAGUACCAUUGCUGGAUAAUUUGAAAGUCCCUGUGUGUCAACCUCUGUGCUUCGUGGCAAGGUAGACUAGCAAACAUGCCCAACCUUUACUCACAUUCGAGAAAACACUCCCAACAAGAUUGCUUGCUCCAAAAUCGAAGAAGCAUCGCCCUCCGAAUCUCGAGAGCCACUCCCAACAUGACUACUUUCUCAAAAAUCGAAGAGACAUCGCUCUCCGAAUCUCGAGAGCCAGACCCCCAGCAUGAUUGCUUUCUCAAAAAUCGAAGAGGCACCGUUCUCCGAAUCUCGAGAGCCAGAUCCCCGAUAGGAUUGCUUGUUCGAAAACCGAAGAGGCAACACUUUCCCAAUUUCAAGAGCCGGAUCUCCUUGGAUAAAGCUAUCUGUAAUCUUCACUCGCAACAUUAGCUUUCCAGCUACCACAGACCACUUUUUCAAAGUGAUCUGACAACGUUAAAACAUGUGAAGCUGGCAGCUUCCACUACCGUGCUAUGACCAAGUAGGGUAAAGGAAUAGCAUUACUACUUGUUGUUAAGGAGACUCCUAUAUAUGUCGACCUCCAUCCCCAACGGAUAGGCAGACCUGCAAAAAUGCUCAACUCUUCCUCAUAUCUGAGAGGGCACUCCCAACGAAGCCUUUCGAAAUAUUCAGCUUUCUUUCCCCCCGAUAAUACCUCUGCAAACAAGCUAUACUAGAGCAAGAAUAUCUCAUAUCAUCAGGGUUAAAAGCAAGAGUAUCCCAUAUCAUGCUUUUUCCUUGUCUUUUUCUUUGGCCUUGUUCUUACCUGCAAGACAAGAAGAAAGAGAGCAAUCAGUCAGUACUUGGAAUCAAGCUUCCAGCCAGGAACUGACUGCCUGGAACCCCUUACCUGAUUACUUACCUGACAUUGUUCUCGAGUACUCAUCUUCAACAUCUUAUGCUUCCAGGGAAGAUACCGCAUCUGCCUGAGGAACAGAUAGGGCAAGGGAGAAGGAUAUAAGGAAGCAUGUGGAGACAAGCGUAACAGCACACGUGCCGAUACAUCCAUUACUCUGUCAAAGCAAAAGUAUCCCAUAUCAGUAGGGUCGAACGUACUCUAGAUUUGAUGGACUUGUUUUGACCCUCAAAUUCUUCAGUCGGCCUUAUACUCUGGAGGAAACCAGAAAUUUCUCCAGCUCAGUGCAAGAAUAAGCUUGUGGAAAGUUACUUCUUCAAAAGCAAAAGUAUCACAUAUCAUCUCUUCUCAUUUUCUUCUCUUUAUCCUUCAUGCUGCCUGCAAGAUAGGGAGAUUGUGAACAAUCAGCUGGAGCUAUGAUUGCUUACCUUGUCUGUCACCUCUUUCAGCAGAUCCCCUAGCUCGGCGAUUUGGGGGACUCCUACUACAUGGUUUGUAUCGCGCUUGACCAAGCCUGAAACUACAAGUAAGCUUCAAGUGAAAUUGAUACAUUACCUUGUGCAUCUCCACCAGUUAAAGAUACUACCCCUGGAUGGAGGAAGAGUACUUCCAGAGAAGAUGCCCCAUCUACCUAUGAGACAGAUAAGGCACGUCAAGACGAUACCACACUCUGAUACUUAGAAGUUUCGUGAUUACGAGAUCAUUCUCCCACAAUAUUUCCUAAUGUCAUUUGUACUAAAUCAUUCACUUGUACUCACUAAAGGAGAGCUUGAACCUAUGUACUUGUGUAAACCCUUCACAAUUAAUGAGAACUCCUCUAUUCCGUGGACGUAGCCAAUCUGGGUGAACCACGUACAUCUUGUGUUUGCUUUCCUAUCUCUAUCCAUUUAUAUACUUAUCCAUACUAAUGACCGGAGCAAUCUAGCGAAGAUCACAAAAAGCGACCGUUUUCGCUACCUAAGAUCUAUCGUGCAAGAGAACGGAGAAUUAGAUGGAGAUCUCAACCAUAGAAUACAAGCUGGAUAGAUGAAGUGUAAGAGUGCAUCCGACGUGUUGUGUGACCGUCAUAGGUCACUGAAGCUCAAGGGAAAAUUUUAUAGGACGACAAUAAGGCCAGCGAUGUUGUAUGGCACAGAAUGUUGGGCGGUGAAGCAUCAAUACGUACACAAAAAUGGGUGUGGCGGAGAUGAGGAUGCUUCGUGGGAUGUGUGGGCACACGAGAAAGGAUAAGAUUGGGAAUGAGUAUAUCCGAGGUAAAGUAGGAGUAGCCGAAAUUGAAGGAAAGAUGAGAGAAAAUCGGUUCCGGUGAUUUGGACAUGUGCAAAGAAGGCCUACUGACGCUCCGGUUCGAAGAUGUGACUACUGGACAGAGGUUCAGGGCCGAAGGGGUAGAGGAAGACUUAGAAAACCUUUGGAAGAGACUCUAAGAAAAGACUUAGAGUACUUGGAUCUAAUGGAGGACAUGACACAAAACCGAGCGCAAUGACGUUCUAGGAUUCAUAUAGCCGACCCCACUUAGUGGGAAAAGGCUUUGUUGUUGUUGUUGUUGUUGUUGGGGUUUUGCAGGGAGUACUAAUGUACUGAUUUUCUGGGAUUUUUUUUGUCCUUGCAGGAUUUUUGGUCUUUGAAAUGGGUAUGUGUUGUUUUUAAUGUUUCAGUUCUAGCGUUUUCCGUUCUUCGUUGCUUCGUGAUUCUCAUUUUUCAGUGUUGGGUGAUGGAAAUUUGUUAAAGUAGUUGGUAGUUUUUUGAGAAAGUUGGCAUUUUUAGUUAUAUUUUCUGUUUAAUCCUAAAUGUUUUGAAAACUCAUAAUUUUUUUGUUCUGGGAUUUAAAAGCAUCUUUUCCAGAUUGGUUACAAGGGUUAUGUUCUCUUCAAUUGGUUCACCUAAUUUUGAUUAGUUUUAAGUUUUGUCCUUUAAGUUUGUCUUUUAAGUUUUGUUCUUUAAGUUUUGUCUUUUAAGUUUUGUUCUCUAAGUUUUGUCUUUUAAGUUUUGUCUUCUGUGCUGUAAUGAGAGAUUUCCGUUGGCCUUUCGGAUUUUGGCAUGGGAAAGUUCACUUAUUUGCAAGGUUCUAAAAAACGCUAGGCGUUAGUUGGGCGGUGGGCUAGCGCCUAGCGGCUAGGCGGCUAGGCGGGAUCUAGGCGGGAUCUAGGCGGGCGCCUAGGCGGCCUAGGCGGAUUUAGGUAAAUUUCUUAUAUAUUUUAUGAAUUAAUUAAAUUUACUAUAUCAAAUGUAAAUAAUUAUUAACUAAUAUGUUAUUUCUUAUAGAAGAACAUACAUAGUGAAUGUUUUAUGUACAUAUAUAAUAUAUUUGUCUAGGAAAAAAAAAUAUUAUCUAAAUAAUUUUUAUAACAUAUAUAUAUAUAUAUAUAUAUAUAUAUAUAUAUCCCAAACUUUUAAAAAUAUAAAUAGCAUUGGGAGAGGGGCGUAGGGUUUCUAAAAGCACACUCAGAAAUAGAGCAUAUUUUAGUCUUUAUUUUAGAAUCCUAAGGAGCACCCUACUCGGAUGCACGACAUGUGUGCAAAUCUGGAGAUUCUUGCUGUAUCGGAUACACCAAUGCUUAGUCAAAAUUUCCUGCUAGGGUUUAUGGUGGACAUGUGUGUGUGGUCUUCAUUAUUAAACCCAUUAGCACCUCACCUUUUCACAUCACCCGUCCAUCACCUUGGGUGGUUUUGAUAAUUAAAACCAUCAACAUCCAUGGUUUUGAUAAUUAGAACUACCAACUUUUCCUUGGAUUUGAGAAUCUGAGAUCCCAUUCAUCGCCAUCAAAUAUUGAAAUGUUUCAUUGUUCAUCUCUUUCUCCCUCUUCUCACUCUCUAUUCCCUCAUCUUCACAGAGAUGAGUUACAGAAAUUCUCCGGUAAUCUCUCUCUCUCUCUCUUCGUAAUCGACGAGCUCCUCGACUUGAAGUCGCAGCCAAGUUAUGAAGAAUCGAGAUGCGAGAGCAAGUGGAGAGUGGAGACUCUGGAAAUUGGGAGUGACGAUCGACGACGAUGAGUCGAUGACCCAGGAAACCUCUUGAAGUUGCAGCAGGUGAGUGCACUGCAGUUGAGGAAGAAGAGACGAAGAGACUUAGUUUCUGAAAUUAGGGUAGCUGCAAGGCACGGGAACUUAAAAACAAAAAAACAAAAAGAAAACCGCCUAGCUCCGCCAGCCGCCUAGCCUGCCUAGGCGCCUCCUAGCCCGCCUAGGUGCCGCUUAGCCACCGCCUAGAGCCCAGCCGUUUUUUCCCACCGUUUUGCACAAAAACGCCUUGGCCACCCUCCGCCUAGCGCCUAGGCGGCCGCCUAGGCCGUUUUUUAGAACACUGCUUAUUUGUCUAAUUAGAUUGUGGAUGCCUUCGAUUCUUUAUUUAAUUGUUCUGUUUGCGUUCGGGUGUGAUGAUCUAAAUUUCAUAUGUUUGGAAUUAUUUACUUAACACCAAUUUGUUACAUUCAGAUCUCCACCCCACAUUUCACUAGUUCAAAUUCCAUAGAAGUUGGUUAUUGCAGAUUGCGUCUACAAUUAGAUCAGAGAUCAACUACUCUUUUGUUAUCCUGCAGAAGAUUGCUUUUGGGAAGGAUCUGAAGUAGUUUCUCUCUGUAUGUUUAUUCCCAUGUAGCUCUGUCUUUUCUAAUUGAUGGUGUUGAUAUUACACUGUAAUUCAUGAUGAUGAUUUAAUUGUUUAUUGAUUUGUAAUUGUUUGUGAAUAAUGUGGCAUAUAUGAAUUGCAAUCUGUGUUUGUAUGAAAGGGAUGGCAUAUUAUGUUGCUGACUUAAUUGUUUAUGUUUUUCAUAUUUGCGAAUGGUGUUAUGAUCAAUUAGGUGAUUGCUGACCUGUGACUUUGUUUGGAGCUCAAAUUUUGUGAGCAUUACAUUGGAUUGUUUUGAUGUUGUUUUGGUUGACAAUGCAGGGAUAGGAGAAACAAAGAGGAUGACACUUAUAACUGCCAUUCCCCAUCGGCCGUCUUCAAAUUUGGAUCACAAGAAGGGAGCAACAUAGGUGUUUUCCUUCUUUAUUUAGAUAUGGUUAGUGUAAAUAAUUGGACAAAAGAGCCAAACAAACCCUGUUCUCUCAAAUGGAGUUGAUGAUGUGGUCGACGGCCACCAGCCCCAACUCAAGAGUUUGGCCUUCAUAUAAUUGGAUUGUAGUAUAAUUUUAUUUUUGUUCAUUUCUUUUUUCCUUUAUAUAAGUGCAGGUGUUGUGAUGUUUUGAAUAAAGGGUGAUGAAAGGUGGUUCACACUUCCUCCUUACUUAAAGCAAGUGGAGAUGACGGUUUGUAUAAAAAGAAAAACUUGCCACGUACUUCAAUUUUCUAUUUUAUUAAUUAUUGUUUGGUUUUCCAAAUGUUGUAUUCACAAAGAGAGACCAAUUAUGUCUUUGAGAAACAAGUUUCUUUGUCUACAUUGCGAGAAUUUGCAGUUUGCAACUUUCAUUGGUUAUUAUAUUUGAUUGAGUUAAACUUGGAUUUCUGGAUUCUGACUUUUUCGUUUGUUUCUUUGUUGCAGAGUUGGCUUCAUUUCAUUCCAGGAACUCUCUAAAUAGGGCCAAGAACUCACUAAAUAGGUAGUCAAGAGGAAUUCAGUUUUGCCUUCAAUUUUUGCCUUCUGUUUACAUUCUUCCUGGAUGCACUCUCACCGCUUCUCUCGCUUACCACUUUUUUCUCACUCACCGCUUCAUCUCUUCUGUUGCUUACAAGGUCGUGUCAUAUAUUUUUUAAUUUUGUGGUUUAAUUUAUUGAAUAUUUGAAAAAAGAGAUAAAAUUAUAAGAUACUAUAUAAGAUACUAUAUAGUAUCUUAUAAAUAAAUGAAUCACAAAUGAUACUAUAGUUGUUAAAAAAUCCCAUUACUCAAAACUCCAAUUCCCUCCCAUUACUGAAAGCUCCAAUUCCAUCAAAACCGAGAUGGUAAAAGUACAAACUGGCUAGUUUCCACCAAAAAAAAAAGUACAAACUGGUUACAAAAAUAUGUUUUGUCCCAUCCAAUUGACGAAAAGAGAUAAAAUUUUCAAUUUACAAUUACUGAUAUGAUGUUUGUUUUGAAAAUCAUUAAGGUGAAUGGAGAGAUUUACAACCAUGAAGAGCUGAGGAGCCGUUUGCCAAAUCAGAUUUAUAAGGUCUCAUCAAUUAUGAAUAAACGACUUUUCAUUCCCAAUGACCUUUAUCGUUUUUCUUAAUGGGUUAGCUGAACAUGAGGUAGAUGCUGACUUUAUCAAAUAUGAGAAUGUUUUAGGAUUUCAUUCUAAUUUUUUGGCUGUUUGAUUACUUUGCUUUUCGUAAUUUGUUUUGCUUAUCGUCAAUUGGAUGGGACAAAACAUAUUUUUGUAACCAGUUUGUACUUUUUUUUUUGGUGGAAACUAGCCAGUUUGUACUUUUACCAUCUCGGUUUUGAUGGAAUUGGAGCUUUCAGUAAUGGGAGGGAAUUGGAGUUUUGAGUAAUGGGAUUUUUUAACAACUAUAGUAUCAUUUGUGAUUCAUUUAUUUAUAAGAUACUAUAUAAGAAACUGUUAUUAGCACUCUAAAAAACUCAUUCUACACUCGCGACAAGUGUAUUUUUCUUUUUAAUUAUGGAAAGUUUGAAGGGCAAAAUGAGAAUUUUGGAGUGCCAAUAACAAUUCCCUAUUAUAUAUAGCUCUACUGGGAAGGCUACUGUAUAUGUCUUCAUCCUGUUAAAUUGUAUAUGGCUCUUGAUGUCGGCUGAAUUAAAUCAAAAUGAAAACCAAGCUGAUCUUACCAGCCGAUAUCACUUAUCACUUGCUUAUUUAAAUUAUUUGAAGAUGCGUAUGUGGAUUGGUGAUUUUGUUGGAUUCACUUAGCUCAAAUAUAUGUUAUCUGAGUCGCUACAUUUGAGAAUGUGAUUCUGUUCCUACCACCAUUUUGCCCACUUUUUGUGGAAAUUAUUCAUUCCUGUUGUGAAUAAUACAUUCAUCCCCGGCAACGAAGUGCGGGCACAUUUUAUAGUUUAAAUUAAAUCACACAAUGGGUCAUCAAUAAUGACAAACUCGUCAUUUAUGCGAGUCAAACAUGAGGCCACCUACCUACUAGUUUAGUGGAAUACCACAAAGUGACAUGUUGAUACCUUUAAGUCUCAUAUAAUGGAUUGCAGAAUUAGGAUAUACCUAGACUAAUUUAGUCAGUGCGUGAACCCGAACAAUUAACAAGGGUUUUAUUCUUGCUUGAAUGUUUGUUAUAUGUUCCUAGUUUGACAAGGCAAUUAUAUUUCCGAUUACAAAAGUUAUUAAUUUAGUCGAGAAUUGACGCACCUGAAAUGGUGUGAGGAAAACAUGUAGACACAUCAACCGCAGUCCACUGUCCUGGGCAUCUAUCUUCCCCGAAACGAAGCUCAAAGCCAUACAUGAGGGCAUUGUGUAUGUCUUUAUAAGAGAAGUUGCUGUAGUCUUCAACGUAGCCGGCAGCCAAACUCAUCCACUCUACACUGCAACCCUCAUCCAAAUCCCAUGCUUCCAACCUGCCCCCGACAUAGUCAGCGACCAUGACAUAGCUAUACGUUUUUGGUUGACUCGAAGAAGAAGAAGAAGUAUUAUUCAAGCAUGGAGCAGUGUCCACGUACAGAGAAGAAUUCGAUGGAUUCGAACACUUCAAGUAAUAUAUAGAUAGAGAAUUGAUGUCAUAGGUGGGCCAAUAUGGAGAAUUGAUGUCCUCGGUGGUGGGCGGAAUAUUUUGAGACAUGGAAGAGCAAUUGUUGUUGUCAAGCCCAGGAUCUAGAACUCGGAUUGUAUUGUUAAUGUAGUUGAUUGCCUGGACAUAGUAUUUUCCGGAAGAAGGUACGUCUAGUACAGUAAUGUUGCUCUCACAGUACAGAGUAUACAUUAUGUUGCCACAGUACUUUGGAUCAUCGUUCAGUCGAAAAGGAUGGCUUAUGUAGUGGAUAUGGCCGCAGGAUGAAGUGCAGGACUUGGCACUACUGUUGUCAGCGUUACAAGUUUCACUGCAAAAGCAAAGAAGAAGAAAGGCUAAACUUAAGGUGAAGGACCUGCUUCCACUAAUUUCCAUUGAUCUGAGAGAGAGAGAGAGAGAGAGAGAGAGAGAGAGAGAGGGUACUAUAGCUUGAACACCAAGGAGUUAUAUAAUAUGGGAGGGGUUAAAGCGCUUCGCUUAAAGUUGCAGUAAGCCCGGCAAAUAUCCUAGGGAAAAGUCGGUCAAUGGUGUCCUAUAGAGAAAAGUCGGCCUUGGUGUUUGACACGGUCACUCACUCUCUCUCUCUCUCUCUCUCUCUCUCUCACAUUGACGAGGGACACUGUAAUUAACAAAAAAAUUGUUCUUCAGAGAUAGAUUUUGAAAUUCUUAUUUUAUAUAAAAAAACACCUAAUAUUAAUCAUUCAAAUGAAAUUCCUAAAAUUAAGUAUAAAUAAUACAUAAUAAAAACUGAACACAUACAAUCAACGGUCACGAUCAUGAAAUCCUUCGGAUCCUCAGAAAAAAAUCCGACGAUGAUCUUUUUCUGUGUAAAAUAAUUUGAGGGUAUAAUACUGGAUGUGCGAUUAAACCGAAGAACCCACCCACCUCCAUCUUCUCCGACCAACUUGAACCCAGCCACUACUACAUGUCAUCCCGACAACCCACUCUCAGCUUCCCAAACCGCCAUUUUUCACCCAUUCACCUACCACUGCCAUUAUUCAUUCAAUCAACCCAAAACACGAGAGCCACCCCCAUCUCACCAGUCGAACAGAUGCAGCCACCCACCCAUUUAAUCCCAGUCCAAAAUCAAACCCUCUCCUAAACCCACCCCAGAAUCCAAUAAUUUCAAAAAAUGGCUGAUUAUAUCAUUUCAAGAACCUCACAAUUCCAAAAACUAAAAACCCACUUCAAAGAUGUAAUAUUUUUCUCUCUUCCUCUUUUUGGGUUUUUUUUUCUUUUUUUUUAUCAAUUCUCUUCUGGGUUUUUGUUUACAGUGUAAAAUCAACACUAAUUUACUAAUUUUGCUUUGAUUUCAAACACUAUUGAGGCGUGAUAACCUGUUGCAAGCUCAGCCAUGGCGGCUACUGCGAAAUCUAACGGAAAAACCAUCACAGACUCUGCCAUUUCAUCCAAGGUUCCGACAAUAGCAAAACGAAUAGCUGUCGCAGAUUUCUUCCAACAUCAAUCACUACGCGAAAUUAAUUGUCAAUGAAGACGAUCCCAUUCCCCUUCGAAAUCUGCUGGGGAAAGAGACCUUCUUUCAGAUCUGCUCUGAGACCGGUUUAUGCGAGAGAGUGGUGAGCCUGACGACAGAGAGAAAUAAGGGCAGGAUUGGAAAAUUGGAAAGUUCAUUUAUUGGUUACUGUUUAUCCGUGUUUCUUCGAAAUAAGCUGCUUUUUCCAGCUUUGGGUUUCAGUGUUUUUUAACCCAUAAUUUUGAAAGAAAAAAAACUGAUUUUAAAUGUUUAUCAAACACUUAAAAUGUUCCAAUCUUUUUUCAUACCUACUUUUUAUUAAAAGUUAAGCUAAACAAAAAUCAAGAUUAAGUUUACUACUCUGAAGUUUCUUGCUUUUCAACAUUUCAUACAUUGAAUUUUUCUCAUCCAGUGUCAUAUCUAAGGUGGGAAUUGUGGGACACUUUUAUACAUCCGUUAGAUUUUAUGUGAAUUGCGUGGCACUUUUAUACAUCCGUUAAAUUUUUUGUGAGAACCUUCGCUGACCCACGAUGCGGCAUGCAUGUGGACAUUAAAAAAAUUCAAAAAAUUCAAAAAAUUUUAAAAUUUUAAAAUUUAAAAUUCAAAAAUACUAAAAACCUAAACUUUUCAUAAUAUUGAAAGACUGAAUCUUUUCACAGUCAGCCAAAUUUUCUUCAAAUUUUAAUUAGAUGAAAUAAUGAAUCUUGAACAAAGCAAAACAAAACGUAAUAUUGAGAGAUUCAGUCAUUGAAGUGGACGUGGAUGUUGGGUACUCAAUAGUCCAAGAAUGAAAACUCUCAUAUCAGUUUCUAUCCAAAAUUUUGGAAUUAUGUGUGUUGCAACGAUUGUCCAAAGGAUUAUUCUUCUUUUAUUAAAUUUCCAUGAAAAAUGAGCAUGGAGCACAAAAGUUGAACGAAUGAUUAUUCUUCUUUUAUUAAAUUUCCAUGGAAAAUGAGCAUGGGGCACAAAAGUUGAACGAAUGAAAUUUCAACGAUUUGAAAAGGGAUUGUGAGUUUGACAUGUCAUUUUUCUUCCUCUAAUGCAAUCAUGUUUAUUAAAAGACAAAAAUAAAUAUGACUUUACAUAAGGAGAGAGAAGGAGUAGUUUUCUUUGAAAAAAUCAACCAUUUAUUGAAGAGGAUGUGGAUGUUGAUUGAUGCGUCGUGAAUACGAAAAAAAGGACCUUGAAAGGAGUUGAGACAUUCAUUAAAAGCUAGAAGAAAAAAAAGUUAAAAGUGUUUUAGAAAAAAAGCAAGAAAGCCUCAUUUUCAAAGUUGUGGUCAUUGCACAAUACUUGAUUAGAAGAAAACUCAUAGUAUUGUAUUUACAAUUUCAAGUCUUUAUGGGGAACGAGAGAGCAAGUUUUCCAAUUGGAAUAUGAUAUGAAAUUUCUACAUAACUAUAUAUGACAAUGAAAGAAGUCUAAGUUUCUAAAUGGAAGGGCUUCCAAUUGAUGUGAGUUUGUUGAGAAAUUAGUGAACAACAGAACAAGUUGCUUCUCCUUUGGCCUUCUAACAUGAUAUCACAGAAAACAAGUUGUUACUAAUAAAUGUAUCUGAUUGGUGGACUUAGACGUGCGCGGUACGAUUUUUGAUAACUAGAGAAGAUGGGCAGUGUCAUGACAAAAUUUAUCCAAGUAGACCCAAAGGAAUGACUUAGGAACUUCAUAUGCAGUGGGAUAAAAUCUUAAGCUAAUUUCCUUACCUAUCUUAUAGGCAUUAAGUAAAAUGUAUAUGCAUAUUUCUAGACACACCAAUUUACUUAAUAUUAACUUCUUUCAAAUACCCAUUUGCAGAAACGCAAAGCUCUCUUGCAUGCUUGUUGUAAUGCUUAUGUAGUGCGUAUCCUAUAUCUUAUAUAUAUAUCUUACUUUUUGUGAUCCAUUUUUUCAUCACUAUGCCAAACGAAUAGCAAAACGAAUAGCUGUCGCAGAUUUCUUCCAACAUCAAUCACCACGCGAAAUUAAUUGUCAAUGAAGACGAUCCCAUUCCCCUUCGAAAUCUGCUGGGGGAAAGAGGCCUUCUUUCCGAUCUGCUCUGAGACCGGUUUAUGCGAGAGUGGUGAGCCUGACGACAAAGAGAAAGAAGGGCAGGAUUGGAAAAUUGGAAAGUUUAUUGGUUACUGUUUAUCCGUGUUUCUUCGAAAUAAGCUGCUUUUUCCAGCUUUGGGUUUUCAGUUUUUUUUACCCAUAAUUUUGAAAGAAAAAAAACUGAUUUGAAAUGUUUAUCAAACACUUAAAAUGUUCCAAUCUUUUUUCAUACCUACUUUUUAUUAAAAGUUAAGCUAAACAAAAACCAGGAUUAAGUUUACUACUCUGAAGUUUUUUGCUUUUCAACAUUUCAUACAUUGAAUUUUUCUCAUCCAGUGUCAUAUCUAAGGUGGGAAUUGUGAGACACUUUUAUACAUCUGUUAGAUUUUAUGUGAAUUGUGGGGCACUUUUAUACAUCCGUUAGAUUUUUUGUGAGAACCUUCGCUGACCCACGAUGCGGCAUGCAUGUGGACAUUGAAAAAAUUCAAAAAAAAUCGAAAAUUUUAAAAUUUUAAAAUUUAAAAUUCAAAAAUACUAAAAACCUAAACUUUUCAUAAUAUUGAGAGACUGAAUCUUUUCACAGUCGGCCAAAUUUUCUUCGAAUUUUAAUUAGAUGAAAAUAAUGAAUCUUGAACAAAGCAAAACAAAACGUAAUAUUGAGAGAUUCAGUCAUUGAAGUGGACGUGGAUGUUGGGUACUCAAUAGUCCAAGAAUGAAAACUCUCAUAUCAGUUUCUAUCCAAAAUUUUGGAAUUAUGUGUGUUGUAACGAUUGUCCAAAGGAUUAUUCUUCUUUUAUUAAAUUUCCAUGAAAAAUGAGCAUGGAACACAAAAGUUGAACGAAUGAUUAUUCUUCUUUUAUUAAAUUUCCAUGGAAAAUGAGCAUGGGGCACAAAAGUUGAACGAAUGAAAUUUCAACGAUUUGAAAAGGGAUUGUGAGUUUGACACGUCAUUUUUCUUCCUCUAAUGCAAUCAUGUUUAUUAAAAGACAAAAAUAAAUAUGACUUUACAUAAGGAGAGAGAAAUAGUAGUUUUCUUUGAAAAAAUCAACCAUUUAUUGAAGAGGAUGUGGAUGUUGAUUGAUGCGUCGUGAAUACGAAAAAAAAAGACCUUGAAAAGAGAUGAGACAUUCAUUAAAAGCUAGAAAAAAAAAAGUUAAAAGUGUUUUAGAAAAAAGCAAGAAAGCCUCAUUUUCAAAGUAGUGGUCAUUGCACAAUACUUGAUUAGAAGAAAACUCAUAGUAUUGUAUUUACAAUUUCAAGUCUUUAUGGGGAACGAGAGUGCAAGUUUUCCAAUUGGAAUAUGAUAUGAAAUUUCUACAUAACUAUAUAUGACAAUGAAAGAAGUCUAAGUUUCUAAGUGGUAGGGCUUCCAAUUGAUGUGAGUUUGUUGAGAAAUGAAGAUGAAGAUGAAUAUUGAUGUUGAUGUUAGUGAACAACAGAACAAGUUGCUUCUCCUUUGGCCUUCUAACAUGAUAUCACGGAAAACAAGUUGUUGCUAAUAAAUGUAUCUGAUUGGUGGACUUAGACGUGCACGGUACGAUUUUUGAUAACUAGAAAAGAUGGACAGUGUCAUGACAAAAUUUAUCCAAGUAGACCCAAAGGAAAGACUUAGGAACUUCAUAUGCAGUGGGAUAAAAUCUUAAGCUAAUUUCCUUACCUAUUUUAUAGUAUUAAGUAAAAUGUAUAUGUAUAUUUCUAGAUGCUGACACACCAAUGUACUUACUAUUAACUCCUUUCAAAUACCCAUUCGCAGAAACGCAAAUCUCUCUUGCAUGCUUGUUGUAAUGCUCAUGUAGUGCGUAUCUAAUAUCUUAUGUGUAUAAUUUUUUGUGAUCCAUUUUUUCAUCACUAUGCCAAAAUCCCUUUAGAAUUUGCAAUUUAUCCAUUUGGUUAUGGUAAAAAAAAAAACUCGGAAUUUCAUUUAAACUCGAAAAUCUAGAAUUGGGAAAGCAAUUUUCCCUUGUUCGGCAACUUGUAGCGAUAGCAAAGGCAAAUUGUACCGGAAAAAAGUGGAAAUUGGGGAUGAAGAUCCAAUUUUAAUUUCGUCAAAAUAAGUGUAAUUUCACAAUUCCAACAACGUUGAGAAUCACAAAUGCAUUGUGGGGAAAUCUUGCGACCACCAAACUUUACGAUUAGAGCGCCAAAUUUCAUGAUAAAACGUAAUAAGGGUUUAGGACUGCAUCGUUCGCUCUGUUAACUCUCCAAUCUUCGACGGGAUUUUCAACUCGUGCAUCAUUUUUUGCUUUGUUCUAGGUCAAAGCCUACUCUUUUCUUUCUUGAAUUAUUUUAGCUUUGCGGGUAUACUCUUUAGGCCAAUUGUGAAUUUUGCUAGUUAUUUUUAUUUUCUGAUGGUCAUAUGUUUGUUUUUUUUUUCUUCCAAUUGAGCUGUGUAUUGGUUGGAUCAGUAACUUUUUUUUUGGAUUUUUAUUUUUAUUUUUAUGGAUUUUGGUGUUAGUUCCUUGUUAUAGAUGUAUAGAUGUUGUGGAGCAAAAAAUAAUCUCAAAAAUCGUGGAGGUGACACACGGAUUUUUGGACAAGAAUGACAAAAUUAUCCUCGAAGCACAUCAUGAUUCCCACGUGCAUGCAACGGACAAUAACGGCUCAAUCAUGGAAGAGUCAAAGGUGAUCAAUAUGGUAUUUAUUCAAAUCCCUCUCAUCACUCCUCAUCAAUCCCUUUUUGAUUUUAUUCAAAAGGUAACUCCCAAAACUUCCUAUUUAAUUUAGGGAUCAUUGUCAUGUUAAUUGCAAGAUAUUAUUUCACAAAAUAUCUUGUAAUUAUUCUUCAAUUACCACCAUGUAUGGCCGGCCACUCCUCACCCUAUGGGCCGGUCACUCCUCACCCUAUGGGUCGGCCACUCCCUAUAAAUAGCCCUAUUAUUCCACUAAUAAGGAAGCCAUUUGCUACCCACAAACUCCUAAACACAUUCUUUCAGAAUUCUAACUUUGGCAUUGGAGAUUCUUAGGCCAAAUCCCCCCUCCCAUUCAUCGUGGGCGCAUAAGGCUUUUGGCCUUAGUCUUAGGUAUUAUUAUUUUGCAGGUGCAUUUUCGUCAAAGACGAAGAUGGUGGAAAUUUGGAUCCACAAAUUGGUGUUUUCAUUGAGAGUUUGAUUCACAAGCUCGAAGAAGACUCUCGCAUUCAAAGUUUCACAUUUCUCAUUCAUAAGUAAAUUUUUCAUACGUUCUUAUUCCUAGAAUUUUUUUAAAUCUUUGAAUAGACGUAGGAGAGAAAUACAAUGGCUAGAAAUUUAGAAACCACGACGAACGAAACUUCCUACGUUCAAAGAUCCAGAUCAAAUGAUGGAAAUUGCGAUGUAGCCCCACCACGACGAUCCACGAAGCUCAACGUAGUGGCAAAAUGAGUAACUUGGCCACCACGGAGUACCACCACCACCAUAGCCAAGGCAACCCAUGUUGCAGUGGGGAGUGGGACAACUCCAUGGCAGCAAGGCCACGAAGCAACAACAGAUGCCAUCUUGCAGUAAUGAGCCCAAGCCUGUGUCACAAGGUAGUCAACCCAGCGCUAGGUAACCUAGAUCUAGUAGGCCCACGACGUUGCCAUAGUAGCUGAGGCCUAAAGCAAGGCCCAAGCAGCUGCGACUGCGGCAAAUGGAGCAACACAACACUGGCGGGGCCAAUGCACCCUUGGCCUAAUGCCAAGCAGGCUAAAUCGCACCACACCCACUAUUCAAACUAACCCUAAGUUGAGUAAGUAGCAUUGAAGGUUGUCAACCGCAAGGCGUUGAAGUACGAAUAAAGUUACACACCCCGCACAUGACUUGGCCCACUUCCGCGGCCCAACUUGCUCGCAAGGUCCACCUAGUGAUCCCGACCAGUCGAAGGCCAGUUCAAUCAUCCCAUCUUCAGAUUUCUGGACUGACGAUUGAAUCGGGGGUAUUUUCACCCCGAUUUUCUACAGAUUUGACAUAUCUCAACACAAAUCUCGCACUUGGAGUCCAUUGCACUUCCAUUACUCAAGGAGACGCAUACCAUUUAAGAUCUUCCAUCCCAAAUGGCGAACAACACUUGUCUUGACAAGUCAUAGAGUUGACAUGCACUUUUGCGCAGUAGACGACCUUAGUGAAUCAGCUUUUGCAACGCACAAAGAUGCAGUAUGCCCCAGACGAUGUGUCCCGAAGCAGGACAAGUAUAGACGACGAUUCUCUCCAGCAGCGUCCCAACAAGCAGCCGCUCGACUAGCCACGAACCGAGCAUUCUGGCAGUGUACACUCCCGUCUAGGUCCUCAAGAAAGCAUAUACUCUCAUCUUAGCGCGCGGAUGAGCGUGCACUCCUGGUUAGGCCUACGGACGAGCAUACAUUCACGGUUGGGACCAUACUCUUAUAAUUAACAUGGACAACCUGCUAGACGAAGUGUUCAUUCGCGGCUAGGCUCGCAAAGAGCAUUUUCCACCUCAUAUUGGAGUAAGCAGCACAGAAGACGAAGAUAAGCAGUCAAUUAAUCUGGCUCAAAUUCAAUCGGCCACCUGUAAGUAACUAGCUCGCCUGCCAAGAACGUACCAUAUGCAAUGUAGCCACGACAUAGACUAGCUGAGCACAACGAUGAGCAACCUAGACUAACAGGUUACGACUGGGGGUAGCCAGAAGCUUCACUGCCCCAAUAUAGGUAAAUUUAGAAAGAAGUUGAGAGGCUUCUGACAGAACGAUUGUGCGAUUUCCAACGCAAUGAAGCUACUGACAAGGCGCUUAAACGAUACACGACCAACAUAAACGGGUCACCUUUUAUUGACAAGAUUGAGCAGACAGAACCAUCCUACAUACACUGGCGGAUACAAAUAUUACUUCUAUUUUAACAUACGCAUCAACUCAGCCUAAUGGCGUGUCGAGGGCAAAUGGGUUCCAGAAUGGCACACUAACCCAACCACCAAGAACCAGGGCCAAAUCUUAUUUUCAUCACUCCACACGAUUCAAUGCUUGAGCAUCACAUCACCAGUAAUAGAGCACCGCAGACCUAAUGGUCCAAUUCCUCCUGAUGCACACAAGCUCACCCCAGCUCCACGCUCAAAGCCGUGCCUACCUGCUCCACAACACUCAGCCACCCUUGAUUUGUCACCAUGGCUCACAGUUAUGCCAAUUUUGCACCACAGCUCCCAGCCGUGCUAAUCUUGCCAUGCGGCUUUUAACUACGUUAACCAAGCCCACGAUACUUCAUACUUCAAAACAUCCAAUGACGAAGUAGAACAUGAGGCUCUACUAGCAGCCCCUGCUAGUGAAAGGCUUUGCGGUGAAGAGGCUUCCAAUCCAUUCAAAUUCUCAGUUGACCACCUGUUGGGUUUUACGGCUCAAAAUUAGGAUGAUGCAAAAAAAAUUGUGUUACCUAUUUGGUUUUGGUGUCGUAUUUGGGUUUGGAUUUUGACCUCUUAGUUGGUUUCCUUGGUGGAGAGAUUUUGUUAAUUACCUAUUUGAUUAGGAUUUGGAUUUACUUCCUAUUAAGAUUCUUAUUGUAACCUAAGUCUUAUGCACUAUAAAUAGGACCUCAGGGUUAGUGUAUUUUGUGUGGCUCAUUCGUGUGGCAAUUUGGUGAGAGUCAAUUUGUGAGUUUGUGAGUUAGAGAGCAAUUUGGGAGAAUCUUCUCCGUUAGUUUUGGGUUCUCUACUCGUUUGGUUUAGGGUUUGUAAUUUGUGGGAUUUGGAUUGUGAGAGUUUAAACACUAUUUUGUAAUCUCCGUUUGUUUAGUGAAAUUUCUUGUCAUGCUUCGCUCGUGGACUUAGAUUUUACACCGAACCACAUAAAUCUCUUGUGUUAGUUUGAGAUUGUUUGUUUUAGUUUUCACCUACAACGUUGAUAUCGGUACUUUGCUAUAAUUUGCUUUCCUUUGCUCAUAAAAGUACGACAAGUGGUAUCAGAGCCCAGCUUUCGGCUUGGGCUUUUCUUGGCAAUCAAUAUGAAGCCUUCUGUGUCGUCGGUGAAAGUUGAUAUUGAAAAGUUCGAUGGCAAUGACUUUGGUAUUUGGCAAUUGAAGAUGCGUGCUUUGUUAAUUCAACAAGAGCUUUUAAAAACGCUAAAGGGUGUGAAGGCUUUCCUGAAUUCGUGGACUGAUGAAGAAAAACAAAGAAGUUAUGGAGCGGGCACUUGGAACAAUCCUGCUGACUUUAUCGAAUGAAGUCUUGCGUCAAGUUGGUAGCAUCAAAUCUGCACCGAAGUUGUGGCUAAAAUUGGAGAGUUUGUAUAUGACCAAAUCCCUUGCUAAAUGGUUGUAUUUGAAGAAAAGUUUGCGUACUCUUCGUAUGGAUGAAGGUACGUCAAUUCAUAAGACCAAAUCCUUAUUGCUGCCAAAAGUCCUCAACAGUUCCAAGGGAGAUGGGUAAGAGUUCGUAAUAGUGAGAGAUUGAAUCUUUUCACACUUGGCCAAAUUUUAAUUUUAAUUAGAUGAAACAAUGAAUCUUGAACAAAGCAAAACAAAAUUUAAUACUGAAAGAUUGAGUCAUUGAAGUGGACGUGGAUGUUGGGUACUUAACAGUCCAAGAAUGAAAACUCUCAUAUCAGUUUUUAUCCAAAAUUUUGGAAUUAUGUGAGUAUUGCAACGAUUGUCCGAAUGAUUAUUCUUCUUUUAUUAAAUUUCCAUGGAAAAUGAGCAUGGGGCACAAAAGUUGAACGAAUGAAAUUUCAAUGAUCUGCAAAGGGAUUGUGAGUUUGACAUGCCAUUUUUCUUCCUUUUAUGCAAUCAUGUUUAUUAAAAGACAAAAAUAAAUAUGACUUUACAUAAGCAGAGAGAAAGAGUAUUUUUCUUUGAAAAAAUCAACUAUUUAUUGAAGAGGAUGUGGAUGUUGAUUGAUGCGCCGUGUGAAUAGGAAAAAAAUGACCUUGAAGGGAGACAAGACAUUCAUUAGAAGCUAAAAAAAAGUUAUAGUGAUUUAGAAAAAAGAAAUUUUAACGAAAUAUUUCCGGUAUUGUUCACUCUUUACGAAAAACCACAUUUUUACAUUUCCUGGCUACUAUUCACUACACCUUUAUUUAUCAUUUUUCAUUAAAACUAAAUUUGUUUUUGAACUUUUCGUUAGUUUCCUUUAGAAAAAAGCAAGAAAGCCUCAUUUUCAAAGUGGUAGUCAUUGAAACAAUACUUGAUUAGAAGAAAAGUCAUAGUAUUGUAUUUACAAUCUCAAGUCUUGAGGGGUAACGAGAGUGCAAGUUUCUAAUUGGAAUAUAAUAUGAAAUUUCUACAUAACAAUAUAUGACAAAGAAAGAAGUCUAAGUUUCUAAGUGGAAGGGCUUCCAAUUGAUGUGAGUUUGUUGAGAAAUGAAGAUGAAGAUGAAUAUUGUUGUUGAUGUGAGUUAGUGAACAACAGAACAAGUUGCUUCUCCUUUGGCCUCUAACAUGAUAUUACCGGAAAACAAGUUGUUACUAGUAAAUGUAACUGACUGGUGAACUAAGACAUGCGGUACGAUUUUUGAUAACUAGAGAAGAUGAAUAGUGUCGUGACAAAAUUUAUCCAAGUAGACCCAAGGGAAAGACUUAGGAACUUCAUAUGCAGUGGGAUAAAAUCUUAAGCUAAUUUCCUUUUUAAUCUUAUAGUCAUUAUGUAAAAUGUAUAUGCAUAUUUCUAGAUACAUACACACCAAUGUACAUAAUAUUAACUCCUUUUAAGUAGUCAUUUGCAAAUCCCUCUUGAGUGCUCUUUGGAAUGCUCAUGCGGUGCCGUUCUAAUCUCUUAUAUAUAACUUUUUGUGAUCUGUUUUUUCAUCAAUAUGCCAAAAUCCCUUUAGAAUUUGCAACUUAUCUUUUUGGUUACGGUAAAAAAAAACUCGGAAUUUCAUUUAAACUCGAAAAUCUAGGGAUGUGAAAGCAAUUUUCUCUUGUUCGACAACAUUUAGCGAGAGCAAAGGCAAAUUGUACAGGAAAAAGUUAGAAAUUGGGGAUGAAGAUUCCCAAUUUUAAUUUCGUCUAAAUAAGUGUAAUUUCACAAUUCUAACUACGAUGAGAAUCACAAAUAUAUUGCAGGGAAAUCUUGCAACAGCCAAACUUUACGAUUAGGGUGCCAAAUUUCGUGAUAAAACCUAAUAAGGGUUUAGGGCUGCAUUGUUCACUCUGUUAACUCUCCAAAUCUUCGACGGAUUUUCGGCUCGUGCAUCAUCUUCUUGCUUUGUUCUAGGUCAACGCCUCUACUCUCUUCUUUCUUGAAUUAUUUUAGCUUUUUAGGUAGGCUCUUUAUGGCUGUUGUGAAUUUUGCUAGUUAUUUUUAUUUUCUGAUAGUCAUUUGUUUGUUGUGCGUUUUUCCUUCCAAUUGAAUUGUGUAUUGGUUGGAUCUGUAACAUUUAUUUUUUAUUUUAUUUUAUGGAUUUUGGUGUUAGUUCUUUGUCAUGGAUGUUGUCCCUUUGAAGGUUAACAAUAGCCAAGACUAAACAUGAUGAUAUUGUUAAUUACUUUCUCAUGAUACUAAUGCCAUAUUGUUCUCUCUUUUGCACUUACAAGUGAAGAGAAAUAUCCUAGACCCUAACUGGAUAUGUUAUUGUCAUGGUCAUGCAUUGGUAUGGUAACAAUAUGUUUGGAUAAGGAAAAUAAACUUAGAAUUUGACAAAAGAUAGAAUUUAUAAAUUGAUACAAUCAAUUCCUUUGUUUAGAUUCAUAAACAUAGAAAUUUAAACUUUCCGUGUGAGAAAAAACUUGGAAUUUGGGACCUUCAAUUCUCAUGUUUAAAUUUUAUGUAAAUAGGUGUCAUUUCUAAAUUUCAGCAAGUGAGAAUUUAAAAAUAACAAACAUGUAUUCAAAUUUCAUUCCUCUUUUAGGUUAACCAAACAAGAAAUUUUAUAAAUUCUAGAAAAUAAAAUUUCGUUAUUUCAAUUUCUGUUAUUUUAAAAUUAGUAAUCUUAAAUUUUCCCAUCCAAACAAAGAGUUUCCUUGUCAUAGAACUUUCAAUUGGGAUCAAGGAAGACAAUCUUUUCACAACUGAUUAUUCUCACCAAAUUUUAUUAUUAUUUUAAAGCAGAUCAAUACCAAACUUCAAAAGCAAAGUAGGAAGGCUAAAAUUAAGGUGAAGAACCUACUUCCACUAAUUACCAUGGGAGGGGGAGAGAGAGAGAGAGAGAGAGAGAGAGAGAGAGAGAGAGAGAACCAAGCGAGAGAGAAGAGAGAGAAAACACCAAGUAGUAUUAUAAUAUAGGUGGGGUUAAAUCACCUUUCGUGAAGUUGCGGUAAGAGCAGCUCCAGCGGGAGGUCCAGCUUGAUGGACCGGUGAGAUUUCCUACCCAAUAGCCCCAGCUCCUUGCUCCAGCCCAUGCGGGCGAUUGGGCUGAGGGGGUGCCCGAGUGAGAGGCCUGACUCGAAUCGGUAGCCUGAGAGCUUGAGGCCAAAUGAUGCAUGGACGUCAGCCACGUUAUAAGAAGGAAGCAUAAACUAUGAAUAAUGAUAGAGAUUUAGAUUUUGGUGUGUGAUUUCAUCGGAUGGAUGGUGGGUUAUAUGGAGGAAAAAAAAAAGAUUAGGUUGUAGAUAAUGCCACGUGGCAUGCCGUCAUUCGUUAAAAAUCUGAUCGAAAUCUAUCAUCAAAGAUUUUAAACAGAUUAUGACACGUGACGCAACGUGAUUGGUUAAAAAUCUUAUCAGAAAUCUAUCCUUAACGAUUCUGAAAAGGUAACGAGAUGGGGCACGACGGCAUUGGAUAAAAAUCUUAUCGAAAUCUAUCACCAAAAAUUAUCUUUUUGGAUAAUGACACGUGGUGCAACGAGAACGAUUAAAAAUCUUAUCCGAAAUUACAAAUAGAAUUAUUUUGUAUUAUUUUAUAAAAUAAAAAUACUAAUAUUUUAUUGCCUAUUGACAUGACUAUUCAAUUAUGGGUGUGGAGAUGCAGAAGAUAAUUAUUAUUAAUUAAAGGUAAUUAUUGUUCAUUGGAGGGGAUUGAAUAUGAAGUUGCAGUAGAAGGCCUUUGUCACAGCAAUAGGCAGUUACUGUUCUAAGGACUUCUAUCCUAGAACAGAGACAAAAACACCAAGUAGUAUUAUAAUAUAGGUGGGGUUAAAUCACCUUCCGUGAAGUUGCUGUAUGGACUUCUAUCCUAGAGAAAAGUCGGUCAAUGGUGUUUGACACAGUCAGUCAACGACAAAGACAGAAUUGUGUAACCAUAAUUCUCUCUCUAUCUCUUUUUCAUUAACGGAGGACAGUGUAUAAUUACUACGUAUAUAUCUCUGCUCAAUUAUUGAAAAGAAAAAUCCAUGUGCAUUAUUUUUAUUAUUAUUAUCUCAGAAAUGCAGAAAUUGAUUAUCUCUUCCUUCUGCAUAUUGAUACUGGUUUUCUUCAAACUAGUUGAAGCAAGCCAAUAUGUGUGCGCGAAAUCCAACUGUAGCAAUGAUCAAGGCCCGGCUAAUUUCCUUAGGAGGGAGAGAGAGAGAGGGGAGAGAGAACCAAGUGAGCGAGCAGAGAGAGAAAACACCAAGUAGUAUUCUAAUGUUGGUGGGGUUAAGUCACCUUCCAUGAAGUUGCAGUAAGGACUUCUAUCCCAGAGAAAAGUCAGUAAAUGAUGUUGACACAGUCCGUCAACGACAAAGACAGAAUUGUGUAACCAUAAUUCUCUCUCUAUCUCUUUUUCAUUAACGGAGGACAGUGUAUAAUUACUACGUAUAUAUCUCUGCUCAAUUAUUGAAAAGAAAAAUCCAUGUGCAUUAUUUUUAUUAUUAUUAUCUCAGAAAUGCAGAAAUUGAUCAUCUCUUCCUUCUGCAUAUUGAUACUGGUUUUCUUCAAACUAGUUGAAGCAAGCCAAUAUGUGUGCGCGAAAUCCAACUGUAGCAAUGAUCAAGGCCCGGCUAUCCAUUUCCCAUUGAACAUCAGGCGCACACAUCAUUGUGGAAAUUCUGGGCUUGAAUGCAAUGGGAGAUAUGAGCAGCAAAUACUAAUAAAAUUAUUUGUCAAAGACACAGAUUACAAGCGUCAGGAAAUCCAAGUCUAUUCCCCAAGUAACUGCCUGCUGCUAAAGCUUGUUGAAAUCCCAAACAUGCCACCCUCUCCCUUCGUGCCAGUAGUCGAUUACAUGAUUAAUUUCAUAAACGUUACCUUAUUCAGUUGUCCUACUUCUGUUGCAAUACGAGAUACGUAUGGUUGUCAAGUCCCCUGCCUUGGCGACCGUGGCAAGAGAACUUAUGCCAUUGAUUCUGGGGUUUAUUUUGAAACUCUCUUCCAGAAUCUAGAAUCCUGUACAAAAAUGUAUGAUGUUUUAUCAGUUCCAAUAGCCGAUGAAUAUUAUGUUUUUCGUUUCAAAUGGUCUAUACCAAAUUGCAGAAAAUGUGGAGAGGGAAAGAAGUGUGAAUGGCAGAACAAUGAAAUUAAAUGUCUUCCCUGGAGGAAACCAAGUAAGGAUAACAUAUGUAUUCAUUGCUAGUUUUAAACAUCUUUACAUUUAUGUCUUAGUAAUUAUUAUUUGAAGGAUGUUGUCCAAUCCAUUUUUACUAGGAAUAUUACCUGACAGUCUCGUUUAAAUUCGCAAUGAUCUUCUACAGGCAACACAUGGAAAAAAGUGGUUACAGGUGGAAUCCUGUGUGCUUUGCUUCUUGUUCUACUGACGAUUGCAGCAUAUCGGGUAUAUAGCGCUGAUAGAAAGGAGAAAGAGAGUCGAUUAAGAAUUGAAAGAUUCUUGGAGGACUACAAAGCACUCAAACCAAGCAGGUAUUCGUACGCAGAUAUUAAGAGGAUUACAAAUCAAUUCAAGGACAAGUUGGGCGAAGGAGCCUAUGGAACUGUCUUCAAAGGAAUGCUCUCUUCUGAAUUCUUCAUUGCUGUCAAAGUCCUCAACAGUUCCAAGGGAGAUGGGGAAGAGUUCGUAAAUGAAGUGCGAACGAUGGGUCAUAUCCACCACGUAAACGUGGCUCGCUUGGUUGGAUUUUGUGCUGAUGGAUUUGUACGAGCUCUUGUUUACGAGUUCUUCCCCAAUGGUUCCCUGCAGGAUUUCAUUUCAUCUGCAGAUAGUAAGAAUUCAUUUCUUGGUUGGGAUAAGCUACAAGAUAUUGCCCUAGGCAUAGCCAAAGGAAUUGAAUAUCUUCACCAGGGAUGCGAUCUACGAAUCCUGCAUUUCGACAUCAAACCCCAUAAUGUUUUGCUAGACCAAAACUUCACUCCAAAAAUUUCUGAUUUUGGUUUGGCCAAGUUAUGUUCCAAGGAUCAAAGCUUGGUGUCCAUGACUACAGCAAGGGGGACCAUGGGCUACAUUGCACCUGAAGUGUUCUCCAGGAAUUUCGGAAAUGUGUCGUACAAGGCAGAUGUUUAUAGCUUUGGAAUGCUACUGCUUGAGAUGGUAGGAGGAAGGAAGAAUAUUGGUUCAAUUACGGAUAACACUACAAAUGAAAUUUACUAUCCACAGUGGAUUUAUAAUCUUCUAGAGGAAGGGGAUGACCUACGAAUCCACAUUGGGGAAGAAGGAGAUGGUAAAAUUCCAAAGAAACUUGCAAUUAUAGGGCUAUGGUGUAUCCAGUGGCACCCGUCGGAUCGUCCUUCCAUGAAAAUAGUGGUUCAGAUGUUAGAAGGAGGAGGAGAAAGCUUGAGUAUGCCGCCUAAUCCCUUUGUGCCUACUGGUUCUACAACUAGGAAUGCAAGACACCUAGAGCUAGAAGCUAUUGCUGAAUUAGAGUAAAAUGUAUAUGCAGAUAUGUAGACGUAUAGAUAUAGUAAUAUUUAUAUUGAAUAAGAGGCCGUUUGAUAACCAUUUCGUUUUCAGCUUUUAAUUUUUAUUUUUCACUUUUUUGAAAACUAAAAACUAAAAUCUUGUUUGGUAAAUACUUUUAGUUAAAAAAAAAUGAAGACUGAGAACUAAAAUGUGAAAGCUCAAAGGAAGUAGAUUAAAAGUAGUUACCAAACAAACCGGAAUCUCAAUAAAUAAAAAAGAUUGAAUUGCACAAUGCAAUCCAAACCAAUCAAAACAUUUAAAAUAGCAAAAAAAAAUUAAAAUUCUAGUUGAUUAGAUUCUAAACAUAGUAAAAAUGAACAGAUCCGAUGAAAAAAACAAAAAAUUCUCAGAUAAAAAUAGGGAUAAAGUAAAAUAUUUAUAAAUAGCUCUUUGUCUCUUAUGCCAUCAAUUAUUUCUAUAGUAUAUACACGUUUUUGGAAAAAUUAGGUUCCCAUCCCUUAUUUUCAUAUUACAUUGAUUGAAAUCUUAUUAUUUUUCUAUUUUAGAUCAAGGUCCCUUGACUUAUUCUAUGUCAUCAUUUUAGUAUUUAAAAUAUUACACGUUAUCAUAAACGAAAUCUCAUCCCUUUCUGCAUUUAAGGCAAAAUAAACUAUAUGAGUAAGUUUAAAACAAGGAAAAUCCAUUUGAACUCCUCCAUUCUUCUUCUUCUCUUAUAAACAUCUGGAAUCUACAACACCCCAAACCCAAUUUUCUCCAUUUUUUCUCCUUUCCUGAAUUGAUCCAAUGCAUAUAUGUUGAAUAAACCUAUUGUGAUUAAAAUACAAAUUAGCAUCAAUGGUUUUAUUGGCUUGUGAGAUUUGUGUGGCAUAGGCAAGGCAAUGCAGGCAUCGUUUUCUCAAGGAAUCUGGUUGAUUCAAACAUGCAGAGACUGUAGAGUGAGUGGGCUAUGUGAAAACUGUACCAUUCUGAAGUCAUUUUCUUUUGUUCUUUAUAUUUUUUUUUCUUUUUCUUUUAUUAUUAUAUAUUAGUCUUGGUUAUUCAAUGCCUGGUUGGCUACACUUAUAUCCAUGGGUACAUUUUUAAUCUACAUGUUUCGUUCUAAUAUAUCUAUUGCUAUAAUAUGUUUUGGUUGGUUCAAAUUUGUUUUACAUAAAUAUAUGGGUACAAAGUUUUUGGAGAAUAUUAUGUAAAUGGUUUUUAAGGUUGCUGCAUUUUACGUACCCACAUAUGCAUGUCUAUAAAACAAUGUGGUAUGAUGUACAUUCUUUUCUUUGAGUUUUUAAAUGUACCCAUGAGUUUUUUUGUAAAUUCGGUAUGUACCCAUAUGCUAUUUAUGUUAUGGGUACAUACAUUAUUUUUGGUCUAAGUUCAGGGUACAUUGCUUUUGUAUGUAUGAAUUCAAGGGGUACAUUAUUUCCCUUAAUACUACUCAAUAAAAUUCACAAAAUAUGUGUAGUGUGCAUGAUUUUUUAUUGUAGAAAUUGUUUUUUUUUAAGUCUCAUAAUUCAUGAAAUUUGUACAUAUAUGAUCCCAUAAAUUUUUUAAUUUUAUUAAAUUUCUUUUAGACUUGAUCGAUUGAUUGAAUCUCAUCAUACUAGGAUUUUGAAUUACAUAAAUUCUUGGAUUUAAAUCCCUUAAAUGUUGGACUGCAAUCAAUAUUUUAAAUUAUAGUUUUUUAUUUAAGAUAUCAAAAAGAUGACAUGGAAAUAUAGUAAUACUAAAAUGCUGAGGUGUACAAAGUCAAAGGACUUUGAUCAAAAAAUAAAAAACAAUAAGAUUUCAAUCUAACAAUUAAAUUGACUAGGGACCGGAACCAAAAUGACCCUAGAUUUUUAUUGAGUUUAAUCUUAAUCAAAAAAAGACUUCUUGUAUCACAGAAAAUACAAGAACCAUUAUUUGAAUGAAAUAAAAGCUAUGGGAUGGAGAUAUAAAUGGAUCAUUUUAUUCACAAUCGGAUUAUAUUUAUUUGAUACACUAUUGUCAAUAUGAAUGUUGAGAAAAAGACUACAAAAGAAAAAACAAUUUAUAAAUAUAACUAACAAUUCCAAUUUCAAUCAAUUAGACAAUUAGAUAAUACAUCAGUAAACGCGGGGUGACUCAGUGGUUAGAAACGAAUUUUAGGCUCGUAUUCUAUACAAUACGUCUUGGGUUCGAUUCCUGACAAUGGUGAAUCACGCGACGGUAGAUAUAGGGGUGUUGUUGGAAGUUUUGAGACUCAAGUCCUUUAUAUAGAUUUAGUGCUUUAGUUUAGUAAUUAGAAUAUGGGUCAUUUGGAAAUGGAUUGAAGGUUUGGGCCUUAUGGUUGUGUGGAUUAGGCUUGUAUAAUAUAGCCUAAAUACAAUUAAUAUUAAUUAAUCAAGACAAGGGCCUUGGGCCUUACUUGGGGCCUUGGAAUUUAAAAUUAAUCUGAUUCAUUAAUUUUAAUUUUCGGAUUAAGUUUUUAAUUAAUUUAUUAUUAAUUAAAAACGUUUUGAUUAAAAGACACAGCUCUUAGAAAAGAGUUAUGAACCUUCAAAUACACUGAACUGGUAUUUGAAAGGGUGUGAAACAACCUAUAUAUCUGCAAUCCAUGGUAUCCAAAUAAAUCAUCUUUUCUUCUUCCUUUUCUUCCGUACAAACUUUCCAGAGAGAGUAAACACACAAAGCAAUUCGCUAGAAUUCUAUAAUUUAGUGCGGGUUAUAGGAUUAGGUAGUUGUAUCCUGGUCGAGCAGACGUUAUAGAACCACAAGCACAAGAGUGGGACGGAAUUACUGUUCGAAUGACAUAGCUUUUACGUUAGCCUCUACCUUCUGUAAUCAAGUUAGUACCGUUGACAUUCUUAUAUUAAUUUCUGUAUUUAUUGUAUACUUUUCAUUUUGUAUAGCAAGUACCUUUUGUUAAAUAAAAAUUGUGAAUUUCAAGUUCUGUUUAUUUCUGUUAUUCUGUUUAUUUCUGAAUUGUUCUCCAACACCCCUAUAUCUACCGUCGCGUGAUUCACCAUUGUCAGGAAUCGAACCCAAGACGUGUUGUAUAGAAUACGAGCCUAAAAUUUAUUUCUAACCACUGAGUCACCCCGCGUUUGAUUAUAUUUCACUUAGACUUAUCUUGCGGUAUAGCAUGUCAUCCCCGCCCAAGUUUUUCUGUUGGCAUUGAGUUUGGGAUACCAAAACUUGCCAAACAAAGUAGAUUGAUUAGUAAGCGAAGCUAAUUAUUCGACUAAACAUUGUUUAGAAUUUUAAUUAAAAGAAACAAUAUGAAUCUGUUUAUUUUUUUUUUUGACAAACUAUAACGUUAAGGAGUUAAAUUGUUAGUUAUUAAGAGUACAAUGAUAGGUGAGGAUCGAACCUCCACCAGAGUGCAUAGACAUUAUUGGUUCUACAACUGCGGUAAAUCACAUAAAACAAAACGUAAUACUUUGAGGAUGGAAGACACUUCGUGGAUAGCGGGCAAUCAACACUAUCAGUUGCUAUCCAAAACUUGGAAUUAUGUUUAUUGUCCGAAGGAUUUUUCUUCCAUUAAAUUGCUAAGGAAGAUGAGGAUGGGUGGAGUGUCUAAAUGUCAAGGUUGACAAGAACGUGUAUGGUGUUCAGCUUGCGAUUGAGAUUUGUUAGAGUGGCACAACAAACCACAUAAAAUUUUCUAAAUGAUAAGCUUGAGUAUAAUUUUUUAUCACGUAUUUAUCUUUAAAAUCAUUAUAAUUAGAUUUUCUCUUAAUUAAUAUAGACCGUUAGAUUCAUCUAAUGACCCAAGUUUUUUUCCUCUUUUCUUUCCACUCUUUUCCAUUCACCGUGUAGCAGUCGUUCUUCCCCAACUACGUUUCUUAUUUUUCUUCACAAAAAAUUUGUAGAAAAUAUUAAGAAAAGAAAAGUCAUCAAUAUCAGACUCGACCAGGUAAUCGUUCCAACCUUCCCAGCAACUCUCAGUCUUAACUAGGCACCAAAUUUUCUCCGCCACCUAACUCGUCAUUCAUUCAUGGGUGUUUCAAGCUUGGUGAAAAUUGAUAGAGUUCCAUGUGUGUACACGGAUGUGAACAUAUUGGCCACUCUCUAAGAAUGAGUCAUUGGAAAAGUUGAAGGAAAGAUGUAACCGAUGAAAUUAAUGGAUUGGAAUUACAAUGAAGUCUGUGUUGGUUUAUCACAAAGAACCCAGAUACAAAAUUUUAAAAGCAAACAAUUUCAACUUCUCAAAUAUUAUCUAACAAACUUUCAAUGAAAUGUUGCUCAUAAUUGAAAAAAGGUUGACGAAGGACGGAGUUGGGGUUAUUUUAGAUGAGGAAGAGUUAAAAGAAGGAAGCACCAUUUAAUUAAUAAAAGUGAUUGGAGAAAUGGUAAUUCAAUGGUGGGCGUUUUUAAGGUGUGGACCUUGUAUCACACCCUGAUCCCAACAUACAUUGAGGAUCGACACGUGACAUGGGGACAUAGGGGACAAAAAUCUUACAUAAGAUACAGAAUGAAAUACUAUAUAAUAUCCCAAAAUGAAUAUGAUAGUGGGUUCACCCCUAUAAAAUACAUACGAGUUUGUACAUUCACAAAAAAAUAAAAAAAAUAAAAAUAAAUAAAAAUAAAAAACACACACACAACUCUCGCUAGGCCAAGACUUGCCCAUGGUGCUCAAAGGAAAGUCCCAAAAGAAAUAGUACAAUGAAGGAUAAAGGGGUAACCUAAACACUCCAAGUCUCUGAUCUCUGCACUGCUACCCCCACCGGCUCCUCGUAAUCUACUCAGACCUGUCACAUGUACAAACAGUGCCUACAUUGUGGGAAUGGUGCACCAGGCAAACAAAAACCCGGAUAAGCUGCAAAACUCGUGUGAGUGACAAUAAUGCAACGUAUGUGAUAAUCAAGAAAAACAGACCAUCGAUCACAGUUUAUAAAUCUCAAAUAUAACUUCAUACUUAUGAAAUCAUAAUCAAGUCACUGAAAACUUCGAAUGAGUCACCCAGACAUCUAACGACUUUUCUAAAUCAAAUCUCAGAGAUUCCCAAAACUAUCGUUCACAAAUACACUAAAAACUAGGGCUAGAGUGACACAGUUCAGCCAAAGCCUACAUAAGUAACCAAAUAAGAAGUGGCCCCCCAUAGCGGAUUAACCAAGCAGAGCCACUCCUGAGAAAGUAACCAAGUAGGUAGUGACCCCCAUCACGGAUUAACCAAGCAGAGUCACUCCUACGAAACUGUUAGGUAGUGAUCACCCAUUACGGAUUAACCAAGCAUGAUCACCCCUAAGCACGUAUGGCCAUACCUAAGAAAUAAGGAUCGCCCAUCGCGGAUUAACCAAGCACGAUCCAAAAAUAUUAUGGGUCCCCUAUCGCCGAUUAACCAAGCAUGACCAUCCAUGUACCACUGCUACAUGGUGUAAAUUCGGUGUCACCUAACCUCGUGACACUAGGGUAACGGUCCUCUAGUAGCCCUCACGUUUUUCAAACAUUUCAAAUAUAUAAUUUAAAACACAAUUCAUAAACAUUUCGAAUAGGGAAGUCACAUAGUGUUUAAUAAUGUAGGUCAAUGGCAAACUUUAAAAACAAUUAUUUAGCAUAAAACAUAUUUUAGAAAUCCAUGCUGUAUCCACAAAGUAUACUAGCACGGGAGAUUUUCAGGGUAAUAACUCUAUCACAUAUAUUAAAGUCACUCACCUGGAGUCCGCACUAACGCACCCUGGCACGAAUAUCAAGACGUCGCGUACUAUCAUCUGCAACAUCCCACAUCGACCAACGAAGAGGGGGUGAUGUGCCUUCUAUGUACAUGCCCACCUCCAUAGCAUGAGGCAUUUUGGGAGCUCACUGGCUUCAUAUUCCAUCGGAACUCCAAAGUUAAGCAAGUUUGGGCGAGAGUAGUCCCAGGAUAGGUGACCCAUUGGAAAGUUAUUGUGUGAGUCCUAGAAACAAAACCGUGAAGGCGUGGCCCGAGGGGGCCCAAAACGGACAAUAUUGUGCUACGACGGAAUCGAGACUGAGAUGUGACAGAAUGGUAUCAGAGCCACUCUGCCGUGUGGUGCGAGUGUGCCGACGAGGACGUCGGGCCCCUAAGGGGGGUGGAUUGUAACAUCCCACAUCGACCAACGAAGAAGAGGUGAUGUGCCUUAUAUGUACAUGCCCACCUCCAUUUAGCACGAGGUCUUUUGGGAGCUUAUUGGCUUCGGGUUCCAUCGGAAAUCUGAAGUUAAGCGAGUUCAAGCAAGAGCAUUCCCAGGAUGGGUAACCUACUGGGAAGUUCUCGUGUGAGUUCCCAGAAACAAAACUGUGAGAGCGUGGCCAGGGCCCAAAGUGGACAAUAUCGUGUUAUGGCGGAGCCGAGAUUGGGAUGUGACAUUGUCACCUAAGACAAAGUACAGAUCCACAUUUAGAGUUCUUCAAGUAUUCACAUAAUAAAAAAUUUCCAUACGCCCCCUACAACUAAUGAACAGAAAUCGAGACACGUUGACAAAAAGUCAACCGUCGAUCAACGGUAGGGUCCACAACCCUACAUAACUCGAUCCGCAAUAUCCAACCACUGUAUUUGUGAUUCAUAAGUUCAUAAGGUCUUCAAAUCCUACCUACAAUAACAUACUAAACUUUGGUGAUGAUCUAAUGGUCGAAUCAUCAUUUGCUAUAAUGUUCAAAUGACGCAAAUUCAUCAAUCAGAUGUCAAAUAUGGAAUCAGACAUCGAAUUUAGCUUAGGAAUGUCAAGUGGUGUCUCGAGCACGCACCGCCGUGCGCAACAGCUGGCAACCUAGAUUCGUCGGAAAAAUCACCUAAUUCCAAAAUGAAUGUUGUGAGACGUGGAGUAAAUUGUAUACCUGUGAAGAAGCCCAAUUUGGCCGGGAAGUGGCCUGAAAUCACUUUAGACCGUCGGAAACCCUAAAAUAGGUGAAUCUCGAUUCGUCAUCCCCGGUAUUCCACCGUUCUCAAACUUGUUUAGGGUUUGCUCAUGGUCUCAAAAGAAUGCUAAUGAUGGUGGUGAUUGAAAGAGAACGUUUCAGAAAUAGUGAAUCACCAAUGAGGGUUUCACGAAACCGACAUGGGUGUUCCUCGUGGAACCAAGACCAAAUCUCAACGGUUUUGGCUAGAAAUGGAUGCUGGGAUGUCAUGGUGAAGUUUGGUAGUGAUGGGAGGUUGAAGAAAGACAAAAAAAAUCGACAAAAAAAUCGUCGUCGGAGUCGCAAGAAACGAGUUAGAAAAAUGAGUCGUCGGGUCUGAAACGUCGAAGGCUUUUGAGACAACUACUUACUCUCUCUUCUCUGAUUAGUCACUCCACUCACUCUCUCAUUUGAUUGGUCCAGCCUUCCCACAUGGUGGGAGUUCCCUCAUAUAGUAACCCAAAAUUUACUAUUUAAAUCUGGUAUUGAACGUCCGUAACUUUUUCGUUAUGGUUUCGAUUCGCAAACGGUUUUCACCUAUGCGCUCGUAUGAUCGAAUUAUACUCAAAAACAUUAAUUAUGACCUCGAAAAGGUCUACGAGUUUUAAAAGAUUAAUUACAAAAAUUCACACCUUGUAACUAUACGAUUCAAAUCCUAAAAUUAACGGAAUUAAAAUAAACUAAAAAUAAUGUAAACACGAAAUACAGACUUUAAUAAUGAAAUACGUAAUUAAUAGUGGAAUUCCGGGGAUGGGAUUUCACAACUUGCGUCCGGACCUUCAAUGCGGAUCAAAAUCCAAAGGUCGUGAUCUGACGAGCUCAUGCAUAGAACAGAGUUGUUGUGACCCAAUGCAAUUCAAAACUUUUAUGUUUUUUUAUUUACUGGGUACGUUUUUUAUUUACUGGGUACAUUUUUGCAAGACGUUAAAGAAAGCGCUUCUUGGGAGGCAACCCAUGUAUUCAAAAAAGGAAGAUCUAUGAAUCGCUCUACAAUUAGUUUUGCGUUUCUAAAAACCUUCCCUUUUCUGCAUUUCUAUUUUGCCAUGAUUGUCAUUUUUUAUUUUUGUUGUUUAUUUAAUUAUUUUUGGGUGUGGGUUUAUUUUUGAAACAUUGACAGAUAUGCAAGAUAUUCUUACAUUCAUUUUCAUGAAAAAAAGAAAAGGGAACAUUAAGCAGGAAAUUACAAGAGGGAGCCUUCACAAAGGCUGCUUAGGAGAAGUCUCAGUAGUCGGCGGAGCCCCAGAAGAAGGAGGCAGCGGAGGUUGAUCAUUUGGAGCUUCAGUACGCGGUGCAGCCCCAGAAGACGAAUGCAAAUGUUGUUGGAACAAACCCACAAACCGCUGAUGAUCAAGUAAAAUCUGACAAUCAGAUUCCUGCAUCUGGUCAAUCUUCCUCUUCAUGUUUGUAGCAUAAUUAUGUGCGAGCCUGUGCAACUGUUUAUUCUCAUGCUUAAGCCCUCUAAUCUCCUGCUUAAGACUCAUCACUUCAGCCGCCAAUGAUUCAACUUGACGGGUUCGGGCAAAUAGGCGUUGGGCCAUAUUAGACACGGAACGUGCGCACUGCACACUGAGAGCUAGAGAAUCCUUUACAUCCAACUCAUCAGACCGUUUGGCAAGUAGUCUAUUAUCUUUGGGAGUGACAGGGUUCCUGACCACCACCGCAGCUGUCAUAUCAUUCUUCAUCACCGAAUCCCCAACGAUAAGGGGACCAGUAGGGGAUAUGAAGGAUGGGCGCCAUAUGUUGUCUGGAGAAGGCGGGACUGCCUCUUCACCAAGGUUCAAGUCAAAACGACGAUCGGAUGGGCCAAACAUUUUCACAGGUGUUAAAGAAAGAAGAGGUCGGACAAGUCAAGAUCGUAGAAGUGCAAGAUGAGAGUUUUUACAGGCAGAAAUUCAAGUGUGCUUUGAACGUCCUACGUACUUCUAUAAAAAUCAGCACUCGAUGGGAUUUCAGAGAUCGAAGAGGCAAGCUCAGAAAUCGAAGAGGCCAACUAAAAAAAUUAAAGAGGCGCUAGCUUUCUCAAAAGCUGAGCUUGCUCAGAAACCACGGCCAAUCUUCUUUUCCAGAUUUGUCCGCACUUGUCACAUGCAACUCGACGGGAUUUCAGAGAUCGAAGAGGCAAUUCCAGAUAUCGGAUAGGCAUCUGCUUUUGCAGACGUGUCAACAUCUGUCACAUGCAGAGUAAGCUUUGCGAAAAUCACGGGCAGUUUGUGAAGCGCCGAUUCCAACCAUCUGCUUUUGCAGACGUGUCAACAUCUGUCACAUGCAUAGUAAGCUUUGCGGAAAUCACGGGCAGUUUGUCGAAGCACCGAUUCCAACCAUCUGCUUUUCCCGACGUGUCAACAUCUGUCACUUGCAGAGUCAGCUUUACGAAAAUUACGGGCAAUCUGUCGAAGAUCUCUUGUGAAGUUUACUAUUAAAUCAUCCAACGGUUGCUGACAAGAGUGAAAGAAUAGUACCGACUAUUAAUUCCUAUAAAUGUCAUCCUUCACCCUCAAUUGCAAGGCAGACAUACAUAACCCCCUUCUUCUCAGAAAAUGCCUUUCCAACACACCCUCUCGAGUCACUCAGUGUUCCUAAUUCCUUGGGGUACCUCUGCAAACAACUCAUCCAAAGCAAAAGUAUUUCAUAUCAUGAAGGUUGAAAGCAAGAGUAUCUCAUAUCAUGCUUUCUCCCUGUCCUUCUCCUUGUCUUUGUUUUAGGACAAGGAGAAAGAGAGCAAUCAGCCAGCACUUGGUAUCAAUCUUCCGAUCUGGAACCGACUGCCUGGAACCCCUUCCUGAUUGCUUACCUAGCCUUGCUCUCGAGAACUCAUCUUCAUCAUCUUAUGCUUCCUCUUCGUCUACCACAUCUGCCUGGGGAACAGAUAAGGGAAGUGAAAAUGAUACCUCGAAGCAUGUGGAAACAAUUUACCAAUUCAUCCUUAGCUAGGGACAAGGAGAAAAAAAGCAAGAGGUGGGCACUUGGAAAGAUUGAAGAAAGAAACAGACCAACACCUCUACCUCAUGCCUGCCCGCCGUGCAGAAGAAUCAAGCAGAGAAGAAUACAGACUGCACAAUCAAAUCAGGGAACUCUCAUAUUUCUCGCUCAGAAUUCCAAACCAGUUCAAGAUCAACGCUGUGGAAAGUCAACAAGAUCAUCUAUCUCCAAAACCAGAUUUGCGUUCUUAAACUCUACUCUGUCUGGUUUUUACUUUGCUAUACUUGUCAUGUUUAUUCGUUGUUUGUUUGUUUGCUUGUUGUUGUGUGAGUUUAUGUUUAAAACAUUGAGGACAAUGUUUGAUUUAAGUGUGGAGGGAUAACCAUUGUUUUGCAUGAAAUUCGUAGGAGUUUAUCACCCAUUACUUCUAGUGUUGUUCCUUGCUGUUUUAAGUGUUUUAAGCUGUUUUGGAGUGUUUCAGUGUGUUUUGACAUAAAAAUCCGAAAAUCUCAUAAAAAUUUGAAAAAUUGUUUUGAAAAACCAAAAAAGAGUUGUUUUUGUAUGUUUAUUUGUGUUUUAGGGUACCUUCCAACACAAUGAUGAGGAUUUGGUUUUUAAUUACAUGACUGUUAAAGAGAAUUAUAAACAUGGAUGAAAAUUUGAUUUACUCUUUGGUGUAUGCUUGGUUGUGGUUAUAAUUUAUGAAUUCACAUGCAAUCAUAAAGGAAAAAUCAAUUUUGUAACAUGCUUGAAAGAAGGAACUCAAAUGUACGCUACAACCUUGUGAGACUUGAGCCUAGACGUUUAUUUGGAGAGUUAAUAAUGUGCAUUUUUGUUUUCUAAAGUCGUUGUAUGAUCUCAUUAUUCUUUGCUUGGUUGCUACCUAGAAUGCGUUCAUCAUUAUAGAUCCACAUACUAGAACUCAUGCCCGUUCCAUUCAAAGCAUGACAUUAAUUUGCAUAACACAUAUCCAAGAUGAAGUUGUUUAGUGAACCAAAGCCAAAAUAGCCGAACCCACCUUUGUCAUUUGUUUUGUAGGUUUAAACCCCGUUGAGCCUUGUUUAGCCUAUUUUCUUUGUUAAACCACAUCAUCUCUACCUAACCUAGAAUAGGACUAUCCAUACCCUUGUUCUUGAAGUAUAGUGGAGCAUAACUUAGAAAGAAUUCAUUUUGAAACUUAUUGGGGGAAUUUAGAUUUCAAAUUUUUUGUGUGCCAAAGAAAACGGCAAGAGAAAAAAUUCGUGAAAAAAAAGAAAAAAGAAAAGAAAAAUUUGCAAAUUUUCCUGUGUUUAAAAGUAGAUGCCUAAAUUAACCCUUACAUUAAUUUUCCUUGAAUAAUUUCUCAUUCCAUCUAAUUUAGAUCCAUCUUGCUCACUAUUCUUUUUAAAUUUGUGGAUUUUGAAAUUUCAAAUGAGAAUGAAAUUGGAUGAGUUCAAUUUUCGUUUAAUUCUUACAAUUAAUAAGAAAUUCCGUCGAAAACAUUUUGAGUAUUGUUUAAUUUUUCAAUAUUACCGUAUUGUGUCAUUGAAAUAAUUAUCAGAGGAAUUAGGGAAUUCUCUUAAGGAACAACUCAAAAUGUAGUACAUGAUUAAAUAAUUCCUUUGAAUGGUCAACUAUGAUCAACAUAUCUUGUAUCAGAUCUUAGUCAAAUACCUGUUAAGAGUGUAAAUUUCUUGUGUGAAAAUGAGUGUAUCUAGUAAUUUUGGCAUUAGGAUGUUACUACAUUCUCAAAAUGCUGUUUUUUGAUUAAAUGAGCUGUGAGGUACUAAUCAAAUAUGCUCGAGGGUAAGAAUGGCUUAAAUUAUGUGAGUGGUGAUCUGGUUCAUGUUUCAUUAAAAAUCCCUGAGGCAAAUGUUGGAAGAUUUAGGUUAUGUUUUGUUUGUUUCGUUUGUUUUGUUUUGCUCGAGGACUAGCAAAAGCUAAGUGUGGGGAAUUUGAAUUUGAUAGGAGCAUUAUUAUGCGACUGAGUUAGCUUGUUCUCAUGCAUUUAUGUUGUUAUUUCUUAGUUAAUUAUGUAUUUUAAGCUAUUUUCGUGUGUUUGUAGGUCCAUAGGCCUUAUAAAGCAAUAAGGUGCAUUUUGGAGCAGUUUUGGGCUUGGAAUGGAUAGCACAUGCAUGGAGUAAGGUGAUGGACGAAAUUGAAGACUAAAGAGGCUUGGAAUGUGUUAAAAAGAAAGAAUAAUUAAUGACAAAGAGCUCAGCAACCAAACAGGGAACAUGAGUCAAGAUUACCUUAUUUUGAUUUAAUCUUUCCUAAUCUUCAAUGUCCCUAAGUUCCAACAACAUUCCUUGUCUAUUUCAUUCACUCAUUGCCUAGCACCACCCUUGUUCCCUCCAUCAUUCCAAAUUUCUUGCAUCAAUCAUCACUCCACCUUAACCCUUGACUCAUUUCUACACCAUUCCACCUCCCUUUCCUUUCUCUACCAUGUGCACAAUCAUUCAUGUUCCCUACUUGCAUUCAUUGUUGCAACACCACUCCAUUUUACCCCUCAUGCUUUGCAUCAUUACUUCACUUUCACCUUUGAAUCAUUUCAACACCACUUCAUUUUACCCAUGGUUUGCAUCAUUACUUCACUUUCACUUUCACCUUUGCAUCAUUACUUCACUUUCACCUUUGAAUCAUUUCAACACCACUCCAUGUCCCCCUCCAUUGCCUUGCCCUUCCUCUAUAAAAGGAAGUGUGUGUAACAUAAAUUUAGUUCAUAUAUUUUUUUAGAUCAUUCACUCCCAUUUCAAUACAACCUUCAUCCAAACACAUUCAUUCAUCUUCACAUCCAUUCCUCCAUACAAACAAACCUUCAAACACUCACCAACACCUUGUGCCAUAGCAAAGGAAGGAAAGGAAAAUGCUUGGACGUGCGUGCUGUCAACUUGGAUCGUUGGAGCGUUUAGGUGUUUUCUUUCUUUUGUUUCCAAUGUUAAAUUCAUUUUCUGAUUUUGUUGCAAUUAUGAGUGGCUAAAACCCUAUUUAGUUAGGGGGAAGUUUGAAGCCAUGAACAUGCUUGAGAUAUGAAUUGAUUUCUUCCAAUUGUGAUUUGAUAAGUUGUGAUUGCAAUUCAAUUAUCUAUUUUAUUCAUAACUGAUUCUUGUAUGUUUAUUAAGGAUGCAUACUUAAUUUUCAUGCAUGAAUUAGAUGCUAGAAUAUAAAUGAGUUUCACCUAAUCGUUACAAGUUUAUAUUCAUGAGUAGUGAAGGUUGUUUAUCACAAUCUGACACACCCCGUCCCGAAGGAGGGCGUGCUGGCCGUCACGUGAGAGUGACGUAACCAUUUACACAGUUCGGAAGCUUUAAAAAAAAAUUCCAAUUACUAAUAUAACACACCCGAGGGUGAGUCCUACUUUUGUGAAUUCUGUCAGAACACCGUUGGAUUCCUCGUGGCCACCAAAGCUCUGCUAACUUGAACCUGGGGCGCAAAACAAAAGCUUGAACUUGAACCUUUCAGGCGCAAAACAAAAGUUUUUUCGAAAACUUUUCAUUUAAAACAUUUCUAACCCCUCACUGUAAAACCUGUAUACUUUCCCAGAAAAUAGUGUAUAUAUAAACAUAUAUAUAAGCAAAAAUCUCGAAUCUCAAACCUUUAACACUUUUCAGAAAUAUAUAUAUAUAUAUAUAUAUAUAUAUAUAACCAUUUGAAAUCUCAAGACUUGAAUCCCAAAUCUUUAACAUUUUUCAAGAAAAGCAUGCCAUGCCAUAAAUCAAAAAUAUAAAUCAGGUGAAAUAAGGAAUCAAUCGGAGACCCUGCAGUUGGUCCUAUACGAUUAAUUCAAUAGCUCAUUAUCUCACUAAGCCGGAGUCACCACAGUAACCUAUACGGCCCUACUCUGCACAUCACUCAGAACUACGUAAGGUAGUCUAUACGAUGAAAGGUGUAAAAAUACGCUCUAGUGCUUCUCUCAUCAUAUCAUCAGCGCGCAUAACUAAGAUCACCCACUAGUCGGAAUCACGCCUAGUGAUCUAUACGACUAGCAUGUCGGAACCCUCACAUGGUCUGUACGACAUCCACCUACUUGGAUCCAAGGCGAGCGUGCGGUGUGGUGAAUAAAAUAAGCACUAACACCUAGGGUGCAGGUUAUGAGCUUAAAACAUCUUAUCAACAAUCAAUUAAAUGAAUAAAUGAACUCACCUGACUUACCUGUGCCUCCACCGCACCAUGCAACAUGUAUGCAUCAAAUAUCAAUUCGUAUAACUCAUACGCAAUUCACAUUUUUCAAUUAAUUCUAUGCAUGGCAUUUUUAAAACAUAUUUUCAUAUAAAUUCAUUUUAUGGGAAAAAUCAAUAGUAUAAAGGUAAUACAAAAACAAAACUGCCCACUCACCUGGAGUUCGCCCAACAACUCCCUAGCACCACACAUCAAGGCGUCAUGAAGAUUAGUGCCUAGAACAAUAAUCAAACCCAACCUCAGAAAUCAUGCCGAUAGAAUACAUAACUUAUAUAAGACGCGUCCCUACGUAGUUCGAUCCGGAUGAUCUGCAACUCGGAUUUCAAAUCCGUAACUUCCAGAGGUCCACAAUAUACCUCUAGGACAACAUCCUAAAAUUUCAUUACCAUCCAACGGUCGGAUCUCCGUCAAUUUCCAAAACUAAGUGCCGGUUAACAUUCUAUUUUAUGAACUUACAACUCCAAUUCCGGAAGAUCCGUAAAUCGGAUUCCCAAUCCGUAAGUUCCUAUAAUCCUCAAAUAUUACGUAUUACAACGUAUCAACGUUUGGUGACGAUCCAACGGUCGGAUCGUCAAUUCACAUUUUCACCUAACUACGAAUCGUAACCAACUUAGGUUCAAUUACUCAAUUUACGUCCAUCAAUUAUCAAAACUGAACCUAGAGCCUUAAUCACAUGCUAAUAAUGACAUUGGCGGGCCAUUGGCCAUGCGCCGCCGCGCGGGCCGCCGCGGGUGGCGGUUGGCCGCCCCCGGCUCGCCGGAAAAUUCAACUAUUUCCAAAAAUUACCAAAAUUUGCAGAUUUGAAGAUAUCAAUGAGUAGAACAACUUUCAUACCUGUGGCCAAGGCCAAUUUGGCCUGGAAGUGCUUCAAUUUCACCAAAACCGUGAAGAACCCUAGAAUUAGGUGUUUCCAAUUCGACCUUCAAACUUGUUCCAACGCCUCAAUUACCUCUUAGUAUUUGUUCUAGGUCCUAAAGGAAUGCUAAUGGUGUUAGUAAUUGAAAGAAAACAUUUCAAAAUUUCAAGAAUUUAAACAAAAGGGUCGCGGCACCCGUGUGGGUGUUCUUCGCGAAAUCACCAUGAAAUUUAAUGAUUCUUGGGGUGAAACGUGAAGAGGGAAGGCCUAGAUGUUGAUUAGGAGUGGUACCUUGACUCAAUUCGUCGGAAAUUUGGACGAAAAUGGUGAGAACCCGCCGAUUGGAAGUCGCGGGUCGCACGGGUAUACGGGUUGGGAAAACCCAUUUCUUCCUUCUCUCCUCCGCUUCUCGCCCUCUCUCCUUUCCUCCUUUCCUUCCUCUGGUUGGUCAGCUUCUCCCUCUCUCUUCUUCUGAUUCGCCUCUCCUCCUUCUUCUCCGAUUGGGCAGUUUUUGCCCAAUCUCUCUUCUUCUUUCUGUUUUCUGGUUCUUCUCACGCGCACACACACACACAACUUCCUUUUUCUCAUCCCAGCCAUCUAUUUCAUUCAUCAUUAAAUCUGGGUCGUCCAUUUUCAUAAAAGAAUUUCUAUUUUACUAAAAUUAUAAUUCCUUAAAAUCCCAAAUUUCAAACGUUAAUAACUUCUUCGAUAUAACUCCAAAUCACGAACCGUCUACGCCCACGCGUCCGUAACGACGAGUACUACGAGGAUAUGUCAAGAAAACAAAUCUUAGAUGGCACGACACAACGAUUAACCUCGAAUGAUGUGCGUGCCUCAAAGGGCAUUUUUGUAAAAUCCUUUAUGAAAACUUUAAAAAUUCUUAAAAUUAGGGACGGGCUGUCACACAAUCGCGUUAAUUGAAUUCUUGGCAAUUGUAUCAUGCAUUCAUAGUUAUAAUUGUCUCGUCAACACUUAUGAUUUUCAUUGAACGUAAUGAUCUCUGAUUGUAUCUCUAUUAUGCAUUAAUAUAGGGGACUUUUAGAGGAUGAUUUGGGUUGUCGCAUGCAUUCAUCCAAUUCAAUGAGUAAAGGAAAAUCUGAGGGUUAAUUUGUGCAUCACGGUUAAUCUGGGUGUUGAGCAUAAUAGUUUAUUGAAAAGCAAUUGGAAAUCGAUUCAUGUACAAGUGUGUCAUGUGUGAAGAACGGACCUCUAACUAAUCCAUCCAUCAUUUUAUUUCUCAAAUUCAUUUUAUAAUCUGCCUAGUUUUAUAACUUGCUUGUUUAUUUCAAAUUCAUCCAAACCAAAAUCCCCUUUUUACUUUCUUGUUUCAAAGUGUUAAAUUUCUGUUUUGUUUGUGUUUUUGAGUGUUUUGAUUCAAGCCAAAACACUAAAUUCAUCCAAAGUUGAUUUAAAGUCCAAAUCUGACUAGUUUGUGUUUUUAGGCAGUUUUGAGUGUUUUUAAGUUGUUUUGAAUCUUUAGAAUCUGUUUUGAGUCCCUUGAGUCUAUUCAAACAUUUUUAAUUUUGUUUUUAUGUUUUUGAGUCAGUUUAAAGGUUUUAGCAAGCCCUCCUAAUCCCCGGUUUAGAACGAUCCCUACUUGCAUUUAUACUACAAUUUGACAACAAGAGGGUUUAAUUUGAGUGCUUAACUUUCAUCGCAUCAUGUGAGUUCCCAGAAACAAAACUGUGAGGGCGUGGCCAGGGCCCAAAGCGGACAAUAUCGUGUUAUGGCGGAGCCGAGAUUGGGAUGUGACAUUGUCACCUAAGACAAAGUACAUGUCCACAUUUAGAGUUCUUCAAGUAUUCACAUAAUAAAAAAUUUCCAUACGCCCCCUACAACGAAUGAAGAGAAAUCGAGACACGUUGACAAAAAAUCAACCGUCGAUCAACGGUAGGGUCCACAACCCUACAUAACUCGAUCCGCAAGAUCCAACCACUGUAUUUGUGAUUCAUAAGUUCCUAAGGUCCUCAAAUCUUACAUACAAUAACAUACUAAACUUUGGUGACGAUCUAAUGGUCGAAUCAUCAUUUGCUAUAAUGUUCAAAUUACGCAAAUUCGUCAAUCAGAUGUCAAAUAUGGAAUCAGACAUCAAAUUUAGCUUAGAAAGGUCAAGUGGUGUCUCGAGCACGCGCCGCCGUGCGCAACAGCUGGCAACCUAGAUUCGUCGGAAAAAUCACCUAAUUCCAAAUGAAUGUCGUGAGACGUGGAGUAAAUUGUAUACCUGUGAAGAAGCCCAAUUUGGCCGGGAAGUGGCCUGAAAUCACUUUAGACCGUCGGAAACCCUAAAAUAGGUGAAUCUCGAUUCGUCAUCUCCGGUAUUCCACCGUCCUCAAACUUGUUUAGGGUUUGCUCAUGGUCUCAAAAGAAUGCUAAUGAUGGUGGUGAUUGAAAGAGAACGUUUCAGAAAUAGUGAAUCGCCAAUGAGGGUUUCACGAAACCGACAUGGGUGUUCCUCGUGGAACCAAGACCAAAUCUCAAUGGUUUUGGCUAGAAAUGGAUGCUGGGAUGUCGUGGUGAAGUUUGGUAGUGAUGGGAGGUUGAAGAAAGACAAAAAAAUCGACAAAACAACCGUCGUCGGAGUCGCAGGAAACGGGUUAGAAAAAUGAGUCGCCAGGUCUGAAACGUCGAAGGCUUUUGGGACAGCUACUUACUCUCUCUUCUCUGAUUAGUCACUCCACUCACUCUCUCAUUUGAUUGGUCCAGCCUUCCCACAUGGUGGGAGUUCCCUCAUAUAGUAACCCAAAAUUUACUAUUUAAAUCUGGUAUUGAACGUCCGUAACUUUUUCGUUAUGGUUUCGAUUCGCAAACGGUUUUCACCUACGCGCUCAUAUGAUCGAAUUAUACUCGAAAACAUUAAUUAUGACCUCGAAAAGGUCUACGAGUUUUAAAAGAUUAAUUACAAAAAUUCACACCUUGUAACUAUACGAUUCAAAUUCUAAAAUUAACGGAAUUAAAAUAAACUAAAAAUAAUGUAAACACGAAAUACAGACUUUAAUAAUGAAAUACGUAAUUAAUAGUGGAAUUCCGGGGACGGGAUUUCACACCUUGCAUCCGGACCUUCAAUGCGGAUCAAAAUCCAAAGGUCGCGAUCUGACGAGCUCAUGCAUAGAACAGAGUUGUUGUGACCCAAUGCAAUUCAAAACUUUUAUGUUUUUUUAUUUACUGGGUACGUUUUUGUAGGAGGAAAAGGGGAAGUCGAGAGAUUCUUUGCGCAUUAAAGAGGGAAAGAGAGAAAGGGGGAGCUAAGAGGUUCUUCGCGCGUUAAAUUUUUGCUUCUGAUUUUGCAACCUAGAAAUAAAGUAUUUUCUUUAUGGUUUAUGGUUCAAGAAUAUAAUGGAUACAGCCUAAAAAUGUUUCUUUUUUUAUUUUUUACUUUUUUUUUCUUAUGUUGGCUUUUGGUUUAUUUUUAUAAUGCACUAUAUAUUAACUAAAUUUAUAAACAUUUUGUAUCUUUGUUGCAGUCAAAUUAAUCAUAUGGGUCGGCAUGACGAAGUUCGACUGAGACAUACAGAUGUUUUGCAAUCUUAAGUCUAACCUGACACACCCCGACCUCAAUAUCUAGUGGACACCAAAAUUGAGGUGUGAUGGCCAUCAUCCGGAUGGGUGAUGAAACCAUAAUAUGCAUGAAACAUAACUAAAUUAUCAACCAAUAAAAUCUAUUGAAAAAUUUGGCAGAACAUCCCUUAAAAUAGGGAUAUGCCCAAAUUAAAAACACUUGCACAUGAUCAAAAUUAUUCAACACUUCCCCGAAGGGCCACACUUAAUGGGACUUCGACCAUCUAUUACAUGCAUGAGAAUAUGUUCAGAGCAUAAUUACCCAAACACGUCUUAUUAAAAUAUUGAGUAAAUACCAUACAAGAUAGAAUACGUCAGAGCUGUUGCAAAAUACCUCAAUGUCCGAUGUAAUCACUGAUAGAAUUACUGAAUCAUGUAUAGAUGGAAAGCUGAUAAAUACAUGUAAUUUGAGUGGAUACUUACCAGCAGCAUGGAUACAAUAUCAUCCACCGGUCGUAACUAAUGACAAGCUGAGAGUAUAACUGUAGUACCUCUUAUUAGUGCAAUGCAUGAUAUGAAUUCCAUCUCACAUAUAUAUGCAAGCCAUAAUCAAACCAAUAAACAUCCAACAAAAGCCACAAUCCUUUUAACAUUCGACCACAAGAUCAAUUUUCAUAUUUCCCAAACCUAGGUUCCAAAGCAUUGUUUCGAAUUAUUAAUACAAGAAACCACCACCACCUCAAUCAACUCCUAUUCCCAAGUGUAAGCAAUUACUAAAUGCAUCACUUUCGACUCUAGUCUUAAUUAGAUUACUUGGGAUACUCAUUCACACCAUCAGAUCCAAGUACUAUUUUGAUAAACUUUAAAUAGCAUGGUUAAAAUAAAUGAAACACUUUUAGAAAAUAAGUGAAGAUGUUGUUUACAAAUAUAGAUGCAUCUGUAUAUAAAAGCUUUGGCGGUUGAUCCGUAUACACUUCCAAAGAUAUAAGCAAGUUCAUUGGAAUAUACAUGCAUAGUUAAUGUAUUACAGUAUAAUUAAUAAGAAAACAAUUGCAUCCCUUUAAGAAUAUAUAUAUAUAUAUAUAGACACACACACAUACAUACACACAGGCCCUUUAUGCAAAGGAAUUUCCAUUUUUUUUCAAAAAAUGGGGAUUAGUUGUGGGGCCCACGUUGCAUUGAACUUUAACGAUCCGAACAGUCUAUUUUGUAAGUCUCGAUUCAUAUAUCAUCCUUGUAAAAAUUCAAUUCAAUCCGAACCCAUUUGCCUAUUUAAUUAUCAAGAUAAAAUUUUAUUGUUUCUUAUAUAACAAAGUAUUCGUUAAUUUCUUUGAACUCAAUUAGAUAUCUUAAACAUUUCCGAUUUGGUUAAUAUUUUGUAAGGAUGAUCUAUGUGGUGCAACUUGAAAAAUAGACGAUUACGAUCGUUAAAGUUCGAUGUGGUGUAAACCCUACAAUUAAUCUUCAUUUUUAUAAAAGAAUGGGAACCCCUUCCCUUAAAGGUUUCCUAUGUAUAUAUUUGUUCUCCAGACAUAUGCAGAAGGUAAUGUAAAACUAAUGAGAACUUAAAUGGAUAUUCCAUACAUAGGACAAUUCCAUAUAUGCUUUUUCAACAUUUAUAUCGAAAAGCCAAAUUGUUUUGAGGAAAUUAAUUGUAGCAAUGAUCCCUUAACUUUUAUCUUAUUGGAACAAUGGUCUCUCAACUAAAAAUUCAUGACCAUUGGUUCCUUAACACCACACAACGUGUAGUUAUGGUCAUUUUCAUUAACUCCGUCAGAACUUUUGUUAAAACAAGUAAUGUUAGAAGAAUCAUUGCUACAAUUAGGUUAAAGUUGGGGACCAUUGCUCUAAUUAAAUUAAAAUUGAGGGAUCAUUUCUCCAAAUUGCUUAAAGUUCAAGGACCAUUUCUACAAUUUUCUCAUCUAGUUUCCCAUAUUUACCCCAUGAUUCAGCUUCACAUGCAUUGCACAUGACUCAUUUUGACAAAAAAUUUAACAAAAUUGACGAAAAUGACCAUAAAUGCACGUUUUGAAGAGUUAAGAGACCAAUGGUCGUGGAUUUUAGUUGAGGGAUCAUUGCUCCAAUUUGGUUAAAGUUGAGGGAUCAUUGCUACAGUUUUCUCAAAUGUUUCGUAUGCGAAAAUAGGCAUUUGUAAAGUUUGGCUUGUUUAUGGCAUUAUUACUUUAGUCUAAAGUAAGGCUGGGAAUGGCACUGUAGAAAUGAAUAGUGUUCCAAUCCGAAUUUCAGUUUAAUUACAACAAUGCCAUUGCUCUUUGUGUUGCCUUUAGGUGAGCAGCCCGGCUUGCAGUCAGGCCCAAAUGUAUUGGUUUUAGCUGAGAAGCCCGGCCCUUGGUCAGGCCCAAAAUUUUAAAUUACAGUUUUGCCCAUACAAAAUAACAAUCCGAUUGUAUCGGGAAGGACAAUUUUGUCCUUUCAGUUUUGGGUGAGAUAAGGGGUAACAGGGUAAGUUUCAUUUGCUGUCGUUUAAUGAGGGUUUCGGGGAUGAGGGCUCUGUGUGUGUGUGGAUGAGAGAGAGAGAGAGAGAGAGAGAGAGGGAGAUGGCGAUGGAAGGAGAGCGAGGGGGAAGGGAAGGGUUCUCGGCACUGUUGCUGCAUGUGGAUUUCACAUGUGGGAGAGUGGGUAUGGUCAGAGAAAACCAUAUAGGUCAUUGGGAUUUCAGGGAAACGGGGUAGGGGUCAUGAAUGAACUCUGCUGAGAGUGUGGGUACCGGAUCUUGCGCUGCAUGCCUCAAAUCAAAGAUAAGUUCGUUUUUUUAUUGUAUUUUUUGUGGUAGCUUAGCUUUUGGAAUUGUUUAGUAUGUUAGGUCCGAUUUUGGGGGAUUUAUCUUUUUAGAGAGAGAGAUGGACAGGGAGAUAGAGAGAGAGAGAGAGAGAGAGAGGAGGAGGAAGCAUGACUGUGUGCAAUUUUUGGUGUUAAUUAAUGGGUUGGUGCGUAGGGUGAGUGACAGAGUGACAGAGUGAAGGAGGGACGUGUGGGAGGGUAUGAGUUUUCAGUUCUUUCUUUUGAUUCAACAGGUUAUACAUUGUUUGAAAAACCUUUUUUUAUUAUUUUUUUCUCGUUUGCUUUGUUAAAACCAUCAUUUGAAUUUUUGGGUUUCACUGUGUUCAUUUCUCUGCUUCUUCAUAAUUUGCUGGUGUUUGCUUUUCAUCCCUCUAUUGGUAGAUCUUUUUCUCAUUUCUUGGUUCCUUAUGUAUUCUUUGGUACAAAUCUAUUUACUUUUUGGCUGUGUGAUAAUCUUAGCAGGUGAACUAUAUGAACGUUUUUUUUGAAACGAGUUAAGAAGAUCCAGCUGAAAAGAGCAUGCAAGAUAGAGAACUGGUAUGCUGCUCGCCAGGGAAAGGCUGCUGGAGAGGCUGAGACGGAUGCCUCCUUCAAAAACCAGGUCAGUUUCCUGCUACUCGGCGUCUUAAUGUAUCCAAAUUGUUUAUCUUUUGAUGAAAUUAGCUGGCUUUAUUUUCUAUUUUAUUUAUCUGCAUAUUAUUUUGGUUUGUUGAAAUUUUGACUAUAGUCAUUGUGUCACAUGGGCGCCCAGCCCAACCCAAAUUAGUUGAGGAUAUUUAAAUCUUCACCAUGGUAUUAUAGUACUCACUCACAGUUGUGAAUACUAAGGUGCAGGCAUGGCAUGAAGAAGUGGACCGUGCACGCCAAGGUCAGAGGGAUGCAGAGGGCAAACUUUUUUCUUUGGAGGUAAGUAUCCUUUGUUUAUUGCCCAACAGUGUUGUUAUUAUCAAUUUGUAGCUUUGCGUUCUGAAUUUUUUGCUUUGUCAAACAACCUUUUUGAAAUGCUCGAUUUCAAGCCGAAGUCCAAAAAAUGAGAGUUGAGAUGGCUUCCAUGAAGAGGGAUGUAGAGCAUUACUCGCGCCAGGUGAAAUCUGCUUCCUCUCUUUUCGUAUAUCUUCAUAUGAAGAGUUUUACUAAGUUAUAUUGAGAACUAUGUUAUUUAUAGGUUAUAUUUUCCAUUUUGCAAGAACACAUGGAGCUAAGGAAGAGCUAUCGUGAACUCACUGAUCUACUGGUAAUGUCACUCAAACUGCUUUAUUUGUGCAUGCUGCUACUAUGCGCUUGAAUGCAUUUUAUUACUGGCGGGAUGCGAAGAAUGCUAGAUAUAUGUGCUGGAUCGCUUGAUUAGUGUUAGGGUUUUAACAACUAAUUGUUAGCAGCUAGAAGCUCUGGUUAGAUGAAUGCUAAUUUGAUUUUCCUUACAGUACUUGAGUGCCAGUUUCAUAUUGUUUGUUCCCUGCUGGAUACAUGCUGUACAGUUUCAUUUCUGUUUCUUCAUAACUUUCUUGGCCCUGCGAUAUAUGCAUAUUGAGUACAAUGAAUAUCCAUUGUUCUCUAACUGUUGGGCUUUACUAUCUUUGUAGCAGCCUGCCUAACAUUUUUUAGGCUCUACACUCUACCAUCCAAUUUAUGAAAAAUUCAAAGAUUGGACGGUAUUGAUUGCAUAAAUGAAAAAAAUACUAUGAUAUUAGAAAGGUGAAUGUAAUUGUGUUAGAAGAAGCGUCUAGCAUGAUGGGUAAUAUUUUAAGUUUGUAUUUCUAAAAUUUUUUCGUUCUGGAGUAUGAUUUACCUCAAUUGUUUUGUACUUUAAUCUUUACUAAUUUUCAUUGUGGAGUAUGAUUUGCCUCAACUAACAACUUUUCAUUGUUUAACUUUUUCCUCCCUUAGAUAGUUGCAUAUGUUUGAUUUGUUAAUCUGCUUCUUACACAUGUUGUUUCCUAAUGGUGUAGGUGGAUUGCCGGAUGCAUGUGCAGAUUACUUGAAUAGACGAAGCUAAGAAUGACUUAGUAUUAAGUGAGAAAGAAGCUUGGGUCAGUUGGAUUUUGACAUUUGAUUUAUUCAUGUUUUUUUGUUGCUUGCAAUGUUCUCUCAUUGUUUGUUCUGAGAUUCUGUGAUCUUAUUUUUCAUAGGAACUGACAUUGGUUUGCCAUAUAAUGUUUCAGGAACUAAUACAACAACUAAUCACCUUGCUUAGGUCUCAAGACACAUACUUAACAGGUUAACAAACGCUAACCUAUAAACUUAUCUACUAAGCUGGACCAUUAACCUCUGUUUAUAUCCCUGCCACUCAUCUUUUGGCACUUAUCAAUAGCAAAAUCUAGAGUUGUUGAAACCCCAAUUUUAAUGAAUAUUAUUUUUAGUUGAUAAUUAAAAUUAAUUGAUGAUUAAUCUAUUCCAUUGUGCAUUAUUUUAUCGCCAAAUACUUUGAAUAUUCAUUAGCAAAAGAUAUAGGGUUCACUAUUUAAUGAAUAGAAUUUUGAUGGUGGAUUGCAUUUCCUGAGUUAUAAAUGUGGUGAAUCCAUUAUUUACUAGCUGAAUAAUCAUAAUGUUUUGGCCACUUACCUUGAAUUUUGUUCAAAUUGAAGAAGUCACAUGUUUCUUUCUGUUGUUGAGGUAAUCUCUCUGUUGAAAGCUUCUAUUUCUUUUUUCUUUUUCUUUUUUUCAUUUGGGUAGAUUUUUUUUUUAUGGAUUUAUGUAUUUUUUUUCUUCAGAGAAUUCGAAAUGAAAUAAGAAUAGCGGAUUGAGCAUAAACAAAUUGAUGAAAUUUUUAUUUGAGUGUUUGUGUUGGUCCUUUUUUGAUUUGUUGAGGUUUGGAAUUAUUUGAGUUUUUUUGCUGUUAGUACUGUGAAGGAUGCUUGGCAAUCGCGAAAUGGGGGCUACCUCUUUGGAAAGAGAAGUCUCGCUAUCCAACCUCUCAUGAAUUACAAACAGGGUGCUUUCUUGCUGAAAAACCACUGAAUCAGUAGAACUUUCCUCGGUUCUUCAAUUCGAUUCGAAUAAUUUUUUUACCCAGAAAAGCCAGCGUUUCCUGGUGAGUUUUACAGCUUUCUCAAUGUUUUUUUUAUUUUGGAUUUGCAAAUUUGUUUUCUGUUCAAAUUUCCUUUUGUGAUUUUGGAGGUUUUGUUUAUCGAUUCUCUCACUCAUCUCUCAGCUCUCUCCCACUUUUGAGGUACAUGUCGUUGGAUUCCGUUUGCUGCUGUUGAUCUGCAGGUAAAGCUUCAAUUACCAUACAAAGUUUACAUUUUUCAUGAUUUCUUGAAUUUGGGUUUUAAACAAAGGAAAUAUUGCUAGAUUCUUAUCUUAUGUGCAAAUUACUGGCUAUUUGGAUUGGUGCUUGAGAUUUAGAGAAUGUCUCGCAGCUUUAAUUUCUUUUUCCUUCAUUAUUACUGUUUUCAAAAUUUUUAUUGCUGGGUAUUGAUAAUUUGUAGUAUGUGAGGGCUUCAAUAUGUUGGAAUUUUGAAUGGUUAUUGCUUCAUCGGAAUUUGGGUGGUCCAAAUUUUGAAUUAGAAGAAACCCAUUUGAUUAAUAUUUUUGGUGGAUUGGUUCUCUGUGUUUUCUUUGCUAUUUCUCCCCCAGUUGGAAAUUGGAAGCCCCAACUUUGAGCUCAGAGCUUGAAUUUCUCAAUCGUUCGUUUCUCUACACUCUCAUCAGUCACUCUUGAUCCUCUAUCUAAAGAACUGGGUAAUUUUCCAGCUCUAUCAAGUAAUACUCAAUUUAAUUGCUUAAUUGAGGUUUUUUGUUUCUCUUUUUCGCUCUUUCAUCAGUUCAUUGGCUUUGAUGUUGAGCUUAAGUAAAUGGGAGAUCAUUAAUUGGCAUUGUUCAAAAUAUAAUUAUGUGUUUUUGGAUUUGUGAAACGAUUUGCCUAAUGAUGAUAGUGGUUAAAAUAAAUUUUUCGUUAUGAAAGAGAACAUUGUUCUUCAUUUGCCUACGGUUUUAACUACAAAGUUAAACUACUAUGCUUUUGUUCAAUUGAUUGCAACUCAUGCCGCAGUUUGCUUCACAAACCUCUAUGGUUAGCUUCCAUACAGUAUGUUGCAAGUUUGAGGAUAUCUUUACAUCUUAAUUUUUGCUCUCUCUGGUUGCUUCAAGUUUGUAAUUUUACGUGUUACAUUGCUACUUGAUUUGAUUAUAAAAAUGCAAAAGAAAAUCCAUUUUGCUUUUAUUCAACUUAAAUGUAUCCUUUUGUUUGUUCAUAAUUGUGUUGAAUUUAUUCAACUUAAAUGUGUUUUAUUCAUCUGUUUACGCUUAAAACAACUGGUUCCCCUAGCAAUGCGCGGACCUAAUUUCUAGUACAUAUACUAAAAGCCAGCAGAAAAUUACUGUUCAUCAUGGGAGAUAGAGCACUGUUCAUUAACAGUGAAAGGGAAAAAAUGCCCUCGGUUUCUUCUUUACUUCACGUACUGUUUACGAAUUGCUACAGUAUAAAGUCCGUUUUGUCAUUCCUGUCCACGCAUCUUUCAUCGUCCGUUUCUCUUGCUUCGACCGCAUCUUUUUCGCUUUACCUUUCCUCUUCGUUUUUCGCCUUCGCUAGGCUGCAAUUUUCGGAGGUGGAUUGUUUGCCCUUCUAUUUCCAUGCUCUCCCCAUGCCCUCCAUUGAUGUGUGGUCACGGUUAAACUAUGUCAACAUUUUAUAUUAAUUUUUUUAUAGAAAUAAUAAAAUAAAAAGUAAUAGGUAUCCAGGAAAUUUUCGUCAAAAUAUCCAGGAAAUAGGUAUCCAGGAAAUUUGCUUUACCGAUAUUUUAAUAGGUAUCCAGGAAAUUUGCUUUACCGAUAUUUCGCCGAUAUUAUCGGUUUUUUGCUUUACCGAUAUUUUAAUAGGUAUCCAGGAAAUUUUCGUCAAAAUAUCGCGAUAUUAUCGAUAUUAUCGAUAAUAUCGCGAUAUUUUAGAUAAUAUCGAGACAUUUUGGUUUCUCGACAGUCAGUCACAAUCUCGCCGGAGAAUCAGAAUAACUCCGAGCAAGAACAAAACCUGCAACCAAACGGAACAAAAUCAUCACUAUCUUUCAACAAAAAUCACCACUUUAUACCAAAAUCAGUGACAAAAUUACACUAAUCCGAGAAGCAAGGGCUUGAAUUCGAGCAAGAUCUGGAAGAAAACAGUAGAAGCUGAGAAAUCGAGUACCUCACCGGCAGUUACAGUGCUAAAGAUCAUCAUCUUUGGAAGGCCGCGGAUCAGACGGAGCUGAGAGAUCAAUGAGUAAGCAUUUCAUAGAUCGUAUUCGAUGAGCAGCUGAAAGAGAGGAGAGAGAAAGCAGAGAGAGACGCGGACGAGGAGGAUCUCGCUGAUGGGGACGACGAAGGAGAGGUAGAGGUCGCGGCCCGCGGGACAUGGUGACGGGCUCGACGAGGAGGAAGGCGAAGGAGGAGCAGAGGAGAUGGGUGCGUGCGUGCUGCGGUGCAGAGAAGAGAGAUGAGGGAGAUAUGAGAGAGAGAGAGCCGAGAGGGAGACAGAAGAAAAAGAAAAGAAAACAGAAAGAAGAAGAAAAGAAGAAGGGAGUCGCGGGGGAACAAAGAGAGAAAAGAGAAAAGUGGAGGGGCUGCCACGUGGCCACUUCAGAAAGAAAGGGAUCCAAUGUUUUGGAUCCUGAUUGGGUAGUCAAAGAGGACCAAUUUGAUAUAUUAAAAUGUUUAGGGGAUAAUUACACAAAUAUAUCUUUAUAAAUGGGGGUGGGUGUUACAUAUUGCCCUAAAAAACUCCAAGUAAUUACAACAUCGUAUUAGAAUUGUAAUUGAUCCUUGUUAGAUUUGGUUUAGAAAUUCUAUGUAAUUUAGUGAUUGUUUCAUAUUAGAUUUAGAUUUGAAUUUUUUACUCCAUUCAGAUUUUAAAUGAUUAUAAUAGAUUUAAAAAUUUACGAACUUUGAUGAAGUUUAAUAAUUUUUAAAACUUUUAUGUAAAAUUUUAAGUGAAUUCCCUCAAAUUUUCAGGUAGCGAUUUGAGAAUGUUUAAAAUAUUAUGUGAAAUAUUUCUAAUUUUUUCGAGUUUCCCAGCUUUUUAAAAAUCUCUUUGAAUCAAUUUCUAAAUUAAUACAUUUGGAAUGUAUGAAUUUCUUAAAAAUCAUGAUCGAAUACCCCUUAAACUUUAAAGAAUCACUUAAAAUCCUAAUUAAAUGCCCUUAGAUUUUUAAGGAGAAUUAAAAUGUUUAUAAGCCCCAAUUGGAUGUACCGCUUAAUUUAACUAAUUGACACAACACAACAUAACCAGUUAAGAUUACAAAUUAACACAAAAGACGACUUGAUGCGAGGUCAUAUCUACAAAACUUGCCGCAAUAAGCCCCAAUUGGUGUGUUUAAACUUCUUUCAUUAAUUACUACAUAUUUUCUACACUCAUAAUGUUUGUCAGCUCGCUAUAUAAUCAACUUGAUAAUGUUAAAUCCAUCAUGCAAUGCAUUUCCUUCCAAUUUUUUGUGAUAAACUAAUAGAUAAUUGACUAAAUAAACAUCCUGCAAAGUUUCAAUAAAAAUUUUCAAGUUUUUUUUACAAUUUCCGUGAUUUUCAUGUAAUUUUUAUCGGUAUCGAUAUUAUGCCGAUAUUUUUAUCAAUAUUUCCGUGUUUUCGAGUACAUAUUUCCGAUAUUACCGAUUCAUCCGCGAUUUUCUCCCUUUUCGCCAGCCCCUCUUUUGCUCUCAAAUCCUUGCUCUUUCUUUUUCAAACUAGUCUCAGAAGAGAUCCUGGGUUUAUCUAAUCCUUUGUUGUUCGGCGUUUUGUUCUCAUCUUGCGAUCGUCGGGGCAGCAGCUUUAAGGUAAGUUUGUUUUUAAUGAUUUAUCCUCAAUUUACGAUGUCUGGGCUAACAAAUUUAAGAUCUUUAUUUUUCUUUUUGCUGUGGAUCUGCAGGUUUUGACAAGUUUUUUGUGAAAUUGGUGCUGUCAGUGGGUGUUAAUAUCAGGUACCCAUGUUCAGUUUUUCGUUUUGAUUUGAAGGAAUUUCUUGCGCAGAAGAGCUAGGUUUCUUGGUGAGUUCUUCGGGUUGUGCAUAUGGGUAAUUUUCUUUUAGGUAUAACCCUCUGCUUCUGCUGCUCUCUCUCUCUCUCAUCCCUGCCUGCUCCUCUCCAAUUGUUUGCUGUUCUUAAAUAUUGUGUUCAUUGCCUGAUACAAGGAGCUGCAGCAAUCUGUUUUAUCCUACACGGGACAACGAGGCAAUGGCGUGACAACAAGUGAGCUUGGAUAUCCAAAGAAAAAGAACAGUUGGUUCAUCUGCUGGAGUCUGAAGCUCAGAGAAGUGGAGGAAAAUUGCAGGUGUGCGAGAAAUUUUAUUUUGCUGAUAGGACUCCUUAUUUACCGAUGCAUUUUGAAUUAAUUGAAAAGUUGGAUUUGAGUUAACAGCUAUAAAAAUGUAGACAUGAUUGCUGAGAUUAUGCUAUGAAAGUGGAAUAAAAAAAUGGUAGUUUAUAAUAUUGCGUACCAAUUUUUUUCUCUCUUUUUUACCAAAUGAUAAGGGUGGUGGCUCAGGCCGCCCCCCUACGCGUCCCCACUCUUCGACAAGUUGAAAUCAUGGUGAUAGUUUAUGGGUUGCGGUCUUGGGAUUCUGCAAAUAGAAUAAAAAACAGACACUUAACUAUCUUGUUAUUAAGCAUUUCUGCAUCAUUCAGUUGCUCUUGAUUUUCGUCUUUUAAGCGCUCUUAUUUCUGCGAUCUGACUUGAGGAGGGGUUUUAGACCUAUGGUUGUGGGUGUUUUGUCUGACCCCAUUAAAUUGGUUUCCGAGAUUUGUAGACUUGCGAUCGGCGGUCAAACAUUUCGUGAUUCUUGCUUUUUUUCCGACUGGGAUUGACGAAUUUUGGCCGAAUCUGUUUCCUGUUUUCUUCUCUGUUUGAGCGGCCGCUGCCUUUCGGUCGUUGAGCGCCGGCAGUCUUUAGAUCUUUGGCAAAUCAAUUUAAUACAACCGAGGUAUGUUUUAUAACUGCUGUCUUUCAAUUUUUGUUCUGUAUUUUUGUUAAUUUGGAUGAAGCUCUAAUAAUUUUGUUUUGGAUCAGUUGUGGUCCUCUGUUAGGAUUUUCCUGGCUAAGAGGGUAUUUGCAUUUUUGUUGCUUGGUUGGUCGAUCCAGUGUAUUAAAAGCGUGAGGCGUGGGCGAGGCGUCCGAGGGAAGCUCGGCCUAGGCGUGAGGCGUGAGGCGAAGCCUCAUGGGACCUAAAUUUUUUAAUAUAUAUACAUUGAGCGUACACAUAUAUUAUAUUAAAAAUAAGAAGAUUAUUAAUCAAUAAUCACCUUGAGCACACACAUAUAUUAUAAAUAUAUACACACACACAUAUAUAUACAUAUAUUAUAUUAUAUAUGCAUAAAAUAGAGGAUGAAAAACACAAUGAGCACACAUAUAACAAUGCACGCAAACAACACACACAUCCAUUAUAUAAAAAUAAAAAUCAGAAAAAAGGCAUAGAGACAAAAGUGCAAGGAAGAUGUAUGAGACAGUUAAAAUCCUACCCAAAAUUUGGGUUUGGGAGUAAAGAAAAAAAAAAAAAAAAAAAAACUCACUGAGGCGCGCCUAGGCGGCUCCGGCGACGCCUAGGCGGCCUUUCGCCCACUCCAGCAAAACUGAGGCGUUAGCCAUGGAGCCAAGCCUCAAGGGCGCCCUAGGCGCGCCUCGAGGCGAGUUUUUUAAAACAUUGGGUCGAUCACAAAUUUACGAACAGCUGUGGUGGUCCUGUUAGAGCCAAGCCUCAAGGGCGCCCUAGGCGCGCCUCGAGGCGAGUUUUUUAAAACAUUGGGUCGAUCACAGAUUUACGAACAGCUGUGGUGGUCCUGUUAUUUUUUUGGUAUGUUUUUUCUCCUUUUUGGUUUUUUCCCGGUUUGAGCACCCAUUCAUGAAGAAUUAAAAUGUGUUUAUAGUUUUUCAGGAGAGAUUAGAAAAGUGAUUUCAAUUUGGGAAAAUUUAAUGUUGGUUAAAAUUUGUUUAUAAUUUUUGGGAAGGAAUGAGAGGACCCAUUGAAGUAUGUGUUGUGAUUAUUUUUUAUUCAUAUUUUUAACAAAUUGGGCAUGAAUUGGUAGGUUAACUGUGUGUGUUUAUUAUUUGAAUCGGCCAUGUUUGUCUUUCUAUGGUUCUAAAAAAUUUGUAAAGGCUGUUAACUUGGAAGAAAAUGGGAUCGAGGGUGAGGGGAAAACAGCAGAGAAAGCAUGGAAGAGAGAUUUGGGAUUAGGGGUAGGAAAACAGAUGAAAAGAAUAUGAUAGAGGAAUGGGUUCAGUUCAUUUUCACUAUUUUUUUUAACUGAUUUGGAUUUUGUUUGGGUUUGAGGCCAUCAUUGGCGUUAAGACGUUUAUUAUCAGAUCGUGUGUGUUUUUUGCUAACUUUUAUUGGUAAUUUUUAUGUUGUUCUUAUGAUUUUGUGUGGUAGGGUUUCUGAAUUUUAUCGUUGUUCAUUUGGUUUUUUCUGAAUUUUAUCUGAUUUUGUGUGGUGAGUUUACAAAAUAAUACUAAAUAAAUUUAUUUGUAAUUUCGGAUGAUUGUGAUUCAAUCCUACUACAAUUGAAAUUCACAGAAAGAAUGAAAAACCAGAACAAAACUGCAGCACCUAAAAAGUUGUCAUACAAAAAAACAUGGAAUGUAAAAAUAUGUUAAGAAAUCUAGUUCGUUAAUUUCCAGCUGGUAAGCGGCAUUAUGUAACUUUAGUAGUAUAACUAAUUAACUACUUAUCUAGUGGGUUGCACUUCUAUCCUUGAUCUCAGUUGUGGCUGCAAAGUGCAGGCCACCACCAAGUCUCAGUGUUUGUGUAUUAGCAAAACACUUAAAUAAAUUAAAUUCUGAAAUGUAAAUUAUAUUCCUAUAACUUUAAGAUGCACAUAUAGUAUUGUUGAAGUCGAACUGAAAGCACUGACAAUUCCAAGCAACAGAGCAGCAAUUAUUAAGAGCCAAAACUCAUUCCUAGUCUCCUCAUCCUGGUACUCUACUCCGUAAUCUUCGUUCAGCAUCAUUGACUGAAAUUAGGAGAGAAAAAGAAAAGGAAUUUCAGAAAUUGUCUAUGAAGCAAAGGAUACUGCAGUUACUUCAAGACAUGUAAAUUGCAUAUGUAUAAAGUAAUUUUCUACAUAAAGUAACGAGGCAUAACUCUCUCUCUCCUCUUCAAACCCUAAACAGAGCAAAGCCACAAACUUUACAGAGAUUAGAAUGAGAACUGGAAUUAAUAGAACAAUGACUGAAAAGUAACAUACUUGAGGAGUGAAUGAUUUAGUGUUUCCAUCAUCGGAAAGCCGGAGUAAGUCGCUAAGAGAGGUCGCAAACAGCCCAAAGGGACAAACCCAGACCCCCGGCCCCGAUCCAUACCCUUCCCCCUCAAAUCCCGACGGCCCCCAUACUUUUCUCUGACUGUACCCCCUCUCCCACUCAUGAAAUCGAGGAUCUGUAGCAAUGGUACUGAGAUCCCCACUCCUCCCCCUCCCUUUCUCUCUGUCACUCUGUCUCCCUCUCCCUCUGUCUGUCUAUCUUUAUCCCAGAGCGGCAUGGCCUCGCAUCCCUGAAACCCUCACCGAAAGGUGGCAAUUUUGUAAAUAACUUGAAAUCCACCAACAGCAGGGGCAGAGAAUUGAAACAGACAUUUAGGCUCGUUCGAUAACCAUUUAGGCCAAAACUGAGCACACCUAAACCAUUCCUACUCGUGCCAAAUGUUAGCGGGGAAGCAAGAUGAUGACUUUAUUGUUCAAAACCAAAAGAAAAAAAGAGAGAAAACAAAAUAACAAAUCUAAUGGUUGUAGUGUAAAAGCUGAGAACGUAAAUAAACAUGCAGGGAAAAAAAUUGAAGAUACAAAGUAGCUGCAUCAUGAAACACUUGCUCCAAUUAGACGCAAAAAGUGAUGGUGAUGAGAAGAGAGAGAAAAUGCAGUCGUUUUGAUUUUUCUGGCUUUUAAAGGGAGCAGCUUUCUUCGACCACCAAAAAAAGGAAGCUGCUUUUCGUGUGGUUGUGAUUUCCUGAGUGUAUGUGAGCGGGUCUAUGGCACUUGCACUUUUUGUGUCGGUUACGGUAACCGGGCGAGGUGGACACGGCGGCGUGGGACUGAAUUCGGAGAGGUGAGAAAAAUUAAAAACACAAAAAGAAGGUGUUCAUUUUGUCACAUUUUUAUUACUAAAAAUUCAAUAAAGUACAUUCAUUAGUAUGGUAACUUAACUAUUUAAUUCCAUCUCAUUAAACUAAAAAAAACAAUUACAUAAAAAUAAGGGAAACCUUGUCCAGAGAGACCUGAGAGAAAGUGACGACUUCUCCUCUCAUUCCACUCCAUACUUGAUCUCUAAAGUCCAUUUGGCAUGUAAUUGAUGUUCAAUUUCAAAUUUAGUGGUAGCAAUUAGCAAAGCUAAUGAAAGAAUAAAAUAAAAUGAAAGAAAAAGCAUCAUGAAAUAAAUCAAGAUGAAGAAUGAAAUUUUGGCAACUCGCCAUUCUCUUCUUUUAUACAAAAGAUACAUCCUAUUUGUAGUGAAAACAGGUCCCGACAAACCCAGUUAUCGUCAAGAAGUAUUUUGUAUGACUUUAAAAACAUAUUCCGAGAAAUUAUCUCUUGGCUGAGAACAACAACAAAUCUUCAUGCAUAGCUUGUAGAGAAAGACAUCAGGCAUACAAAAGAACACGCAAGCAUAAAAUAAACGACGCAGGGAAAACCAAAAAUACAAUUGGAUACGCUGUCAAAAGAACAUAAAUAAAUGAAAAUUACAAAACAAAGAAGUGAUGAGAAACCAAAGUACCCAUUUCAUAAUCUAAUUGCUUUUUAGUUUGCUUGCCAUUUUUAGUUCUUCAAUUUAGAGAGAAACCAUAAUUCAGCACAUGAAUAAAGUGAAAACAUAAAAGAUAUGUGGGAUAAGCUAACAGCCAUCCCUGAGUAAUGCAUUCACUUCUGAACCCCAAACACACCAAAACAAAAAUUCACACACAUGAACUACAGCUCUGCUAUGUAACAAGAAUUAAAAGCAUCUCAAAACAAAAUGGCAAACUAUAAGAGCAAUGUAAAAGUAAAAUUGCAAGAAAUCUAAUACUUGGAGGGCAAGUACUAAUCAGACGAAAAUGAAAGAUUGAACUACCUCGCGUGGAACUGUGCCUUGGUUUUUUCCCAUGCUUACAGGAAGCUUUGCACUGAGCUCUUAUAGCCCAAAUUUUCUCUGAAGGGAAAAAAACACAAUUUUGAAAUAAGAUUUUCAUAUUAUACCUUAAAGAGAAGAAUUAGACAACAAAAAAGAGAACAAUGAGUACUUUUCAUCAUAUAUUGUUAGAGUAUGUGGUCCUCUAGUCCAAUGGUCCUGCAGCCAUAUUUACUUUAUAACUCUUUCUUUAGUCUAAAAACAUCUUGGAUCUCAAAUUAAUAUGAAUACGGAUUCAUACGCAUGCAUUGCAUUACAAUCACAAUGCAACAUCUCAUUAGAAAUCCCCACACAAAAUUCUUUUAUUGCUACUUUGAUUUUAGUUUAUAUUUUUUCUGAAGCACGAGGGAGCUAAUUUUUUUUUAAAAAUUUUUUAUUCCAAUAAUGUUAUAGGGUUGAAAGGAUAUUAUCAAUUUAAUUGAUUGUAUUUGAUUGGUGGAACUUCUAUAUCUAUAUUUCAGGUUUUCAAAUUCAGCACUGGGAGAGUCAUUCAUAAAAUGUUUGACAGUGAGAUUACCUCCAUGGAUUAUGCUCACAAUGGACAGCUCAUUUUCCGCGGUGAUGGGACAAUAUAUUUCAGUCAUUCGCCAUUCAAUCAAUUCAAACCGAGGAACAAGCAACAUCAAGAAGAGGAUCUGCCAUGUCAGGAUCACUGUCGUCCAAUUAAUACAAAAAAUCUAGAUAAAAACGAUCAAUUUACAUAAAAGCCUUUCAUUUUCUCAGCAACCAAGCAAAAGAAAAUACCUAUCCGUUAAACACUCGAUUUGGGAGUAAACGUUGCUGAAACUGGACUUCAAUCCCCUCAACCGCAACAAUCGAAUCGAGGUGUGCAAGUCAUUGAAAAACUCACCCAAGAUUUCAAAAUCUGCAUAAAGAAAUAAAUAAGCACAUAAAUUAGCCAACCCUGUUAUGAUCCCACAUCGGGUACACAAGAAAUUGUGUAGUGGUACUUAAGUGCAAGGGGUCAUCCCACCUAUUGGACUAGUUUUUUGGAUUGGGCUCUUCCCUUGGGCUUGAGUACCUAACAUUGGUAUCAGAGCCUAGGUUCCCGACGCUGCGAGACUUGGCGAGUGGUGCCGCCUCAUGGUGCCGCCUUGGGAGUAUGGGCUCCCAAGGGUCUUGGAGACGGGCAAGGUAUGAAAUGUCGAUAUUAUCGCGAUAUUUCGCCGAUAAUAUCGGUUUUUUGAGUUACCGAUAUUUUAAUACUUAUCCACUGAGUUUUCGUCAAAAUAUCGCAAUAUUAUCGAUAAUAUCAACAAUAUCGCGAUAUUACCGAUAAUAUCGCGAUAUUUUGGAGAUGUGCGAAUCGGAGAAGAAGGCCGGAGCUUCUACAGCUCCUGCCGACUGUAAAAGAGCACCCUAGACUCCGAUCUAGGUAUCAAAAUGAAAUACAAGACGAGAGGAAUGUUUUUAUAACUUCCGUUUGCCGUGAAACGGUCGAAGGUGUUCGGAAAGUUCGUCGACACCCACGGCCUCGCCAGAGAUGGGUGUGCCUAUUCUCGAGCCGAUUUCGUCCCAAAAACCUUGCAAAAACACGAGAUAGAACUUAAAUUUCACAUCUAAGCUUCAAUCUAGAAUAGAAUGAGGUAAACCCGAAGCUUACCUAACCGGAGAAAUUCAAGAAACUCGCCAGAGGGUUCCUGCGUCGCCGAGUUGCAGAGACGAGAAAGAGAUGGAGAAAGACGAGGUUGCUGAUAACGAUGGGUGUCUUCCUCAAGCAGGUGCGAUGGUGUGCGUGUGUGUAUGUGGGUCUCGGUGCAGAGAGAAAGGAGAGAGAUGAGAGUUUCAAGAAAGAGACGGCGCCAACGAGAGCUAUUUGUUUUUUUUUAUCUUAAAAAGAGAGAGGUCUAAGAGAAAUGGGAAGAGAGGGCCGAGUGAAAUGAAAGGAGGUCCUUGAAUUAUUGAGAGAUAUCUCUGAGAGAGGCCUAGGAUUUCUAAAAGGUAAUUAGAAAUGGGAAAAAUGGGGCACAUCUUAGCCUUUAUUUUGGAAUCCUAAGAAGUUCACCACAUGGAUGCAUGACAUGUGUGCAUGCCAUGUCUGUUGAAUGGGAAAAGUCUGACAUGGAAAGACAAAGAGUCGUUUGGUCCUCUGGGCUCGAGGCAAGAUAGAAAGUGCUAGGGUUUUUUUUUCUGAAAUGAACAUAAGCUGCUAAAUUCGCAUAUAUUAUAGUUGUUGCUAAAGAUUGACACUAGUGCGGACUUGGACGUGUUGGUCAACAUGUCCUCACAAUCCCCAAGUUCUCCGGUUCGAACCCUUACGCCCAUCAAAUUUUUCUUUCUUUUCGAUGCGCUUUUUCCAUGGCUCUAGGUCUUGAUUUCGAAUCCAGGUGAGCCCUUUCCUUUUUCUUUUUUUUUUCUUUUUGUUUUAUUAUUUGUUUAUUUUAAUUUAUUUGUUUCUUUUAUGUUUUUCCUUUCUUUUAGUUUCUUUGUCUUAGGCGUUCGUGUUUAUUAAAGUAGGAUGUAAAAUCAAUUAUCUUAAAAUUAUGUGUUUUUAAAUUUUGGACUUGUUUGUUGGAUACUUUUUUUGCAUUUUAUCAUUAUUUUAUUAUGAAAAUAUGCUAAAAUAUGCUAAAAUAUCACUUAUGUUUUUGUGAAAAUAUGCUAAAAUAUUUAUAUAUAUGGUUUUGUUUUGAAUUCUUUUUGUACUAAUUCAUUAUAUAUAAAUGAUUAUGGUGUGUUUAAACUUCUUUAAUUAAUUACUACAUAUUUUCUAUACUCACAAUGUUUGCUAGCUCGCUAUAUAAUCAACUUAAAUCAGUAAAAUCCAUCAUGCAAUGCAUUUGCUUCCAAUUUUUUGUGAUAAACUAAUAGAUAAUUGAUUAAAUAAACAUCCUGCAAAGUUUCAAUAAAAAUUUCCAAGUUUUUCUUACAAUUUCUGUGGUUUCCAUAUUAUUUUUAUCAAUAUCGAUAAUAUCCCGAUAUUUCCAUCGAUAUUUCCGUGUUUUUGGACUACCGAUAUUUCCGAUAUCAUCGAUAUUUAUACCUUGGCGACGGGGGACUUGCCGACUGGUGCCGCCAUGGACGUUGGGUCUUUCGAAAGGUGGUGUAAUGUUAUGAUCCCACAUCGGCUACACAAGAAAUUGUGUAGUGGUACUUAAGUGCGAGGGGUCCUCCCACCUAUUGGACUAGUCUUUUGAGUUGGGCUCUUCCCUUAGGCUUGAGUACCUAACAAACCCAUAAAUCAAAGAAAUCAAAAUCCACCCAGAAUCAAAGAAAUCAAAAUCCAUCCAAAACCAAAGAAAUCAAAAUCACACACAGAUAUACAAGGUGUACAGUAUUGACAUGCCUUAAAUGAUAUUAUUCACAAGAUUUAUAAAGCUCAUGUUGUAAUACUUGUGCAGAAUCUAUCAUUCACGGCGUCACUUUUGUGCAAGUCGUAAAUAAAAUUAUUCACGAUUUAAACAUUGUGUGUCGUAUUUGACAAUUUAUACUACGCACUUUCUUUUUCUUUUAAAGCUUUGCGUUAUGUCGUAAAGUUGACUUUCUAUAUAUUUGGGUUGUACCUUUUAUGGCGCAAAUAACACGUCGUAAAUAAUGGCUUUUAGCACAGAAGUUUUGUGGUAAAGAAGCCCGCGCACUAAUUCAUUCUCGCGCCUUCUCUUUUUUAUUUAGCCGCUUCUUUUUUUGGUUUUUUUUUUUUUUAAAAUUCCCCUCAAAUCUUAAAAGGGUUUGUAUUUUCUUUGGUAAACUUGAAAGAGAAACAUUGCAAUUGCAUUUUCAUUUACCCAAUAUUAAUUGUCGAGAGCCCACCCCCUUCCCUUCUCUCUGACAUCGUAACUCUCUCCUCUCCAUCGAUCUCGCUCCAUCUGCUCGCCGUCGCUCUAUAUGCUCGUCAUCGCCGUCGAUUCGUCUGCUCGUCGUCACCGUCGCCCAUCUGCUUUCCGUCACCGUCGAAGUGCCCCGCCAUUCAAAAUCUGAAAUCCCCAAUACAGGGUGCUUUGCGGCAUUUCGUUCUCCAAAACUUUAGGUAUGCUCUCAAUCUGUAUCAACCCUAUCCUGUCACCUCUACUUCAAGGUGAACAAUUUAUAGUUUAUAAAUUUUACUUGUGUUAAUAUAUAUUUUUUGGUAAAUGUUAUGGAUAUUUUAUCAAAUCAGAGAGUAAAUUCGUAUUAAGUGAAGAUUGGCAAAGAACAUAUUGUUUUGAAAGGUUGAAUAAUGUUUGCAGAUCACAUAAAUCAGUAGUUGUCAAGUCCAUAAGAGAAGCAAGAAAUCGGAAAGCAAGGCUUCGACUAAAACCAAAUAAUGUCAAAUUAAUUCAAGAUUGGAAGACUUUCCUUGCAAAGUGUAAGCUCAUUUUCAUUUUCUUUCAUUUCUAAGAUUAGUUAUCUUCUUUUGAGUUCAAAAUUGGGUCAGAGAAAUCAAACUGAUAGUAGUUAAAAGUCUAUUUCAACACCAAGCCUUGUCUACACAAGAAUUUGGUGUUAGUUAAACAUGUGUAUGAUUCUAUCUUGAUUGCAUGUUAAUUUAGUUUGAAGAUAGAUUUGGUACAUGCUAGCUAAUUGAUACGUGAUAUGAAUCUUUGGUUUCCUUUUGAUAGGACAAAAGUGAAACAUUCAGAGAGAUGAAGUCUAAGCAACUCCGCACACAUGUAGUCGCAAGGGAUAUGGUAGGUUGGCCGAGGAUUUGGUAAUUACAUUUCAUUCUAGUGCCUUCUUUUCUACAGGACAAGAACAAUUUACUAAUUUUAUUCUGUGUUCUACUGUGUGUUUACUACAUAUAUGUUUCUAUUUUGUAGAAAAGAAAAAGUGUAGACCCUUCUCUAGUUUCUAGAGGUGAUGUUUGGAUUGCAGCACAUACUAAAAAGGGUGGUGGACCAUCCAAUUUGCUUGCUGCAGAGACUAUUGUAAGUAAUUUUUAACCAUUUAUUUCUUCUUGUUUGUUGAUAUGCAAUGACGGAUGAGGUCUUAACUUUGAUGUGCAACGUUAGGAAAAAAAUUAAGCAAUAUGGAAAUGGAUCAUCAUCUGGUUUUCGAGGUGACGUUCUUUCCAAAGUUUUUGGUGCUGAGCGACAUGGUCGUGCAAGAGGAGUUGGAGGUGGUGUUCCUCCUACAAAGCUUGGAAUAUUUUCACAACAAAAAUUGCGUAAUCACCAAAUGGAUGAAAAGGUGCACAAUUUAACUAAUCAGGUCAGAGCACUGACAGAAUUGGUGCAUCUUUUUAUGAAAAAUCAGGUUAGUGAUUUAAUAACAUUGGUAUCAUAUUGAAUAUUUGUGAAAUCAGUUGUAGUGACACAUCAAAUCACAGGGUAAUGAUCUACCAAGUGAGGCAUCUCCUGACACACAGGUUGCAGCUCCUGAGGCACAUGUUGAUACUGUCGCAAGAACUGAAACUCGUCUUUCCCAAUGCGCAACAAAUGAAUCGUGGUGGCGAGGUUGAUACACUUUUUCAAUGAGCCUUCUAACUAUUAAUGCUCAUUGACUCUGUUAAAAGCUCUGCCAUUUUCAAUCUAACUAGACACUAGAAAUGAUCAUUGACUCAGUUAAAAGUUUUGAUGCUUUGGUCCUUUUGCAUAGUUGCGCAUCUACUGAUUUCUAUUUUUUUUCAAAUCCUGCAGGUUAUUUCUGAAAACAUUGAAACAUCGUGGUGUGCCAGAUGGUUUGAUUAUAAGACACCUUCCUUUUGGUCCACCAACUUAUUUAUAACUGCUAAAUGGUACGUAGUGUGAUAAUUUUCAAAUAUUUUGAUAUUAAGACAGGUGUAGGACAACAUAGAAAUUCUUAGGGCCUUCAGCAACAAAAUUAUGAAAAAGUGAGUGAGAUACAAUUAAAAAAAUGAAAGAGAAGGAUCAUGAUUCAUGAUCUAAAGGUUUGAAUAGGGUAGAAAGGAUUUAGUUUCGUUGUUAAAAUCGAUUUGUGAGUCUAUUGUUAUUGUAUUGUCAAUUUGUUUAUUUACUUGAACUUCCUAGUAUCAAUUUGGUUCGAUAUAUCUAGCACCACCAUAGAUAUAUCUAGUAUCAAUUUGGUUAGAUAUUGUCAAUUUGUUAUUUUAUUGUCAACUAUAGAAUGUGCAUCAGUUGUAAAAGGAACAAAACAAUUCAGAUUUUUUGUUUAUGUCCAAACUUAGAAUUGUAUUGUAAUUGACAAUUUCUACUAAUUAAUCCAAGUAUUUGGAGUUUAAUAUGUUUAUGAUCAAUAUUGUUAUCCUUGUAUUGUAUCAGUUUAGAUGUUAUGAAGUGAGGUCUGUCUAAAAAUGAUAUGCUAAAUAUAGAUGUAAAUUACGGCAUCUAAAAUCAGCAAUAAUUGUUGAUGGUAGUCUUUUUUUUACGAUGUAUGCCGUAAUCACCUUCACAAUAUUACGACACUCAACAAAUGCUGUAUCAAAUAUAAAUUACUGCACACUAGUAUGUCGUAAUUGUUUUUCAGUAUUACGACACCCUAUUAACGCUGUAACUAAUACCAAUUAAGGCACGUAGGACAUGCCUUAAGAACAUUUAUGGCGUGUUUUACUUAAAUUAUUCACGACUAUUAGAGUACGUUGUAUUUGUCAAAACAUCUUUUACAACAGGGGCUUUUACUGCUUGGAGGCUCAAGCCGUGAAUUUCCAUUUAUGGCACCCUUUGUGCGCCGUAAAAGGCCAAUUCUAUUGUAGUGAUCCAUGGGUACAUUUUUAAUCUACAUGUUUCGUUUUAAUAUAUCUAUUGCUAUAAUAUGUUUUGGUUGGUUCAAAUUCGUUUUACAUAAAUAUAUGGGUACAAAGUUUUUGGAGAAUAUUAUGUAAAAUGGUUUUUAAGGUUGUUGCAUUUUAUGUACCCACAUAUGCAUGUCUAUAAAACAAUGUGGUAUGAUGUACAUUCUUUUCCUUGAGUUUUUAAAUGUACCCAUGAGUUUUCUUGUAAAUUCGGUAUGUAUCCAUAUGCUAUUUAUGUUAUGGGUACAUACAUUAUUUUUGGUCUAAGUUGGUGGGUACAUUGCUUUUGUAUGUAUGAAUUCAUUGGGUACAUUAUUUCCCUUAAUACUACUCAAUAAAAUUCACAAAAAUGUGCAGUGUGCAUGAAUUUUUAUUGUAGAAAUUGUUUUUUUUUAUUUUUAAUUUUUAAGUCUCAUAAUUCGUGAAUUUUGUACAUAUUGAUCCCAUAAAUUUUUGAAUUUUAUUAAAUUUUUUUUAGACUUGAUCGAUUGAUUGAAUCUCAUAAUAAUCCCUUAAAUGUUCCAAUCAAUAUUUUAAAAUACAGCUUUUUAUUUAAGAUUUCAAAAAGAUGACAUGAAAACAUAGUAAUACUAAAAUUUUGUUUUAAAUUACAUUUGUGUAACAAUCAAUGGUAUGUUAAAACUGGGCAAAAAAAAAAAUGGUAUAUUAAAAAAUUAUAAUUUAUUCUUUUUUUCAUAACUGUCUUCUGCUUAGAUUAAUUUUUUCCAACGUUUCUCUUCGGGAGAAUUAGUUCUUACCAAUAUAUAUGCACAUUAUCUGCUUUUUACCUGGUCUUAACACAUGAUUAAUUACUUUCCUACCUGCUAACGCGUUGACUUGCGCAUCCAAAGUAUUAUCAAAGUCACUGCCACCAAAAAGGUGCCCACUCCACAACCUUUGGUUGAACCAAAGAACAUCACAACAAUAAGGAAAUCGUUAAAUCUAUCUCCGCAACAUUUUUAUUAAUCAUUAGAUAGAUUAAACGAUCCCCCUAUUCAUAUUGUGUUCUUUUGUUGAACCAAACCAUGUCAACAAAAUAUAUCUAUGGUUAAAGCAUCUAGAUUCAAGCUUUUGGAUGUGCAACUUAAACCCCUCAAUGAAUAGCCAAGCAAUUUAUCAUGUGUUUACAGUAGGUCAAAAGAAGAAAGUGUUUGUCUAUAUAUUAAUAGGAACUAAUUCCUCUGAAGAGGAGAGAUGGAAGUGAUGAUAAUAAAAAAAAAAAAAGUCGUAUUCAGUGCACAAGGCUCCCGCUUUACGCAGGGUCUGAGAGAGGUGAAUGUCGGCUAGCCUUACCCCCAUUUUAUGGAGAGGCUGCUCCCAAGUCUCGAACCCGAGACCUACCGCUCAUGGGCGAAGACACUUGCCAUCGCACCAAGUGCGACCUCUAAGGGAUAAGAGAGUAAUCAUGAAAAUUUUGAAAGUGAAAGCAUUGCCUUGGAAUAUAUAUUCUCUUUAGGAAUUCUGUGCCCAACUAAAUUCUAGAUUCUCAAAAUAUGAAAUUAGCAACUUCACCAAACACUUGGACAUGUAACAGGUCACACGUAUGGUACCAACCUUACCAACCUUACCAACCAUCUAUAUACCUAUGUUUUCGAACAUCGUUAGAUAAUUAAAGUACAGUUCACACAGCAUUUCACAUAAAAAUGGCAUCAUACAACACAUGAGAAGUACUUCUUACAGUAGCAGUCUCGUAACAUGACUAUAGUUUUUGUUACUUCUUAAGAAAAAAGAGUUUAAAAUCCUAUUGAAAGAUAAUUGUAGAGACAGAAACCCAAACUAGUUAAUUAGGUUUCUUUACAUCUCAAUAAAAUUGAAGGGAAUGUAUCUAAUAUUAUCUACUAGAGCCUCUACAAUCAUCAUAGAAUCCACAACCCACAUUUUAAUUAAUCGAAAUUCCAUGAACACAAAUAAGCAAAAGUUGAGUGAAGCCUAAGCAAUAUGUGAUCAUUUAGAGAGUCAAACUCCAUCUUUUUAGAAUUAGGGACUUUUCAAUAUGAAAAGGUAACCUCCACAAUCCAAUAUCAUAUGAAAAGGAAAACCCAAGAAAAAUACAGUAUAAUUGUGUGCAAGAGCAACACAAAAAAAGUUGAAGAAUUAGAAAUCAUAAAGAGACUUGAGACGAUUGUUGCUCACUUAGCUAAAGAGCAUUUGCACUUGAGGUCUCGAGUUCGAUUGCCCCCUUUCUUUAGAUCGCUUGAGAGGAAAAACCUACCAUUCUCUAGUCUAAAGAUAUAUGCAUCUUUGACAUGAAUGACUAGAGGGGAAGAAAGUGCAGACAAAUCACACAUACCUUCAAAAAAUUUUAUGGGGUUGGUGAAUGGUGAUUAGGGAUACUGACUUUUAAUAGCCGUUGAUCAGUGUAUAUUGCACACGCCUUCAUCAAUGGCUAGCGUCGGUACAACUGUGAUUGGGAGGGCCUUUUUACGAUAAUAGAUGGGUAAAGGUUUCAUUAGAAGGGGAAUUUUGUUCUGGUUUGCCAUAAUAACUUGAAAUUAAUGGUUUUUUGUAAUCCUUAAGUUAUUGUCAUUUUAGGUUAACUUUGUACCUGGACUCUUUACUGGAGCUAUCAAUUGAAACCCCCAUUUUCUUACCAAAAUAUGAAAAACAAAGAGUCCCAUUUUUACAGCACAGUCCUACUCUAGUUGAAAUCCGAUCGACGGUCAAGAUUUUCUAGUCAUGUGAAAGUAUCACAUAUAUAAAAUUGACUGGAGAAGGCAUGCCACAUUGCCAUGCCCUUGACAGCUUUACUUUGUUUACAAACUUUCUAAAAGAAAGAAAGAAAAAAAUCUAAAAUGGAAGGUGAUAGCGAUUUUACCACUUGUAAAACAAAGGGUUAAACCAUAGAAAAUUCUUGCAAGAGAACAAGUGUUUGUAGUAUAGAAUGGCUCAAGCAAGGUCGAUCUCCUCAGGGACUGAUAUAAACAAUUUACGAGUUUUUAUGUAUUUAACUUAUUUAACUCUAAGAAUUACACUAAUUUAACGAAACUAAAUAUUAUUGGAUGUGACUUAAACAAAUAUCUAAAAUGGGAAUUGGUUUUAGGGAAUAAUGAUUCAACUUAAACAAAACAAGUAAAUGAGGAAAUUCAAGAUAAAAUAAAUGAUUAAGAAAAAUAGAUUGACAAUAUGCUAGAGUUCAACAUUUACCAACAACACUCUUACGUAGCUAUUCCAAUUGCUUAAAUAAUUGAAAACACAUAUGCUUUGAAUGUUGGAUUUUCCUUGUGUAUGUUUUACUUGUGACAUUCAAGCUAAAACGCAUACCACUACAUGCAACUUAUCCAUGACAUUUGAAUUAAAUAUAAACAUGAGUGAUUCAUUAAUCUUGGUGAAAAUCCUUUUGUUAAACCAUAUAAUCCCUAAGAGCAUGAUAUUUACCUUAGGAGAUUACAAUUCUCAAUCACAAGAAGCACAACCAAUUUUAACGUGACAUUCGUUCAAAAUUGCAUCCGAUAACUUUUCUAAGCAUCCUAAUGGUGAUCAAGCAUCAAGGUACAUAGAUAGUUUAAUUCAGUGAUUGAAAAUAUCAAAACAAGCAUGUAACAACACUUAAGCAAUUGAAAAAUAAAACUACGUAUUCAUGUUGCGGCUCAUGGCCUCACUCUAGCAUAAUACUUUAAAUAAUUAAAGCCCAAACAAUUUACCAAAUUUCAUCUCUGUACUCCGCAGAGACGCUAAACGAGACAUAUUUGGUCCAUCUCUGAACAUCUUUUCUUACUGUUCUUACAAUAGAAAGGGCACAAAAUUGACUUACACAGUCUUGCACAAUACUCACUUUGCUUCAACCCAUAUUUCACUUUGUCAAAUCAUACACGUUCCUGCAACAGGUGAACUCAUAUUUAUCUACCACUUCUUGCUAAUUUUAAUUUUUCCAUUCCCAUUUUUACUACAAGUUUUCACAUAAUUUUUUUAUUGCAUUUGUCAAUUCUUUAUACUUUUUAAUUGUAUUUUUUUUUUUGUCUUUUAUGUGUUUUCUAUGUUGGCACAAGGUUACAACAGUAUUAAACAAUUACAGGUCCUCCAGAGGUUUGCUUAUUGCCCUAUUUCAUCAAGCUCGGUAUAAAUAGAUCUUAAUUUUUUACUACAGUUAAAUACAUGGACAUGCCUCCACAAAUACAAAUUAGUUCUUGCUUAAAUACUUUGUGUGUUUACAUAGAAAAUGUUCCCAUCGUCUACCAAAAUCCUCCACACAUGAAAACAAAAAUUCUUACUCAAAAUACUUAUUACAAUACCACCAUAUCUGUUGUUUUUUAUUAAAUUAACACACUGUUUUCAAUUUUAUCUUCAACACAAAAGAAAAUGCUCUUACACAAUGUGUUUGCUUACAUUUUAUAACUUAUCUACCACAUGUUAAUCGCAGUUAUAUAAAUAGGAAAAUACGUGUUCAAUAGAAGUGUGAUGCAUGUCACUUCGUUAACAAUAGUGGAAACUAAACAAUUAAAUAAUUUGUUUCAAUUAGUUAGUACAUUUUAUAAAUUUCUCAAUUAGAACUGUUUCAGUAUAUUUAAUACAUUUUUAAACAACUUUCCAGUUAGUUGCCCAAACUAAUUAUUCCAGCUUAUUCACAGUAUAAUACCAACAAUUUAACAACCAAUGAUACUUCGUUUAACAUAAACUUCAUUUGGAAAAAACAAAAAAAAUCUUUUUCUCUGCUGAAAAAAUCAACAGAUUUAAUGAUGUAGAUCAGUUAUACCAACAAAUUACCAUAGUUUACCCAAUGCUAUACAGGUUUGACUUUUGUUUAUAUUCUUGGAUCUGUUGCUUGGUUGUAUAAUUUGGCUGUGUGUUUUGUUUCAGGACAAUUUGUUCUUCGUUUCUUGAGGCUUCUAUGUGUAGAUUUGAACCGUUUAGCUUUCAAACCGUUUAUACUCAAGGUAAAUAAUUUCGUUUGUUUCUUUUUAACCUUUUUUGUAAGAAUUUUUUAUUUAAUGUUGUGAGAGUUGUGUUUUCUAUAGUAUGGAAAUUGAAUCUUUGUGAUCUUAUAUCGUUAGAUACGUUGCUUGGUUAAUGUGAACACGGAAAAUUCCCGAAACGAAAAAGACAAGAACAACGUGCACAAACAAAUAUUUUGUAUUUGAUGAUUAUUUUGGGUUACAAUCUCUCUCUAAUUUGAUCCUCUGAUUCGAUCUCCGUAAGAUAUUGGUUUGUGGAUGUGCGAUUGAUCCAAGGGCCGUCGAGGCUUGAUCUUGGAUGAACGGUGAUGAACGGAUCUUCAAGGGCUUUUGGGCUUGAUCUUGAAGAAUAGUGAUGAACGGGUCUUCAAGGGCUUUUGGGCUUGAUCUUGAAGGAUGGUUGGAUGUGUGGAUUUGUCGACGUUGUUAAUCCAAAGGGCUGUUGGGGCUUGAUCUUAGGAUGAACGGAUGAUGAACGAAUAACACUUUCUUCAAGGGCCGUCGGGGCUUGAUUUUGAAUUGGUGAAAGUUCUUCAAGGGCCGUCGGGGCUUGAUCUUGAAGGUAGAUGAUUGUUGAUCCAAGGGCUGUCGGGGCUUGAUCUUGGAAGAACGAUGAACGAAGAACGAAGAAGGCUUUCUUGAUUCUUCGGGAACCUGGAUGCUUGAGAGCUUCGGAGUUUCAGAGCUUCAGAGCUUCAAGGUGUAAUAUGAAUUUGGUUCCCUUAAAUGAAUGAAAUUGGCUUCUAUUUAUAGAAUUUUCCAAGGCCUAAUUUUGAAUAUAAUAUUCCAGAUGAAAUAAGUCGUUUCUGCCAAGUGUUGACACGUGUCCUAUUUGAUGACUUUUCCGACUCAUUUCAAUUUUUCGUCGAGUCACACACUACGUGUAAAAUUUAUGUAAUACAUGAGCGUUGAAACUUUGAUUUAUCAGUCAACAUUUAUUUACCAAAAUUUCGAUGUCUACAAAUGCCCCCACUUCAAGGCGCGUCGUAUACAUGUGCUUGUCACGUGUAGGAGAUGCGUUUUGAAGUCCCCUUACUGUAGAUGUCGAUCCAAGGGCCGUCGAGGCUUGAUCUUGAACCGGGCUGGAGAUUUCUUCAAGGGCCGUUGAGGCUUGUUCUCGAACUUUGUUCGAAAUUUCUUCAAGGGCCGUUGAGGCUUGAUUUUGAAUUGGGCUGAAAGUUUCUUCAAGGGCCGUUGAGGCUUGAUCUUGAAUUGGGUUGAAAGUUUCUUCAAAGGCCGUUGAGGCUUGUUCUUGAACCUUGUUUGAAAUUUCUUCAAGGGCCGUCGAGGCUUGAUCUUGAAUUGGGCUGGAAGUUUCUUCAAGGGCCGUCGGGGCUUGAUUCUUGAAGGUGGAUGAUUGUUUAUUCAAGGGCCGUUGAGGCUUGUUCUUGAACCUUGUUUGAAAUUUCUUCAAGGGCCGUCGAGGCUUGAUCUUGAAUUGGGCUGGAAGUUUCUUUAAGGGCCGUCGGGGCUUGAUUCUUGAAGGUGGAUGAUUUUUUCUUCAAGGGCCGUUGAGGCUUGUUCUUGAACCUUGUUUGAAAUUUCUUCAAGGGUCGUCGAGGCUUGAUCUUGAAUUGGGCUGGAAGUUUCUUCAAGGGCCGUCGGGGCUUGAUUCUUGAAGGUGGACUCGAACACAUGGCAAGCAGGCACGAGGUGAAGGUGACGGUCUGUUUCUUUGCUCAAUCUUUCCAAGUGCCGACCGAUUGCUUUUCUUUCUCCUUGUCCCGCAGGCAAGAGCAAGGGUAAAAGAAAAGCAUGCCAUGAGAUAUCUUUGUUUUUGACUCUGAUGAUAUGAGGUACUUCUGCUUUUGAAGAAGUUGCGGAUGAAUCGACACGUGCUUUGUUGUGCUUGUCUCCACAUGCUCAGACUCUUGGCAGAAUGUGAAAGGUGGCAUUUUCUCGAGUUACUCAACUCAGACUCAUUCUGCUGAGUUGACUGUGCGGGCCGCAUUCUUCUCUGCUUGUUUCUUCUGGCAGCCUUGCUCUCGAGUACUCAUCUUUAACAUCUUAUGUUUCUUCUUUGUCUACCACACUGUGGAAGACGAGUACUCGAGAGUAAUACCAUGUAAGCAAUCAGAAAAGGGUUCCAAGCAGUCGGUUCCAGAUCGGAAGAUUGAUACCAAGUGUUGGCUGAUUGCUUUCCUUCUCAUUGUCCUACAGGUUAGAACAAAGACAAGGAAAAGGACACGGAGAAUGCAUGAUAUGAGAUACUCUUGCUUUCUCCCUUCAUGAUAUGAAAUACUUUUGCUUUUCAAGAUUUGUUUGCAGAGGUAUCCUAUGGGAUGAAGAACACUGAGUGAGUUGAGAGGGUUUGUUGGAAAGCCAUUUGUCGGAGAUGACGGAAUGUUAUGUAUGUCUGCCUUGCCAUGGAGCGUGAAGGUCGACAUUUGUAGGAAAUAAUAACUGGUACUGUUCUUUCACUCCUGUCGGCAACCGUUGGAUGAUUGAACAGUAAACUUCACGUGAUUUCCUCAAAGCUUUUUCUGCAUGCGACAAGUGCUGACGAGGCUGAGAGAGACAUGCGAUUGGAAUCGGCGCUUCGACAAACUUUUCCAUGAUUUUCGCAAAGCUGACGAGGCUGAGAAAGACAGAUGGUUUGGAAUCGGCGUUUCGAUAAACUGCCCGUGAUUUCCGCAACGCUGACGAGGCUGAGAAGGACAGAUGGUUUGGAAUCGGCGUUUCGACAAAUUGCCCGUGAUUUCUGCAACGCUGAGUUUGCGUGUGACAGGUGCUGACGAGGCUGAGAAAGCUGACACUUCUUCGAUUUUUGAGAUCAGUCCGUGAUCCUUGAGUAGGCCUAGCUUUGGAGAAAGCAGGCGCUUCAUCGAUCUCUGAACUCGCCUCUUCGAUCUCUGAAAGCCCAUCGCAUGCUGUUUUUUUAUAGAGGUACGCAAGACAUUCAAAGCACACUUGAAUUUCUACCUGUGAAAAAAAACUCCCCUUUUGCAUAUCUGAGAUCUUUAAUUUGCCCGACCUCUUCAUUUUGUUGAACACCUUCGGAAAUGUCUUUCCCAUCUGACCGUCGUCUUGACUUGAAUAUCGAAGAAGAUAUUGACAUGUCUUCUCCAGGCAACAUUUGGCAGCUGUCCUUCGUAUCCUCCAACGAACCUCUUACGGUUGGGGACACUGUGAUGAGGAAUGACGCAACGGCUGCAGUGGUUGCUAGAAAUCUUCUCACUCCUAGGGAUAGUAAGAUGCUUUCCAAGCGGUCCGACGAGAUGGCUGUUCAAGACUCUCUGGCCUUCAGCGUCCAAUGUGCGGGCUCAGUAUCAAACAUGGGCCAACGCCUUCUUGCUCGAUCUCGUCAGGUUGAGUCUUUGAUGGCCGAGGUGGCUAGUCUUCGGCAGGAGAUCAGAGGGCUUAGGCACGAGAAUAAAGAGUUGCAUAUGCUAGCAACUAGUUACUCAACGAGCAUGAAGAAGAAGCUAGACCAACUGCAGGAGUGUGAAGUUCGGGCUCGAAAUGAUCAUCAAAGGUUUAUGGCGUUACUCCCGAGGCAUCUUCUGCCUUCGUCAUCUGGCGCUUCACCAAAUGUUGAGGCUCCGGAAAAUCAAACUCUGGCGCUUCGUCUUUCUGGAGCUUUACCAAGUGUGGAGGCUUCAGUUGAUCCACCUCCGGUGCUUCGUCUUUCUGGAGCUCCGUCGAGUACUGAGGCACCACAUGAUCAUCCUUGAAGAUCCUUUCCUGUAAAUUUGAUUUGACUUUUUUUUUAAGGUAUGUAUAAUGUAAAAUUUCUAGAAAAAUAAAAUGGACUUUAUUUCUCUGAACAUGUUUUUUUUGUUUUUUUUUUUGGCUGUAUAUUUUCUCUUUAAUCAUGGUGCACCCAUUUUCCACAUGGUGCCAGACGGACCAAAGAUCAAACAUUUCCUUUUUUUAUUUUUUUAUUUUUUCUUUAAUCAUGGUGGCAGACGCAUAAACAAUUUCAUUUAUAUUUUUUUUUCUUUUUGCUGGCACAUGGUGCCAGAUGCACCAUUCAUUUAUAUAUAUUAUUAUAUAUGUUUUUUUUAUUUUUUUUUAUUUGCACAUGGUGCCUGAUGCACCACCUCUUUUUUUUUCACGUGGUGCCAGCAUCACUUUGCUCCACCAUCCAUUUUUUUUAUUUUUAUUUUCUGUAUAAAUUUGGGUGAUGGGUAGAGGAUUUUGCAGGCAGGGAGCAAGGAGGCCGAGAAGAUGGUGCUUCGAACUUCAUGACCGGCUAGUCGUUUGACGGCGGUCGUUGAAGUCGUUGGCAGUUGCGAGGCAAAAGACGGAGGAGAAGGUGGAGUAGGUGACCUUGAUGUCGGAUCCAGCUAGAACCCAGAGCACAGCGACUGAGCCCAAUCACCGAGCACAACCGCUGCACACCCGUUGUACUGCCACCGAGCACUGCCACUGCGCAUCUGUUGCACUGCCAAUUGCUGCAAAGGAUUAUGUUUAACGGCGGAGACGCUGCCCUAUUUGCCAUGCUAUGCCGACGUGCUUCACAUAAUUAACCAUCCAGAAUUGUUAAACAUUCCAUCUGGGUUUAUCGCAAAAACAGAAGAAGAAAAAAACCAAGAUCCAUCCAUGCCAAACACCAAUCUGCCAUCUUUUUGGGAUUUGUACGACAUCAUCAGCCAAAACCUGCUUGGUCCGCUCGCAAAUUGUGGGAGAGGAAGAGUUGGCGGAGCAGCUGUAACACUGGAAAAUGGAGGACGUUGACGAGUCCUCCAAGUUGUUCUUGACGUUGGUGCUGGAGAAACCUGCCUCUCUCAUGACUCUGCUGACACUUGGGUCGUCAAGGAUGGGGAUGAUGAGCUGCUCGAGCUCGACUUUGAUGGUUAAGAGCGGCUGCUGCUGCUGCUCGAUGCAGUCUCUUCUCUGAUGGGCUUGGGCUCUCUUGAGGGCGUUGGAGAGAGAGGGCUGCCCGUGGAGGAGAGGGCAUGGAGUUGUUGGGAGAAAUCAGGGCCGGAAUGGAAAAUAUUCCCGAGCUGCAUCAACGAGGAGAUAACACCGCUAAGUUAUUCAUCUGGUUUGCUUUAGUCAAAUGGAUCAAUCCGCGGGUCAUGCUCGCUUGCCAUCAUCAUCCCAGUGCACAGGCAUGUCGGGCACAUGACCUUUCCAGCACCAGAGCAAUUUGGGCACCUCUCAGUUGUGGGCACUCGCAAAGGUUGGUCUGAUGCACUAGAUGCUGAUAUAGGAUUGAUGUUCAAGCACACUCCACUUGCAGAACAUCUAGCACAGGCCAAGUACCCAGUUCCAUGGCAAUAUUUGCACCUUUUCUUCUCUUGCUGCUCAACAUUAUUAGCUUCAAUCAACAUCAAUGCUGAAAUGACACCCACUGCCCCACCGGAGAAGGAUGCCACAAUAGGAUCAACCUGACUUAAUUGUAAAGGCAGAUGCAUGCUACGAAUGAAAUCUUCAUACGAGGUACCUCCUAUACCUAAUUUUAGUUCCAACGAUGGCGCAAUGAGACCCCCAAAUACAAUUACACUAGAUAUCAUAGAUAAGCUUGUGAGGUAGAGCUGCUUCAACGUCUUUGGUGUCAUAUGAGGGAGAAAAGGGAUAGUGGAUGGAAUGUCAGGCAUCUCAUUUGACUCUUCCUCACAAGCCUCAUCCAUAUCUCUCGCCAUCUUUAUCCGUUGCUGCACCCGCAAUCUCCUUAGCUCUUCCAUGAGAAGAAAAAUCUUGUUGUGCCGGCUUCUUAUGUUGUCCUAAAUUUCCUGUAGUUGCAUCUGCACAAAGUCCUGCACCGUCUCCGGCUCUUCUAUGAUACAAAAAGUGCUUGGCGUGUUAUCGCCGGGGAAUGAUUCCUUGGAAGCAGAACAGGAAAUUUGGGGAUGCGGGGAGGUGAAUUUGGACAGAGAGAGACGUCUAGGGAUUCCAUGGGAGGGGGGUUGAGAGUGGUUUUUUGCCGGCGCCUCUAGGGUAGUCGUCGUUGGCUAUUGCUAUAGAGAGGUCAAUGACUUCACCGGAGAUGGCGUUGUUCUGGAGCCCGAGCGUGAGAAGCCGGGUGAGAUUGUCUGGAAAGGGUCCCCAGAGGUUGUUGUCGGCGAGGUCGAGAAGCUUGAGCUUGGUGCAAUUGACGAGAGGAGAAACGGUGUCGUUGAGGCGGUUGUUGUGGAGGUCGAAGAGUGAGCUGGGCGAGAUCAGAGAACCUUGACGAAUUCGGAGCGUUGAGGGUUAUCAACACGAUCCCAUCGACGAAGAAGAAGCAGAAUGGGCCUCUUGCGGGGCCUAUGGCAUCAACCGGUCUUUGGGCUUCUGGGCCAGUAAAUUGGAGAGAAGCCUGGGCUUUUGACUUGCAGAGAGAUUAGGCUCUGGGAGCCGCUUGUAGUAUUGUGGCUAAAGGGGUUGCUUCCUGUGGCCACUUAUAUAUAUAUAUUUUGUAAAUACAUAAAACAUUUAUCUCUUUUUUUUUCUUUUUUUUUUGUACAAAGAAAUUGUAAUAGCAUCAAAACUUUUAAUAAAAUCUUUAUUCCUUAUUUUGGUGUGACUGAACUCAAAUUUUGAAUAUUCGAGUUGCCUACGUACCUCUCCAAAGAAGAGAUCAAGUCGUAACGUAGUUCAAAUGAGUGAUGAAUUUAACAGUGAUUUUGAUGAUGAUUUUGUCGUACACAGUUUAUGCUCUUGCGGGCCAGGAGCUUUGGUUCGUGCAGUUUAGGCUCGUGCGAACAAGGAGUGUUGGUGUUGCCUUUUAUGCUCGUGCAGACCAGGAGCGUUGGUGUUGCCUUUUAUGCUCGUGUAGACCAGGAGCUUUGUGCCAUGCAGUUUAGACUCGUGCAGGCAAGGAGCGUUGGUGUUGCCUUUUAUGCUCGUGCAGACCAGGAGCGUUGGUGUUGCCUUUUAUGCUCGUGCAGACCAGGAGCUUUGUGCCAUGCAGUUUAGACUCGUGCAGGCAAGAAGUGUUGGUGUUGCCUUUUAUGCUCGUGCAGACUAGGAGCUUUGUUGUGCCAUGCAGUUUAGGCUCGUGCAGGCGAUGAGCUUUGGUUCAUGCAGUUUAGGCUCGUGCGAACAAUGAGCAUUGUGCCAUGCAGUUAGGCUCAUGCAGGCGAGGAGCGUUUAUUGGUUCGUCAAGCGAUCCAGGAGAGUCGUUCCUCGCAAUCUUCAUAGCAAGGAGCCUUGACUGAGUGAUUGAAGAAGUCUUUGGGGAAGAAAUCGCGCAUCGUGAUGGGGAUGGACGAUAUUUGUGUCGUCAUUUCAUCAUCUUCAACACUUUCACUUUUCUUUGAAGGUUGACAAGAGCUGCUUUGCCCCAUUUCCGAUUGGCGGACUUGUGGAUGAGACGUAUGCUUCUUCUGCAGUUUCUCUAGAGUGACAUGAGUCAUUCCUUCAACUUCGCUUGGCUCAACUGGCAUGGUUUUGGAGCAUGCCCCCAGCGAUUGAGGUGAAGAUUUUGAGUUGACAAAGCCGGAAGUGACGUCUUCUUCCAUGAUUUCAUCUUCUUUGUCUUCUUGGGCUUGUUGGCGUGAAGAUUGGCCGGCGUAGAUGAUGGUGCGCCUCUUUACCUUCAGUGGUCCUUUUGUGUCGACCUCCCAAGCUGUUUGGCGCUUUAUCCUUGAAUGAAUCAAGCUUCGAACGUCGUCUUUUCCUGCUAGACCGUCGAGCUUUUCUUCCUUUGGCGUUGUCUUCCUAUUUCUAGAAUGCUUCUUGGUUUCUUCAAGUUUUUCCAAAGCCGAUCGUUGGGGAGGAGAGCCAGCCUUGCUGCUUUGUUUCUUAGGUUUUGACAACCUUUCAAAAACAGAGCUUUGGGGUGUUGGCGUGUUAAGCCGUUUGAAGAUGGAAGUUCGGUCUUGCCCACCAAUGCGAUCAAGUGCCGACCUUCUGGGUUUUGAACGAUUCAGCCUAUCGAAGACUGACACUCGAAUAGGAGGUUGAGGCUCCUCUUGAUCUUGUUCAAUCCUCAAGCUGAUGUGUCGAGUGCUAGCAUUUUUUGCUUUACUUGAAAUCUUCACGGGUGCAUUUGGUGUGAAGCCAAGUCUAGCUCUGUUGUUGUCAACUCCGUAAUCAUGCUUUUCCAACUUCUUCUGAGUCUCGGUGAAGUCAUGAUCUUUGUCGUUGAUGGUGUUUGAAACCUUCUUCUCAAGAUUUGAAGAGGAAGCAAAGUCGUACCCAGCCUUUAACAUGAGUUCGUAGGCGUUUGGGUUGAGACCUUCUUCGGUCCUCUUAGUUGGAAUGAAGCUUGGGUUCGCUUUGACGCCAUGAUGCGCCUCCAGACGGUUGAUAAGUCCAACGGUUUGCAAGUUUUUCUCCUCCGCAGUCUUUAUCAGCCUUGCAAUUGUUUCCUUCAUCUGAACUAGUUGUUCUUCAAUAGAGGUAGCGCCGAUGGUCAUGACUUGUUCUUUGUUUGAAGCCAUGAAGUGUGCUUGAAUUUCUUGAACAGAGAAAGAGAUGAGAGGUAGAGAUUGUCCCACUGGGCGUGCCAAUUUGUGAACACGGAAAAUUCCCGAAACGAAAGAGACAAGAACAACGUGCACAAACAAAUAUUUUGUAUUUGAUGAUUAUUUUGGGUUACAAUCUCUCUCUAAUUUGAUCCUCUGAUUCGAUCUCCGUAAGGUAUUGGUUUGUGGAUGUGCGAUUGAUCCAAGGGCCGUCGAGGCUUGAUCUUGGAUGAACGGAUCUUCAAGGGCUUUUGGGCUUAAUCUUGAAGAAUAGUGAUGAACGGGUCUUCAAGGGCUUUUGGGCUUGAUCUUGAAGGAUGGUUGGAUGUGUGGAUUUGUCGACGUUGUUGAUCCAAAGGGCCGUUGGGGCUUGAUCUUAGGAUGAACGGAUGAUGAACGAAUAACACUUUCUUCAAGGGCCGUCGGGGCUUGAUCUUGAAUUGGUGAAAGUUCUUCAAGGGCCGUCGGGACUUGAUCUUGAAGGUAGAUGAUUGUUGAUCCAAGGGCCGUCGGGGCUUGAUCUUGGAAGAACGAUGAACGAAGAACGAAGAAGGCUUUCUUGGUUCUUCGGGAACCUGGAUGCUUGAGAGCUUCGGAGUUUCAGAGCUUCAGAGCUUCAAGGUGUAAUAUGAAUUUGGUUCCCCUAAAUGAAUGAAAUUGGCUUCUAUUUAUAGAAUUUUUCAAGGCCUAAUUUUGAAUAUAAUAUUCCAGAUGAAAUAAGUCGUUUCUGCCAAGUGUUGACACGUGUCUUAUUUGAUGACUUUUCCGACUCAUUUCAAUUUUUCGUCGAGUCACACACUACGUGUAAAAUUUAUGUAAUACAUGAGCGUUGAAACUUUGAUUUAUCAGUCAACAUUUAUUUACCAAAAUUUCGAUGUCUACAGUUAAAUGAUUUGGCUGUGUGCAUUGUUUCAGGACAAUUUGUUCUUCGUUUUUUGGGGCUUCUGUGCGUAGCUUUGAAGUCCUUUGUAGUCAACAUAAAUAAUUUUAUUUUUCUUUGUUUUUAGUCUUCUAUGUAAGAAUUUCUUAGUUAAUAUUCUGAGAAUUAUGUUUACUAUAGUAUGAAAAUUGAAUCUUUGUGAUCUUCGAAGUGUAACGUCAUUGCAACAUGGACGACUGCCAUUAUCGAACAUGAAAAACAUUUUGAUUUCUGUACUCCGUCUAGUAGAAAACUCUCGACUUCUUCAGAAACCACGAGAAACUUAAAACUGAGAAAGCUUCGCGGUCUCCCUUCCAUCUCUGCUACGCGGUCUCUGCUUUGCGAUCUCUGCUUCCUUCGUGAUUUCUUCCUUCCUGAACGACAUCUAUUCGAAUUGAAAACCUUCUGGAGCUCUCUUCCCCAAAUUUCAGCAGCAACUUUGCUCCAGAUCUUUCCAAUUGAAAUUCCUCUCCUUCACAUUUUGCAUAUUGAAUUUCGCAUCAUCAUCAUCUCCCUAGAACCUAGGAGUUCGGUUCGGUUUCGAGUUUUCCGACGGAAAUCCGGCGACAGCGGCCAUCGAGGUUGGUCUGAAACUAUUCCUCAUCACCACAGGUACUUUCUACACCUAUUACAUUUUAGAAAAAGUUUCAUGACUUUGUGGAAUCCAAUUUAACGAUUAGAAAAAUUUUCAUUAAUUUUCUGGGUUCGUGAGUUGGAGGGGGAUUAGAAAUUUUUUCAUUAUUUUUCUGGGUUUGUGGUUUUUUUUUUCCAAAACGUUUUUCCUUUCUACUAAUCCAAGUUCCUUCACAUCAAUCUCUCUGUUUUGUUCUUGAUCUUCCUCGAGUAGAAUACCUCUUCUUGCUCUGGAGCGCGUGGGCAGUCUCUCUAAGGCAGCCCAUGACGUCAUUUUCCGAUUCGACUCGGAGGAGGUUGGCUGCUCUUCUUGGCUGAGCUUCAUGGCUGGCCGAAUUCCCCUAUUCCCUUCCUCUUAUACUUUUUUAUAUUCGUUCACCAAAACAAUAGGAAAACGUCUCCGUCUGUUUGAUUGACGGCGAAAAAAAAAAAGACGGAGAAUAAAAGCCUGACGGAAGCUGAAAGCUUGGACUCUGUUUGUAUUUUUAAUGGAUUUUCAGAACACAGGUCAAGAAUAUUGCGAUUUGAGAAAAAAAGAAAGAACCACGUUGACAUAAUAUAUUCACAAUAGGUGUACAAGGUUCAUAAAGCUUUACUGUGGUUCCAUUUUUUGUUAAUGGAAUUAGCCUUUUGUUUUAGGAAGAACUUGGAACCCCCUCCGUCCAUUCUAUCCCCAAUGGAAUUAACACUUAGAUAGUACUAUGACAAUGUGUCAUUAUUUGAUGCAUACCUGUAUAAAUUUAGGCUAAGUGUUUUAUACACAAAUUGAUACAGAUUAACUAUACAAUGAUAACUAUAUACCGGAGAGCUAACUAUACAAUGAUACAUUCUUAUCUGUUAAUUAUCUUUGGUUACCAGCUAUCCAUGUUGCUGUCAUAUUAAACUACACAACAUCAGUUGUAAUUUAUGUCUUAUUAGUAUCAUCAUUUUUGUUCAUUAUUUCAAUGUCUAACAUAACUCCGCCUAUGUCUUACAUGGCCGGUCCCAAGCCCGGAUAAAGGAGGAGGGGGAGGGCGUCAGGUAGUCGACAGCCGGCACUCCAUGAUCACGUCGAAUCCUUAUGAAAAUGAAUCCAGAACAAAACCCCACUUAGUGGGAAAAGGCUUUGUUGUUGUUGUAUUUCAAUGUCUAACAUGAUGAUCUGGUUUCAAUUUGCUACAGGCAUUAUUUCCAGACAAUAGCUAUGGUUUUGAUUGUAGCGGUGACUGAAAAAUUAUUCCGAAACUAACAUUUGAGGAAUUCAAGGUUUGUUAGUUAAUUUGUACAUCAGAAUACCAUGACAAACUAUGAAGUUGUAAUUGUUGACCUUACAAUGUAUCUUUUUUGGUUUGGAGCAUUAGACUUAUAUGUGUUGCUUUCACCUCAUGAAGGCUAACUCUUUAUUUUAGGCCGUAAGAGUAUAAUUUCUUGGAGAAUCUACAUUGUUGAUAAUUUUUUGAACAAUAUUAUCCCCAAAAUUUCUCCGCAUGUUACCCUCAACGUAGACAUCAUAUAACCAUCAUUGAACUUCUGAACCAAAAAUUUGAGUUUUAUGAUUAUAACUAAACGUCUAUAAACACAUGAUACAGAUUGAGACGAAUGUCAAAUUUAAAAUGGCAUUAAUACAGCUGCAAACUCUGAUUUGCGGGAUUUGAAAUGGAGCAGUUACUUCUUGCUUCACUUCAGCAGCAUAGUCCAGCUUCUAAAUUCAGUUCUCAGGUAUGAGGUUUCUCAGUUACCUCUUUUUUGUAAUAAAACAUUUGAUCAGUACUUGCCAGGAUAUCCAAUUAAUUAGGUCAGUUUUUGUUAGCAGUAAUAAUUUGUUUUUGCAGCUUUAUAUGUGUCUCUGUCUCCAAAUAUGAUGAUCUCUUAAUUUGCUUCUAUAGCUUUUGUAAUAUAAUGAUCUCUUAAUUUUCUUUUGCAUAUCUUCUUUGCUUCCUCUGCUAGCUCUAUAUGAGAUUCCAUCUCCAAAUAAUUAUUCCUUAUUUCCUAUUUUUACCAGAAGCAAAUCAUUGAAUACACAUGGUAAAUUAAAAGGGUUUUAGUUUUUGGAGUAGUUUAAAUUUUUUGUUUGUUAUUGCUUGUAUUGCUGUUAAAUAUUUGAUGGGUAGUUUGAAAUGGGGAACUUGGUUGAUUGAGUAUUAACUUUUAUUAAAUUAAUAUUCUUAUUCAAUAUUGAAUUAAGACUCCUCUUAUUAAAUUAAGACUCUUAAGGCUCUAAUCUAAUGUUCAUGCUCAAUAUCUCCUCUAUCUUUCUACAAUUGGUAAAACUUUUGUAUUAUUAUUCCAAUUUUGGUUACUGGGUUGUGGAAUUUUCCAUUUUUUUUCUGGGUAAUCAAUACUAUAUAUAUGCAUGACAAGUAUAAACAAUAUUUUGGGGCAAAUUUAGUUGUUUAAUUUUUAAUUUUUAUGUGACAGUGAGAUUAUGGUAGGAUUUCGUUUAGAUUCUGCGGCCCAAUGGGAGUCUCUGCUUUGAUAAGAUUGGGGUUGAUGCCAAGAAAGCCAAUAAGCCUACUGUGGACGCCGUAGCCGCCUGGCGCUGUUUUCCAAAAUCCUCUCUCACUUGGUUAAGCAAUUAAGACUUUUUGGUUCAGUUUUUAUUAUGCCCAAUUUUGUAUUUAAACCUUAAAAAAAUUUAAACUGAUAUGGGGAUACUGAAAUAGGCUGCAGAGCUGCCAUCCCUGAAUCAGAAGAUGUUCAGAAGGAAGAAGAAGAACAAGAAGAAAGUCGUGGAAUAUCAAAAGCUUUUAGCUUUGUGAAGGUAUGCUUUUUCCCAACUCACCUCUUGCUUUUGUUGCACUGAAUUGGUAGAUUGGGUUCAAAAAUAUAUAUAUGUGAUUUUUCGUGUAACUAUUUCUUUACAUAAUUACCAAUUGGAGGUGAUUUGAGAUCAUGUAACAUUUCCUCGCUAGAACCGAAGAUUGCCGUCGCUCAGAGCUGCGUUUCAUGAAACAAGUUCAUCUCCUGCCAAUUUUGUGUACCCACCUUUUAUUCAUGAGGGUUGGUGCUUGCUUGCAACACAAUUUGGUGCUAUUAAGUUUUGCGGUUUUACAAUUUGUUCAUGCUUAAACCUCUUUCAAAUUUUCAUUUCUAUGUAAAUCUUGCAGGUAGGACGACACACCUAUCUUGGCAAUGUCGGGAUGUCUAGGCUUGGGUGGAGACGUGGUCUUAUGGAAGAGGUGAAGUAGCUUAGCUCGAUCUCAUUAGCUCUUAUCUGUUCUAUUAUGCUAAGAUCAAUAGUAAAAAGUUCUAUUGAUUUUAUAAUCAAAGAUACAUAUAUUAUAGAAACAGAGGGUAUAUAAUUAAUUUCUUGAUGUAAACAAUUAUAACUUGAGGAACCAUUUAAAGUAUUUUGGUAAUCAGCAUACUUAAACUUAAAUGUGAUAUAUCCGUUUAGUAUUUUUUUUAUACAGUGAUAAUACUUAAGUAUAAUUUACAUCAUAUAUCUUUUGAAGUACAUGAAACUAUGAAGAAAAUGAUAAACCAAAUCCCAUUCCAUCUCUGUUUGCUACUGCACAAUCACAAUCCAAUUCCAACAUGGAAUCCUCAGACGACAUGCCUACUGCAGAACAAGUUUCAUCCUGACUUAACUUAUAUUUAGUCCACGUCCUGUUUAGAUUGUAAUCCUAGUUCUACGUGUGUUUGUAUAGUACUCCUAUAAAUAUCAAUGAACAUCGCUCACUCUAAUUAAGAGUUGAGAUUCUGCAAAUCAUAUUUACUAUCUUUCAUGGUAUCACGAGCCAGCGUCUAACGACAACGGUUCCUAUUAUAAUUUUUUUCUCUUUUGCAGAUCCUAAACUAUGGCAUCUUCUUCCUCCUCCGCUGCUCCCUCCAUCACAAAUUUUCUUACGAUCAAGCUCGACCGCAACAACUACCCUCUUUGGCAUGCUCAGUUUCUUCCCUUGCUGCGCAGCCGCAACUUACUCUCUUAUGUUACUGGCGAAACUCAAUGCCCCUCUUUCUUCUUGAUGACAAUGGUAAAUUCACCGAUAAAGUCAAUCCAUUAUAUAAUGAAUGGAUCCAGACUGACCAGAUGAUCCUAUCUUGGAUUACGAGUUCUCUUACUCCCAAGGUUCUUGCUACGAUCGUCAACAAAAUUGAUUCGGCCUCUGCUUGGUCGUCAAACUCGAAUUAAUCUGAUUGUGAGGGUUUUGUUUUAUAUCAAUAUAUUGCAACAGAAGUCACACUUUGAAGAGUUCAUGCUGCACAGAAAGAUGAUGAAAUGCUACCCGUUGAGUCUAUCAUUGCUCCAUUGGAGACAGAGCUGAAGCUUACUGCAGGAGUUAUACAUUUGUUAUGCAAUAUGACCCCUUUAAUUUUAUUUUAAAACUGAUACAAAAAUACUACAAAAAUUUAUGUAGUAUUUUUGUAUCAGUUUUGAGUGUCUAUUUUGGCUUCCAUAUAUCGUCUGUACAUGUGAGAGGUAUAGUGUUCAAUAUGUAUUUGGUUUCUAUAUUGUUAAUGGAUCCUUUUUUUUUUUUUAAUUUUAAUAUAAUUUUAUUAAGGUAACCAAGUUGCAGGAUGACAUCAGAACACUUGAUCUGCAGGUAAACCUUCAAUUUCCAUAUGAAGUUUGCAUGUUCGUUGUUUCUGGAAUUUGAGUUUUUAUUAUUUCUCAAUUCUAUCACAUAGAUUACGAUUUCACAUAUGUGAUUAUUAAUGGCAAUUAUAUGAUAGAAGAAUUGGGAUUGGAAGAAGAUAUUGAGUUGUUUAUUUAUGGGGAUUAGAAAAUGAUUAUCAUACAAGUGAUAUUUAUUUUUGUGUGGAUUGUUAAUAUAUAAAACUAUAAGCUUUUGAGAUUGGGAGAUAAAACCCACAAAUUCAAAUCAGACAAAAUAAAUAAAAAAUUUAACUGACUUAAAGAUCAAACUCCAAAAGGGUAUUAAAAACAAGGCUUAUUUGAUCCAUUGAGUGUGAAAGUUUUGAGCUUUGAAGAAGCAUAGGAGGAGAGUUGUUAACCAAGCUGCAUUAUCCAUGUAUUAGGAUGUUGAGGGUAGGCAGGAAAAAUACUUUUUGACGCCAUAUCCAGAGGAGCAUAACGACAGGCCUGCAUUUUUGCAGCAAGGACCAAAACAAGUAGAAGUGAAGGCUUGACUGUUUGGGUAUUAAUCCUAAACCUAAUUAUUCUUAUUUAGGUUUAGGAUAAAUGAUUGAGUGUGUCUCGAUGAUUGUAUUACCAUGUUUGAUGAAUGACUUGAGGAGUUGGAAAUGGUUUAUUGCUUAUGUUUUUCUUAGGUGUGUACUUUGGUUAUUUCCGAGCUUUUCACGACUCUUGAUACCUAAUAGAGAAAAUGGAAACCCCAACUUUAAUUUUAUGAAUUGGUUUUGGUGCCUAAAAUGAAAUCUAGCAUAGUGAAAUCUUGCAUAAUGAAAUUAUGACAAAUUUCCCUUCAUCUUUAGAUUUUCAUUUAGUUCAAUUUGUAUGCAAUUUAGGGUUAUUCAAUUCAUGAGUGAUCAAAUUAUGUUUUUAAUUCCUUCUUCUUUUGAUUUACAGUUCAACAUUGUCGUACAAAAUGAAAAAGGUGCCAGUAACAUAGUUAUGGAUUUGGAUGCCUUUAGCGGAAUAAAACUGAAUUUUUUAACUUUGUAUAGUUGUAAACAUAAAAUACUCCAUCAGAUAGACUCAUAGCAUUUGAAAACAAUCCUUGAGGAUGGCAUAACAACAUCUCCAACUUUUGUCAUGUAAUGUAUGAAUGUAAAUAGCACUUUGUAAACAUAUGGAUGUAAUAUAUGUAUAUAAACAGUCUUUAGCAUGUAUAUUUUUCAAAACUUUCUACAUCUUCAACAAUGUUUCAAUGAUUUCUUGAUGUAAACAAUGAUAAUUUGAAGAACCAUUUAAAGUUUUCGGUAAUCAGCAUACUUAAGCUUAAAUGUGAUAUAUCCGUUUAGUAUUUUUUAUACAGUGAUAAUACUCAAGUAUAAUUUACAUCAUAUAUCUUUUGAAGUACAUGAAACUAUGAAGAAAAAACCCUAAUUAAUCUGAUUAUGGGGGUUUUGUUUUAUAUCAAAAUAUUGCAGCAGAAGUCACACUUUGAAGAGUUCACGCUGCACAGAAAGACGAUGAAAUGCUAUCUGUUGAGUCCAUCAUUGCUCCAUUGGAGACAGAGCUGAAGCUUGCUGCAGGUGGUAUACUUUUGUUCUGCAAUAUGACCCCUUUAAUUUUAUUUUAAGACAGAUAGGGUUGAAAAGAAUUUAUGUAGUAUUUUUGUAUCAGUUUUGAAUGUCUAUUUUGACUUCCAUAUUUGGUCUGUACAUGUGAGGUAUAGAGUGUUCAAUAUGUAUUUGGUUUCUAUAUUGUUAAUGGAUCUUUUUUUUUUGUUUUUUAGGUAACCAAGUUGCAGGAUGAAAACAAAACACUUGAUCAGCAGGUAAACCUUCAAUUUCCAUAUGAAGUUUGCAUUUUUGUUGUUUCUGGAAUUUGAGUUUUUUGCAGGAUGAAAACAGAACACUUAAUCUGCAGGUAAACACUUGAUUUGUUAUUUCCAAGCUUUUCACGACUUUCGAUACCCAAUAGAGAAUAUGGAAACCCCAACUUUAAUUUUAUGAAUUUGUUUUGGUGCCUAAAAUGAAAUCUAGCAUAGUGAAAUCUUGCAUAAUGAAAUUAUGACAAAUUUCCCUUCAUCUUUACAUUUUCAUUUAGUUCAAAUCGUAUGGUUUAGGGUUAUUCAAUUCAUGAGUGAUCAAAUUAGGUUUUUAAUUCCUUCUUCUUUUGAUUUUCAGUUCAGCAUUGUCGUAUUUUGGAUGCCUUUAGUGGAAUAAAACUGAAUUUUUUUAACUUUGUAUAGUUGUAAACAUAAAAUACUCCAUGAGAUAGACUCAUAACUUUUGAAAACAAUCUUUGAGGAGGGCAUAACAACAUCUCCAACUUUUGUCAUGUAAUGUAUGAAUGUAAAUAGCACUUUGUAAACAUAUGUAUGUAAUAUAUGUAUAUAAACACCACUCUUUAGCAUAUAUAUUUUUCAAAACUUUCUACAUCUUCAACAAUGUUUCAAGCCCCGCGGCAACGGGCGGGUACACUUGCUAGUAUACAUCUAAAAUUAUAAGACUAAAUCCUUUAGUUCUUGGAUUCAUCUAAGAACUACUUAUUCCAGCAGAUGCUAUGCUUGCACUACUAGAAUUUAUGGCUUGCCCUGUCAACUAUUGCGCGACAGAAGAUUUCGUCGGUUUCACCUUUUUUAACCGACAGAAUAUAAGUUUAGUAGGGCAAAAUCAGUCAACAAACUGGGUUGAUUGAAUAAAUUUACAGGAUGGCUAGAGUUCGUAGGUUAAGACAUCGGUCGUUGGGCAAACAUUUGGAGCGAAGAUGUGAGUGUUUUAACUGACGAAUAAGCUGGUCGUCAUGUAGAUCUUCUUUCCCGACGGACGGUUCAACAGGUAGCUCUUUGGAUAAUAAUUCAUCUUCAAGGGGAACAGGUUGCCCCUCAGAUGAAUGGUUAGAGGCAAUUGUGAGACUAUAAUUUUCUAGGGCCGGAAUAAAAAAUACAUAAACCCUCACCUAUUCUGUCUCUGUAACCAUCCACCAAAUACCCAUUUUUCCCUUUCUAUUUCUCUCCUAGUAAUUUCCCCUGACCGAAUCACACAAUCCAACCAACUCUCUUUAAGCCUCCCUCACUGAUUCCAUGGAUUUCAUGGACUUAUCCCACCCUCUCUCCUUCCUUCUAUAUAUAGCAAGUCCCCUUGCCUCAGUGUCCCUGGCAACAGAAUUUAUGGCGUUUCUUCGUUCUUUCAAUUAUUUGAAAGCUUCCCUGCCCUGCAAUCUUGUAUAAAGGCGUAUGGUGUUUCAUCAGUUCCAUUUGGUGGUCGGGUGGGAAAUGAAAUUAAAACACUGCAUUUCAAAUGCAUUUCAAAUGGUCUAAACCAAAUUGAAUCAAAUGUGAAGCAAAGGGCAAGAGGUGUAGAUUGAAGAACAAUGGCACCAAGAGCGAAAUUGAACUUGUUGACAGGAGGAAACCAAGUAAGGAUAACACGUCUAAAUCUUAUUUUGAAUCCAUUCAGCUCAUGAUGUUUUGAAUGAUGAUGAUCGGUAUACUCUGCUACAUGCUGUGAUUUUUCCGCUUUCAUGUAAUUAACGGCUUAUAUUUGUGGUAACCAUAUUGAUUAAAAAAGGUCGUACCCAGUGCACAAGGCUCCCGCUUUACGCAGGGUCUGAAAGGUGAAUGUCGGCUAGCCUUACCCCCAUUUUAUGGAGAGGCUGCUCCAAAGUCUCAAACCCAAGACCUACCGCUCAUGGGCGAAGACACUUGCCAUCGCACCAAGUGCGAUAUUGAUUAAUUUCGAGAAAUGACAGUCUAAUUUUUGCAACUGUCUUUUGCAGGCAAAACAAAGACGUUUGCAAGGGUGAGUUGUGUAGGAGCUUUGUUUCAUGUCCAAAGGACACUUGAGAAUAAAUGUUUACACUCAUGGAUAAUAUCUAUCUAUUUGCAGGAGUAACCCUGGGUUCAUUUGUUCUGUAACUGCUGGUCAUUGCGGCAUAUCACGCCUAUAGCACUGACAAAAGUAAAAAGAGAAUCGAAUGAAAUUUGAUAAGUUUUCAGCGGACUACAAAGAUCUUAAGCCAAGCAUAUAUUCCCAUGCAGAUAUUAAGAGGUUUACAAAUCAAUUCAAGUACAAGUUGGGCCAAGGAGCAUACGGAACUAUUUUUAAAGGAAUGCUUUUUUCUGAAUGCUUUGUUGCCAUGAAGUACUUAACAAUGGGCCAUAUUCACCAUGUCAAUGUGGUUCACUUGGUUGGUUUUUGUGCUGAUGGAUUUAGAUGAGCUCUGGUUUAUGAGUUCUUUUCCUUUGGUUCACUCCAGGAUUAUAUUUCAUCAGUAGAUAGAUUUCUUUCCUUGGUUGGCAUAAGUUACAAGAUAUUGCUAUCAGCAUAGCCAAAGGAACCAAGGAUGUGAUCUACAAAUCCUCCAUUUCGAUAUCAAACCCCAUAAUGUUUUGCUCAACCAAAAAAUCACGCCAAAAAUCUCUGAUUUUGGUCUGGCCAAGUUAUGUUCCAAGGAUCAAUCGGCGUGACUAAAGCAAGGGGGACUAUGUGACUAAAGCACCCGAAGUGUUUUCCAGGAAUUUCGGAAAUGUGUCUUACAAGGCAGAUGUCUUGAAUGCUGCUGCUUGAGAUGGUAGGAGAAAAGAAGAAUAUUGGUUCAACCAGAGGACACGACAAAUGAAAUCUACUAUCCAAAAUGGAUUUAUAAUCUUCUAGAGGAAGGAAAUGACCAACAGAUCCCUAUUGAGGAAGAAUGUUAUGGUAAGAUUCCAAAGCAACUUGCAAGUUUAGGGCUCUGGUGCAGCCAGUGACACUCAGUGGAUCGGCGGUCCAUGAAAACGGUGGUUCGGAUGUUAGGAGGAGGAGAAAACUUGAUGAUGCAAGCAACCCUAAAAGCCUCAUACAGUUAGAAGCAAUUGCUGAAUUAGAGUAACAUACGUAUAUGUAUACGCACCAACACAAGUCGUUCUUAGAUGAAUCCAAGCCAAACAAUUACAGACAAUAGUUAUUCACUAAAUCACUUUAAGGCAAGAAUUUAAUUAAUAAUACAUUACUGCACUUUCUUAACCAUUUGACUAUCACCUAGCUGACAAUGAACACGUUAGCUCCGCGUUAGAACAUCUUGGGUUCAAUUCAUUGUCUUGAAUAUCACCCACUGUCACAGGCGUCUUUUGGGGGCAUAGAGAAGGCCUGAGAGGCAUUUGCAGACAUUCAACAUCUCCUCCAAGCAUUUUGACAACUUUGGACAUCGAAGGGCGAUCACUUGGUUUCAUUUGAAUACACCACAAGGCGGUUAUAACCAUCUUUCUUAUUACUUUCUUUUCCUCCUCUGUAACAUUGUCCAUUUCCAAGUCAUUUCCUACAAUAUACUGAUCGUAUACCCACAUUGGGAAGUAGAUUUGGCUUGAAUGCUCUACCGUUGGAUUCAAAUUCCUCCUUCUGCUUGCCAUUUCCAUCAACAACAUUCCAAAACUAUAGACAUCUGACUUAUAUGAGACGCCUCCAAUAUUUUUGUAGAACAACUCAGGAGCAAUAUAUCCCAGUGUACCCCGUGCUGCUGUCAAAGAGACAAUGCUAUUAUCUACAUGAUACAAUUUUGCAAGCCCAAAGUCAGAAACCUUUGCUUUAAAGUUCUCAUCAAGAAGGAUGUUAUGAGGCUUGAUGUCGAAAUGUAGAAUUUGCAUUUCGCAACCUUGGUGUAGAUAUUCGAUCCCUUGAGCCACUCCAAGAGAAAUCUCGUACAUGUUCUUGAUAGUUAAGGGGACACUUCCUUCUUUGGAAUAAAUGUAUUUAUCAAGAGAACCAUUAGGCAUGAAGUCAUAGACUAGAGCGCGUUUUGAUCCCUCAACAUAGUAUCCAACAAGUUGCACCACAUUGGCAUGGUGAAUCCUUCCGAUUGUAGCUAAUUCGCUAAUGAAAUCUUGGCCAUCAGCUUUGGGCUUGGCCAAAACUUUAACUGCUACAAAUCGACCACUGCGUAGCUUUCCCUUAAAUACAGAGCCAAAGCCACCUUUGCCCAACUUGUCCUUAAACUUGCGAGUCAUUUUCUUGACGUCCGAGUAAGAGUACCUUAUAGGCAUGAAGUUGUUAUUGCAUUGCAGAAAAUCUUCUAUUGUGCUAUACAUUGAUAAAUGUCUUCUGCGCCAUGUGUAGAUUAGAAAUGCAGUCACAAUUGGAACUCCAAAAACAAAUCUGGCUAGGAAAAAUAACCCUACAUGCAUUGACAUUAAUAUGUUAGAUCCACUGCGUACUACUUUUUCUUCCCUUUCUUUCCAAAUUACUUUGUCUUUGAUGUAAUUAAAGAGAGAAUGGGAAAUGUACAUAUGUUGAUAAUACAAUCUCGUCUUAGUCCUUACCGAUGCAUAUGAGUAUAAACCAUACACGUACUGCAACAAAAUCAAUCGACUAUGAGUUUGAAAAGUGCAUAAAGUGAAAAAAAAAUAAAAAAAAUCAAAGGGUGCCUUUAUUGACAUCCAAAUUUUAGUUAGUUUUACUCAACUAAAAAAUUUUUGUCAUCAAACUUUUUAAUUUGCCGUCGAAAUUGAGUUCACCCAACCCACAAAGCAGCAACUACCACUCACCAAAAAAACCAACAACACACAGCCACCAGUACCAUUCACCAAUAGAAAGAGAAGGAACACACAGACCCACCAAGGAGCCGGCAUCGACGCGUCUACGAGGGAGGGACCGGAGGGUGGUGUAGUUUUGUUGGGCGCGCGGUAGUGGUUUUGUCUGUUCAUUUUCUCUUUGUUUUGGUAGGUGGAGGCUGGUGUGGAUUUGGGCGAACUUAAAAAUGAGGGGAAACUAUGAAGUUUGACAAAAUGUUUUAGUUAGGUGAACUUCACUAAAAUUUGGGUGCCGAUAAAGAUACCCAAAAUCAAAAGACUAGAUGGACUAAUUAAAUGAAGCUCUUACCCAUAUAUAACGAUGGACGCAACUUGCCAGCUGCUGCAGUACAUACCACGGAAAAGUGAGCAAAGACAUACAGUUACUAGGUUUAAGAAGUACAGAUAGAGCACACAAAAAAUAAAAGAAGCUUUUGGGAAGAAACUUCUUACGCAAAUAGAUUUUUUUCAUGACCUACAGUAAAAAAAUGUCAAGAAGAAUACACAACAUUAGCAAUAGCUCACCCAGUCUUCAAAAUUUAAAAAAUCAAGUUUGUCGAUCGAAAACUUGUAAAUAAAACAAAAAGAGGACCCCUUACCGAUUUGUUGCCAUAGAUAUUGAAAGAAACCUACAAGAACAAAGAAAGAACAAGACCACAUGCAUUAGAAUAACAAGUGUGAGGUGUAUAAGCCGUUAGAAAAUAAAUUUAAAAUUCUAGUGCUGUCAAUACAUUGAUAAUAUAUAUAUAUAUAUAUAUAUAUAUAUAUAUAUGUAUGUAUGUAUUAUUUUUUCUGAAAAUUUAACUUUUCCCGUCCAAACUCAUUUUUCUAGUCUCUAGCCCAACAUAUAAUAUUUAUCUGAAUAAAACCAAAUGAUUAGGAUCCAACUAAGAAACUUACCAAAUUAAGUUUGUGUGUCCAUUUUUAUAUUUUUUGGAUCCCUAAUAUACCCCAUCUAAGCCAGUAUGGAAAGGUCUUGUAAUUUUGCUUUAAGUGAUUACGUGCAUUGAAUUUGGCAAGGUCUUAUAGCCAUGAAAUAUGGUUCUAGAUGGAGGAAUUAAUUUGGAAUUUUUUUUAAUUUCGACAACAAAUUUCAAUUUGAAUAUACCUAAUUUAGUGUUUAUUUUCAACAAUAAAUGUGCCUACUUUUUAAAUUUGUAACAAAAUUAAUUUACCUACUUUUUAUGGUAUUAGUGACACACCCUGUCCCGAAGGAGGGCAUGCUGGCCGUCACGAGAGAGUGACGUAACCAUUUGCACAGUACGGAAGCUUUAAGAUACAAUUUAUAAGUUGAUACACCCGAAGGUGAGUCCUAAUUUUUGUCCAAUCUGUCAGAACACCGUCAAAUUCCUCGUAGUCACCACACCUUUGUGAUUCCUGAACCUGGAGGGGCGCAAAACCAAAAUUGAGUGGGUCAGUAAAACAAUUCUUUUCCAAAUCCAAACAUUUCUCAAAACGUUGUAACCCUCUCCGUAAAACUUGUAUACUUUCCCAGAAAUGUAAAAUAUAAAUAUACAUAUAUAUUCUCAAACUUCAUUUUUACUAUCUCAACAUUUUUCUUUAUCAAACAUGCCAUGCCAUGUCUAAUUCAACAGUUAAGUAUGGAUGCAUCAACAAUAAUCAUAUCAGGUGCAAGAAAGUAAUCAACCGGAGGCCCUCUAAUAGCCCUGUACGGUUGAACCUAGAGCUCAAAAUCUAUCACUCUCACUCUGCCGGGAGUCACCUCUGUGACCUGUCCGGCCUUCUGCACACAAGUUACGCUCUAGUGCUUUCUCAUCAAUCAUCUGUGCACAUAAUCUAAGGUCACCCACCAGUCGAAAUCUCACUAACACUCUUCGACUGGCCCGUCGCACCCACUCCGCGUGGACUGUGCGACCAGCAUCUACUUGGAUCCAAGGCGAGCGUGCGAUGCGGUGAAUACUAUAAGCACUAAACCAUGGUGCAGGAUUUGAGCUCAAUAUAUAUCAACAUCAUCAUAACAGUACUUAAAUACUCACCUGAUACUCACCUGUGCGUCCGCCGCACCAAUUCAUACAUAUGCAUCAUAUUUCAAUUCAUAUCAUUUCAUGCAUGGCAAUUCGAUUCACAUUUCUAUAUACAUUUCAUAUACUUCUAUGCAUGACCUUUCAAUUCACGUUUUCAUAUAAUUCUAUAUACCUUUCAUUUAAAACAUAAUUUCAUUCUAAUUCAAUUUCUGGGAAAACGUCAAGUAUAUAUAUACGGAAAACAAAACUGCCCACUCACCUGGAGUUCGUCCAACAACUCCCUAGCACCACACAUCAAGGCGUCAUGACGAUCGCCGUCUAGAACAGUAAUCAAAUCCAGCCUCAGAAUUCAUAUCGAUAGAACAUAUAACUUAUAUAAAAUAUGUCACUACGUAGAUCGAUCCGGAAGAUCUGCCACUCAGAUUUUAAAUCCAUAACUUCCAGAGGUCCACAAUAUAUCUCUAGGAUAACAUCCUAAAAUUUCAUUACCAUCCAACGGUCGGAUCUCCGUCAAUUUCCAAAACUAAGUGACGGUUAACAUUUUAUUUUAUGAACUUACAAUUCUAAUUCCGGAAGAUCCGUAACUCGGAUUCCCAAUCCGUAAGUUCCAAUAAUCCUCAAAUAUUACGUAUUACAACGUAUCAAAGUUUGGUAACGAUCCAACGGUCGGAUCAUCAAUUCACAUUUUCACCUAAUGCGAAAACUAUAAAACGUUAUUCGAACACCUAACCAACAAUCCUUAAUAACUUUCUCAUACGGUGUUCAAUUUGGGUAUAUGAAUAUACCACAGUGAUCUACUCAUUAAAAUAAUUUUUUACUGUAGCACGCGCCCCCACGCGCCAAGGAAGGCACGGACCUACGCGCCCCCACGCGCACCUUCUUCUUCCUUGGGUCGCCGGACUGGUUUUUCCGGCGGCCGUUUUUCAAAUUGCCAUAACUUUGUCAUUUCUCAACGAAAUCAAGUGAUUCAAAAACGAAAGUUGUAGCCCUUGAAGAGACAAAGAGAAUGGUACCUUGCACAACACCUAGUUCGCCGUGGUUUGGCCGGAAACUGCUUCGAAAGCCUCGGAGGUCGCCAGAAACUGGGUAUUUUUCAAAUCAGUAUAACUUCUUCAAUACUCAACGAAAUUGAGUGAAACAAAAAGGAAAGUUGUAGUACUUGACGAGACGAAGAGAUUGAUACCUACCUCGACUCCUAACUCACCGGAUAUUCGCCGGAAAAUGCCUCGAAAGCUCCGGCCAAACUUUGAACUUGUCGAUCUCCGUGUUCUUACAUCCAAAAACUUCCAACGAAGCACUCCGAGCUUCCUUGGGACCUCACUAAGCUCGCUAUGAUCUUGUUUUAGCCUAAAACGUAGUCAUUUAGAAGAUCAUGAACAAUACCAUUUCACGGGAACUUUGAAACUAGGGUUUUCCGAAGCAAAACUUACCUGAAAUGGAUACCAUCGUGAUCGUGGAGGUUCCAGGAGUUUGAUGGUGGUCUUAACUCUGUCGUUGGUGGAAGUUUAAGGUUGUUUUGUGGUUGGUUUGUUCGAACGGAGAAGAAGAGUGACAGAGAGAGUGAGAGAGUCGUGAGGGAAGAGAGAGAGAGACAGCAUGCAGAAAAUAGGGAGAGGAUUGAGGGGUGUGGGGAUCCCACGUGGUCCUUUUCCAAUCCCCAACUCCAAACCAUAAAAUUUUAACCUAAAAAUCUAAGUUCAAUCCUUAAUAAAUUCCAUUUUAUUUUCAAAACUUAGGAACCUAGAUAAUUAUCAACUUGAGCUUCACAUACUUAGUAUUUCUUAAGGGCAAUUUCGUUCAUUCACAGCCACGAAUGUAAUAUUUUGGAACGGGCUGUGACAAUUAGUAUACAUAAAUGUAGAAUAUAUGUCCGUAUAUAUUUGAUCCAAUUAGUAUUAGGGAGAAUGACAAGUCAUCCAAGUCUGCUACUGUUAAUAAUUCUGUUACUGUAAAUUAACUGAUUGUAUUAGUUGUGAUUAGUUAAGAUAGUUAUAAAGUAGUUAGGGGUAUCUAUGUAAAUAGCCAAAGGCUAUAUAUAUUCCUACACAAUGUGUAAAGUUCUCAGUCAAGUAAAUACAAUCAAGAAAACUUACUGUUGAAGUUUUCUGUUUCUACAUGGUAUCACGCCAUUCCGCUUCACAGCUUCGAUCUUUCUCUUCGCUUGCUGCAUCGAUCGACUCUUGAUCGAUUUUUCUUCUCUGAUCUUCUCUUCGCUUGCUGCAUCGAUCGACUCAUGAUCGAUUUUUCUUCUCUGAUCGUCACUUCUUCCCUUCCGAUCUUGUAGUAUUUUCUUGAUUUCUGUCAGUAAUGGCGGCUCAAUCGACUGGUUCAUCUUCUCCGGUCAUCUCCCCCUCGAGCCCAAACCCUAAUUUUCUCUGGAAACCCUAAUUCCUCUGGAAAUCCGAGUCCUCUGACUUCCUACACUUCUCUCUCACAAUUCAUAACAUCGGCAGCAUGGUGCCGAUCAAGCUCAAAAGAUCCAAUUACCUACCAUGGCGCGCCCUGUUUGGCCCGAUUUUCCGGCGAUACAAGCUUCUUGGAGUAAUCGAUGGUACUGACGUCUGUCCAUCGCCAUUUCUGCCUGAUCGUAGCAUCAAUCCUGCUUUUGAGGACUGGUAUGAGAAAGAUCAAAAUCUUUUUGAUCUGGUUGAAUUCCACACUUUCUGAGGAAAUCAUCCCGUUCACGGUUGGGGUUUCAUCCUCUCGAGAACUUUGGGUAAAGCUUGAACAGCGCUUUGGUGGAAUUUCAGAGGCUCAUAUCCAUCAGUUGCGAUCGCGCCUUCAAUCUGUUCAGAAAGGAUCGCGUUCUAUCUCUGACUAUCUUCAAGAACUCAAGGAAAUUUCAGAUUCUCUGCAAGCUGCUGGUGCUUCUGUCUCUGAUCGAGAUCUUAUCGCCGCCACACUACAUGGCUUGCCUGAUGAAUUUGAGUCUUUCAUCGACUGUAUCAUGCUCCGAUUGUCCUCUACCUCUCUGAUGAACUUCAUGGCCUCCUUCUCACAAAGGAAUUGUCUAUGGCCAGACGCAAAACUGUCAGUUCAUCUCCUGUCCCUGAAUCUUUUCAGGCUUUCUCGGUGCAGUCUCAGCCUCAUCUCCUUCCUACUCCAUCUGCUUUUGCUGCUCAGAAUCUCCCUCUUCAAUCUGCAUCUCGGUUCAACUCUAAUCGUGGCAGGAACACUAAGGGCCAGUUCUUUUCCAAUCGAGGUCAUCGAGGUAAUCGUGGUAAUUUUCCUAAUAAACCGUGGCAAUCGAGGUUAUCAAGGAUUUCGCAGCAAUCAAGGCUCUUCUCACUUCAAAGUGCUUUGUCAAAUCUGUGGUUCUACCAGUCAUGAGGCUAUUGACUGCUUUGAUCGUAUGAAUCCUGACAUCUUGUGGUCGUAUUCCUCCAGCUAAGCUUGCUGCCAUGUGUGCCACAACAUUCUGCUAAACCAUCUCAGCCUUGGUUAAUUGAUUCAGGGGCAACCUCUCAUAUCACUAAUGAUGUUGCUAACCUCACCUCUCCUACUCCCUACACUGGCGAGGAUUAAAGUGUAUAUUGGAGAUGGUAAAGGUUUAUCCAUCCUCAAUGUUGGUUCAUCUACUCUGCACACCUCUCAUAAUUCUUUUCAAUUGCGAAAUGUUUUACAUGUUCCCCACAUAACCCAUAAUCUUAUCUGCUUAUCAGUUUUGUUAAUGAUAAUAAUUGUUCAUUGACACUUGACCCUUAUGGAUCCUAUGUCAAGGAUCGUAUUUCGGGGAAGAUGCUUUUACGGGGACCGGUUAGAGAUGGCUUCUAUCCUCUUCAAAGUUCCAGCAAUCUUCAUCCUCUUUCACAUACCGCUUUACUUAGUAUUAAAGCUCCAGUUACAAUUUGGCACAAGCGUUUGGGUCACCCUUCCUCCUCCAUUUUUAGAAGGCUCCUUUCAUCCAAUAAUCUUGCUUUACAAGGCAAGUCUACUGUGGACUUUUUCUGUUCGGAUUGUGCUCUUGCCAAGAAUCAUAAGCUUCCAUUUAAAGCUGCUACUUCAUCAUCAACUCACAGCCUUCAACUACUGCACUGUGAUCUGUGGGGACCUGCCUCAAUCACAUCAAGUAGUGGUUUUCAAUAUUAUUUGCUCAUUGUUGAUGACUAUAGCAAAUAUAGUUGGUUCUUUCCUUUGAAAUCUAAGUCAGAUGUAUUUUCUACAUUUGUUGUCUUCAAAUCAUAUGUAGAAAAUUCACUUGGAAAUAAAAUAAAGGUUCUGCGUUCAGAUUCAGGGGGUGAAUUUACUAGUCACUCUUUUGCAUCAUAUCUCAGCAAACAUGGCAUUCUUCAUCAGUUCAGUUGUCCCCACACCCCUGAGCAAAAUGGUUGUGCAGAAAGAAAGCACAGGCACCUUGUUGAAAACAGCUCGCACUUUGCUUCUUGCAUUCUCAUGUCCCUCAUAUUUUCUGGGUUGAAGCAUUCUCCACUGCUAUCUAUCUUAUUAAUCGCCUUCCUAUUUCUGGCAUUUCACAGUCCCCUUGGCAGUUGCUAUUUCACAACCAUCCAGACUACUCUAAGCUCAAAGUAUUUGGUUGCCAAUGCUUUCCUUGGCUCAAACCUUACUUUCAUAGCAAAUUGGAUCCCAAGAGCAAAAAGUGUGUUUUCUUGGGGUAUAGUCUUCAACACAAAGGCUAUAGGUGCCUUGAUCCUAUCACCAAUCGCAUCUACAUCUCUCGUCAUGUCUGUAUUCGAUGAAAGUACUUAUCCAUUUCAGUUGUCCCACAUUCAACACUCUUUUCCUGUUCCAAGUCCUCCAUCUUCCUCACCAACAAUUUCUUCCUCUCUGGAUCUUCAUUUUUUAGCAAACACAUUCCUCCUGUUUUCAGUCAGCCAUCUACAUCACCAUUAUGUGCUUCUGUGCCUGUUCCUAUUUCUUCAUCUUCAUCUUCCCCUGCACCUGUCUCAGUUGGCUCUUCUUUCCAGUUUUGUUCCUCCUUCAGCACAUUCAUCUUUCUCCCAAAAUCAACAGAGUCAUCCUCCUGCCCCUGUUAAUUCUCAUCCAAUGAUUACUAGAUCCAAGGCUGGUAUACUCACGUCGAGAGCCUGUGCAGCAACUAAGCACCCACUUCCGGUUGAUAUGGAUUAUGUUCCUACAACAUACUUGCAAGCUUCUAAGCAUGCUCAUUGGAGGCAAGCUAUGCAAGAUGAAUUUAAUGCCUUGCUAACCACUGGUUACUUUGGUCUCUUGUUCCUUCUCACCAUUCUCAAAACUUAGUGGGCUGCAAGUGGGUUUUCCGGAUUAAGAAGAAGCCCGAUGGCACUGUUGACAGAUAUAAAGCCCGGCUUGUGGCCAAGGGUUUUCAUCAACAAGAAGGUAUUGACUUUUCAAGAAAACCUUCAGUCCAGUUGCCAAACCGGUUACAAUUCGGAUCCUUCUUACCCUUUGCUGUGCAAUAUAAUUGGUUUCUCAAUCAAUUGGACAUUAGUAAUGCCUUUCUUCAUGGAGACUUAAAGAGAGGAUGUCUACAUGCAACAACCCCCUGGUUUUGUUGAUCCCUUUACCCUACAUUUUGUAAGUUGAGGAAAUCGUUGUAUGGUCUCAAACAAGCUCCUCGAGCUUGGUUUGAUAAACUGUUCCAAGCUCUUCCUCUCUUGGAUUCACCCAAUCAUCCUCAGAUGCUUCUUUAUUUGUUCUCAAUGGUCCUCAGUUUAGUCAUUGUCCUUGUCUAUGUUGAUGACAUUCUUGUCACCGGACCCUAUCCUUACCUCUGUCAACACUUCAUUCAGCAACUUGGGGCUCAAUUUCCAGUAAAAGACCUUGGUCCUCUUCAUUAUUUCUUGGGAUUAGAAGUACAUCGAUCUUCCCAGGGUAUAUUUCUCCAUCAAACAAAGUACUUAUUGGAUCUUCUCAAGAAAACAAAUAUGGAGGGUGCAAAACCUUGUUGUACUCCCCUUGGCUCUAAGAAAUUAGAUCACAGUGGCCCUCUUCUGUCCAAUCCUACUGAAUAUCGCUCCAUUGUUGGUGGUUUACAAUAUCUUACUUGGACUAGACCCGACCUUGCUUUUGCUGUGAACCAAAUCUGCCAAUUCAUGCAUGCUCCCAGGGAACAACAUCUCCAGGCAGCAAAAAGGGUUCUCAGAUUUCUCAAAGGCUCUAUCUCACAUGGUGUGUGGUUCACUAAAGGCCCUGUCCAUCUUUCUGCCUACUCGGAUGCCGACUGGGCUGGUUGCACAAUUGACAGGAGAUCAACCACUGGUUAUUGUGUAUUUUUGGGUUCCAAUCUUAUCAGCUGGAGUGCCAAGAAGCAAAGUACUGUUGCCAAGGUCCUCUACAGAGGCUGAAUAUCGCUCCUUAGCUCACACAGCUGCUGAGAUAACUUGGGUUUGCAGAUUCUCAAAGAUCUGCACUAUCCUCUCUCUUACAUUCCCUACUUUUGGUGUGACAACAUAUCAGCAAUAUCUUUAGCAUCUAAUCCUGUCUUUCAUGCUCGAACAAAGCAUGUUGAGAUCGAUUAUCNGAAGUUUUCUGUUUUCUACAUGGUAUCACGCCAUUCCGCUUCACAGCUUCGAUCUUUCUCUUCGCUUGCUGCAUCGAUCGACUCUUGAUCGAUUUUUCUUCUCUGAUCUUCUCUUCGCUUGCUGCAUCGAUCGACUCAUGAUCGAUUUUUCUUCUCUGAUCGUCACUUCUUCCCUUCCGAUCUUGUAGUAUUUCUUGAUUUCUGUCAGUAAUGGCGGCUCAAUCGACUGGUUCAUCUUCUCCGGUCAUCUCCCCCUCGAGCCCAAACCCUAAUUUCUCUGGAAACCCUAAUUCCUCUGGAAAUCCGAGUCCUCUGGACUUCCUACACUUCUCUCACAAUUCAUAACAUCGGCAGCAUGGUGCCGAUCAAGCUCAAAAGAUCCAAUUACCUACCAUGGCGCGGCCCUGUUUGGCCCGAUUUUCCGGCGAUACAAGCUUCUUGGAGUAAUCGAUGGUACUGACGUCUGUCCAUCGCCAUUUCUGCCUGAUCGUAGCAUCAAUCCUGCUUUUGAGGACUGGUAUGAGAAAGAUCAAAAUCUUUUGAUCUGGUUGAAUUCCACACUUUCUGAGGAAAUCAUCCCGUUCACGGUUGGGGUUUCAUCCUCUCGAGAACUUUGGGUAAAGCUUGAACACAGCGCUUUGGUGGAAUUUCAGAGGCUCAUAUCCAUCAGUUGCGAUCGCGCCUUCAAUCUGUUCAGAAAGGAUCGCGUUCUAUCUCUGACUAUCUUCAAGAACUCAAGGAAAUUUCAGAUUCUCUGCAAGCUGCUGGUGCUUCUGUCUCUGAUCGAGAUCUUAUCGCCGCCACACUACAUGGCUUGCCUGAUGAAUUUGAGUCUUUCAUCGACUGUAUCAUGCUCCGAUUGUCCUCUACCUCUCUUGAUGAACUUCAUGGCCUCCUUCUCACAAAGGAAUUGUCUAUGGCCAGACGCAAAAACUGUCAGUUCAUCUUCCUGUCCCUGAAUCUUUUCAGGCUUUCUCGGUGCAGUCUCAGCCUCAUCUCCUUCCUACUCCAUCUGCUUUUGCUGCUCAGAAUCUCCCUCUUCAAUCUGCAUCUCGGUUCAACUCUAAUCGUGGCAGGAACACUAAGGGCCAGUUCUUUUCCAAUCGAGGUCAUCGAGGUAAUCGUGGUAAUUUUCCUAAUAACCGUGGCAAUCGAGGUUAUCAAGGAUUUCGCAGCAAUCAAGGCUCUUCUCACUUCAAAGUGCUUUGUCAAAUCUGUGGUUCUACCAGUCAUGAGGCUAUUGACUGCUUUGAUCGUAUGAAUCCUGACAUCUGUGGUCGUAUUCCUCCAGCUAAGCUUGCUGCCAUGUGUGCACAACAUUCUGCUAAACCAUCUCAGCCUUGGUUAAUUGAUUCAGGGGCAACCUCUCAUAUCACUAAUGAUGUUGCUAACCUCACCUCUCCUACUCCCUACACUGGCGAGGAUAAAGUGUAUAUUGGAGAUGGUAAAGGUUUAUCCAUCCUCAAUGUUGGUUCAUCUACUCUGCACACCUCUCAUAAUUCUUUUCAAUUGCGAAAUGUUUUACAUGUUCCCCACAUAACCCAUAAUCUCUUAUCUGCUUAUCAGUUUGUUAAUGAUAAUAAUUGUUCAUUGACACUUGACCCUUAUGGAUCCUAUGUCAAGGAUCGUAUUUCGGGGAAGAUGCUUUUACGGGGACCGGUUAGAGAUGGCUUCUAUCCUCUUCAAAGUUCCAGCAAUCUUCAUCCUCUUUCACAUACCGCUUUACUUAGUAUUAAAGCUCCAGUUACAAUUUGGCACAAGCGUUUGGGUCACCCUUCCUCCUCCAUUUUUAGAAGGCUCCUUUCAUCCAAUAAUCUUGCUUUACAAGGCAAGUCUACUGUGGACUUUUUCUGUUCGGAUUGUGCUCUUGCCAAGAAUCAUAAGCUUCCAUUUAAAGCUGCUACUUCAUCAUCAACUCACAGCCUUCAACUACUGCACUGUGAUCUGUGGGGACCUGCCUCAAUCACAUCAAGUAGUGGUUUUCAAUAUUUAUUUGCUCAUUGUUGAUGACUAUAGCAAAUAUAGUUGGUUCUUUCCUUUGAAAUCUAAGUCAGAUGUAUUUUCUACAUUUGUUGUCUUCAAAUCAUAUGUAGAAAAUUCACUUGGAAAUAAAAUAAAGGUUCUGCGUUCAGAUUCAGGGGGUGAAUUUACUAGUCACUCUUUUGCAUCAUAUCUCAGCAAACAUGGCAUUCUUCAUCAGUUCAGUUGUCCCCACACCCCUGAGCAAAAUGGUUGUGCAGAAAGAAAGCACAGGCACCUUGUUGAAACAGCUCGCACUUUGCUUCUUGCAUCUCAUGUCCCUCAUAUUUUCUGGGUUGAAGCAUUCUCCACUGCUAUCUAUCUUAUUAAUCGCCUUCCUAUUUCUGGCAUUUCACAGUCCCCUUGGCAGUUGCUAUUUCACAACCAUCCAGACUACUCUAAGCUCAAAGUAUUUGGUUGCCAAUGCUUUCCUUGGCUCAAACCUUACUUUCAUAGCAAAUUGGAUCCCAAGAGCAAAAAGUGUGUUUUCUUGGGGUAUAGUCUUCAACACAAAGGCUAUAGGUGCCUUGAUCCUAUCACCAAUCGCAUCUACAUCUCUCGUCAUGUUGUAUUCGAUGAAAGUACUUAUCCAUUUCAGUUGUCCCACAUUCAACACUCUUUUCCUGUUCCAAGUCCUCCAUCUUCCUCACCAACAAUUUCUUCCUCUCUGGAUCUUCAUUUUAGCAAACACAUUCCUCCUGUUUUCAGUCAGCCAUCUACAUCACCAUUAUGUGCUUCUGUGCCUGUUCCUAUUUCUUCAUCUUCAUCUUCCCCUGCACCUGUCUCAGUUGGCUCUUCUUCCAGUUUUGUUCCUCCUUCAGCACAUUCAUCUUUCUCCCAAAAUCAACAGAGUCAUCCUCCUGCCCCUGUUAAUUCUCAUCCAAUGAUUACUAGAUCCAAGGCUGGUAUACUCACGUCGAGAGCCUGUGCAGCAACUAAGCACCCACUUCCGGUUGAUAUGGAUUAUGUUCCUACAACAUACUUUGCAAGCUUCUAAAGCAUGCUCAUUGGAGGCAAGCUAUGCAAGAUGAAUUUAAUGCCUUGCUAACCACUGGUUACUUGGUCUCUUGUUCCUUCUCACCAUUCUCAAAACUUAGUGGGCUGCAAGUGGGUUUUCCGGAUUAAGAAGAAGCCCGAUGGCACUGUUGACAGAUAUAAAGCCCGGCUUGUGGCCAAGGGUUUUCAUCAACAAGAAGGUAUUGACUUUCAAGAAAACCUUCAGUCCAGUUGCCAAACCGGUUACAAUUCGGAUCCUUCUUACCCUUGCUGUGCAAUAUAAUUGGUUUCUCAAUCAAUUGGACAUUAGUAAUGCCUUUCUUCAUGGAGACUUAAAGGAGGAUGUCUACAUGCAACAACCCCCUGGUUUUGUUGAUCCCUUACACCCUACAUCUGUUUGUAAGUUGAGGAAAUCGUUGUAUGGUCUCAAACAAGCUCCUCGAGCUUGGUUUGAUAAACUGUUCCAAGCUCUUCACUCUCUUGGAUUCACCCAAUCAUCCUCAGAUGCUUCUUUAUUUGUUCUCAAUGGUCCUCAGUUUAGUCAUUGUCCUUGUCUAUGUUGAUGACAUUCUUGUCACCGGACCCUAUCCUUACCUCUGUCAACACUUCAUUCAGCAACUUGGGGCUCAAUUUCCAGUAAAAGACCUUGGUCCUCUUCAUUAUUUCUUGGGAUUAGAAGUACAUCGAUCUUCCCAGGGUAUAUUUCUCCAUCAAACAAAGUACUUAUUGGAUCUUCUCAAGAAAACAAAUAUGGAGGGUGCAAAACCUUGUUGUACUCCCCUUGGCUCUAAGAAAUUAGAUCACAGUGGCCCUCUUCUGUCCAAUCCUACUGAAUAUCGCUCCAUUGUUGGUGGUUUACAAUAUCUUACUUGGACUAGACCCGACCUUUGCUUUUGCUGUGAACCAAAUCUGCCAAUUCAUGCAUGCUCCCAGGGAACAACAUCUCCAGGCAGCAAAAAGGGUUCUCAGAUUUCUCAAAGGCUCUAUCUCACAUGGUGUGUGGUUCACUAAAGGCCCUGUCCAUCUUUCUGCCUACUCGGAUGCCGACUGGGCUGGUUGCACAAUUGACAGGAGAUCAACCACUGGUUAUUGUGUAUUUUUGGGUUCCAAUCUUAUCAGCUGGAGUGCCAAGAAGCAAAGUACUGUUGCAAGGUCCUCUACAGAGGCUGAAUAUCGCUCCUUAGCUCACACAGCUGCUGAGAUAACUUGGGUUUGCAAGAUUCUCAAAGAUCUGCACUAUCCUCUCUCUACAUUCCCUACUCUUUGGUGUGACAACAUAUCAGCAAUAUCUUUAGCAUCUAAUCCUGUCUUUCAUGCUCGAACAAAGCAUGUUGAGAUCGAUUAUCACUAUAUUAGAGAAUUGGUUUUGGCUCAACUUCUCAAAGUCAAGUUCAUCUGCAGUGAAGACCAAUUAGCUGAUCUUCACACCAAGUCUCUGUCUAAAACCAGAUUUAAUUAUCUGUGUUCCAAGCUUCCCAUUGGUCUCAUUUCUGAUCCCCCUUCUCGCUUGAGGGGGUGUAUUAGGGAGAAUGACAAGUCAUCCAAGUCUGCUACUGUUAAUAAUUCUGUUACUGUAAAUUAACUGAUUGUAUUAGUUGUGAUUAGUUAAGAUAGUUAUAAAGUAGUUAGGGGUAUCUAUGUAAAUAGCCAAAGGCUAUAUAUAUUCCUACACAAUGUGUAAAGUUCUCAGUCAAGUAAAUACAAUCAAGAAAACUUACUGUUGAAGUUUUCUGUUUCUACAGGUUUUGGAUUGGAGGAGUUGACACAAAAUUAUAAAUAUAUUAAACAAAUUUAUCUAUUCUAAAGUUGGAGGGAAAUUGGCCUGUACAUUGCUACAGUAAUUUUUUUUUACCCAAUUUCACGUUAUUUACAACAAAGCUAUCAGAUUUGGGUUGGGUUGGAGGGUAAUUUGUUAAAAGUUAGGAGGGUAAUUUUGUGCAUAGGGUUUAGGUGCCCUCCUAUACAUGACCCUUGAUUUUACUUUAUUUACACCACUGCCAUCAAAUAUGUGGCUGAAUUGGAGGGUAUUAUUAAAAGUUAGGAGGGUAGUUUGUUCAAGGGGUGAGGGCGACAUUCGCAGACAGAGAGCGAUGGGAGCCAUGGCCAUUGCACAGAGAGAAAGGGAGUGAUGGGGGAAAUUACAGACAGAAAAGGAAGGGAUGGGGGGGAUUUGAUGGAUGGUCACAGAGAGAGAUUGGGUGAGGGAUGUGAGAGGAGAUUACAGAGAGAUAAAUAAAAGGGAGGGAUCGGGGGAUGUGAGGGAUGGUCAGGGAGAGAAAUAGUGAGGGAGGGAGGGAUGGGGGGGCUGAUUUUCGGUUCCUCCUUCCAGAUUUGUUCCGUAAAAACCUGUUGGGUAGAAUUCAAUUUCCUCCCCCUUUCCCCUGAACGAAAAAUUCGAAACCUACAACUCAAAACUCACUCAUUUGUCGUCCCUCCUUGGCUUUCCGCUUUACUCAUCUCCCGGUGGUUCUCUCUCCAUACGAUUCCAUUUCGGUGAGUUCUUCGUUGCCCUCAUGAUUUCCCACUUUUAUUUUUGGGGCGUCCUUAGUCGUCGUUUUUAUCUGGGUUUACUGCAUUGUUGCUUUUAGUUUCUGGAUUUUUAUUUUUUUGGCACUUGGAUGAAUCGUGGUUAAUAAUUUCACAUCAUGGGAUUUUCGCACUUCUGAUGGAAUUGAGCGCGGGGAUUCGGGGUGGGGUUUUACUGAUAAUUUGUCUUCAUUCAAACGAAGGGUUAAAAUUUAUGAGUAUUAACAAAUUUUGUAAAUUAUUCUUAUACAUUUUAUUGAGGGAUCUAAUCGAUUUCUUUCUGUAGUGGGAUUGAAAUUGGGGCUUUGUGGUACUCUCUCUCGCUCACUCUCUCUCCUAUGUGUAUGAAUUGAGUUCUGCAGUGAGUUUGCAGGUGGGCGCGUUCACUAACUAAGCUUUCAAGGGAACCGAUCAACGGUUUGCUUGCUGGGGGAAUUCGGAGACUACCAGUGUAUGAUUUAGUUAUCAUUAAUUUUUUUACUUAAUUUUAUCCAUAUAUAAUAUGUGGGUAAAUUUAGAGGUCGCACUUGGUGCGAUGGCAAGUUCCUUCGCCCAUGAGCGGUAGGUCUCGGGUUCGAGACUUGGGAGCAGCCUCUCCAUAAAUGGGGGUAAGGCUAGCCGACAUUUACCUCUCCCAGACCCUGCGUAAAGCGGGAGCCUUGUGCACUGGGUACGAUCUUUUAUAAUAUGUGGGUAAAUUUAUACUAAACAAUUGUGAUAAGCCAAUAUGCUAUACGACUUUGAAAGCAUUGAUUUUGUGUUUAGUUUGCAUUUUUGCAUUGUGAAUGUUGAAUUUUGUGUUUAAUUUGGAUUUUUGUGUUUGAAUUUGUAGCAUGAUCUUCCGCUGCAGCAUCCAAAUUUUGCAUUUGUAAAUUGUCAAAGAAAAACGAAGUAUGAGGAAAUUAUAGGAGAUUGUGUCGGCUUUGGCCAUGAAGGGUAUCAGCAGCUUGUUCCCCCAUACAGGUGAUUAAUCGCAGUCUGUUCUAUUUGGAUGAGAAAGUGAUUGAAAAAUAUGAUUUUUUAUUUGUUGGUUGAUUUUGUAUAACUCCGCCGUGUAAGUUUAUCUUACAUUGCCGGUCCCAAGCCCGGAUAAAGGAGGAGGGGGAGGGCGUCAGGUAGUCGACAGCUGGCACUCCAUGAUCACGUCGAAUCCUUAUGAAAAUGAAUCCAGAACGAAAUCGCGCUAAAGCUAGGGCGUCACCCAUAAGUGGCGCGCUGUGUGGCCCGAGCACAGUGAUAAGUGAGCAAGGGUCGUUGUAUCUCCAUCGGCACCCGGAUGCAGUGUUAAAUGAGCAAGGGGCUAUAGAAACUUCUUUUCGAACGACUCCACUCAAAGUUGUUUGGGAGCAUAUGCUCCUAUCAACUUUACACGGGACACACAAAAGAAGUACUUUGAUCCUAUUAGACGGGGAAGGGUGAAGAAGCUAGGACAGAAGGGUAGAGUUCAAGAGAGCAAAAUGCGUUUAGGAACGUGGAAUAUAGGAACCUUGAACGGGAAAAUCUAUGGAAGUAGUAGAAGUUAUGGUGAGGAGAAGGAUAAAUAUUAUGUGCCUACAAGAAACUAAGUGGGUUGGUCGUAAGGCAAAGGAUCUAGAAAACUCAGGGUUUAAACUAUGGUAUUCGGGCACAAAUAGAACGAGAAACGGUGUUGGCAUCAUCGUGGACAAGACCUUGACACAAGAUGUUGUAGAUGUCAAGAGGGUAGGAGAUAGAAUCAUGGCAAUCAAGAUUGUAAUAGGACAAGAACUUAUCAAUGUGAUUAGUGCGUACGCACCUCAAGUAGGGUUGGAUACGAGUUCGAAGGAGAAAUUUUGGGAAGACCUUGGAGACUUGGUGCAAGGAAUUGCUCAGACGGAGAAGUUAUUUAUAGGAGGAGAUUUAAAUGGACACGUGGGCAGGGAGACAGGCAACUAUGGAGGUUUUCAUGGUGGCCAUGGUUUUGGGGAGAGAAACGAGGAUGGGGAAGCUAUCUUGGAUUUUGCAAUGGCAUAUGAUCUCUUCUUAGCCAACACCUUCUUUAAGAAGAGAGAAGAACAUGUGAUCACCUACAAGAGUGGGUCGUCAAAAACACAAAUAGAUUUUCUUCUAAUGAGGAAAGGGGAUCGUAUAACUUGUAAGGAUUGCAAAGUUAUACCAGGAGAGAGCGUGGCUAAUCAACAUCGCUUGUUGGUGAUGGAUGUACAUAUCAAAAGAGUGAGAAAAAAGAACAAGACUUGGAAGUGCCCAAGGACUAGAUGGUGGAAUCUAAAAGAAGAAAAACAAGCCAUUUUCAAAGAGAAAGUAAUCACCCAGUGUGUGUGGGAUAGAGAGGGGGAAGCUAACCAAAUGUGGGAUUCCAUGGCUAGUUGUAUCCGAAAAGUAGCAAAAGAGGUAUUAGGAGAGUCCAAGGGCUUUGCCCCACACCAAAAGGAAUCUUGGUGGUGGAAUGAGGAGGUACAAACAAAGGUGAAGGCUAAGAAGGAAUGUUGUAAAGCCUUAUACAAGGAUAGGACCGAUGAAAAUGGUGAAAGGUAUAGAAAAGCGAAGCAAGAGGCGAAGAAAGCUGUGAGAGAAGCUAAGUUAGCGGCUUAUGACGAUAUGUAUAAGCGACUAGAUACCAAAGAAGGAGAGUUGGAUAUCUAUAAACUAGCUAGAGCAAGGGAAAAGAAGACAAGGGACCUAAACCAAGUGAGGUGCAUCAAGGAUGAGGAUGGAAAGGUUCUUGCUACAGAGAACGCGGUUAAAGACAGAUGGAAAGGUUAUUUUCAUAAUCUUUUCAAUGAAGGACAUGAAAGGAGUGCUUCUUUAGGGGAGUUGAGUAACUCAGAAGAGUGUAGAAACUACUCUUUUUAUCGUAGAAUCCGGAAGGAAGAAGUGGUUGUAGCUUUGAAGAAGAUGAAGCAUAGAAAAGCAGUAGGCCCAGACGAUAUACCAAUCGAAGUGUGGAAAGUUUUGGGAGAGACAGGUAUAACAUGGCUCACUGACCUUUUCAAUAGGAUUUUGAAAACGAAGAAGAUGCCAAAUGAGUGGCGAACGAGCACUUUGGUGCCUAUCUACAAGAAUAAGGGCGAUGUACAAAAUUGCAUGAACUAUAGGGGUAUUAAGCUAAUGAGUCAUACAAUGAAGCUCUGGGAGAGAGUCAUUGAGCAUAGAUUGAGGCAAGAGACACGGGUUUCGGACAACCAAUUCGGGUUCAUGCCAGGGCGCUCAACCAUGGAGGCAAUCUAUCUCUUACGAAGAUUGAUGGAAAGAUAUAGAGAUGGGAAAAAGGAUUUACACAUGGUCUUUAUAGAUUUGGAAAAAGCGUAUGAUAGGGUCCCAAGAGACAUUCUUUGGAGGAUUUUAGAGAAGAAAGGAGUACGAGUAGCAUAUAUCCAAGCUAUACAGGAUAUGUAUGAAGGAGCAAAGACUGCCGUAAGAACUCAUGAAGGACAAACCGAAAGCUUUCCCAUAACUGUAGGAUUACAUCAAGGCUCAUCCUUAAGUCCUUACCUUUUUGCGUUGGUAAUGGAUGAGUUAACAGGACAUAUUCAAGAUGAUAUUCCUUGGUGUAUGCUUUUCGCAGACGAUAUAGUGUUGAUAGAUGAAACUCAGGAAGGGGUAAAUGCAAAGCUUAACCUUUGGAGAGAAGUGUUGGAAUCUAAAGGUCUUCGCCUAAGCCGAUCAAAGACAGAAUAUAUGGAGUGCAAGUUCAGUGCAAAUGGAGGCCAAAACGAGUUAGGGGUGAGGAUCGGAGAUCAAGAAAAUACCAAAGAGCGACCGUUUUCGUUACCUAGGAUCUAUCUUGCAAAAGAACGGAGAAUUAGAUGGAGAUCUCAACCAUAGAAUACAAGCUGGAUGGAUGAAGUGGAAGAGUGCAUCCGGCGUGUUGUGUGACCGCCGUAUGCCACUGAAGCUCAAGGGAAAAUUUUAUAGGACGGCAAUAAGGCCGGCGAUGCUGUAUGGCACAGAAUGUUGGGCGGUGAAGCAUCAACACGUACACAAAAUGGGUGUAGCGGAGAUGAGGAUGCUUCGUUGGAUGUGUGGGCACACGAGAAAGGAUAAGAUUAGGAAUGAGGAUAUCCGGGGUAAAGUAGGAGUAGCCGAAAUUGAAGGAAAGAUGAGAGAAAAUCGGUUACGGUGGUUUGGACAUGUGCAAAGAAGGCCUACUGACGCUCCGAUUAGAAGAUGCGACUAUGGGACAGAGGUUCAGGGCCGAAGGGGUAGAGGAAGACCUAGGAAAACUUUGGAAGAGACCCUAAGAAAAGACUUAGAGUACUUGGAUCUAACGGAGGACAUGACACAGGACAGAACACAAUGGCGUUCUAAGAUUCAUAUAGCCGAUCCCACUCAGUGACUUGGAUUUUCCAAGUCUCCAACCGAGAAGUUUUCCUCACUCGGGAAAUUAAGGGAACACUACCUCAACCUACAUGCUCCACUCACAAAGCUUCAACAUACAAGCUUCAACAAAAGAAAAUUCAAAGAACUUAGCGAAGAAGGCUUUGGUGUAUUUAACACAAUACGUUGAAAUGAAGGAAAGCUUAUUUAUUGAUAUCCCCGAUAAGUUACAAAUAUGUACAUAUACUUGAGUCAAAAUAAACAAACAAGAGGGAGCCUUCACAAAGGUUGCUUAGGAGAAGUCUCAGCAGUCGGUAGAGCCCCAGAAAGAGAAGGCACCGGAGGGGGAUCAUUCGGAGCCUCAGUACUGGACAGAACCCUAGAAGGAGGAGGCAUCAGAGGUUGAUCAUUUGGAGCUUCAUUACGCGGUACAGCCCCAGAAGACGAAGGCAAUAAAUGCCUUUGGAACAAACCCACAAAUCUCUGAUGAUCAAGUAAAACCUGACCAUCAGAUUCCUUCAUCUGGUCAAGCUUCCUCUUCAUGUUUGUAGCAUAGUCAUGUGCGAGCCGGUGCAACUGUUUAUUCUCAUGCUUGAGCCCUCUAAUCUCCUGUUUGAGACUCAUCACUUCAGCCGCCAAUGAUUCAACUUGGCGGGUUCGAGCAAAUAGGCGUUGGGCCAUAUUAGACACAGAACCUGCACACUGAACACUGAGAGCCAGAGAAUCCUUAACAGCCAACUCAUCAGACCGUUUGGAAAGUAGUCUGUUAUCUUUGGGAGUGAGAAGGUUCCUGGCCACUACCGCAGCGGUCAUAUCAUUCUUCAUCACGGAAUCCCCAACGGUAAGAGGACCAGUAGGGGAGACGAAGGAUGGGCGCCAUAUGUUGUCUGGAGAAGGCGGGGCUGCCUCUUCAACAAGGUUCAAGUCAAAACGACGGUCGGAGGGGCCAGACAUUUUCAAAGGUGUUGAAGAGAGAAGAGGUCGGACAAAUCAAGAUCUUAGAAGUGCAAGAAUGGAGCUUCUACUGGUGGAUAUUCAAGUGUGCUUUGGAACUUAAUGUCAGCCCCUAUAAAAAUCUGCACUCGACGAAGCUUCAGAAAUCGAAGAGGCGCCUGCUCAGAAAUCGAAGAGGCGUUUGCUUUCUCAAAAGCUGGGCUGCUCAGAGACCACGAGGGUCGAUCUCAGAAAUCGAAGAGGCGUUUGCUUUCUCAAAAGCUGGGCUGCUCAAAGACCACGAAGGCCGAUCUCAGAAAUCGAAGAGGCUUGCUUUCUCAAAAGCUGGGCUGCUCAGAGACCACGAGGGCCGAUCUCAGAAAUCGAAGAGGCACCUACUUUUCCAGCCUUGUCAGCACCUGUCACACGCACACUCAGCUUUGCGGAAAUUAUGGGCAUUCUGUCGAAGAUUUCUGGCGAAGUAGAAAGCACAUGAAUCGUACUGUUCAAUCACCCACUUCCCACACGCAACAGUAGCUCAUGGGUACCACAGAUAACUUUGCCAAAGUUCUCUGACAAAGUUGAGACACGUGAAGCUUGCAGCUCCCACUACAUCGCUCUGACCAAGAAGGGUAAAAGAAUUAGCAAAGAAACAACACUAACAAAGUUUAGACACAUAAAUUUUGAAGGUCUAGCUACCAUAUUAUUACCCACAAGGGUAAAGGAACAGUACCACUGCUGGAUAAUUGGAAAGUCCCGGUGUGUCAACCUCUGUGCUUCGUGGCAAGGUAGACUAGCAAACAUGCCCAACCUUUACUCACAUUCGAGAAAACACUCCCAACAAGAUUGCUUGCUCCAAAAUCGAAGAGGCACCGCCCUCCGAAUCUCGAGAGCCAGACUCCCAACAUGAUUACUUUCUCAAAAAUCGAAGAGAGGGUAAAGGAACAGUACCACUGCUGGAUAAUUGGAAAGUCCCUGUGUGUCAACCUCUGUGCUUCGUGGCAAGGUAGACUAGCAAACAUGCCCAACCUUUACUCACAUUCGAGAAAACACUCCCAACAAGAUUGCUUGCUCCAAAAUCGAAGAGGCACCGCCCCUCCGAAUCUCGAGAGCCAGACUCCCAACAUGAUUACUUUCUCAAAAAUCGAAGAGAGGGUAAAGGAACAGUACCACUGCUGGAUAAUUGGAAAGUCCCUGUGUGUCAACCUCUGUGCUUCGUGGCAAGGUAGACUAGCAAACAUGCCCAACCUUUACUCACAUUCGAGAAAACACUCCCAACAAGAUUGCUUGCUCCAAAAUCGAAGAGGCACCGCCCUCCGAAUCUCGAGAGCCAGACUCCCAACAUGAUUACUUUCUCAAAAAAUCGAAGAGACACCGCUCUCCGAAUCUCGAGAGCCAGACCCCCAGCAGGAUUGCUUUCUCAAAAAUCGAAGAGGCAUCGUUCUCCGAAUCUCGAGAGCCAGAUCCCCGACAGGAUUGCUUGUUCGAAAACCGAAGAGGCACCACUUUCCCAACUUCAAGAGCUGGAUCUCCUUGGAUAAAGCUUGUCUGUAAUCUUCACACGCAACAUCAGCUUUCCAGAUACCACAGACCACUUUUUCAAAGUGCUCUGACAGAGUUAAAACAUGUGAAGCUGGCAGCUCCCACUACCGUGCUAUGACCAAGCAGGGUAAAGGAAUAGCAUUAUUACUUGAUGUUAGGGAGACUCCUAUAUAUGUCGACCUCCAUCCCCAACGGACAGGCAGACCUGCAAAAAUGCUCAACCCUUCCUCUUAUCUGAGAGGGCACUCCCAACGAAGCCUUUCGAAAUAUUCAGCUUUCUUUCCCCCCGAUAAUACCUCUGUAAACAAGCUAUACUAGAGCAAGAAUAUCUCAUAUCAUCAGGGUUAAAAGCAAGAGUAUCCCAUAUCAUGCUUUUUCCCUGUCUUUUCCUUUGGCCUUGUUCUUACCUGCAAGACAAGGAGAAAGAGAGCAAUCAGUCAGCACUUGGAAUCAAGCUUCCAGCCAGGAACUGACUGCCUGGAACCCCUUACCUGAUUACUUACCUGGCAUUGCUCUCGAGUACUCAUCUUCAACAUCUUAUGCUUCCAGGGAAGAUACCGCAUCUGCCUGAGGAACAGAUAGGGCAAGUGAGAAGGAUACAAGGAAGCAUGUGGAGACAAGCGUAACAGCACACGUGCCGAUACAUCCAUUACUCUGUCAAAAGCAAAAGUAUCCCAUAUCAGCAGGGUCGAACGUACUCUAGAUUUGAUGGACUUGUUUUGACCCUCAAAUUCUUCAGUCGGCCUUAUACUCUGGAGGAAACCAGAAAACCCUCCAGCCCAGUUCAAGAAUAAGCCUGUGGAAAGUUACUUCUUCAAAAGCAAAAGUAUCCCAUAUCAUCUCUUCUCAUUUUUCUUCUCUUUAUCCUUCAUGCUGCCUGCAAGAUAGGGAGAAUGUGAACAAUCAGCCGGAGCUCUGAUUGCUUACCUUGUCUGUCACCUCUUUCAGCAGAUCCCCUAGCUCGGCGACUUGGGGGACUCCUACUACAUGGUUUGUAUCGCGCUUGACCAAGCCUGAAACUACAAGUAAGCUUCAAGUGACAAUUGAUACAUUACCUUGUGCAUCUCCACCAGUUACAGAUACCACCCCUGGAUGGAGGAAGAGUACUUCCAGAGAAGAUGCCACAUCUACCUAUGAGACAGAUAAGGAAAGUCAAGACGAUACCACACUCCGGUACUUAGAAGUUUCGUGGUUACGAGAUCAUUCUCCCACAAUAUUUCCUAAUGUCAUUUGUACUAAAUCAUUCACUUGUACUCACUAAAGGAGAGCUUGAACCUAUGUACUUGUGUAAACCCUUCACAAUUAAUGAGAACUCCUCUAUUCCGUGGACGUAGCCAAUCUGGGUGAACCACGUACAUCUUGUGUUUGCUUUCCUAUCUCUAUCCAUUUAUAUACUUAUCCACACACUAAUGACCGGAGCAAUCUAGCGAAGAUCACAAAAAAGUGACCGUUUUCGCUACCUAGGAUCUAUCUUGCAAGAGAACGGAGAAUUAGAUGGAGAUCUCAACCAUAGAAUACAAGCUGGAUGGAUGAAGUGUAAGAGUGCAUCCGGCGUGUUGUGUGACCGUCGUAGGCCACUGAAGCUCAAGGGAAAAUUUUAUAGGACGGCAAUAAGGCCAGCGAUGUUGUAUGGCACAGAAUGUUGGGCGGUGAAGCAUCAACACGUACACAAAAUGGGUGUAGCGGAGAUGAGGAUGCUUCGUGGGAUGUAUGGGCACACGAGAAAUGAUAAGAUUGGGAAUGAGGAUAUCCGAGGUAAAGUAGGAGUAGCCAAAAUUGAAGGAAAUAUGAGAGAAAAUCGGUUCUGGUGGUUUGGACAUAUGCAAAGAAGGCCUACUGACGCUCCGGUUCGAAAAUGUGACUACUGGACAGAGGUUCAGGACCGAAGGGGUAGAGGAAGACCUAGAAAAACUUUGGAAGAGACCCUAAGAAAAGACUUGAGUACUUGGAUCUAACGGAGGACAUGACACAAAACCGAGCGCAAUGGCGUUCUAGGAUUCAUAUAGCCGACCCCACUUAGUGGGAAAAGGCUUUGUUGUUGUUGUUGUUGGUUGAUUUUGUAUGGACGAUGUAUUAAUUUUUUUUUUUUUUUGGGAUUUUGUGUAUUGGGUAUUGUGUAGAACCAGCAAUGCAGGAUCUGAUCAGUCACGCCCGAAAAGGGGUUUGUUUCUCAAAUCACAUUAAUUAAUUAGAUUAUUAAUGUGCGUUGGAAGGCUCUUCAAUAUGAUUUCUAAUUUCUCCUUUCCAGCAUUCUCUUUUUGGUUUUUGGAGUAUGUAUGUGAUUUGUAUUUGAUUAUAGAAUAAAAAUUAAUAAAACACGAGAUGCAGCAAUUAAUUUGCAUCCUUAUGACAACACAUAUAUGAAAGUGCAUUCAAUUUCAAUGUGCGAAUGUGUGACAGGACAGGAUGUGCCUGCCUGCUGGUGGUGGUAUGCUUGCUGUUGUUUCUUGCGUUGUUAAUUUUUUGUGUGUUGAUUUGAUUAACAAUUCAAGCGUAUCUUAUUUUUUUUGUGUUGGUUAGCAGCCAGUUUUAUGGCCCCGAUCUAGUGAUGCUUCUCAGUGACUGGUAAUUGCAGUUCAUUGCCACCAGUUGGUCAGCUACCUGCUCUGAAAGAGCUCUACGUAGAAGGGAUGAAAGUUGUUAAGAGUGUUGGUGUUGAGUUGUACGGGGGAAAUCAACCAUUUCAAUGUUUAGAGAAGGUAAAGUUUCGGGAGAUGCCAGAGUGGGAGGAAUGGCAGCCUAGUCCAAGUGGAUGUGAAAGUCCAGACUUUCCUCAUCUUAAGGAGCUGAGGUUAUCCGAAUGUCCGAAGCUGAGAGGAAACUUGCCCACUCAUCUUCCCUCCUUGAAAACACUUUAUGUGAACAAGUGUGAGGUUCUACAUAAAAACAGGGCCAGUAAUACCCUGAACGUGGAAUCCUUACGAGGAUCUCUUGAAAAACUGACAAUAAAUGGAUGCCCGGGUCUCUCAUUGUUACUAGAGUCGAUGGAGACGCUGCCGUCGCUUCAGAAGCUUGAUAUUGAUAGUGUUGGUGGGAAAGAGUUGUUGGUGCAAAUGGUGCACAACAGCAAUCGUCUUCAAAGUUUUGACUUUAUAUAAAUGUUCCUCACCCUUGUCGUUCCCUACAAAUGGUCUGCCCACCACGCUGACGUCACCGAGCAUAACAGAUUGCAAGAAAUUAGAAUUCCUAUCACGUGAGAUGAUGGCCAAAUUGACUUCCCUUCAGUCUUUGCGUCUAUCCAACAGCUGUGAAUGCAAAGGCUUGAGUAAUUUUUGUGAGUCUGCUGUUUGGUUUUUUUUUCUUCAUUUUAGAGAUUUUUCUACUGUUUGGUUUUUGGGUUUUGUCUAAUUUUUGUGGUCUGCUUUAUAGAUUGUUCUCUUUGGAAGCUUCUUUCCAGCCUUGACCUUCUUCUUGCCUGGUGCCUUCUCAUUGAGUAUUGGAGGAGCAUUAAAACACAGGUGUGUGUGUUUUGUCGAUGUAAGAGAUGAACGACAUAAAAACAUCCGUCUUUGUAUUUUUUUGUGCUUUUUCUAACCCAUCAAUUUCUUUUGAGUCAACCAAAUAGUCCCAAAUUGCAACUUAUGUUGUGAGGUAUUAUUGUCUAAAAUUAAGUAUGCAUGUAUAUUUUAUGUUUGUGCGCGCGCACACCUCCGCAUGGUGUUAAUCUCUGUGGGUCAUCUAUGUAUAUGUAGACAUAUCUAUAUGUGUAUGUGUGGAAUGCAACAUAUCGGAUUUAGGUUAUACUGUGCAUAGUUUUAUUGCCUGUUAUUAUCUACGAUAUCACUAUGCCAUUUCUAUGCAGGCUCUGAAAGUUAUCCAUGAGCUUUAUAAGCACUUACCAUAAUUUAAGCAGUCUGUUUUGGGUUCUUUUUCAUUAGGUCAUUAGCUACAGAUUAAUGGAGAAACGAGGACCAUGCAACUGAUUUGGGUUCUUUUUCUAAUUUUCUGAUUUUGGGGUUUUGCAGGGAGUACUGAUGUACUGAUUUUCUGGGAUUUUUUUUGUCCUUGCAGGAUUUUUGGUCUUUGGAAUGGGUAUGUGUUGUUUUUAACGUUUCAGUUCUAGCUUGUUCCGUUCUUCGUUGCUUCGUGAUUCUCAUUUUUUAGUGUUGGGUGAUGGAAAUUUGUUCAAGUAGUUGGUAGUUUUUUUAGAAAGUUGGCAUUUUUAGUUAUAUUUUCUGUUUAAUCCUAAAUGUUAGACUGGAAAAUCAUUGAAAUGACGGUUUUUUAAAAACUCAUAAUUUUUUUGUUCUGGGAGUUAAAAGCAUCUUUUCCAGAUUGGUUAUAAGGGUUAUGUUCUCUUCAAUUGGUUCACCUAAUUUUGAUUAGUUUUAAGUUUUGUCCUUUUAAGUUUUGUCUUUUAAGUUUUGUUCUUUAAGUUGUCUUUUAAGUUUGUUCUCUAAGUUUUGUCUUUUAAGUUUUAUCUUCUGUGCUGUAAUGAGAGAUUUCUGUUGGCCUUUCGGAUUUUGGCAUGGGAAAGUUCACUUAUUUGUCUAAUUAGAUUGUGUAUGCCUUCGAUUCUUUAUUUAAUUGUUCUGUUUGUGUUCAGGUGUGAUGAUCUAAAUUUCAUAUGUUUGGAAUUAUUCACUUAACACCAAUUUGUUACAUUCAGAUCUCCACCCCACAUUUCACUAGUUCAAAUUCCAUAGAAGUCGGUUACUGCAGAUUGCGUCUACAAUUAGAUCAGAGAUCAACUGCUCUUUUGUUAUCCUGCAGAAGAUUGCUUUUGGGAAGGAUCUGAAGUAGUUUCUUUCUGUAAGUUUAUUCCCAUGUAGCUCUGUCUUUUCUAAUUGAUGGUGUUGAUAUUACACUGUAAUUCAUGAUGAUGAUUUAAUUGUUUAUUGAUUUGUAAUUGUUUGUGAAUAAUGUGGCAUAUAUGACUUGCAAUAUGUGUUUGUAUGAAAGGGAUGACAUAUUAUGUUGCUGACUUAAUUGUUUAUGUUUUUCAUAUUUGCGAAUGGUGUUAUGAUCAAUUAGGUGAUUGCUGACCUGUGACUUUGUUUGGAGCUCAAAUUUUGUGAGCAUUACAUUGGAUUGUUUUGAUGUUGUUUUGGUUGACAAUGCAGGGAUAGGAGAAACAAAGAGGAUGACACUUAUAACUGCCCUUCCCCAUCGGCCGUCUUCAAAUUUGGAUCACAAGAAGGGAGCAACAUAGGUGUUUUCCUUCUUCAUUUAGAUAUGGUUAGUGUAAAUAAUUGGACAAAAGAGCCAAACAAACCCUGUUCUCUCAAAUGGAGUCGAUGAUGUGGUCGAUGGCCACCAGCCCCAACUCAAGAGUUUGGCCUUCAUAUAAUUGGAUUGUAGUAUAAUUUUAUUUUGGUUCAUUUCUUUUUUCCUUUAUAUAAGUGCAGGUGUUGUGAUGUUUUGAAUAAAGGGUGAUGAAAGGUGGUUCACACACUUCCUCCUUACUUAAAGCAAGUGGAGAUGAUGGGUUGUAUAAAAAGAAAAACUUGCCAGGUACUUCGAUUUUCUAUUUUAUUAAUUAUUGUUUGGUUUUCCAAAUGUUGUAUUCACAAAGAGAGACCAAUGAUGUCUUUGAGAAACAAGUUUCUUUGUCUACAUUGCGAGAAUUUGCAGUUUGCAACUUUCAUUGGUUAUUAUAUUUGAUUGAGUUAAACUUGGAUUUCUGGAUUUUGACUUUUUCGUUUGUUUCUUUGUUGUAGAGUUGGCUUCAUUUCAUUCCAGUAACUCUAUUCCAGUAACUCUCUAAAAUAGGGCCAAGAACUCACUAAAUAGGUAGUCAAGAGGAAUUCAGUUUUGCCUUCAAUUUUUGCCUUCUGUUUACAUUCUUCCUGGAUGCACUCUCACCGCUUCUCUCGCUUACCACUUUUGUCUCACUCACCGCUUCAUCUCUUCUGUUGCUUACAAGGUCGUGUCAUAUAUUUUUUUAAUUUUUGUGUGUUUAAUUUAUUGAAUAUUUGAAAAAAGAGAUAAAAUUUUCAAUUUACAAUUACUGAUAUGAUGUUUGUUUUGAAAAUCAUUAAGGUGAAUGGAGAGAUUUACAACCAUGAAGAGCUGAGGAGCCGUUUGCCAAAUCAGAUUUAUAAGGUCUCAUCAAUUAUAAAUAAACGACUUUUCAUUCCCAAUGACCUUUAUCGUUUUUCUUAAUGGGUUAGCUGAACAUGAGGUAGAUGCUGACUUUAUAAAAUAUGAGAAUGUUUUAGGAUUUCAUUCUAAUUUUUUGGCUGUUUGAUUACUUUGCUUUUCGUAAUUUGUUUUGCUUAUCGUCAAUUGGAUGGGACAACAUAUUUUUGUAACCAGUUUGUACUUUUUUUUUUUGUGGAAACUAACCAGUAUGUACUUUUACCAUCUCGGUUUUGAUGGAAUUGGAGCUUUCAGUAAUGGGUUCUGAGGGAAUUGGAGUUUUGAGUAAUGGGUUUUUUAACAACUAUAGUAUCAUUUGUGAUUCUUUUAUUUAUAAGAUAUUAUAUAGGAAACUGUUAUUAGCACUCUAAUAAUCUUAUUCUACACUCGCGACAAGUGUAUUUUUCUUUCUAAUUAUGGAAAGUUUGGAGUGCAAAAUGAGAAUUUUGGAGUGCCAAUAACAAUUCCCUAUUAUAUAUAGCUCUACUAAGAAGGCGACUGUAUAUGUCUUCAUCCUGUUAAAUUGUAUAUGGCUCUUGAUGUCGGCUGAAUUAAAUCAAAAUGAAAACCAAGCUGCUGAUCUUACCAGCCCAUAUCACUUAUCACUUAUUUAAAUUAUUUGAAGAUGCAUACGUGGAUUGGUGAUUUUGUUGGAUUCACUUAGCUCAAAUAUAUGUUAUCUGAGUCGCUACAUUUGAGAAUGUGAUUCUGUUCCUACCACCAUUUUGCCCACUUUUUGUGGAAAUUAUUCAUUCCUGUUGUGAAUAAUAUCCCCGGCAGCGAAGUGCGGGCGCAUUUUCUAGUUUAAGUUAAAUCACACAAUGGGUCAUCAAUAAUGACAAACUCGUCAUUUAUGCGAGUCAAACAUGAGACCACCUACCUACUAGUUUAGUGGAAUACCACAAGUGACAUGUUGAUACCUUUAAAUCUCAUAUAAUGGAUUGCAGAAUUAGGAUAUACCUAGUCUAAUUUAGUCAGUGCGUGAACCCGAACAAUUAACCAGGGUUUUAUUCUUGCUUGAAUGUUUGUAAUAUGUUCCUAGUUUGACAAGGCAAUUAUAUUUCCGACUACAAAAGUUAUUAAUUUAGUCGAGAAUUGACGCACCUGAAAUGGUGUGAGGAAAACAUGUAGACACAUCAGACGCGGUCCAUCCUGAGCAUUGUGUAUUAAGGAUAAAGCUCAAAGCCAUACAUGAGGGCAUUGUGUAUGUCUUUAUAAGAGAAGUUGCUGUAGUCCUCAACGUGGCCGGCAGCCAAACUCAUCCACUCUACACUGCAACCCUCAUCCAAAUCCCAUGCUUCCAACCUGCCCCCGACAUAGUCAUCGACCAUGACAUAGCUAUACGUUUUUGGUUGACUCGAAGAAGAAGAAGAAGAAGAAGUAUUAUUCAAGCAUGGAGCAGUGUCCACGUACAGAGAAGAAUUCGAUGGAUUCGAACACUUCAAGUAAUAUAUAGAUAGAGAAUUGAUGUCAUAGGUGGGCCAAUAUAGAGAAUCGAUGUCCUCGAUGGGCGGAAUAUUUUGAGACAUGGAAGAGCAAUUGUUGUUGUCAAGCCCAGGAUCUAGAAGUCGGAUUGUUUUGUUAAUGUAGUUGAUUGCCUGGACAUAGUAUUUUCCGGAAGAAGGUAGGUCUAGUACUGUAAUGUUGCUCUCACAGGACAGAGUAAACCUUACGUCGCCACAGUACUUUGGAUCAUCGUUCAGUCGAAAAGGAUGGCUUAUGUUGUGGAUAUGGCCGCAGGAUGAAGUGCAGGACUUGGCACUACUGUUGUCAGCGUUACAAGUUUCACUGCAAAAGCAAAGAAGAAGAAAGGCUAAACUUAAGGUGAAGGACCUGGUUCCACUGAUUUCCAUUGCUCUGAGAGAGAGAGAGAGAGAGAGAGGGCACUAUAGCUUAAACACCAAGGAGUUAUAUAAUAUGGGAGGGGUUAAAGCACCUCGCUUAAAGUUGCAGUAAGCCCGUCAAAUAUCCUAGGGAAAAGUCGGUCAAUGCUGUCCUAUAGAGAAAAGUCGGCCUUGAUGUUUGACACGGUCACACUCUCUCUCUCUCUCUCUCUCUCUCUCAUUGACGAGGGACACUGUAAUUGAAAAAAAAAAUUGUUAUUCAGAGAUAGAUCUUGAAAUUCUUAUUUUAUAUAAAAAAAAGGGGUAUUUAGAUUUUAGGACCUAUAUAAGAUAAUUUUUAGAUUAUAAGGUUUCAAAAUCUUAUUUUAGUCCCUAAUUUAAUAUUCAUCGCCACAUCAUAUUAUAAGAUACCUCUAUUACCUACCAUAUUUACAAACUUUGCCAUUUAAAUUGUCAACCUAUUCUAUAAUUAAGGCUUAAAUAUAUUCCGUUAAUAAACCAUUCGUCAAUAAGAUAAAUCCAACUAUGGUAAAUUAUACUAAUUUAUACUUGCUGACAAACAAAUUAAGUCUAUAGUAAUUUUAGGUCAGUCACCUUAAGAAGUCGAAGAUGAAAAAAUCAAAUACAAAACAAUAGGUUAAAAAAAUUAAAUAAUAACCCUUAAUAUAUAUAUAUAUAUAUAUAUAUAUAUAUAUCACAAAAAAAAAGUAUAACAACUCCUUAUUGUCUAUAUAUAGGAAUUGCAUAAGUGUCGGUACAUAUGUGUAGGUACAUACAUGCACAUAGGUACGGAAGUAUCGGUAUGGAAGUGCCGGUACAUACGUACACAUAGGUACGAAAAUAUUGAUACGUUAGCAUCGGUACAAAAGUAUCGGUGCGGAAGUGUCGAUACUUAUGUACAUAUAUAUAGGUACGCAAAUAUUGAUACAUAAACAUCAAAAGAAAAAAUCGGUAGAUUCGAUGUAUGAGAAGGUAAAAAUAAAUCAUCAACACUAGAAAAAAAUGAUAAAAGUAAAUCAUGCACUAUUAGAUGCAUAAGAAGAAGAAAUAUUAGAUGUGGAUGGUGGCCCUAGCCCUCUCUUCUAACACGGUUGAAGAUAAUUUUUUGGGUUGGACAAAAAGUUUCAUUUUUAAGGAGAACCAUUUAUGUUAGCAAUAAAACUGAAAAGUUAUAAAUAAAAUAAAUAUAAGACAUUAUAAUUCACUCAAGGAUAAUAUAGGAAGAAAAAAAUUACAUAAAAGGAAUUAACUCUGACAUUAAAUAUAAAUGCUGACUUGGACAUAAGUCAAAGGACUAUAAUUAGUUUUUUAUCUUGGUUAAGGUUUUAGUCUAAAGAUAAUCUUUUUCAAGGAUUAAUAUCUAGUUUCCUAUAAAAAAAAACACCUAAUAUUAAUCAUUCAAAUGAAAUUGUUAAAAUUAAGUAUAAAUAAUACAUAAUGAAAACUGAACACAUACAAUCAACGGUCACGACCAUGAAAUCCUCCGGAUCCUCAGAAAAAAAUCCGACGAUGAUCUUUUUCUGUGUAAAAUAAUUUGAGGGUAUAAUACUGGAUGUGCGAUUAAACCGAAGAACCCACCCACCUCCAUCUUCUCUGACCAACUUGAACCCAGCCACUACUACAUGUCAUCCCGACAACCCACUCUCAGCUUCCCAAACCGCCAUUUUUCACCCAAUGGAACAUUUAAAGAAAAAAUCCAUCUGCAAAUCGAAAACCACCGAAAAAAAUUAAAUCAGAUACAUUGGAAAAAACGCAAAACUCAAUGGAACAACACUGGCGUGGAAGAGAAAAAAAGCAGAAGGUGAGAAUGGAGAGAAAGAAGCGAACGGAAAGAAAAAGCAAAGAAGAGGUUGGAAACGGAACAACAGAAGAACAAUAGAAGAACAGAAAUGGGUAUGGGAAACGGAACAACAGAACAAAAAGCAGGCGGUGUAUAGAGCAAGAAAAGCAAACCUCACGAUGACCAACACGUGCUAAGAGAGGCCCCGGUUCACUGUGUAUCACAUUUUUUAAUAUUUUUUUUGGUCUUCCCACCGGCUAUACAUGGGAUUCCAAAAUUAAGAAGGUAUAAAUUUUUAUUGUUUCUUGUGCCACAAACCAUGUGGCCCAGUCUUAAUCACAUUUUUUAAAUAUUUUUUUUGCUCUUCCCAUCAGCAGUACAUGGGUUAAAAAAAUUAGGAAAGUAUAAAUUUUUAUUGUUUGUUGUGUCACAAACCACGUUGCCCGGUUUUAAUCACAUUUUUUUAAUAUUUUUUUGUCUGCCCACCAGCUAGGUUUAAAGAAUUAAAAAAGGACUAAAAGAAAGACUCCACAGAUGGAGGAACAUGGGAAUAGAAAGGGCAAAUUUGGGAUUUUACUGUACAAAAAAGACAAAAAGUAACUGCUGAAGACUAACUUGAGGGGCAUUUUGGUCUGCACACUGCCCUAGAACAGUAACCAUCGGAUUGGGUUUUAGUAUAUAUAGAAUAUGUUUAGAUAAGGACAAUAAACUUAGAAUUUUGCCAAAAGUCAGAAUUUAUAAAUUGAUACAAUCAAUUCAUUUGUUUGGAUUCAUAAACAUAGAAAUUUAGACUUUCCGCGUGAGAAAAAACUUGGAAUUUGGGACCUUCAAUUCUCAUGUUUAAAUUUCAUGUAAAUAGGUGUCAUUUAUAAAUUUCAGUAAGUGAGAGUUUAAAAAUAACAAACAUGUAUUCAAAUUUCAUUCCUCCUUUGGUUAACCAAAAAAGAAAAUUUAUAAAUUCUAGAAAAUAAAAUUUCUUUAUUUUAAUUUCUGUUAUUUUAAAAUUCUUAGGGCUUGUUUGGUAUUCUACUUGAAUCCAACUUUUUAAACUAAAAAAUAAUUUUCAAGUUUUAGGCCUUAAAAACUUAUUUGGUAGAACUAUUUAAAAAAACUGAACUUAAGACUAACUAAAAAAUAUAAUAUAUUAUCUAAAAACACAAAAAAUGAGUUUUUAGAAUUUUUAAACUUAAAUUCACUCAUUUCUUUUCUCUCCCUCCUCCCCUCUCACUCCAAAUCUCUCUCUCUCUCUCUCUUUUCUUCUUUCUCUCUCCCCUUCUCUUUUUUUUAACCUUUUUUUGUCUCUCAUCUAAUCCGCUCUCUUCAUUUUCUCGGUUCUUUCUCUCACUCAUAUUCCUCUCUAUCUCCUCCAAUUCUCUCUCUUCAUUCUUUUUCAACCAAUAAUUUCUUACUUUUUUCCUCUUCUCUCCUCUUGAUUCUCUCUCUUCAUUCUUUUUCAACCAAUCAUUUUUUACUUUUUUUCCUUCUCUCCUCUUUCUCCCUCGACUUCCUCUUUUUGGAUCUCUUUGUUCAGUUUGAGCUGUAAGAUUUAAAAUUAUUUUAAAUCGUAUACCAAACAAGUUUUUGAGUCUUAAAGAAAAUUGUUUUUCAAAAAAUGUUCUUAAGAAAUGUUUUGAGAAAUGAUAAAAAAUUUCAAAUAAGAUACCAAACAAGCCCUUAAUAAUCUUAAAUUUUCCCAUCCAAACAAAAAAUUUUCUUGUCAUAGAACUUUCAAUUGGAAUCAAAGAAGACAAUCUUUUCACAACUAAUUAUUCUCACCAAAAGCAAUUUUUAUUUUAAAGCAAUCAAUACCAAACUGCAAAAGCAAAGUAGGAAGGCUAAAAUUAAGGUGAAGAACCUGCUUCCACUAAUUUCCUUAGGAGGGAGAGAGAGAGGGGGAGAGAGAACCAAGCGAGCGAGCAGAGAGAGAAAACACCAAGUAGUAUUCUAAUGUUGGUGGGGUUAAGUCACCUUCCGUGAAGUUGCAGUAAGGACUUCUAUCCCAGAGAAAAGUCAGUAAAUGAUGUUGACACAGUCAACGACAAAGACAGAAUUGUGUAACCAUAAUUCUCUCUCUAUCUCUUUUUCAUUAUCGGAUGACAGUGUAACACUACUACGUAUAUAUCUCUGCUCAAUUAUUGAAAAGAAAAAUCCAUGUGCAUUAUUUUUAUUAUUAUUAUCUCAGAAAUGCAGAAAUUGAUCAUCUCUUCCUUUUGCAUAUUGAUACUGGUUUUCUUCAAACUAGUUGAAGCAAGUCAAUAUGUGUGCGCGAAAUCCAACUGUAGCAAUGAUCAAAGCGGGGCUAUCCAUUUCCCAUUAAACAUCAGGCGCACACAUCAUUGUGGUAAUUCUGGGCUUGAAUGCAAUGGGAGAUAUGAACAGCAAAUACUAAUAAAAUUAUUUGUCAAAGACAUAGAUUACAAGCGUCAGGAAAUCCAAGUCUAUUCCCCAAGUAACUGCCUGCUGCUAAAGCAUGUUGAAAUCCCAAACAUGCCACCCUCUCCCUUCAACGUGUCAGUCGAUGACUACAUGAGUAACCUUACCUUAUUCAGUUGUCCUACUUCUUUUGCAAGACGAGAUACGGAUGUGUAUCAAGUCCCCUGCCUCGGCGACCGUGGCAAGAGAACUUAUGCCAUUUAUUCUGAUUAUGGUUUUAGAACUCUCUUCCGGAAUCUACAAUCUUGUACAAAAAUGUAUGAUGUUUUAUCAGUUCCAAUACCCUCUGAAUAUUAUGUUCUUCGUUUCAAAUGGUCUAUACCAAAUUGCAGAAAAUGUGGAGAGGGAAAGAGGUGUGAAUGGCAGAACAAUGAAAUUAAAUGUAUUCAAUGGAGGAAACCAAGUAAGGAUAACAUAUGUAUUCAUUGCUAGUUUUAAACAUCUUUACAUUUGUUUCUCAGUAAUUAUUGUUUAAAACAUGUCCAAUCCAUUUUUACUAUGAAUAUUAACUGACAGUCUCAUUUGAAUUUGCCUUUAUCUUUUACAGGCAACACAUGGAAAUUAGUGGUCACAGGGGGAAUCCUGGGUUCUUUGCUUCUUGUUCUACUGAUGAUUGCAGCAUAUCGGGUAUAUAGCGUUGAUAGAAAGAAAAAAGAGAUUCGAUUACGAAUUGAAAGAUUCUUGGAGGAUUACAAAGCACUCAAACCAAGCAGAUACUCGUACGCAGAUAUUAAGAGGAUUACAAAUCAAUUCAAGGACAAGUUGGGCAAAGGAGCCUAUGGAACUGUCUUCAAAGGAAUGCUCUCUUCUGAAUUCUUUAUUGCUGUCAAAGUCCUCAACAGUUCCAAGGGAGAUGGGGAAGAGUUCGUAAAUGAAGUGCGAACGAUGGGUCAUAUCCACCACGUAAACGUGGCUCGCUUGGUUGGAUUUUGUGCUGAUGGAUUUGUACAAGCUCUUGUUUACGAGUUCUUCCCCAUUGGUUCCCUGCAGGAUUUCAUUUCAUCUGCAGAUAGUAAGAAUUCAUUUCUUGGUUGGGAUAAGCUGCAAGAUAUUGCCCUAGGCAUAGCCAAAGGAAUUGAAUAUCUUCACCAGGGAUGCGAUCUACGAAUCCUGCAUUUCGACAUCAAACCCCAUAAUGUUUUGCUAGACCAAAACUUCACUCCAAAAAUUUCUGAUUUUGGUAUGGCCAAGUUAUGUUCCAAGGAUCAAAGCUUGGUGUCCAUGACUACAGCUAGGGGGACCAUGGGCUACAUUGCACCUGAAGUGUUCUCCAGGAAUUUCGGAAAUGUGUCUUACAAGGCAGAUGUCUAUAGCUUUGGAAUGCUGCUGCUUGAGAUGGUAGGAGGAAGGAAGAAUAUUGGUUCAAUCACGGAUAACACUACAAAUGAAAUUUACUAUCCACAGUGGAUUUAUAAUCUUCUAGGGGAAGGGGAUGACCUACGAAUCCACAUUGGGGAAGAAGGAGACGGUAAAAUUUCAAAGAAACUUGCAAUUAUAGGGCUAUGGUGUAUCCAGUGGCACCCGUCGGAUCGUCCUUCCAUGAAAAUAGCGGUUCAGAUGUUAGAAGGAGGAGGAGAAAGCUUGAGUAUGCCGCCUAAUCCCUUUGUGCCUACUGGUUCUACAACUAGGAAUGCAAGACGCCUAGAGCUAGAAGCUAUUGCUGAAUUAGAGUAAAAUGUAUAUGCAGAUAUAUAGACGUAUAGAUAUAGUAAUAUUUACAUUGAAUAAGAUACCGUUUGAUAACCAUUUCGUUUUCAGCUUUUAAUUUUUAUUUUUCACUUUUUUGAAAACUGAAAACUAAAAUCUUGUUUGGUAAAUACUUUUAGUUAAAAAAAAAUGAAGACUGAGAACUAAAAAGUGAAAGCUCAAAGGAAGUAGAUUAAAAGUAGUUACCAAACAAACCGGAAUCUCAAUAAUAAAAAAGAUUGAAUUGCACAAUGCAAUCCAAACCAAUCAAAACAUUAAAAUAGCAAAAAAAUUAAAAUUCUAGUUGAUUAGAUUCUGAACAUAGUAAAAAUGAACAGAUCCGAUGAAAAAACAAAAAAUUCUCAGAUAAAAAUAGGGAUAAAGUAGAAUAUUUAUAAAUAGCUCAUUGUCUCUUAUGUCAUCAAUUAUUUCUAUAGUAUAUACAGGUUUUUGGAAAAAUUAGGUUCCCAUCCCUUAUUUUCAUAUUACAUUGAUUGAAAUCUUAUUAUUUUUCUAUUUUAGAUCAAGGUCCCUUGACUUAUUCCAUGUCAUCAUUUUAGUAUUUAAAAUAUUACACGUCAUCAUAAACGAAAUCUCAUCCCUUUCUGCAUUUAAGGCAAAAUAAACUAUAUAAGUAAGUUUAAAACAAGGAAAAUCCAUUUGAACUCCUCCAUUCUUCUUCUUCCCUUAUGCACAUCUGGAAUCUACAACACCCCAAACCCAAUUUUCUCCAUUUUUCUUCAUUCCUGAAUUGAUCCAAUGCAUAUAUGUUGAAUAAACCUAUUGUGAUUAAAAUACAAAUUAGCAUCAAUGAUUUUAUCGGCUUGUGAGAUUUGUGUGGCAUAGGCAAGGCAAUGCAGGCAUCGCUUUAUCAAAGAAUCUGGUUGAUUCAAACAUGCAGAGACUGUAGAGUGAGCGGGCUAUGUAAAAACUGUACCAUUUUGAAGUCAUUUUCUUUUGUUCUUUACAUUUUUUUUUCUUUUAUUAUUAUAUAUUAGUCUUGAUUAUUCAAUGUCUGGUUGGCUACACUUAUAUCCAUGGGUACAUUUUUAAUCUACAUGUUUCGUUCUAAUAUAUCUAUUGCUAUAAUAUGUUUUGGUUGGUUCAAAUUUGUUUUACAUAAAUAUAUGGGUACAAAGUUUUUGUAGAAUAUUAUGUAAAAUGGUUUUUAAGGUUGCUGCAUUUUACGUACCCACAUAUGCAUGUCUAUAAAACAAUGUGGUAUGAUGUACAUUCUUUUCUUUGAGUUUUUAAAUGUACCCAUGAGUUUUCUUGUAAAUUCGGUAUGUACCCAUAUGCUAUUUAUGUUAUGGGUACAUACAUUAUUUUUGGUCUAAGUUCAUGGGUACAUUACUUUUGUAUGUAUGAAUUCAUGGAGUACAUUAUUUCCCUUAAUACUACUCAAUAAAAUUCACAAAAAUAUGUGUAGCGUGCAUGAUUUUUUAUUGUAGAAAUUGUUUGUUUUUUUUAAGUCUCAUAAUUCAUGAAAUUUGUACAUAUAUGAUCACAUAAAUUUUUUAAUUUUAUUAAAUUUCUUUUAGACUUGAUCGAUUGAUUGAAUCUCAUAAUACUAGGAUUUUGAAUUACAUAAAUUCUUGGAUUUAAAUCCCUUAAAUGUUGAACUGCAAUCAAUAUUUUAAAUUACAGUUUUUUAUUUAAGAUAUCAAAAAGAUGACAUGGAAAUAUAGUAAUACUAAAAUGCUGAGGUGUACAAAGUCAAAGGACUUUGAUAAAAAAAUAAAAAACAAUAAGAUUUCAAUCUAACAAUUGAAUUGACUAGGGAUCGGAACCAAAAUGACCCUAGAUUUUUAUUGAGUUUAAUCUUAAUAAAAAAAAGACUUCUUGUAUCACAAAAAAUACAAGAACCAUUAUUUGAAUGAAAUAAAAGCUAUGGGAUGGAGAUAUAAAUGGAUCCUUUAUUUCACAAUUGGAUUAUAUUUAUUUGAUACACUGUUGUCAAUAUGAAUGCUGAGAAAAGACUACAAAAGAAAAAAACAAUUUAUAAAUAUAACUAACAAUUCCAAUUUCAAUCAAUUAGACAAUUAGAAUUAUAAGAAGAAAAAAAAAAGAAAUUUCAGUUUUCAGUUUAAAAAAAAUGAAAAAAAAAUGGUUAUCAAAGCCGUCCAAAUAAUACAAGUUUGUUUCCACUCUUUGUUUAAGCAUAGAUGCCAAUUUUUGUUUAUCAUUUUUUUAACCUUUAUUUUUUGUUACAGUAGAAGCCCUGGAAGGAAAUCGAGCACUGGACUUACCAAACUCUUAACUUAUUUCUACACACCAAGAGCUUGAUUUCGGUUCUUAUUUAUACUAUUUAAGCUAUAAGCCGUGACAAGAAUUAGAGAACUAUCAUUUGUUGUGAGCUUCAAUUGGUUAGCACUUUGUAUGUUUUCAUUAGAAUAUAUAUUUCACUUAGACUUUCUUAUUAAAAAAGGGAUCAGCUGGUGACUUUACCACGACAAUCCAAUUUUAUGGGGGUCAUGAAUACUCACAAAGGCAUUUCAGCCUCCCCCUAUAUCUACCGUCGCGUGAUUCACCAUUGUCAGAAAUCGAACCCAAGACGUGUUGUAUAGAAUACGGGCCUAAAAUUCAUUUCUAACCACUGAGUCACCCCGCGUUUGAUUAUAUUUCACUUAGACUUAUCUUGCGGUAUAGCAUGUCAUCCCCGCCCAAGUUUUUCCCUUCGCGUUGACUUUGGGAUACCAAAACUUGCCAAACAAAGUAGAUUGAUUAGUAAGCGAAGCUAAUUAUUCGACUAAACAUUGUUUAGAAUUUUAAUUAAAAGAACCAAUAUGAAUCUGUUUUUUUUUUUUUUGACAAACUAUAACGUUAAGGAGUUAAAUUGUUAGUUGUUAAGAGUACGGGGAUAGGUGAGGAUCGAACCUCCACCAUAGUGCAUAGACAUUAUUGGUUCUACAACUGCUGUAAAUCACAUAAAACAAAACGUAAUACUUUGAGGAUGGAAGACACUUCGUGGAUAGCGGGCAAUCAACACUAUCAGUUGCUAUCCAAAACUUGGAAUUAUGUUUAUUGUCCGAAGGAUUUUUCUUCCAUUAAAUUGCUAAGGAAGAUGAGGAUGGGUAGAGUGUCUAAAUGUCAAGGUUGAUAAGAACGUGUAUGGUGUUCAGCUUGCGAUUGAGAUUUGUUGAGUGGCACAACAAACCACAUAAAAUUUUCUAAAUGAUAAGCUUGAGUAUAAUUUUUUACCACGUAUUUAUCUUUAAAAUCAUUAUAAUUAGAUUUUCUCUUAAUUAAUAUAGACCGUUAGAUUCAUCUAAUGACCCAAGUUUUUUUCCUCUUUUCUUUCUACUCUUUUUUUCUUCUCUGAUUUUCCAUUCACCGUGUAGCAGUCGUUCUUCCCCAACUAAGUUUCUUAUUUUUCUUCACAAAAAAAUUGUAGAAAAUAUUAAGAAAAGAAAAGUCAUCAAUAUCAGACUCGACCAGGUAAUCGUUCCAACCUUCCCAGCAACUCUCAGUCUUAACAAGGCACCAAAUUUUCUCCGCCACCUAACUCGUCAUUCAUUUAUGGGUGUUUCAAGCUUGGUGAAAAUUGAUAGAGUUCCAUGUGUGUACACGGAUGUGAACAUAUUGGCCACUCUCUAAUGUGUUGGUUUAUCACAAAGAACCCAGAUACAAAAUUUUAAAAAGCAAACAAUUACAACUUCUCAAAUAUUAUCUAACAAACUUUCAAUGAAAUGUUGCUCAUAAUUGAAAAAAGGUUGACGAAGGACGGAGUUGGAGUUAUUUUAGAUGGGGAAGAGUUAAAAGAAGGAAGCACCAUUUAAUUAAUAAAAGCGAUUGGAGAAAUAGUAAUUCAAUGGUGGGCGUUUUUAAGGUGUGGACCUUGUAUCACACCCCGAUUCCAACAUACAUUGAGGAUCAACACGUGACAUGGGGACAUAGGGGACAUAAAUCUUAUGUAAGAUACAAAAUGAAAUACUAUAAAUAAUAUCCCAAAAUGAAUAUGAUAGUGGGUUCACCCCUAUAAAAUAUAUACGAGUUUGUACAUUCACAAAAAAAAAAAAAAAAAAAAAAAAAAAACACAUACACACACACAAAACUCUCGCUAGGCCAAGACUUGCCCAUGGUGCUCAAAGGAAAGUCCCAAAAGAAAGAGUACAAUGAAGGAUAAAGGGGUAACCUAAACACUCCAAGUCUCUGAUCUCUGCACUGCUACCCUCACCGGCUCCUCGUAAUCUACUCAGACCUAUCACAUGUACAAACAGUGCCUACAUUGUGGGAAUGGUGCAUCGGGCAAACAAAAACCCGGAUAAGCUGCAAAACUCGUGUGAGUGACAAUAAUGCAACAUAUGUGAUAAUCAAGAAAAACAUACCAUCGAUCGCAGUUUAUAAACCUCAAAUAUAACUUCAUACUUAUGAAAUCAUAAUCAAGUCACUGAAAACUUCGAAUGAGUCACCCAGACAUCCAACGACUUUUUAAAAUCAAAUCUCAGAGAUUCCAAAACUAUCAUUCACAAAUACACUAAAAACUAGGGCUAGAGUGACACAGUUCGGCCAAAGACUACAUAAGUAACCAAACAAGAAGUGGCCCCCCAUAGCGGAUUAACCAAGCAGAGCCACUCCUGAAAAAGUAACCAAGUAGGUAGUGACCCCCAUCACGGAUUAACCAAGCAAAGUCACUCCUACGAAACUGUUAGGUAGUGAUCACCCAUCGCGGAUUAACCAAGCAUGAUCACCCCUAAGUACGUAUGGCCAUACCUAAGAAAUAAGGAUCGCCCACCGCAGAUUAACCAAGCACGAUCCAAAAAUAUUAUGGGUCCCCUAUCACGGAUUAACCAAGCAUGACCAUCCAUGUACCACUACUACAUGGUGUAAAUUCGGUGUCACCUAACCUCGUGACACUAGGGUAACGGUCCUUUACUAGCCCUCACGUUUUUCAAACAUUUCAAAUAUAUAAUUUAAAACACAAUUCAUAAACAUUUCGAAUAAGGAAGUCACAUAGUGUUUAAUAAUGUAGGUCAAUGGAAAACUUUAAAAACAAUUAUUUAGCAUAAAACAUAUUUUAGAAAUCCAUGUUGUAUCCACAAAGUAUACUAGCAUGGGAGAUUUUCAGGGUAAUAACUCUAUCAUAUAUAUUAAAGUCACUCACCUGGAGUCCACACUAACGCACCCUAACACGAAUAUCAAGACGUCACGUACUAUCAUCUGUAACAUCCCACAUCAACCAACGGAGAGAGGGUGAUGUGCCUUAUAUGUACAUGCCCACCUCCAUAGCAUGAGACCUUUUGGGAGCUCACUGGCUUCAUAUUCCAUCGGAACUCCAAAGUUAAGCGAGUUUGGGCGAGAGUAGUCCCAGGAAGAGUGACCCACUGGAAAGUUCUCGUGUGAGUUCCUAGAAACAAAAUCGUGAAGGCGUGGCCGGGGGGGGGGGUUAAAGCGGACAAUAUUGUGCUACGACGAAAUUGAGACUGAGAUGUGACAGAAUGGUAUCAAAGCCACUCUGCCGUGUGGUGCGAGUGUGCCGACGAGGAUGUCGGGCCCCUAAGGGGGGUGGAUUGUAACAUCCCACAUCGACCAACGGAGAGGAGGUGAUGUGCCUUAUAUGUACAUGCCCACCUCCAUUUAGCACGAGGUCUUUUGGGAGCUCACUGGCUUCGGAUUCCAUAAGAACUCCGAAGUUAAGCGAGUUCGAGCGAGAGCAUUCCCAGGAUGAGUAACCUACUGGGAAGUUCUCGUGUGAGUUCCCAGAAACAAAAUUGUGAGGGCGUGGCCAAGGCCCAAAGCGGACAAUAUCGUGCUAUGGCGGAGCCGAGAUUGGGAUGUAACAUCGUCACCUAAGACAAAGUACAAGUCCACAUUUAAAGUUCUUCGUGUAUUCACAUAAUAAAAAAUUUCCAUAUGCCCCCUACAACUAAUGAAGAGAAAUCGAGACACGUUGACAAAAAGUCAACUGUUGAUCAACGGUAGGGUCCAUAACCCUACGUAACUCGAUCUGCAAGAUCCAGCCACUGUAUUUGUGAUUCAUAAGUUCCUAAGGUCCUUAAAUCUUACGUACAAUAACAUACUAAACUUUGGUGACGAUCUAAUUGUCGAAUCAUCAUUUGCUAUAAUGUUCAAAUGACGCAAAUUCAUCAAUCAGAUGUUAAAUAUGGAAUCGGUCAUCGAAUUUAGCUUAGGAAGGUCAAGUGGUGUCUCGAGCCACGUGCUGCCGUGCGCAGCAGCUGGCAACCCAAAUUCGUCGGAAAAAUCACCUAAUUCCAAAAUGAAUGUCGUUAGACGUGGAGUAAAUUGUAUACCUGUGAAGAAGCCCAAUUUGGUCGGGAAGUGGCCUGAAAUCACUUUAGACCGUCGGAAACCCUAAAAUAGGUGAAUCUCGAUUCGUCAUCUCCGGUAUUCCACCGUCCUCAAACUUGUUUAGGGUUUGCUCCUGGUCUCAAAAGAAUGCUAAUGAUGGUGGUGAUUGAAGGAGAAUGUUUCAGAAAUAAUGAAUCGUCGACGAGGGUUUCACGAAACCGACAUGGGUGUUCCUUGUGGAACUAAGACCAAAUCUCAACGGUUUUGGCUAGAAAUGGAUGCUGGGAUGUCGUGGUGAGGUUUGGUAGUGAUGGGAGGUCGAAGAAAGCCAAAAAAAUCGACGAAAAAACAGUCGUCGGAGUCGCAGGAAACGGGUUAGAAAAACGAGUCGCCAGGUCUGAAACGGGUCGAAGGCUUUUGGGACAGCUACUUACUCUCUCUUCUUUGAUUAGUCACUCCACUCACUCUCUCAUUUGAUUAGUCCAGCCUUCCCACAUGGUGGGAGUUCCCUCAUAUAGUAACCCAAAAUUUACUAUUUAAAUCUGGUAUCGAACGUUCGUAACUUUUUCGUUAUAGUUUCGAUUCGCAAACAGCUUUCGCCUACGCGCUCGUAUGAUCGAAUUAUACUCGAAAACAUUAAUUGUGACCUCGAAAAGGUCUACGAGUUUUAAAAGAUUAAUUACAAAAAUUCACACCUUGUAACUAUACGAUCCAAAUUCUAAAAUUAACGGAAUUAAAAUAAACUAAAAAUAAUGUAAACACGAAAUACAGACUUUAAUAAUGAAAUACGUAAUUAAUAGUAGUAUUCCGGGAACGGGAUUUCACACCUUGCGUCCGGACCUUGAGUGCGGAUCAGAAUCCAAAGGUCGUGAUCUGACAAGCUCAUGCAUAGAACGGAGUCGUUGUGACCCAAUGCAAUUCAAAACUUUUAUGUUUUUUAUUUGCUGGGUACGUUUUUGUAGGAGGAAAAGGGGAAGUCGAGGGAUUCUUUGCGCAUUAAAGAGGGAAAGAGAGAAAGGGGGAGCUAAGAGGUUCUUCGCGCGUUAAAUUUUUGCUUCUAAUUUUGCAACCUAGAAAUAAAGUAUUUUCUUUAUGGUUUAUGGUUCAAGAAUAUAAUGGAUGCAACCUAAAAAUGUUUCUUUUUUUAUUUUUUACUUUUUUUCUUCUUAUGUUGGCUUUUGGUUUAUUUUUAUAACGCACUAUAUAUUAACUAAAUUUAUAAACAUUUUGUAUCUUUGUUGCAGUCAAAUUAAUCAUAUGGGUCGGCAUGACUAAGUUCGACUGAGACAUACAGAUGUUUUGCAAUCUUAAGUCUAACCUGACACACCUCGACCUCAAUAUCCAGUGAACACCAAAAUUAAGGUGUGCUGGCCAUCAUCCGGAUGGGUGACGAAACCAUAAUAUGCAUGAAAACAUAACUAAAUUAUCAACCAAUAAAAUCUAUUGAAAAAUUUGGCAGAACAUCCCUUAAAAUAGGGAUAUGCCCAAAUUAAAAACACUUGCACAUGAUCACAAUUAUUCAAACACAUCCCGAAGGGCCACACUUAAUGGGACUUCGACCAUCUAUUACAUGCAUGAGAAUAUGUUCAGAGAAUAAUUACCCAAAUACGUCUUAUUAAAAUAUUGAGUAAAUACCAUACAAGAUAGAAUACGUCAGAGCUGUUGCAAAAUACCUCAACGUCGGAUGUAAUCACUGAUAGAAUUACUGAAUCAUGUAUAAAUGGAAAGCUGAUAAAUACAUGUAAUUUGAGUGGAUACUUACCAACAGCAUGGAUACAAUAUCAUCCACCAGUCGUAACUAGUGAAAACUGGAUAAUAUAAUCAUGUCAUUGCCGAGUAAUCUCAAGGCAAUGACAAGAUGAGAAUGUAACUGAGUAAUCAUAUCAUUACUAAAUAAUUUCAAAGCAAUGACAAGCUGAGAGUAUAACCGUAUAAUCAUGUCAUUACCGCGUAAUCUCAAAAUAAUGACAAGCUGAGAGUAUAACUGUAGUACCUCUUAUUAGUGCAAUGCAUGAUAUGAAUUCCAUCUCACAUAUAUAUGCAAGCCAUAAUCAAACCAAUAAACAUCCAACAAAAGCCACAAUCCUUUUAACAUUCGACCACAAGAUCAAUUUUCAUAUUUCCCAAACCUAGGUUCCGAAGCAUUGUUUCGAAUUAUUAAUACAAGAAACCACCACCACCUCAAUCAAUUCCUAUUCAUAAGUGUAAGCAAUUACUAAAUGCAUCACUUUCGACUCUAGUCUUAAUUAGAUUACUUGGGAUACUCAUUCACACCAUCAGAUCCACGUACAAUUUUGAUAAACUUUAAAUAGCAUGGUUAAAAUAAAUGAAACAUUUGAAUGAAACACUUUUAGAAAAUAAGUGAAGAUGUUGUUUACAAAUAUAGAUGCAUCUGUAUAUAAAAGCUUUGGCGGUUGAUUCGUAUACUUCCAGAGAUAUAAGCAAGUUCAUUGGAAUAUGCAUACAUGGUUAAUGUAUUACGGUAUAAUUAAUAAGAAAACAAUUGCAUCCCCUUCAGAUUAUAUAUAUAUAUAUAUAGACACACACACAUACACAUACAUACACACAGGCCCUUUAUGCAAAGGAAUUUCCAUUUUUUUUCAAAAAAUGGGGAUUAGUUGUGGGGCCCACGCUGCAUUGAACUUUAACGAUCCGAACAAUCUAUUUUGUAAGUCUCGAUUCAUAGAUCAUCCUUGCAAAAAUUCAAUUCAAUCCGAACCCUUUUGCCUAUUUAAUUAUCAAGAUAAAAUUUCAUUGUUUCUUAUAUAACAAAGUAUUCGUUAAUUUCUUUGAACUCAAUUAGAUAUCUUAAACAUUUCCGAUUUGGCUAAUAUUUUGCAAAGAUGAUCUAUGUGGUGCAACUUGAAAAAUAGACGAUUUCGAUUGUUAAAGUUCGAUGUGGUGUGAACCCUACAAUUAAUCUUCAUUUUUAUAAAAGAAUGGGAACCCCUCCCCUUAAAGGUUUCCUAUGUAUAUAUUUGUUCUUCAGACAUAUGCAAAAGGUAAUGUAAAACCAAUGAGAACUUAAAUAGAUAUUCCAUACAUAGGACAAUUCCAUAUAUGCUUUUUCAACAUUUAUAUCGAAAAGCCAAAUUGUUUUGAGGAAAUUAAUUGUAGUAAUGGUCCCUUAACUUUUAUCUUAUUGGAGCAAUGGUCUCUCAACUAAAAAUUCAUGACCAUUGGUUCCUUAACUCCACAAAACGUGUAGUUAUGGUCAUUUUCAUUAACUCCGUCAGAACUUUUGUUAAAACAAGUAAUGUUAGAAGAAUCAUUGCUACAAUCAGGUUAAAGUUGGGGACCAUUGCUCUAAUUGAAUUAAAGUUGAGGGAUCAUUACUCCAAAUUGCUUAAAGUUCAAGGACCAUUUCUACAAUUUUCUCAUCUAGUUUCCCAUAUUUACCCCAUGAUUCAGCUUCACAUGCAUUGCACAUGACUCAUUUUGACAAAAGUUUUAACGAAAUUGACGAAAAUGACCAUAAAUGCACGUUUUGAAGAGUAAGAGACCAAUGGUCGCAGAUUUUAGUUGAGGGAUCAUUGCUCCAAUUUGGUUAAAGUUGAGGGACCAUUGCUACAAUUUGCUCAAAUGUUUCGUAUGCGAAAAUAGGCAUUUGUAAAGUUUGGCUUGUUCAUGGCAUUAUUACUUUAGUCUAAAGUAAGGCUGGAAAUGGCACUGUAGAAAUGAAUAGUGUUCCAAUCCGAAUUUCAGUUUAAUUACAACAAUGCCAUUGCUCUUUGUGUUGCCUUUAGGUGAGCAACCCAACUUCCAGCCAGGCCCAAAUGUAUUGGUUUUAGCUGAGAAGCCCGACCUUUGGUCAGGCCCAAAACUUUAAAUUACAGUUUUGCCCAUACAAAAUAACAAUUUGAUUGUAUCGGGAAGGACAAUUUUGUCCUUUUAGUUUUGGGCGAGAUAGGGGGUAACCGGGUAGAUUUCAUUUGCUGUCGUUGAAUGAAGGUUUCGGGGAUGAAGGUUGUGUGUGUGUGUGAGGGAGAUGACGAUGGAAGGAGAGCGAAGGGGAGGGGAAGGGUUCUCGGCACUGUUGCUGCAUGUGGAUUUCACAAGUGGGUGAAUGGGUAUGGUUAGAGAAUACCAUAUAGGUUGUCGGGAUUUCAGGAAACGGGGUAGGGGUCAUGAAUGAACCCUGCUGAGAGUGGGUGCCGGAUCUUGCGCUGCAUGCCUCAAAUCAAAGAUAAGUUCAUUUUUUUAUUGUAUUCUUUAAUGGUAGCUUAGCUUUUGGAAUUGUUUAGUAUGUUAGGUCCAGUUUUGGGGGAUUUAUCUUUUAGAGAGAGAGAUGGACAGGGAGAUAAAGAUAGACAGAGAGAGAGAGAGGAGGAGGAGGCGGAGGAAGUAUGGCUGUGUGCUAUUUUUGGUGUUAAUUAAUGGGUUGGUGCGCAGGGUGAGUGACAGAGUGACAGAGUGACGGAGGGAUGUGUGGGAGGGUAUGGGUUUUUAGUUCUUUCUUUUGAUUCAAUAGGUUAUACACUGUUUGAAAAACCUUUUUUUUAUUUUUUUGUUCUCGUUUGCUUUGUUAAAACCAUCAUUUGAAUUUUUGGGUUUCACUGUGCUCAUUUCUCUGUUUCUUCAUAAUUUGUUGGUGUUUGCUUCUCAUCCCUCUGUUGGUAGAUCUUUUUCUCAUUUCUUGGUUCCUUAUGUAUUCUUUGGUACAAAUCUGUUUACUUUUUGGUUGUGUGAUAAUCUUAGCAGGUGAACUAUAUGAACGUUUUUUUGAAACGAGCACAGUGAAGCAAGCGUAGAUUGGGAGGCAACCCAAUAUUUCUAUUCAUUGCCUUUUUCUGUCAUUUUCAAUUUUCUUGCAUGCUAAACUGAAUUAUUUCUUUUCUUUGUAUUUGGGUUAUGUCCACCCUUGGAGUUGAUUGCGGAAUUAUAGUUUGGGGGUCAUCAUUUGAUUUCACUGCAAAUUGGGGAAGUUUUUAGUCCAAAUGCCGGAUCACUUCAAGUAUCACCUUCCAUUCGAAGUUCACUUCCAUGCCAUGGAACCUAUGGGAGUGUGACUGGAGGCAUCGUCCGGCUGCAAGACGUUAAAGAAAGCGCUUCUUGGGAGGCAACCCAAGCUUUCUAUCUUUCAUCUUUAUUUUGAAUAAUUUUAAAUGUUCUUGUUCUGUUUUUCUCUUAUUUUCUGGUUUUUGUAUUUAAGUCCUACUUUUGUUCCUUUAUGCAGGUAAUGAUUUUGCAAUCUCUACCACAACUUCUUGCAAGGUAGUUUUACAUUCAUAAAAACGAAAGGAACAUUAAGCAUAUAAAUACAAGAGGGAGCCUUCACAAAGGCUGCUUAGGAGAAGUUUCAGCAGUCGGCGGAGUCCCAGAAGGAGGAGGCAUCAGAGGUUGAUCAUUUGGAGCUUCAUUACGUGGUACAACCCCAGAAGACGAAGGCAAAUGCAAAUAAGGAAGAUCUAUGAAUCGCUUCACAAUCGAAAAGGAACAUAUGGUAGAAAAAUUCAAAGAUGAGCAUACAAACAAGAAGGAGUCUUCAUUGGUCAGGAGGUGUCGCAGCAGUCGAAGGAACAUCAGAAAGACGAAGUGUCAGAGCUUGAUUGUCCGGAGCACUUGGUGAAGCACCAGAUGAUGAAGGCAGAAGUUGCCUCAGGAGUAAAGCCAUAAACCUUUGAUGAUCACUCCGAGCCCGAACUUCAGCCUCUUGCAGCUGGUCCAACUUCCUCUUUAUGCUUGUUGAGUAGUUAGUUGCGAGCAUGUGCAACUCUUUAUCUUCAUGCCUCAGCGCUCUGACCUCUUGCCAAAGGCUAGCCACUUCAGCCAUCAACGACUCCACUUGACGAGUUCGAGCAAGAAGGCGUUGGCCCAUGUUUGAUACUGAGCCUGCACUUUGGACGCUGAAAGCCAAAGAAUCCUGAACAGCCUGCUCGUCAGACCGCUUAGAUAGCAUCCUACUGUCUCUUGGAGUAUGAAGAUUUCUAGCAACCACUGCAGCUGUUGCAUCAUUUCUCAUCACAGUGUCCCCAACUGUAAGAGGACCGUUGGAGGAUAUGAAAGAUGGCUGCCAAAUGUUACCUGGAGACGAGAGGUCAAUAUCUUCUUCGAUAUUCAGGUCAAAACGACGGUCGGAUGGGCUAGACAUUUUCAUAGGUGUUAAAGAAAGAAGAGGUCAGACAAGUCAAGAUAGUAGAAAUGCAAGAAGGGAGUAUUCACAGGCAGAAAUUCAUGUGUGCUUUGAACAUCCUGCGAACCUCUAUAAAAAAUAGCACACAAUGAGAUUUCAGGGAUCGAAUAGGCGAGUUCAGAGAUCGAUGAAGCGCCUGCUUUCUCCAAAGCUAGGCCUACUCAGGAAUCACAGGCUGAUCUCAGGUAGUGAAGACGCGCCUGUCUCUCUCAGCCCCGUCAGCACUUGUCACAUGCAGAGAAAACUUUGAGGAAAUCACGGGCAGUUUGUCGAAGCGCCGAUUCCAACCAUCUGUCUUUCUCAGCCUCGUCAGCUUUGAGGAAAUCACGGGCAGUUUGUCGAAGCGCCGAGUCCAACCGCCUGUCUCUCUCAGCCUCGUCGGCACUCGCUUUCUCAAAAGCUGGGCUUGAAAUCACAGGCCAAUCUUCAGUUUCUAAAUUUGUUCGCACUUGUCACAUGCAACCUCUGCACUCAACGAAGCUCAGAACUCGAAGCGCCAAUUCCGGAUAUUAAAGAAGCCUUUGCUUUAUCAGACGUGUCAGCAUCUGUCAAUUGCACAUCUGCGUUGCGUAAAUCACGCGCAAUCUGUCGAAGAUUUCUGGAGAAACGGAAUGCACGUGAAGUUUACUGUUAAAUUACCCCAGGCUUGCUGACACGAGUACUAGAACAAUGCCUUCCCAGCCAUUAAGAAAAAUUCUACAAAUGUUAAAGGCAACCUCACUCAACUUUCAGCCUCACUCAACCUUUCUUCCUCUCUGAGAAUGUAUUCCCGAAGAAGCCUCCCGAGUCACUCUGUGUUUCUCAUCCCUUGGGAUACCCCUGCAAACAACCCACCCAGAGCAAAAGUAUUUCAUAUCAUAACGGUUGAGAGCAAGAGUAUCUCAUAUCAUGCUUUCUCCCUGUCCUUUGUCUCGCCAGCACUUGGUAUCAAUCUUCCGAGCGGGGACCGACUGCCUGGAACCCAUUCCUGAUUGCUUACCUAACCUUGCUCUCGAGUACUCAUCCUUCUUAUGUUUCCUCUUCGUCUACCACAUAGGGGAAGUGAUAAUGAUACCUCGAAGCAUGUGGAUACAACGUGCUGAUUCAUCCUCAACUAAGGACAAGGGAGAAAGCAAGCAAGAUGUGGGCACUUGGAAAGAUUGAACAAAGAAACAGACUAACACCUCUACCUCGUGCCUGCCUACCGAGCAGAAGAAACAAGCAGAGAAGAAUGCAGACUGCACAAUCAAACAACCCAGGAACUCUGAUAUUCCUCGCUCAGGAUUCCAAACCAGUUUGAGAUUCGCCUACACAAAUUGGUGUGUUCUUUCCUUUUCUUUAUGUGUCUUUAUUUCAUUUUAUAUUUCUUUCCUUCCAUUUUCAUGUCUUAUUGUUCAAAAAUUCCUUUCAUUAUCAUUGGGGACAAUGCUAUAAUUAAGUUUGGGGGUAUUUGGAAAUAUAUUUCGUUAGUUUAUUUCUCUAUUAAAAAAAAAAAAAAAUUUUGCAUUUUUAUUGUUGUUUGUAGCUACUUCUCAAUUCAAUGAUGAGAUUUGAUUUUAAUUUCCUUCUUACUUUCAAGAAAGUCUAAGUUCUUUUCGUUGUCUUUGUGUUAACUGUGAUUUCCAGAAAUCAACUUGAAAAAAGAAAUGUGCCUAGUCUUGUCAAUGUGAAACUUGAGCAUGAUUUAGCGUUUCAUAUGUGAAUCAUGUGAGAUUAUGUAAACCUUGUGAGUUUUUUAGCCUAUACAUGAUUGAACCAUUAUGCAUCAAUCUCAUUCCUUCUUGUGCGUAUGAUCUCACUGUACAUGUAUCUCUAGAACUUGCUUUAUACUACUCGAUUCAUUAAUCAAUUCAUGUAAUAACUUGGAAGUGAUAUAGGCCAUCUUUGGAUCGUUUGAGCCUUUCAUGCCUACCUUAUAUGCUAUGUUUAUCCUUAGUAGCCCUUUGAGCCUUUAACUAAGCCAUUUCUUUGUUAACCACAUCUCUUUACCUUGCUCCAAUAUUGGAGUUGAGCCCAUACACAAAAAUCGAUUCCUUAUUGUUUUGAGAAAGUAUUACAUGGGUUGUGCUUUUGGGGGUUUCAUUUAUAUAGAAAGAUGGAUGGAGUAUGUGUAUACAAUGAAAUGUGAAUUUGAUGGGUGAUGUAGAUUUUGAAAAUUAUUUCAAAAGAAAAAAAAAACGAAAAAAAACGAAAAAAAUGAAAAUUGGAGAGUGUUGAUUUGUUGAAAAUGUGUCGGUAGAGUAUAAAUUUCCUUUUAAAGUUAAAUUUGGGGAGUAACAGGUGCUCGAGGUUUUAUUAUUUUGCUUUCAAUUUGAGGUGGUGUGAUAUUGAGGUGUUGGAAAACUACCAAAGUGUACUUUCUCAAAAUUUUUGAUUUCCAUAUCCUUUCUUUCAUUAGCCUAUCACCUUUAGCCCCAUUACAACCGUAAUAAAGUCCUAUUGAUCCAAGGUAUUACUUAAAUAUUGAUAAGCGAGUUAGGUGGACAAGCAAGCACAUGGCGGCAUGUACAAUGAGAUUACUUGAGUGAAACACAUUAACAAAAAAUUAUGAGUGAAUGAGCGUAUGUCUUGUGAGAAACUCACAUGUUUGCAUAUGAUGAUUUAAAGGAGCUUGGAAUUGCAUUGACAUAGCUAGCUCACACAUGGCAUUUCAACGUUUUGUUUGAAGGAAAUUUGGUUAACUAUUGGAUGAUGUUUUGAGCUCUUGCUUACUUCUUGGCAGUGUAUCUCAUGACUAGCACUUAUCUCUGAAAUCGAAAUUGAGAAGUUGGCUACUAAGUUGUUGAAUCUAGUCUUAGUUGAGUGGUUUUGUUUUGCUAGAGGACUAGCAAAAAUGUAAGUUUGGGGGUAUUUGAUCACUCAUAUAUUUCAUGCAUUUAUACCAUCCAUUUCUAAAGUCUUUGUGAUGUUUUUGUGUUAAAGUUGUGGCAUUUUACCUUACCUUGUGUUAAUGUACAGUUAAUUUUAUUUUAGGAUCAAUUUCAAAGAAAAUGGGCUGAAAAGAAAAUAAAAGAAAAGAAAUAAAUGGGACGGAAAGGAAGACACUGACAGAAUAAAAGAAUGAAGAAAGAGGUAGAACGGCAGAUAGAGAAGUGGGAAGAAAGUGGAGUGCGCAUGGGAUGGAAGUGGAACAAAAAGCAGGAGAGGGAGUGAGGAGUGCGGGAUAAAAGCAAAGAAAAAUAGAAGAAUAAGAAAGAAGUGGGAGGACACGGACUGAGUGGAAGAAUUAAAGAGAGAAGCAGGGUGCAGGCACGGACAGAAAGGAGAACUGAAGAAUAAAAGAGAAGACAGAGAAGCAGAAAAAAGAAGAGAAACUGACGUGAAAGCCAGUGCGCAGAGGGCGCAGAGAGAUAGGAGAGAUUGUGCGGGAGCAGAAGCACAGAAGCAGAGGGAACAAAAUCACAGACUGACAGCAGACGCAAGAGGCACGGCAGAGAGCAAAGCUUCACUCUAUUUUUCUUGGUUUUAUCUUCUCAAACCCAUGUUUUACUUUUGGUUUAAUUUGUGAAUUAUGUGUAACUAAAUUUUAAGUAGUUAGGGGCUGUUUUGAAGCCCCGAAUAUGAUUGUAAGUUUGUUGUGAUAUUUUGUUUGAAUGACUUUUAUGAAAGGAUGAAAAUUGUUUCACUACUUAUGUGAUUGAUAAAUUCUUUAUGUGUUUCUAUGGAUGCAUACAUAGUGAGCAUAUCUAGGAUUUUAAUGCUAUGAAUAUAUGUUUACCUGCCCUUGUUGAAUGAGGACCUACAUAUGUUCUAGAGUAGCACUUGUUAAUUGUGGUUAACAUGUGAACCGAUUUCUAGGAUAAGUAAGACAAUGCCAGUACUUAUCAUGCCUUGUGAUGACUCAAACUCUUUUCGUUCUUAAUGAUUUCUACUUGUUAAAUCUAUGAACACGACAUUCUAGAUUACAUGCUAGGGACUACGUUAAGUUGAAAACGCUAUUCUCUUAACAUACUACGUAAGAAAAAGUAAUAGGUUGUGUUCUAACAUUGAGCCAACUUGAGCAUCUUCAUCCGGAAAUAAAAGGAAUUUGAAUGAAACAUAACAUGUUUGCAUGAUUAUUUGGUGGUGGAUAGCAUUUCCCCUAAUUCGUUUUCUUAACUUGUGAAUUAAAAUCUAUUGGUAUUAUUUAAAACUGGUUGAGGUCCUGUUUUGUCCGAUUUAAUUUAAAUAGCUAAUCAACUUCAAAAAUCCCAAACAUUUGUGUGAGCAUAGCUUGGUGUGUCUAGUUUAUGUGUAUAAAAUUUCGUUGCAUUUGGAUAAGUGUAAGUUAGUCUAAUAAUUAUUGUUCGGUGGCUGGUCAGUGGAGACAACCAUCCUGUUUUUGUGACAUUUUAAGUGUUUGGAUAAAACAAUUUUCUGCGGAAAAGACCCUUAUUUUCAUAUGCUACAAUCGACAAAAUUUUAGUGUUAAUAAGGAAAAUCAAUAGGAUUAUUGUGGGCUACUUUGUGGUGCGUUAUAAUUACUACCAUGCUGUCAGUGGGUGUUAAUAUCAGGUACCCAUGUUCAGUUUUUCGUUUUGAUUUGAAGGAAUUUCUUGCGGAGAGGAGCAAGGGUUUCUUGGUGAGUUCUUCGGGUUGUGCAUAUGGGUAAUUUUCUUUUCGGUUUAACCCUCUGCUUCUGCUGCUCUCUCUCUUUCUCUCAUCCCUGCCUGCUCCUCUCCAAUUGUUUGCUGUUCUUAAAUAUUGUGUUCAUUGCCUGAUACAAGGGGCUGCAGCAAUCUGUUUUAUCCUACACGGGACAACGAGGCAAUGGCGUGACAACAGGUGAGCUUGGAUAUCCAAAGAAAAAGAACAGUUGGUUCAUCUGCUGGAGUCUGAGCUUAGAGAAGUGGAGGAAAAUUGCAGGUGUGCGAGAAAUUUUAUUUUGCUGAUAGGACUCCUUAUUUACUGAUGCAUUUUGAAAUAAUUGAAAAGUUGGAUUUGAGUUAACAGCUAUAAAAAUGUAGACAUGAUUGCUGAGAUUAUGCUAUGAAAGUGGAAUAAAAAAAUGGUAGUUUAUAAUAUUGCGUACCAAUUGUUUUCUCUCUUUUUUACCAAAUGAUAAGGGUGGUGGCUCAGGCCGCCCCCCUAAGCGUCCCCACUCUUCGACAAGUUGAAAUCGUGGUGAUAGUUUAUGGGCUGUGGUCUUGGGAUUCUGCAAAUAGAAUGAAAAACAGACACUUAACUAUCUUGUUAUUAAGCAUUUCUGCAUCAUUCAGUUGCUCUUGAUUUUCGUCUUUUAAGCGAUCUUAUUUCUGCGAUCUGACUUGAGGAGGGUUUUUAGACCUAUGGUUGUGGGUGUUUUCUCUGACCCCAUUAUCCGAGAUUUGUAGACUUGCGAUCGGCGGUCAAACAUUUUGUGAUUCUUGUUUUCUCUGCCUUUCGGUCGUUAAGCGCCGGCAGUCUUUAGAUCUUUGGCAAAUCAAUUUAAUACAACCGAGGUAUGUUUUAUAACUGCUGUCUUUCAAUUUUUGUUCUGUAUUUUUGUUAAUUUGGAUGAAGCUCUAAUAAUUUUGUUUUGGAUCAGUUGUGGUCCUCUGUUAGGAUUUUCCUGGCUAAGAGGGUAUUUGCGUUUUUGUUGCUUGGUUGGUCGAUCACAGAUUUACGAACAGCUGUGGUGGUCCUGUUAUUUUUUGGUAUGUUUUUUCUCCUUUUUGGUUUUUUUCCCGGUUUGAGCACCCAUUCUUGAAGAAUUAAAAUGUGUUUUAUAGUUUUUUCAGGAGAGAUUAGAAAAGUGAUUUCAAUUUGGGAAAAUUUAAUGUUGGUUAAAAUUUGUUUAUAAUUUUUGGGAAGGAAUGAGAGGACCCAUUGAAGUAUGUGUUGUGAUUAUUUUUUAUUCAUAUUUUUAACAAAUUGGGCAUGAAUUGGUAGGUUAACUGUGUGUGUUUAUUAUUUGAAUCGGCCAUGUUUGUCUUUCUAUGGUUCUAAAAAAUUUGUAAAGGCUGUUAACUUGGAAGAAAAUGGGAUCGAGGGUGAGGGGAAAACGGCAGAGAAAGCAUGGAAGAGAGAUUUGGGAUUAGGGGUAGGAAAACAGAUGAAAAGAAUAUGAUAGAGGAAUGGGUUCAGUUCAUUUUCACUAUUUUUUUUUAACUGAUUUGGAUUUUGUUUGGGUUUAACUCCGCCUAUGUCUUACAUGGCCGGUCCCAAGCCCGGAUAAAGGAGGAGGGGGAGGGCGUCAGGUAGUCGACAGCCGGCACUCCAUGAUCAUGUCGAAUCCUUAUGAAAAUGAAUCCAGAACAAAAUCGCGCUAAAGCUAGGACGUCACCCGUAAGUGGCGCGCUGUAUGGCCCGAGCACAGUGAUAAGUGAGCAAGGGUCGCUGUAUCUCCAUCGGCACCCGGAUGCAGUGUUAAAUGAGCAAGGGGGCCAUAGAAACUUCUUUUCGAACGACUCCACUCAAAGUUGUUUGAGAGCAUAUGCUCCUAUCAACUUUACCCGGGACACACAAAAGAAGUACUUUGAUCCUAUUAGACGGGGGAGGGUGAAGAAGCUAGGACAGAAGGGUAGAGUUCAAGAGAGCAAAAUGCGUUUAGGAACGUGGAAUAUAGGAACCUUAACGGGAAAAUCUAUGGAAGUAGUGGAAGUUAUGGUGAGGAGAAGGAUAAAUAUUAUGUGCCUACAAGAAACUAAGUGGGUUGGUAGUAAGGCAAAGGAUCUAGAAAACUCAGGGUUUAAACUUUGGUAUUCGGGCACAAAUAGAACGAGAAACGGUGUUGGCAUCAUCGUGGACAAGACCUUGGUACAAGAUGUUGUAGAUGUCAAGAGGGUAGGAGAUAGAAUCAUGGCAAUCAAGAUUGUAAUAGGACAAGAACUUAUCAAUGUGAUUAGUGCGUACGCACCUCAAGUAGGGUUGGAUACGAGUUCGAAGGAGAAAUUUUGGGAAGAUCUUGGAGACUUGGUGCAAGGAAUUGCUCAGACGGAGAAGUUAUUUAUAGGAGGAGAUUUAAAUGGACACGUGGGCAGGGAGACAGGCAACUAUGGAGGUUUUCAUGGUGGCCAUGGUUUUGGGGAGAGAAACGAGGAUGGGGAAGCUAUCUUGGAUUUUGCAAUGGCAUAUGAUCUCUUCUUAGCCAACACCUUCUUUAAGAAGAGAGAAGAACAUGUGAUCACCUACAAGAGUGGGUCGUCAAAAACACAAAUAGAUUUUCUUCUAAUGAGGAAAGGGGAUCGUAUAACUUGUAAGGAUUGCAAAGUUAUACCAGGAGAGAGCGUGGCUAAUCAACAUCGCUUGUUGGUGAUGGAUGUACAUAUCAAAAGAGUAAGACAAAAGAACAAGACUUGGAAGUGCCCAAGGACUAGAUGGUGGAAUCUAAAAGAAGAAAAACAAGCCAUUUUCAAAGAGAAGGUAAUCACCCAAUGUGUGUGGGAUAGAGAGGGGGAAGCUAGCCAAAUGUGGGAUUCCAUGGCUAGUUGUAUCCGAAAAGUAGCAAAAGAGGUAUUAGGAGAGUCCAAGGGCUUUGCCCCACACCAAAAGGAAUCUUGGUGGUGGAAUGAGGAGGUACAAACAAAGGUGAAGGCUAAGAAGGAAUGUUGUAAAGCCUUAUACAAGGAGAGGACCGAUGAAAAUGGUGAAAGGUAUAGAAAAGCGAAGCAAGAGGCGAAGAAAGCUGUCAGAGAAGCUAAGUUAGCGGCUUACGACGAUAUGUAUAAACGACUAGAUACCAAAGAAGGAGAGUUGGAUAUCUAUAAACUAUCUAGAGCAAGGGAAAAGAAGACAAGGGACCUAAACCAAGUGAGGUGCAUCAAGGAUGAGGAUGGAAAGGUUCUUGCUACAGAGAACGCGGUUAAAGACAGAUGGAGAGGUUAUUUUCAUAAUCUUUUCAAUGAAGGACAUGAAAUGAGUGCUUCUUUAGGGGAGUUGAGUAACUCAGAAGAGUGUAGAAACUACUCUUUUUAUCGUCGAAUCCGGAAGGAAGAAGUGGUUGUAGCUUUGAAGAAGAUGAAGCAUAAAAAAAGCAAUAGGCCCAGACGAUAUACCAAUCGAAGUGUGGAAACUUUUGGGAGAGACAGGUAUAACAUGGCUCACUGACCUUUUCAAUAGGAUUUUGAAAACGAAGAAGAUGCCAAAUGAGUGGCGAACGAGCACUUUGGUGCCUAUCUACAAGAAUAAGGGCGACGUACAAAAUUGCAUGAACUAUAGGGGUAUUAAGCUAAUGAGUCAUACAAUGAAGCUCUGGGAGAGAGUCAUUGAGCAUAGAUGAGGCAAGAGACACGGGUUUCGGACAACCAAUUCGGGUUCAUGCCAGGGCGCUCAACCAUGGAGGCAAUCUAUCUCUUACGAAGAUUGAUGGAAAGAUAUAGAGAUGGGAAAAAGGAUUUACACAUGGUCUUUAUAGAUUUGGAAAAAGCGUAUGAUAGGGUCCCAAGAGACAUUCUUUGGAGGAUUUUAGAGAAGAAAGGAGUACGAGUAGCAUAUAUCCAAGCUAUAAAGGAUAUGUAUGAAGGAGCAAAGACUGCCGUAAGAACUCAUGAAGGACAAACCGAAAGCUUUCCCAUAACUGUAGGAUUACAUCAAGGCUCAUCCUUAAGUCCUUACCUUUUUGCGUUGGUAAUGGAUGAGUUAACAGGACAUAUUCAAGAUGAUAUUCCUUGGUGUAUGCUUUUCGCAGACGAUAUAGUGUUGAUAGAUGAAACUCAGGAAGGGGUAAAUGCAAAGCUUAACCUUUGGAGAGAAGUGUUGGAAUCUAAAGGUCUUCGCCUAAGCCGAUCAAAGACAGAAUAUAUGGAGUGCAAGUUCAGUGCAAAUGGAGGCCAAAACGAGUUAGGGGUGAGGAUCGGAGAUCAAGAAAUACCAAAGAGCGACCGUUUUCGUUACCUAGGAUCUAUCUUGCAAAAGAACGGAGAAUUAGAUGGAGAUCUCAACCAUAGAAUACAAGCUGGAUGGAUGAAGUGGAAGAGUGCAUCCGGCGUGUUGUGUGACCGCCGUAUGCCACUGAAGCUCAAGGGAAAAUUUUAUAGGACGGCAAUAAGGCCGGCGAUGCUGUAUGGCACAGAAUGUUGGGCGGUGAAACAUCAACACGUACACAAAAUGGGUGUAGCGGAGAUGAGGAUGCUUCGUUGGAUGUGUGGGCACACGAGAAAGGAUAAGAUUAGGAAUGAGGAUAUCCGGGGUAAAGUAGGAGUAGCCGAAAUUGAAGGAAAGAUGAGAGAAAAUCGGUUACGGUGGUUUGGACAUGUGCAAAGAAGGCCUACUGACGCUCCGAUUAGAAGAUGCGACUAUGGGACAGAGGUUCAGGGCCGAAGGGGUAGAGGAAGACCUAGGAAAACUUUGGAAAGAGACUCUAAGAAAAGACUUAGAGUACUUGGAUCUAACGAAGGACAUGACACAGGAUCGAGCACAAUGGCGUUCUAAGAUUCAUAUAGCCGAUCCCACUCAGUGACUUGGAUUUUCCAAGUCUCCAACCGAGAAGUUUUCCUCACUCGGAAAAUUAAGGGAACACUACCCCAACCUACAUGCUCCACUCAGAAAGCUUCAACAUACAAGCUUCAACAAAAGAAAAUUCAAAGAACUUAGCGAAGAAGGCUUUGGUGUAUUUAACACAAUACGUUGAAAUGAAGGAAAGCUUAUUUAUUGAUAUCCCCGAUAAGCUACAAAUAUGUACAUAUACAUGAGUCAAAAUAAACACACAAGAGGGAGCCUUCACAAAGGUUGCUUAGGAGAAGUCUCAGCAGUCGGUAGAGCCCCAGAAAGAGAAGGCACCGGAGGGGGAUCAUUUGGAGCCUCAGUACUGGACAGAACCCUAGAAGGAGGAGGCAUCAGAGGUUGAUCAUUUGGAGCUUCAUUACGCGGUACAGCCCCAGAAGACGAAGGCAAUAAAUGCCUUUGGAACAAACCCACAAAUCUCUGAUGAUCAAGUAAAACCUGACCAUCAGUUUCCUUCAUCUGGUCAAGCUUCCUCUUCAUGUUUGUAGCAUAGUCAUGUGCGAGCCGGUGCAACUGUUUAUUCUCAUGCUUGAGCCCUCUAAUCUCCUGUUUGAGACUCAUCACUUCAGCCGCCAAUGAUUCAACUUGGCGGGUUCGAGCAAAUAGGCGUUGGGCCAUAUUAGACACAGAACCUGCACACUGAACACUGAGAGCCAGCGAAUCCUUAACAGCUAACUCAUCAGACCGUUUGGAAAGUAGUCUGUUAUCUUUGGGAGUGAGAAGGUUCCUGGCCACCACCGCAGCGGUCAUAUCAUUCUUCAUCACGGAAUCCCCAACGGUAAGAGGACCAGUAGGGGAGACGAAGGAUGGGCGCCAUAUGUUGUCUGGAGAAGGCGGGGCUGCCUCUUCAACAAGGUUCAAGUCAAAACGACGGUCGGAGGGGCCAGACAUUUUCAAAUGUGUUGAAGAGAGAAGAGGUCGGACAAAUCAAGAUCUUAGAAGUGCAAGAAUGAAGCUUCUACUGGUGGAGAUUCAAGUGUGCUUUGGAACUUAAUGCCAGCCCCUAUAAAAAUCUGCACUCGACGGAGCUUCAGAAAUCGAAGAGGCGCCUGCUCAGAAAUCGAAGAGGCGUUUGCUUUCUCAAAAGCUGGGCUGCUUAGAGAUCACGAGGGUUGAUCUCAGAAAUCGAAGAGGCGUUUGCUUUCUCAAAAGUUGGGCUGCUCAAAGACCUCGAAGGCUGAUCUCAGAAAUCGAAGAGGCGCUCGCUUUCUCAAAAGCUGGGCUCCCUAGAGACCACGAGGGCCGAUCUCAGAAAUCGAAGAGGCACCUACUUUUCCAGCCUUGUCAGCACCUGUCACACGCGCACACUCAGCUUUGCGGAAAUUAUGGGCAUUCUGUCGAAGACUUCUGGGGAAGUAGAAAAAACACAUGAAUCUUACUGUUCAAUCACCCACUUCCCACACGCAACAAUAGCUCAUGGGUACCACAGAUAACUUUGCCAAAGUUCUCUGCCAAAGUUGAGCACGUGAAGCUUGCAGCUCCCACUACAUCGCUCUGACCAAGAAGGGUAAAAGAAUAGCAAAGAAACACAGCACUAACAAAGUUUAGACCCAUAAAUUUUGAAGGUCUAGCUACCAUAUUAUUACCACACACAGGGUAAAGGAACAGUACCACUGCUGGAUAAUUGGAAAGUCCCUGUUUGUCAACCUCUGUGCUUCGUGGCAAGGUAGACUAGCAAACAUGCCCAACCUUUACUCACAUUCGAGAAAACACUCCCAAUAAGAUUGCUUGCUCCAAAAUCGAAGAGGCACCGUCCUCCGAAUCUCGAGAGCCAGACUCCCAACAUGACUACUUUCUUAAAAAUCGAAGAGAGGGUAAAGGAACAGUACCAUUGCUGGAUAAUUGGAAAGUCCCUGUGUGUCAACCUCUGUGCUUCGUGGCAAGGUAGACUAGCAAACAUGCCCAACCUUUACUCACAUUCGAGAAAACACUCCCAACAAGAUUGCUUGCUCCAAAAUCGAAGAGGCACCGCCCUCCGAAUCUCGAGAGCCAGACUCCAAACAUGAUUACUUUCUCAAAAAAUCGAAGAGACACUGCUCCCCGAAUCUUCGAGAGCCAGACCCCCAGCAUGAUUGCUUUCUCAAAAAUCGAUGAGGCAUCGUUCUCCGAAUCAAUCGAAGAGGCGCUCGCUUUCUCAAAAGCUGGGCUGCUCAGAGACCACGAGGGCCGAUCUCAGAAAUCGAAGAGGCACCUACUUUUCUAGCCUUGUCAGCACCUGUCACACGCACACUCAGCUUUGCAGAAAUUAUGGGCAUUCUGUCGAAGACUUCUGGUGAAGUAGAAAGCACAUGAAUCUUACUGUUCAAUCACCCACUUCCCACACGCAACAAUAGCUCAUGGGUACCACAGAUAACUUUGCCAAAGUUCUCUGCCAAAGUUGAGCACGUGAAGCUUGCAGCUCCCACUACAUCGCUCUGACCAAGAAGGGUAAAAGAAUAGCAAAGAAACAGCACUAACAAAGUUUAGACACAUAAAUUUUGAAGGUCUAGCUACCAUAUUAUUACCCACAAGGGUAAAGGAACAGUACCACUGCUGGAUAAUUGGAAAGUCCCUGUGUGUCAACCUCUGUGCUUCGUGGCAAGGUAGACUAGCAAACAUGCCCAACCUUUACUCACAUUCGAGAAAACACUCCCAACAAGAUUGCUUGCUCCAAAAUCGAAGAGGCACCGUCCUCCGAAUCUCGAGAGCCAGACUCCCAACAUGACUACUUUCUCAAAAUCGAAGAGAGGGUAAAGGAACAGUACCAUUGCUGGAUAAUUGGAAAGUCCCUGUGUGUCAACCUCUUUGCUUCGUGGCAAGGUAGACUAGCAAACAUGCCCAACCUUUACUCACAUUCGAGACAACAGUCCCAACAAGAUUGCUUGCUCCAAAAUCGAAGAGGCACCGCCCUCCGAAUCUCGAGAGCCAGACUCCCAACAUGAUUACUUUCUCAAAAAUCGAAGAGACACUGCUCUCCGAAUCUCGAGAGCCAGACCCCCAGCAUGAUUGCUUUCUCAAAAAUCGAAGUGGCAUCGUUAUCCGAAUCUCGAGAGCCAGACUCCCAACAUGAUUACUUUCUCAAAAAUCGAAGAGACACUGCUCUCCGAAUCUCGAAAGCCAGACCCCCAGCAUGAUUGCUUUCUCAAAAAUCGAAGAGGCAUCGUUCUCCGAAUCUCGAGAGCCAGAUACCACAUACCACUUUUUCAAAGUGCUCUGACAGAGUUAAAACAUGUGAAACUGGCAGCUCCCACUACCGUGCUAUGACCAAGCAGGGUAAAGGAAUAACAUUACUACUUGUUAGGGAGACUCCUAUAUAUGUUGACCUCCAUCCCCAACAGACAGGCAGACCUGCAAAAAUGCUCAACCCUUCAUCAUAUCUGAGAGGGCACUCCCAACGAAGCCUUUCGAAAUAUUCAGCUUUCUUUCCCCCCGAUAAUACCUCUGCAAACAAGCUAUACUAGAGCAAGAAUAUCUCAUAUCAUCAGGGUUAAAAGCAAGAGUAUCCCAUAUCAUGCUUUUUCCCUGUCUUUUCCUUUGGCCUUGUUUUUACCUGCAAGACAAGGAGAAAGAGAGCAAUCAGUCAGCACUUGGAAUCAAGCUUCCAGCUAGGAACUGACUGCCUGGAACCCCUUACCUGAUUACUUACCUGGCAUUGCUCUCGAGUACUCAUCUUCAACAUCUUAUGUUUCCAGGGAAGAUUCCGCAUCUGCUUGAGGAACAGAUAGGGCAAGUGCGAAAGAUACAAGGAAGCAUGUGGAGACAAGCGUAACAGCACACGUGCCGAUACAUCCAUUACUCUGUCAAAAGCAAAAGUAUCCCAUAUCAGCAGGGUGGAAAGUACUCUAGAUUUGAUGGACUUGUUUUGACCCUCAAAUUCUUCAGUCGACCUUAUACUCUGGAGGAAACCAGAAAACCCUCCAGCUCAGUUCAAGAAUAAGCCUGUGGAAAGUUACUUCUUCAAAAGCAAAAGUAUCUCAUAUCAUCUCUUCUCAUUUUUCUUCUCUUUAUCCUUCAUGCUGCUGCAAGAUGGGGAGAAGGUGAACAAUCAGUCGGAGCUCUGAUUGCUUACCUUGUCUGUCACCUCUUUCAGCAGACCCCUAGCUCGGCGACUUGGGGGACUCCUACUACAUGGUUUGUAUCGCGCUUGACCAAGCCUGAAACUACAAGUAAGCUUCAAGUGAAAUUGAUACAUUACCUUGUGCAUCUCCACCAGUUAAAGAUACCACCCCUGGAUGGAGGAAGAGUACUUCCAGAAAAGAUGCCACAUCUACCUAUGAGACAGAUAAGGCAAGUCAAGACGACACCACACUCCGAUACUUAGAAGUUUCGUGAUUACGAGAUCAUUCUCCCACAAUAUUUCCUAAUGUCAUUUGUACUAAAUCAUUCACUUGUACUCACUAAAGGAGAGCUUGAACCUAUGUACUUGUGUAAACCCUUCACAAUUAAUGAGAACUCUUCUAUUCCGUGGACGUAGCCAAUCUGGGUGAACCACGUACAUCUUGUGUUUGCUUUCCUAUCUCUAUCCAUUUAUAUACCUAUCCACACUAAUGACCGGAGCAAUCUAGCGAAGAUCACAAAAAGCGACCGUUUUCGCUACCUAGGAUCUUAUCUUGCAAGAGAACGGAGAAUUAGAUGGAGAUCUCAACCAUAGAAUACGAGCUGGAUGGAUGAAGUGUAAGAAUGCAUCCGGCGUGUUGUGUGACUGUCGUAGGCCACUAAAGCUCAAGGGAAAAUUUUAUAGGACGGCAAUAAGGCCAACGAUGUUGUAUGGCAUAGAAUGUUAGGCGGUGAAGCAUCAACACGUACACAAAAUGGGUGUAGCGGAGAUGAGGAUGCUUCGUGGGAUGUGUGGGCACACGAGAAAGGAUAAGAUUGGGAAUGAGGAUAUCCGAGGUAAAGUAGGAGUAGCCGAAAUUGUAGGAAAGAUGAGAGAAAAUCGGCUCCGGUGAUUUGGACAUGUGCAAAGAAGGCCGAAUGACACUCCGAUGUGACUACGGGACAGAGGUUCAGGGCCGAAGGGGUAGAGGAAGAUCUAGGAAAACUUUGGAAGAGACUCUAAGAAAAGACUUAGAGUACUUGGAUCUAACGGAGGACAUGAUACAAAACCGAGCGCAAUGGCGUUCUAGGAUUCAUAUAGCCGACCCCACUUAGUGGGAAAAGGCUUUGUUGUUCUGUUGUUGUUGUUGGAUUUUGUUUGGGUUUGAGGCCAUCAUUGGCGUUAAGACGUUUAUUAUCAGAUCGUGUGUUUUUUGCUAACUUUUAUUGGUAAUUUUAAUGUUGUUCUUAUGAUUUUGUGUGGUAGGGUUUCUGAUUUUUAUCGUUAUUCAUUUGGUUUUUUGUGUGUGUUGGUUUGUUUAUUUUGCAGGUUGUGUUUGUGCUGGGACAACAUUUUCCACCUUCUGUUUGCACUGGGAUGAUUGCGUUUUAAAACUGUUGGGGUGAGAUUUACAUAUGGAAUCAUUCCAUUUUUUUUCUUCCAAAUAUGUGCAUUUAGUUCUCUUUUAUUUUAAAUUUUAAAAAUUAAAUCGUUAUUUGAGUAAAAUGUUUUAUCAGUUUAUGUUAUGUGUUGUGACCAGGAAUUCUGUUGGAUUUGCGAAUUUUGGUUUGAUGAGAGAAAUGAGGAGUUUUUUUUGUUUGAAUUUUUUAUUGGACCGAUUUUCAAUUGGAUUGCAUUCUGCCUUUUUGCACCAUUCGUAUGCAAGCAAUUCAUUGUUUUAAAUACAAUUUGAAGAGAGCUGGGUUGCGGGUUGGAUAUAAAAUGUUAAGGUGAGAUAAAAUCGAGAUACCAAGGGUGGAAGAAUGAUUCAGAAUUGGGGGAGGAAAACAGAGGGAAGAUAGAAGAGUAUAAGAGAAGGAUAGGGUUGACCUCAUUUAGAGUUUUUAUUUACUUAUUUUUUUUUAUAAAUUGAUUCAGGACUUGCAUAUCAUUUCUAAAUUUCUAACAUUUUUGUUUAAUUUGACUCCAGUUGAUGGAAAACAGAGCUCUUACUCCUAUCAAUCAGUUGGUCCCGUACAUAAAUGCAGAAAAAUCAAGGUUCGAGUUUGCAGAGUAUGCAGACCAAGGUUUCCCGAAACUACUGGUGCAUAUUCAGGCUUGCAUUGUAUAUUACUUACCUAUUAAAAAUUUGUUUGGAAUUUGCUUUUCCCACAGAGGAGAAGAGCUGACAGUUACGCUGUGGGCAGAUGUUGCUCGAAGUAUUGCUUCUUUAUCCAUUGAAUCAUUGUCUCUGCCGAUCAUUGUGGUUUUCACAAGUUUAAAGGUCAAGCUGUACCUAGGUAUUUGACUUAGUUAAAAACUAAUCUAUUUACUAUUAAUUUUUCUAUUAUAUUCAAACGUUAUUUAAUAUAUACUCUACUAAUAUUUUCUUAACAUGUCACACAAACAUAUUCACUUCUUUUGAUCAAUUUUUUACAGCGUUUCAUAUAAAAGCUAACAUUUAGUUGAAAUUGAUUAGCAACUCUUUUCUUGCAUGUAUACAUACGAAUUAAACAAUAGUAUUAAACUAUUUGUUAUCAUUCUCAGUUUUUGUUUUAGAAUUAGAUUAAUAUAUUUAACCUGUUUUAGAAUUAGAAUUAUUUGGUAUCACUCUCAGUAUUUGUUUUAGAAUUAGAAUUAGAUUAAUAUACUGAGAUUAUUUAGACAAAUCUAGCAUUUUCUCAAAAUAUUUGACUUUUAAACUUAGAUUAAUAUAUUUAGCAGUUUUUUAACAUGCAAUUUUUCAUUAAUUUUUCAACACACAGACAAGAUAGUCUUGAACACCAUUGGUUCAUCACUUUUCUUCAUUGAUCUAGAUAUUCUGGAAGUAAAUUCAUACAAAUCAGUGUAAGUGUGUUUACUUUGUUUAAAAAAAUAUUAUAUGCUCUCACAAUAAAAGAAGGGCUAUUCUCACAAAAUUUAUGAACUAAUGUUCUGUUUUAACCUCUACAGCUUUUCCAAAUGCACAGAACCUCUAAAAAUACUGCCACCUUUUACAAAACAGGCCCGUGAAGCUCAAAUCUUGCAGACAGCGAAGGUCACAAUUGCAGACGCUGAAAUUUUCAUGCCAAAAUAUGAUGUGGAGGAUGAGAAAUUGUUUGCUGUUGUUCUCUUUUCAGUUUUGCAGGCGAUGAUCUUUUACCAAAUGUCGAGGAGCUUCCAUGGGACAUGCUCUAUGCUCUCGCUUCCCAGUUGCCUCUGUUGGGGUUGGAAAAGCUACAGAUCACAAUGUAAGUCAAAAACAGUAAAGUUCCCAAGAUGUUCUGUGCUGGAGCAGAUUUAAAGGUACGAAUUUUUAAUUUUUUUGUGAAGUCGAUGUUUUGUUUUAAAAGGAGUUAUAAUGGAUUGAUUGGACAAGUACAGAGUGUUUGUUUGUUUGGUUGAAUGUAAAAAGGAAUUGGAAGAAUGAUGAAAGUACUUGCAUUUGGUUGUAGUUGGUCAGGCACUGAAGGACCGGUCAAUACGAAGUGCAUCUGUGGGACAAUAGUUGAAAGAAGGCCAGAGCAGGAAGAGAAGGCAAGGUUUGUGAAGAAAAACAGUAAAAGGUCGUACCCAGUGCACAAGGCUCCCGCUUUACGCAAGGUCUGGGAGAGGUGAAUGUCGGCUAGCCUUACCCCCAUUCUGCUUUUGUUUAAUUAGAAGAAAUGUGCAUUUUUUUUUCCCAGUCAAAUUCUGCUUUUGUUCUGACUAUUUUCCUUACUGUAUGCUGAUUUUAUUAUUUAAUUUUUGGUUUUUCCUUGAUUGGCUUGGGAAUUACAAUCAAAUGAUGAAUCUUCAGUUUACUUGGGUAAGCAUUUUUUAACAUAUAAUUUAGCUGACCAUUUUAACUGUCAGACCAUGUUGUUUUUGGUUAUCUAAUCAUUCCAAGAUGGCAAGUUAGGAUUGGAAGGGUUGCUAGAAAUAAGGAUUAUAUCUUGGGACAUUCGGUGAGUGAUUUUUCAAACUUUCAGUUUUACAAGACAAAAUAUCUAUUUUUGUGUGUAUUCUUCAAGCAUGUUAUCAUUAUUUAGGUUGUAGGAAAAAAAGAGAGUGACUUGAGGUGUUUUUAGAUAUUUUUGUGUGUAUUCUUCACAAUGUAUUAAAAGCGCGAGGCGUGGGCGAGGCGUCCGAGGGAUAGCCCACGCCUCACGCCUUACGGGACCUAAAUUUUUUAAUAUAUACACUGAGCGUACACAUAUAUUAUAUUAAAAAAAAUUAUUAAUCAAUAAUCACCCUGAGCACACAUAUAUAUUAUAAAUACAUAUAUACACAUAUAUAUACAUAUAUAUACAUAUAUUAUGUUAUAUAUAUAUAUAUAAAAUAGAGGAUGAAAAGCACAAUGAGCACACAUAUAACAAUGCAUGCAGACAGCACACAAUAUAGUGCAAGGAAUAGGUAUGAGGUAGUUAAAACCCUACCCAAAAUCUGGGUUUGGGAGUAAAAAUAAAAAAAAAAAAAAAAAUUGCAUGAGGCGCGCCUAGACGGCUCCGACAACGCCUUCCGGCGCCUUCCGCCCACUCCCUCAAAACAAAGGCGGCAACCCUCAAGUCCAGCCUCACAGGGUGCCUAGGCGCACCCUGAGGUGAGCCUUUUAAAACAUUGAUUCUUCAAGCAUGCUAUCAUAAUAUUUGUAACUAUAAAAAAUAAUAUACUAUUAUACCUCUGUUUCUCUUUUCUUUGUUUUCAUGAGAAAUUAAUUGCCAUUGGCAGCACUAUAGAAAGCCAUCUUUCUCCAUUAUUCUCCGCUUCAUGCAUAAUUACAUAAUUCUACUAUCACAGUUGUCAGUCCUGAACAAUAAUGCAAGUCUAGUGGCAAAAACCACCUCAAUGAACAACUCACACACACACACAGACACUGAUCAUACAUCUCUAACUCUCUUUUUCAAAUAACACACUCUGAUCCAAAACAGGGUAAAUAAAAUGCACAUCCUUAUACAUUUCUAACUUUGUUUUUCGAAAUCCAAAAUAGGGUAUUCUAACUCUCUUUUUCAUUCAUUUCUUACAAACCAAUCAUACAUUUAAAAUAGGCUUUGAAUAAAAAUAGGGUAUAUAAUUAUAUACCUCAAAAUGCCUAGGAACCAACUUCCCCCUCCAACGAUUCAAAUUCUUGAAAUUGCCAACACAGUAAAUCCAUUAGUACUAUAUAAAUGAAAACACAAUUGAAACCCAUCAAACAAAACAAUCCCACAAUUUAAAUGAUUCAAUCCUACUACAAUUGAAAUUCACAGAAAGAAUGAAAAACCAGAACAAAACUGCAGCACCUAAAAAGUUGUCAUACAAAAAAAAACAUGGAAUGUAAAAAUAUGUUAAGAAAUCUAGUUCGUUAAUUUCCAGCUGCUAAGUGGCAUUAUGUAACUUUAGUAGUAUAACUAAUUAACUACUUAUCUGGUGGGUUGCACUUUUAUCCAAUUGGUAAGGAAAGGAAAAUAAAAAUCAACCCCUUGGUCUUAGUUGUGGCUGCAAAGUGCAGGCCACCACCAAGUCUCAGUGUUUGUGUUUUAGCAAAACACUUAAAUAAAUUAAAUUCUGAAACGUAAAUUAUAUUCCUAUAACUUUAAGAUGCACAUAUAGUAUUGUUGAAGUCGAACUGAAAGCACUGACAAUUCCAAGCAACAAAGCAGCAAUUAUUAAGAGCCAAAACUCAUUCCUAGUCUCCUCAUCCUGGUACUCAACUCCGUAAUCUUCUGUCAGCAUCAUUGACUGAAAUUAGGAGAGAAAAAGAAAAGGAAUUUCAGAAAUUGUCUAUGAAGCAAAGGAUACUGCAGUUACUUCAAGACAUGUAAAUUGCAUAUGUAUAAAGUAAUUUUCUACAUAAAGUAAUGAGGCAUAACUUUCUCUCUCCUCUUCAAACCCUAAACAGAGCAAAGCAAACUUUACAGAGAUUAGAAUGAGAACUGGAACUAAUCGAACAAUGACUGAAAAGUAACAUACUUGAGGAGUGAAUGAUUUAGUGUUUCCAUCAUCGGAAGCCGGAGUAAGUCGCUAAGAGAGGUCGCAAACAGCCCAAAGGGACAAACCCAGAUCCCCGGCCCCGAUCCAUACCCUUCCCCCUCAAAUCCCGACGGCCCCCAUACUUUUCUCUGACUGUACCCCCUCUCCCACUCAUGAAAUCGAGGAUCUGUCGCAAUGGUACUGAGAUCCCCACUCCUCCCUCUCCCUUUCUCUCUGUCGCUCUGUCUCCCUCUCCCUCUGUCUGUCUAUCUUUAUCCCAGAGCGGCAUGGCCUCCCAUCCCUGAAACCCUCACCGAAAGUUGGCAAUUUUGUAAAUAACUUGAAAUCCACCAACAGCAGGGGUAGAGAAUUGAAACAAACAUUUAGGCUCGUUCGAUAACCAUUUAGGCCAAAACUGAGCACACCUAAACCAUUCCUACUCGUGCCAAAUGUUAGUGGGGAAGCAAGAUGAUGACUUUAUUAUUCAAAACCAAAAGAAAAAAAGAGAGAAAACAAAAUAACAAAUGUAAUGGUUGUAGUGUAAAAGCUGAGAACGUAAAUAAACAUGCAGGGAAAAAAAUUGAAGAUACAAAGUAGCUGCAUCAUGAACACUUACUCCAAUUAGACGCAAAAAGUGAUGGUGAUGAGAAGAGAGAGAAAAUGCAGUCGUUUUGAUUUUUCUGGCUUUUAAAGGGAGCAGCUUUCUUCGACCACCAAAAAAAGGAAGCUGCUUUUCGUGUGGUUGUGAUUUCCUGAGUGUAUGUGAGCGGGUCUAUGGCACUUGCACUGUUUGUGUCGGUUACGGUAACCGGGCGAGCUGGACACGGCAGCGUGGGACUGAAUUCGGAGAGGUGAGAAAAAUUAAAAACACAAAAAGAAGGUGUUCAUUUUGUCACAUUUUUAUUACGAAAAAUUCAAUAAAGUACAUUCAUUAGUAUGGUAACUUAACUAUUUAAUUCCAUCUCAUUAAACUAAAAAAAACAAUUACAAAAAAAUAAGGAAAACCUUGUCCAGAGAGACCUGAGAGAAAGUGACGACUUCUCCUCUCAUUCAACUCCAUACUUGAUCUCUAAAGUCCAUUUGGCAUGUAAUUGAUGUUCACUUUCAAAUUUAGUGGUAGCAAUUAGCAAAGCUAAUGAAAGAAUCAAAUAAAAUGAAAGAAAAAGCAUCAUGAAAUAAAUCAAGAUGAAGAAUGAAAUUUUGGCAACUCGCCAUUCUCUUCUUUUAUAUAAAAGAUACAUCCUAUUUGUAGUGAAAACAGAUCCCGACAAACCCAGUUAUCCUCAAGAAGUAUUUUGUAUGACUUUAAAAACAUAAUCCGUGAAAUUAUCUCUUGGCUGAGAACAACAACAAAUCUUCAUGCAUAGCUUGUAGAGAAAGACAUCAGGCAUACAAAAGAACACGCAAGCAUAAAAUAAACGAAGCAGGGAAAACCAAAAAUACAAUUGAAUACGCUGUCAAAAGAACAUGAAUAAAUGAAAAUACCAAACAAAGCAGUGAUGAGAAACCAAAGUACCCAUUUCAUAAUCUAAUUGCUUUUUAGUUUGCUUGCCAUUUUUAGUUCUUCAAUUUAGAGAGACACCAUAAUUCAGCACAUGAAUAAAGUGAAAACGUAAAAGAUAUGUGGGAUAGGCUGACAGCCAUCCCUGAGUAAUGCAUUCACUUCUGAACCCCAAACACACUGAAACAAAAAUUCACACACAUGAACUACAGCUCCGCUUUGUAACAAGAAUUAAAAGCAUCUCAAAACAAAAUGGCAAACUAUAAGAGCAUUGUAAAAGUAAAAUUGCAAGAAAUCUAAUACUUGGAGGGCAAGUACUCAUCAGACGAAAAUGAAAGAUUGAACUACCUCGCGUGGAACUGUGCCUUGGUUUUUUCCCAUGCUUACAGGAAGCUUUGCACUGAGCUCUUAUAGUCCAAAUUUUCUCUGAAGGAAAAAAACACAAUUUUGAAAUAAGAUUUUCGUAUUAUACCUUAAAGAGAAGAAUUAGACAACAAAAUAGAGAACAAUGAGUACUAUUCAUCAUAUAUUGUUAGAGUAUGUGGCCCUCUGGUCCAAUGGUCCCGCAGCCAUAUUUCCUUUAUAACUCUUUCUUUUAAUCUAAAAAACAUCUUGAAUCUCAAAUUAGUAUGAAUACGGAUUCAUACUUUAUAACUAAAGAUCUUACUGCUCUUGAUAAGAUGAACAAUACGCCAUUUCUCGCAUGCAUUGCAUUACAAUCACAAUGCAACAUCUCAUUAGAAAUCCCCACACAAAUUUUUUUUAUUGCUACUUUGAUUUUAGUUUAUAUUUUUUCUGAAGCAUGAGGGAGCUAAUUUUUUUUUUUAAAUUUUUUAUUCCAAUAAUGUUAUAGGGAGGGUUGCAAGGAUAUUAUCAAUUGUAUUUGAUUGGUGGAACUUCUACAUCUAUAUUUUAGGUUUUCAAUUUUAGCACUGGGAGAGUCAUUCAUAAAAUGUUUGACAGUGAGAUUACCUCCAUGGACUAUGCUCACAAUGGACAGCUCAUUUUCCGCGGUGAUGGGACAAUAUAUUUCAGUCAUUCGCCAUUCAAUCAAUUCAAACUGAGGAACAUGCAACAUCAAGAAGAGGAUCUACCAUGUCAGGAUCACUAUCGUCCAAUUAAUACAAAAAAAUCUAGAUAAAAACGAUCAAUUUACAUAAAAGCCCUUCAUUUUCUCAGCAACCAAGCAAAAGAAAAUACCUAUCCGUUAAACACUCGAUUUGGGAGUAAAUGUUGCUGAAACUGGACUUCAAUCCCCUCAACCGCAACAACCGAAUCGAGGUGUGCAAGUCAUUGAAAAACUCACCCAAGAUUUCAAAAUCUGCAUAGAGAAAUAAAUAAGCACAUAAAUUAGCCCAACCCAUAAAUCAAAGAAAUCAAAAUCCACCCAGAAUCAAAGAAAUCAAAAUCCAUCCAGAACCAAAGAAAUCAAAAUCACACACAGAUAUGCAAGACAACGCAAAUUUGAAGCCUUACUUUUCGGGUAGCUUGGCGGCUGACAUGAGUCUUCUUCAGAGUUUCAUCCAUCCAUGGAUCCAUUUGGUCCGCCCGUCGCUUCUGGGUCGUACAAUCUUAAAAUCUGCAAAAUGAAUUUAAAGAAUCAAUUUUUACGAUUGAAAAGCCAAAAGUGCUACAAACUCCAAAUUGCUGAGAACCAAAGUGGAGUAACAGUUACAGGUCACGAGAUGAGAUGAGGACAUUGUCGGAUUUCAGGGCGAACCUGACUCUGGAAAUUGCAUCUCGGAUCGGGCUUUCGAACUUCAAAGGAGCUCCGCUCAUUGUGGUCCUUGCAGACCGAACUGGCCUAACAAUCAGCGAGAGAAAGGAGACGGCGGCAAGAUGAGGGAUACAAUGGAUGCGAGAUCGUCUGUAUCGUUCUCGCGGGGGGUUUGCAAGACGGACGAGGAAAGUAGGGUUUGAUGAGGCAUUGUCUUCGCGCGGGGUAUGUGUCCUUCCCAUUCCAUGAUUAUCAACACGUGUGCAUCAACAGAAGCGGCAGAGAGAGGCAUUAUUGUAAAUAAAGUGAAAUCGAAGGGCAAUGGCCCUUUUUUUUUUAAGGUAAUGGCAUGGCCAUAAAUAGAAUGAAAUCCAGAUCAAAACACUGUCAUUUGUACAGUACAAUUUCUCCAUCUUCUUUAGACUAAAGUAAUGUAUAUGUUAUACGCACCAACACAAGUCCUUCUUAGAUAAAUCCAAGCCAAACAAUUACAGACGAUAGUUAUUCACAAAAUCACUUUAAAGUAAGAAUUUAAUUAAUAAUACAUUACUGCACUUUCUUAACAAUUUGACUAUCACCUAGCUGACAAUGAACAUGUUAGCUAUGCGUUAGAACAUAUUGGGUUCAAUCCAUUGUCUUGAAUAUUACCCCCAGUCACAGCCGUCUCUUGGGGGCAUACAGAAGGCCUGAGAGGCAUUUGCAGACAUUCAACAUCUCCUCCAAGCAUUUCGACAACUUUGGACAUCGAAGGGCGAUCACUUGGUUUCAUUUGAAUACACCACAAGGCGGUUAUAACCACCUUUCUUAUCACUUUCUUUUCCUUCUCUGUAACAUUGUCUAUUUCCAAGUCAUUUCCCACAAAAUACUGAUCGUAUACCUACAGCGGGAAGUAGAUUUGGCUUGGAUGCUCUACCGUUGCAUUCAAAUUCUUCCUUAUGCUUGCCAUUUCCAUCAACAACAUUCCAAAACUAUAGACAUCGGCCUUGUAUGAGACACCUCCAAUAUUUUUGUAGAACAACUCAGGAGCAAUAUAUCUCAUUGUACCCCGUGCUGUCGUCAAAGAGACAAUGCUAUUAUCUACUGGAUACAAUUUUGCAAGCCCAAAGUCAGAAACCUUUGCUUUAAAGUUCUCAUCAAGAGGGAUGUUAUGAGGCUUGAUGUCAAAAUGUAGAAUUUUCAUUUUACAACCUUGAUCUAGAUAUUCGAUCCCAUGACUCCAAGAGAAAUCUUGUACAUAGUCUUGAUAGUUAAGGGAAGACUUCCUUCUUUGGAAUAAAUGUAUUUAUCAAAAGAGCCAUUAGGCAUAAAGUCAUAUAUUAGAGCGCGCUUUGAUCCCUCGACACAAUCACAAUCACAAUCACAAUCACAAUCACAAUCACAUUCCAACAUGGAAUCCUCAGACGACAUGCCUACUGCAGAACAAGUUUCAUCCUUACUUAACUUCUAUUUAGUCCACUUCCUGUUUAGAUUGUAAUCCUAGUUCUGCGUGUGUUUGUAUAGUACUCCUAUAAAUAUCAAUGAAAACCGCUCACUCUAAUUAGGAGUUGAGAUUCUGCAAAUCAUAUUUACUAUCUUUCAUGGUAUCACGAGCCAAGGUCUAACGACAACGGUUCCUGUUAUAAUUUUUUUCUCUUUUGUAGAUCCUAAACUAUGGCAUCUUCUUCCUCCUCCGAUGCUCCCUCCGUCACAAAUUUUCUUACGAUCAAGCUCGACCUCAACAACUACCCUCUCUGGCGUGCUCAAUUUCUUCCCUUGCUGCGCAGCCGCAACUUACUCUCUUAUGUUACUGGCGAAACUCAAUGCCCAUCUGCCUUUGUUCUUGAUGACAAUGGUAAAUUCACAGACAAAGUCAAUCCAUUAUAUAAUGAAUGGAUCCAGACUGACUAGAUGAUCCUAUCUUGGAUUACGAGUUCUCUUACUCCCAAGGUUCUUGCUACGAUCGUCAACAAAAUUGAUUCGACCUCUGCUUGGUUGUCAAACCCGAAUUAAUCUGAUUAUGGGGGUUUUAUUUUAUAUCAAUAUAUUGCAGCAGAAGUCGCACUUUGAAGAGUUCAUGCUGCACAGAAAGAUUCUUAAAUGCUACCUGUUGAGUCUAUCAUUGCUCCAUUGGAGACAGAGCUGAAGCUUGCUGCAGGAGUUAUACAUUUGUUAUGCAAUAUGACCCCUUUAAUUUUAUUUUAAAACUGAUACAAAAAUUUAUGUAGUAUUUUUGUAUCAGUUUUGAGUGUCUAUUUUGGCUUCCAUAUUUCGUCUGUACAUGUGAGAGGUAUAGCGUUCAAUAUGUAUUUGGUUUCUAUAUUGUUAAUGGAUCUUUUUUUUUUUAAGAUAACCAAGUUGCAGGAUGACAGCAGAACACUUGAUCUGUAGGUAAACCUUCAAUUUCCAUAUGAAGUUUGCAUGUUCGUUGUUUCUGGAAUUUGAGUUUUUAUUAUUUCUCAAUUCUAUCACAUAGAUUACGAUUUCACAUAUGGGAUUAUUAAUGGCAAUUAGAUGAUGGAAGAAUUGGGAUUGGAAGAAGAUAUUGAGUUGUUUAUUUAUGGGGAUUAGAAAAUUUUUAUCAUAAGUGUGGAUGCAAAUUUCUUCCUCCUUGAUCUUGGACAAAAUUGCACCUACAAAACAAUUAACACCUUAGGUCAAGGCCAAGAGCCUCACGCGCUCACGAUGAAGGGGGGGGCUUUGGUCGAAGAACCUCCGAUGCCAAAGUUAGAAUUUAGAGAGAAAAAGUGUUUGAGAAUUCUAGAGAAUUUUAGCAAGAGUUGCAACUAGGUUUUGGUGAGAAAUGUGGGGCUUUCUAUAGAGGAGUGGCCGGCCUCUUAGGGUGAGAAAGGACCGGUCACAUAGCCUAGUUUGUGGGUUUUGUUCAUGAUUUAAGAUGAUUUUGGGAGUUAUGUGAUUAAUUGACUAAUUAAUUAGGAAAACUAAUAAAAAGGGCUUGAAAACUUUGAGUUUUAAUGAUAAGGACAAAAUAAAGGGUAAAGUGAAUAGUACCAGGAUUGACUUUUUAGUGUAAAAAUGUGGUUUUUCGUUAAAAUGAACAGUACCGGGUGCUUUUCGUUAAAGUUCCCUAAUUAAUUUGGCGAAAUAAAAUUAUUACCAAAUGAAUUAGCUAAUUAAUGGGAUGAAAUGGGCAAAUAUCAAGAGAUAAACAAAACAUGACCAAUUCCUUUUCUAACAAUAGGUGGCCGGCCCUUCACUUGUUUUUGGGGUUGCAUGGAUGUUUUAAUUGACAAUUAAGGAAUUGAUUAGGCAAUUAAUCCCUUAAUUAGUCAAUUAUUAUGAUUUUAAAGGAAGAUUUUAGGAAAUAUGAAAGGAAUAUAUUAUUUAGCUAAUUGAUUAGCUAAAUGGAAUAAAUUAGGUUUUGGGAAUUACCUUAAAUGAGGAUGGAUGAGAUAAUUUGGAAUUGGUUACCUUUUUGGAGCAUUUUUGACUUGGUUAAGGAUGAUUGCCCGCUACUUGCGCAUAGGAAUCCCGUUAUACCUCAAGGGUAUUUUUGUCAUCUUUUACCCAAAAAACCACGUGUCACCUUGUGAUUAUUUUUGGCUCCACAAUACGAGUGAUAUUUAUUUUUGUGUGGAUUGUUAAUAUAUAAAACUAUAAGCUUUUGAGAUUGGGAGACAAAACCCACAAAUUCAAUUCAGACAAAAUAAAUAAAAAAUUUAACUGACUUAAAGAUCAAACUCCAAAAGGGUAUUAAAAACAAGGCUUAUUUGAUCCAUUGAGUGUGAAAGUUUUGAGCUUUGAAGAAGCAGAGGAGGAGAGUUGUUAACCAAGCUGCAUUAUCUAUGUAUUAGGAUGUUGAGGGUAGGCAGGAAAAAUACUUUUUGACGCCAAAUCCAGAGGAGCAUAACGACAGGCCUGCAUUUUUGCAGCAAGGACCAAAACAAGUAUAAGUGAAGGCUUGACUGUUUGGGUAUUAAUCCUAAACCUAAUUAUUCUUAUUUAGGUUUAGGAUAAAUGAUUGAGUGUGUCUCGAUGAUUGUAUUACUAUGUUUGAUGAAUGAUUUGAGGAGUUGGAAAUGGUUUAUUGCUUAUGUUUUUCUUAGGUGUGUACUUUGGUUAUUUCCGAGCUUUUCACGACUUUUGAUACCUAAUAAAGAAUAUGGAAACCCCAACUUCAAUUUUAUGAAUUGAUUUUGGUGCCUAAAAUGAAAUCUAGCAUAGUGAAAUCUUGCAUAAUGAAAUUAUGACAAAUUUCCCUUCAUCUUUAUAUUUUCAUUUAAUUCAAUUGGUAUGCAAUUUAGGGUUAUUCAAUUCAUGAGUGAUCAAAUUAUGUUUUUAAUUCCUUCUUUUGAUUUACAGUUCAACAUUGUCGUACAAAAUGAAAAAGGCGCCAGUAACAGAGUUAUGGAUUUGGAUGCCUUUAGUGGAAUAAAACUGAAUUUUUUAACUUUGUAUAGUUGUAAACAUAAAAUACUCCAUGAGGUAGACUCAUAGCUUUUGAAAACAAUCCUUGAGGAUGGCAUAACAACAUCUCCAACUUUUGUCAUGUAAUGUAUGAAUGUAAAUAGCACUUCGUAAACAUAUGGAUGUAAUAUAUGUAUAUAAACACUCUUUAGCAUGUAUAUUUUUCAAAACUUUCUACAUCUUCAACAAUGUUUCAAUGAUUUCUUGAUGUAAACAAUGAUAAUUUGAAGAACCAUUUAAAGUAUUUUGGUAAUCAUCAUACUUAAGCUUAAAUGUGAUAUAUCCGUUUAUUAUUUUUUAUACAGUGAUAAUACUCAAGUAUAAUUUACAUCAUAUAUCUUUUGAAGUACAUGAAACUAUGAAGAAAAAACCCUAAUUAAUCUGAUUAUGGGGGUUUUGUUUUAUAUCAAAAUAUUGCAGCAGAAGUCACACUUUGAAGAGUUCACGCUGCAUAGAAAGACGAUGAAAUGCUAUCUGUUGAGUCCAUCAUUGAUCCAUUGGAGACAGAGCUGAAGCUUGAUGCAGGUGGUAUACUUUUGUUAUGCAAUAUGAUCCCUUUAAUUUUAUUUUAAGACAUAUAGGGUUGAAAAAAAUUUAUGUAGUAUUUUUGUAUCAGUUUUGAGUGUCUAUUUUGGCUUCCAUAUUUGGUCUAUACAUGUGAGGUAUAGAGUGUUCAAUAUGAAUUUGGUUUCUAUAUUGUAAAUGGAUCUAUUUUUUUUUUAGGUAACCAAGUUGCAGGAUGAAAACCGAACACUUGAUCUGCAGGUAAACCUUCAAUUUCCAUAUGAAGUUUGCAUUUUCGUUGUUUCUGGAAUUUGAGUUUUUGCAGGAUGAAAACAGAACACUUGAUUGGUUAUUUCCGAGCUUUUCAUGACUUUCGAUACCCAAUAGAGAAUAUGGAAACCCCAACUUUAAUUUUAUGAAUUGGUUUUGGUGCCUAAAAUGAAAUCUAGCACAGUGAAAUCUUGCAUAAUGAAAUUAUGACAAAGUUCCCUUCAUCUUUAAAUUUUCAUUUAGUUCAAUUCGUAUGCAGUUUAGGGUUAUUCAAUUCAUGAGUGAUCAAAUUAGGUUUUUAAUUCCUUCUUUUGAUUUUCAGUUCAGCAUUGUCGUAUUUUGGAUGCCUUUAGUGGAAUAAAACUGAAUUUUUUUAACUUUGUAUAGUUGUAAACAUAAAAUACUCCAUGAGAUAGACUCAUAGCUUUUGAAAACAAUCUUUGAGGAUGGCAUAACAACAUCUCCAACUUUUGUCAUGUAAUGUAUGAAUGUAAAUAACACUUUGUAAACAUAUGGAUGUAAUAUAUGUAUAUAAACACCACUCUUUAGCAUAUAUAUUUUUCAAAACUUUCUACAUCUUCAACAAUGUUUCAAACCCCGCAGCAACGGGCGGGUACACUUGCUAGUAUACAUCUAAAAUUAUAAGACUAAAUCCUUUAGUUCUUGGAUUCAUCUAAGAACUACUUAUUCAAGCAGAUGCUAUGCUUGCACUACUAGAAUUUAUGGCUUGCCCUGUCAACUAUUGCGCGACAGAAGAUUUCGUCGGUUUCACCUUUUUUAACCGACAAAAUAUAAGUUUAGUAAGGCAAAAUCAGUCAACAAACUUGGUUUACUGAAUAGAUUUACAGGAUGUUUAGAGUUCGUAGGUUAAGACAUCAGUCGUUGGGCAAACAUUUGGAGCGAAGAUGUGAGUGUUUUAACUGACGAAUAAGCUGGUCGUCAUGUAGAUCUUCUUUCCCGACUGACGGUUCAACGGGUAGCUCUUUGGAUAACAAAUCAUCUUCAAGGGGAACAGGUUGCCCCUCAGAUGAAUGGUUAGAGGCAAUUGUGAGACUAUAAUUUUCUAGGGCCGGAAAAUCUGUAACCAUCCACCAAAUACCCCUUCUUCCCUUUCUAUUUCUCUCUCAGUAAUUUCCCCUGACCUAAUCACACAAUCCAACCAACUCUUUUUAAGCCUCCCUCAUUGAUUCCAUGGAUUUCAUGGACUUAUCCCACCCUCUCUCCUUCCCUCUAUAUAUAGCAAGUCCCCUUGCCUCAGUGUCCCUGGCAACAGAAUUUAUGGUGUGUCUUCGUUCUUUCAAUUAUUUGAAAGCUUUCCUGCCCUGCAGUCUUGUACAAAGGCGUAUGGUGUUUCAUCAGUUCCAUUUGGUGGUUGGGUGGGAAAUGAAAUUAAAACAUUGAUUUCAAAUGGUCUAAACCAAAUUGAAUCAAAUGUGAAGCAAAGGGCAAAAGGUGUAGAUUGAAGAACAAUGGCACCAAGAGCGAAAUUGAACUUGUUGACAGGAGGAAACCAAGUAACGAUAACGCGUCUAAAUCUUAUUUCGAAUCCAUUCAGCUUAUGAUGUUUUUAAUGAUGAUGAUCUGUAUACUUUGCUACAUGCUGUGAUUUUUUCGCUUUCAUGUAAUUAACGGCUUAUAUUUAUGGUAAAGAUAUUGAUUAAUUUUGAGAAAUGACAGUCUAAUUUUUGCAACUGUCUUUUGCAGGCAAAACAAAGACGUUUGCAAGGGUGAGUUUUGUAGGACCGGUGUUUAGCUUUGUUUCAUGUCCAAAGGACACUUGAGAAUAAAUGUUUACUCAUGGAUAAUAUCUAUCUAUUUGCAUGAGCAACCCUGGGUUCAUUUGUUCUGUUACUGCUGGUCAUUGCGGCAUAUCACGCCUACAGCACUGACAAAGUAAAAAGAAAAUCGAAUGAAAUUUGGUAAGAUUUUAGCGGACUACAAAGAUCUUAAGCCAAUCAUAUAUUCCCAUGCAGAUAUUAAGAGGUUUACAAAUCAAUUCAAGUACAAGUUGGGCCAAGGAGCAUACAUAACUGUUUUUAAAGGAAAGCUUUUUUCUGAAUGCUUUGUUGCCAUGAAAGUACUUAACAUUUCCAAGGGUGACGGGGAAGAGCUUGUAAAUGAAGUGGGGAACAAUGGGCCAUAUUCACCAUGUCAAUGUGGUUCACUUGGUUGGUUUUUGUGCUGAUGGAUUUAGAUGAGCUCUGGUUUAUGAGUUCUUUCCCUUUGGUUCACUUCAGGAUUAUAUGUCAUCAGUAGAUAGAUUUCUUUCCUUGGUUGGCAUAAGUUGCAAGAUAUUGCUAUCAACAUAGCCAAAGGAACCAGGGAUGUGAUCUACAAAUCCUCCAUUUCGAUAUCAAACCCCAUAAUGCUUUGCUCGACCAAAAAAUCACGCCAAAAAUCUCUGAUUUUGGUCUGGCCAAGUUAUGUUCCAAGGAUCAAUCAGUGUGACUAAAGCAAGGGGGACCAUGUGACUAAAGCACCUGAAGUGUUUUCCAGGAAUUUCGGAAAUGUGUCUUACAAGGUAGAUGUCUUGAAUGUUGCUGCUUGAAAUGGUAGGAGAAAAGAAGAAUAUUGGUUCAACCAGAGGACACGACAAAUGAAAUCUACUAUCCAAAAUGGAUUUAUAAUCUUCUAGAGGAAGGAAUGACCAACAGAUCCAUAUUGAGGAAGAAUGUUAUGGUAAGAUUCCAAAGCAACUUGCAAGUUUAGGGCUCUGGUGCAGCCAGUGGCACUUGGUGGAUCGGCGGUCCAUGAAAACGGUGGUUCGGAUGUUAGGAGGAUGAGAAAACUUGAUGAUGCAAGCAACCCUAAAAGCCUCAUACAAUUAAAAGUAAUUGCUGAAUUAGAGUAACAUAUGUAUAUGUAUACGCACCAACACAAGUCGUUCUUAGAUGAAUCCAAGCCAAACAAUUACAAACAACAGUUAUUCACUAAAUCACUUUAAGGCAAGAAUUUAAUUAAUAAUACAUUACUGCACUUUCUUAACCAUUUGACUAUCACCUAGCUGACAAUGAACACGUUAGCUCCGCGUUAGAACAUCUUGGGUUCACUUCAUUGUCUUGAAUAUCACCCACUGUCACAGGCGUCUCUAGGGGGCAUAGAGAAGGCCUGAGAGGCAUUUGCAGACAUUCAACAUCUCCUCCAAGCAUUUUGACAACUUUGGACAUCGAAGGGCGAUCACUUGGUUUCAUUUGAAUACACCACAAGGCGGUUAUAACCAUCUUUCUUAUUACUUUCUUUUCCUCCUCUGUAACAUUGUCCAUUUCCAAGUCAUUUCCCACAAUAUACUGAUCGUAUACCCAUAUUGGGAAGUAGAUUUGGCUUGAAUGCUCUACCGUUGGAUUCAAAUUCUUCCUUCUGCUUGCCAUCUCCAUCAACAACAUUCCAAAACUAUAGACAUCUGACUUGUAUGAGACACCUCCAAUAUUUUUGUAGAACAACUCAGGAGCAAUGUAUCCCAGUGUACCCCGUGCUGCCGUCAAAGAGACAAUGCUAUUAUCUACAGGAUACAAUUUUGCAAGCCCAAAGUCAGAAACCUUUGCUUUAAAGUUCUCAUCAAGAAGGAUGUUAUGAGGCUUGAUGUCGAAAUGUAGAAUUUGCAUUUCGCAACCUUGGUGUAGAUAUUCGAUCCCUUGAGCCACUCCAAGAGAAAUCUCGUACAUGUUCUUGAUAGUUAAGGGAACACUUCCUUCUUUGGAAUAAAUGUAUUUAUCAAGAGAACCAUUAGGCAUGAAGUCAUAUACUAGAGCUCGUUUUGAUCCCUCAACACAGUAUCCAACAAGUUGCACCACAUUGGCAUGGUGAAUCCUUCCGAUUGUAGCUAUUUCGCUAAUGAAAUCUUGGCCAUCAGCUUUGGGCUUGCCCAAAACUUUAACUGCUACAAAUCGACCACUGCGUAGCUUUCCCUUAAAUACAGAGCCAAAGCCACCUUCGCCCAACUUGUCCUUAAACGUGCGAGUCAUUUUCUUGACGUCCGAGUAAGAGUACCUUAUAGGCAUGAAGUUGUUAUUGCAUUGCAGAAAAUCUUCUAUUGUGUUAUACAUUGAUAAAUGUCUUCUGCGCCAUGUGUAGAUUAGAAAUGCAGUCACAACUGGAACUCCAAAAACAAAUCUGGCUAGGAAAAAUAACCCUGCAUGCAUGGACAUUAAUAUGUUAGAUCCACUGCGUACUACUUUUUCUUCCCUUUCUUUCCAAAUUACUUUGUCUUUGAUGUAAUUAAAGAGAGAGAAUGAGAAAUCUACAUAUGUUGAUAAUACAAUCUCAUCUUAGUCCUUACCGAUGCAUAUGAGUAUAAACCAUCCACGUACUGCAACAAAAUCAAUCGACUAUGAGUUUGAAAAGUGCAUAAAGUGAAAAAUAAAUAAUAAAUAAAAUCAAAGGGUGCCUUUAUUGACACCCAAAUUUUAGUUAGUUUUACUCAACUAAAAAAUUUUUGUCAUCAAACUUUUUAAUUUGCCGUUGAAAUUGAGUUCACCCAACCCACAAAGCAGCAACUACCACUCACCAAAAAAACCAACAACACACACCCACCACUCACCAAUAGAAAGAGAAUGAACACACAGACCCACAAAGAGCUGGCAUCGACGCUGUCGAUGAGGGAGGGACCAGAGGAUGGUGUAGUUUUGUCUAGCGCGCGGUAGUGGUUUUGUCUGUUCAUUUUCUCUUUCUUUUGGUAGGUGGAGGCUGGUGUGGAUUUGGGCGAACUUAAAAAUGAGGGGAAACUAUGAAGUUUGACAAAAUGUUUUAGUUAGGGGAACUUAACUAAAAUUUGGGUGCCGAUAAAGAUACCCAAUAUCAAAAAUACUUGAGCGUAUAGACUAAUUAAAUGAAGUUGAUCAAGUUUGUCUCGAUCGAAAACUUGUAAAUAAAACAAAAAGAGGACCCCUUACCGAUUUGUUGCCAUAUAUAUUGAAAGAAACCUACAAAAACAAAGAAAGAACAAGACUACAUGCAUUAGCAUAACAAGAGUGAGGUGUAUAAGCCGUUAGAAAAUAAAUUUAAAAUUCUAGUGCUGUCAAUACAUUGAUAAUAUAUAUAUAUAUAUAUAUAUAUAUGUAUUAUUUUUUCUGAAAAUUUAACUUUUUCCCUCCAAACUCAUUUUUCUAGUCUCUAGCCCAUCAUAUAAUAUUUAUCCGAAUAAAACCAAAUGAUUAGGAUCCAACUAAGAAACUUACCAAAUUAAGUUUGUGUGUCCAUUUUUAUAUUUUUUGGAUCCCUAAUAUACCCCAUCUAAGUCAGUAUGGAAAGUUCUUGUAAUUUUGCUUUAAGUGAUCACGUGCAUUGAAUUUGGCAAUGUCUUGUAGCCAUGAAAUAUGGUUGUAGAUGGAGGAAUUAAUUUGGAAUUUUUUUUAAUUUCAACAACAAAUUUAGUGUUAUUUUCAACAAUAUCUAUUGUUUAAUUUUAUGAAAAUAAUUUACCUAAUAUGAAAAUUAAUUUUAUGAAAACAAUAUCUAUUGUUUUAUUUUAUACCUACAGGAUAAUUACAUGAAAAUAGUUUACCUACUAUGAAAAUUAAUUUUUUGAAAGCAAUAUCUAUUGUUUAAUUUUAUGAAGAUAAUUUACCUACUAUAAUUACAUGAAAAUAGUUUACCUACUAUGAAAAUUAAUUUUUUGAAAGCAAUAUCUAUUGUUUAAUUUUAUGAAGAUAAUUUACCUACUAUAAUUACAUGAAAAAAUUUACCUACUAUGAAAAUUAAUUUUUUGAAAACAAUAUUAUUGUUUAAUUUUAUGAAAAUAAUUUACCUACUGUAUAAUUACAUAAAAAUUAAUGUGCCUACUUUUUAAAUUUGUAACAAAAUUAAUUUACCUACUUUUUAUGGUAUUAGUAUACAUAAAUGUAGAAUAUAUGUCCGUAUAUAUUUGAUCUAAUUAGGUUUUGGAUUGGAGGAGUUGACACAAAAUUAUAAAUAUGUUAAACAAAUUUAUCAAUUCUAAAGUUGGAGGGGAAUUGGUCUGUACAUUGCUACAGUAAACAAAUGCUACUCAAUUUCACGUUAUUUACAACAAAGCUAUCAGAUUUGGGUUGGGUUGGAGGGUAAUUUGUUAAAAGUUAGGAGGGUAAUUUGUUAAAAGUUAGGAGGGUAAUUUUGUGCAUAGGGUUUAGGUGCCCUCCUAUACAUGACCCUUGAUUUUACUUUAUUUACACCACUGCCAUCAUAUAUGUGGCUGAAUUGGGGGGGGUAUUAUUAAAAGUUAAGAGGGUAGUUUUGUUCAAGGAAGAAAAUAUCGGUAAUAUCGGAAAUAUCGGUAGUCCGAAAACACGGAAAUAUCGAUGGAAAUAUCGGGAUAAUAUCGAUAUCGAUAAAAAUUACAUGGAAACCACGGAAAUUGUAAGAAAAACUUGGAAAUUUUUAUUGAAAUUUUGCAGGAUGUUUAUUUAGUCAAUUAUCUAUUAGUUUAUCACAAAAAAUUGGAAGGAAAUGCAUUGCAUGAUGGAUUUAACUUAUUUAAGUUGAUUAUAUAGCGAGCUGACAAACAUUGUGAGUGUAGAAAAUAUGUAGUAAUUAAUGAAAGAAGUUUAAACUUUAUAUAUAAUGACUUAGUACAAUAUUUUACACUUUAUACAUUGCAUGGUAAGAUACAUGAGUUACACAAACAACGGGAAAUUAAUGAGAAAACCCUUCCCAAAACGUCAGCACCCGCUUUUUUAAAUAACUUAUAUAAUGAACCUGUCUGGAUCACUUGUUCUAAUAUAUAAACACAAAACAAUACUAUUUGUAUCACAUUUUCUGACAAUCUCAUUGACCGCUUUUAAUUAAUAAAUUGGUCUCAAGUCUAGUUUCCUAAGAAUUUGUUUGUUUGGGCUCAUCUUUGUUGUAAUAACUUAAUUGGGCUUAGAGUUUUAUUGGGUUUACCUAGCCCGUGCGAGCUCAUCUUUGUAUUUAUUUGACGGAUACCCCGAUUUGUUAUGGCAAAAGCAACCACGCAGUCGACGCCCGAAAACCCUUCCCUCUCUCAUUUGGUCUUCGUCUGUUUUCCCGCAUCAUCCAACAGGUGGACUCGGCGCUUCUCUCUCUCUCCCCCCUCUUCGCCCUCUCCACCAAACCCUAACCCCCCAAAUUCCAACCUUCCACCAUUCAAUCCAACCAAAAUCCCCCCAAUCGGACCCCUACCCGACCCAGUUCAUCUCCGAUUGCCUCCAAUUCCACUCCGCCCCGACCCAUUUCUUCAAAAUUCCAAUUCCACUCCGCCCCGACCCAGUUCCUUCAAUUUCUCAGGUAGGUAAGCUUCGGGUUUUUCUUUUUAUAUUCUAGAUCGAAGCGUAGAUGUGAAAUUGAAGUUAUAUGUCGUGUUUUUGCAAGGUUUUUGGGAUGAAAUCGACUCGGGAAUAAGUACACCCAUCUCCGGCGAGGCUAGGGGGUAGUUUUACAGUCGACCGGAGCUGUAGAAGCUCCAGCGUUCGUCUCCGACGUGCACAGUUCCGAAAUUUCGCGAUAAUAUCGAUAAUAUCGCGAUAUUAUCGAUAUUAUCGCGAUAUUAUAACGAAAACACCUUGGAUACCAUUUAAAAUAUCGGUUCGGGAAAAAACCGAUAAUAUCGGCGAUAUAUCGCCGAUAUUAUCGAUAUUUUCUUCUAUGGUUUUGUUCAAGGGGUGGGGGCGACAUUCGCAGACAGGGCGAUUGGAGCCAUGCCCAUGCCCAUUGCACAGAGAGAAAGGGAGUGAUGGGGGAAAUUACAGACAGAAAGGGAAGGGAUGGGAGGAUUUGAUGGAUGGUCACAGAGAAAGAUUCGGUGAGGGAUGUGAGGGGAGAUUACAGAGAGAUAAAUUAAAGGGGGAUCGGGGGAUUUGAGGGAUGGUCAGAGAGAGAAAUAGUGACGAAGGGAGGGAUGGGGGGGCUAAUUUUCGGUUCCUCCUUCAGAUUUGUUCCGUAAAACUUGUUGGGUACAAUUCAAUUUCCUCCCCCUUUCCCCUGAACGAAAAAUUCGAAACCUACAAUUCAAUUUCCUCCCUUCUUGGCUUUCCGCUUUACUCAUCUCCCGGUGGUUCUUUCUCUCCAUACGAUUCGAUUUCGGUGAGUUCUUCGUUGCCCUCAUGAUUUCCCAGUUUGAUUUUUUGAGCGUCCUUAGUCGUCGUUUUUAUCUGGGUUUAUUGCAUGGUUGCUUUUAGUUUAUGGAUUUUUAUUUUUUCCGCGGUUUGAUGAAUCGUGGUUAAUAAUUUCACACCAUGGGAUUUUUGCACUUCUGAUGGAAUUGAGCGCAGGGAUUCGGGGUGGGGUUUUACUGAUAGUUUGUCUUCAUUCAAAUGAAUGGUUAAAAUUUCUGAAGUGAGUGUGCAGGUGGGCCCGUUCACUAACUAAGCUUUCAAGGGAACCCAUCAACGGUUUGCUUGCUGGGGAACUCGGAGACUACUAUGAUUUAGUUAUCAUUUAUUUUUUUACUUAAUUUUAUCCAUAUAUAAUAUGUGGGUAAAUUUACACUAAACAAUUGUGAUAAGCCAAUAUGCCAAACGACUUUGAAAGCAUUGAUUUUGUGUAUAGUUUGCAUUUUUGCAUUGUGAAUGUUGAAUUUUGUGUUUAAUUUGGAUUUUUGUGUUUGAAUUUGUAGCAUGAUCUUCCGCUGCAGCAUCCAAAUUUUGUAUUUGUAAAUUGUCAAAGAAAAACGAACAACAACAACAACAACAACAAAGCCUUUUCCCACUAAAUGGGGUCGGCUAUAUGAAUCCUAGAACGCCAUUGCGCUCGGUUUUGUGUCAUGUCCUCCGUUAGAUCCAAGUACUCAAGUCUUUUCUUAGGGUCUCUUCCAAAGUUUUCCUAGGUCUUCCUCUACCCCUUCGGCCCUGAACCUCUGUCCCGUAGUCACAUUUUCGAACUGGAGCGUCAGUAGGCCUUCUUUGCACAUGUCCAAACCACCGGAAUCGAUUUUCUCUCAUAUUUCCUUCAAUUUUGGCUACUCCUACUUUACCUCGGAUAUCCUCAUUCCUAAUCUUAUCCUUUAUCGUGUGCCCAUACAUCCCACGAAGCAUCCUCAUCUCCGUUACACCCAUUUUGUGUACAUGUUGAUGCUUCACCACCCAACAUUUUGUGCCAUACAACAUUGCUGGCCUUAUUGCCGUCCUAUAAUAUUUUCCCUUGAGCUUCAGUGGCCUACGACGGUCACACAACACCCCGGAUGCACCCUUACACUUCAUCCAUCCAGCUUGUAUUCUAUGGUUGAGAUCUCCAUCUAAUUUUCCGUUCUCUUGCACGAUAGAUCCUAGGUAGCGAAAACGGUCACUUUUUGUGAUCUUCGCUAGAUUGCUCCGGUCAUUAGUGUGGAUAAGUAUAUAAAUGGAUAGAAUUAGGAAAGCAAACACAAGAUGUACGUGGUUCACCCAGAUUGGCUACGUCCACGGAAUAGAGGAGUUCUCAUUAAUUAUGAAGGGUUUACACAAGUACAUAGGUUCAAGCUCUCCUUUAGUGAGUACAAGUGAAUGAUUUAGUACAAAUGACAUUAGGAAAUAUUGUGGGAGAAUGAUCUCGUAACCACGAAACUUCUAAGUACCGGAGUGUGGUAUCGUUUUGACUUGCCUUAUCUGUCUCAUAGGUAGAUGUGGCAUCUUCUCUGGAAGUACUCUUCCUCCAUCCAGGGGUGGUAUCUGUAACUGGUGGAGAUGCACAAGGUAAUGUAUCAAUUUCACUUGAAGCUUACUUGUAGUUUCAGGCUUGGUCAAGCGCGAUACAAACCAUGUAGUAGAAGUCCCCCAAGUCGCCGGGCUAAGGGAUCUGCUGAAAGAGGUGACAGACAAGGUAAGCAAUCAGAGCUCCAGCUGAUUGUUCACAUUCUCCCUAUCUUGCAGGCAGCAUGAAGGAUAAAGAGAAGAAAAAUGAGAAGAGAUGAUAUGGGAUACUUUUGCUUUUAAAGAAGUAACUUUCCACAGGCUUAUUCUUGAACCGGGCUGUAGGGUUUUCUGGUUUCCUCUAGAGUAUAAGGCCGAUUGAAGAAUUUGAGGGUCAAAACAAGUCCAUCAAAUCUAGAGUACGUUCGACCCUGCUGAUAUGGGAUACUUUUGCUUUUGACAGAGUAGUGGAUGUAUCGGCACGUGUGCUGUUACGCUUGUCUCCACAUGCUUCCUUGUAUCCUUCUCACUUGCCCUAUCUGUUCCUCAGGCAAAUGCGGUAUCUUCCCUGGAAGCAUAAGAUGUUGAAGAUGAGUACUCCAGAGCAAUGACAGGUAAGUAAUCAGGUAAGGGGUUCCAGGCAGUCAGUUCCUGGCUCGAAGCUUGAUUCCAAGUGCUGACUGAUUGCUCUCGUUCUCCUUGUCUUGUAGGUAAGAACAAGGCCAAAGGAAAAGACAGGGAAAAAGCAUGAUAUGGGAUACUAUUGCUUUUAACCCUGAUGAUAUGAGAUAGUCUUGCUCUAGUAUAGCUUGUUUACAGAGGUAUUAUCGGGGGGAAAGAAAGCUGAAUAUUUCGAAAGGCUUCGUUGGGAGUGCCCUAUUAGAUAAGAGAAAGGGUUGAGUAUUUUUGCAGGUCUGCCUGUCCGUUAGGGAUGGAGGUCGACAUAUAUAGGAGUCUCCCUAACAUAAAGUAAUAAUGUUAUUCCUUUACCCUGCUUGGUCAUAACACGGUAGUGGGAGCUACCAGCCUCACAUGUUUUAACUCUGUCAGAGCACUUUGAAAAGGUGGUCUGUGGUAUCUGGAAAGAUGAUGUUGCGUGUGAAGAUUACAGACAAGCUUUAUCCAAGGAGAUCCAGCUCUUGAAGUUGGGAAAGUGGUGCCUCUUCGGUUUUCGAACAAGCAAUCCUGUCGGGGAUCUGGCUCUCGAGAUUCGGAGAACGAUGCCUCUUCAAUUUUUGAGAAAGCGAUCAUGCUGGGGGUCUGGCUCUCGAGAUUCGGAGAGCAGUGUCUCUUCGAUUUUUGAGAAAGUAAUCAUGUUGGGAGUCUGGCUCUCGAGAUUCGGAGGGCGGUGCCUCUUCGAUUUUGGAGCAAGCAAUCUUGUUAUGAGUGUUUUCUCGAAUGUGAGUAAAGGUUGGGCAUGUUUGCUAGUCUACCUUGCCACGAAGCACAGAGGUUGACACACAGGGACUUUCCAAUUAUCCAGCAGUGGUACUGUUCAUUUACCCUCUCUUCGAUUUUUGAGAAAGUAAUCAUGUUGGGAGUCUGGCUCUCGAGAUUCGGAGGGCGGUGCCUCUUCGAUUUUGGAGCAAGCAAUCUUGUUGGGAAUGUUUUCUCGAAUGUGAGUAAAGGUUGGGCAUGUUUGCUAGUCUACCUUGCCACGAAGCAUAAAGGUUGACACACAGGGACUUUCCAUUUAUCCAGCAGUGGUACUGUUCCUUUACCCUCUUUUCGAUUUUUGAGAAAGUAAUCAUGUUGGGAGUCUGGCUCUCGAGAUUCGGAGGGCGGUGCCUCUUCGAUUUUGGAGCAAGCAAUCCUGUUGGGAGUGUUUUCUUGAAUGUGAGUAAAGGUUGGCAUGUUUGCUAGUCUACCUUGCCACGAAGCACAGAGGUUGACACACCGGGACUUUCCAAUUAUCCAGCAGUGGUACUGUUCCUUUACCCUUGUGGGUAAUAAUAUGGUAGCUAGACCUUCAAAAUUUAUAUGUCUAAACUUUGUUAGUGUUGUUUCUUUGCAAUUCUUUUACCCUUCUUGGUCAGAGCGAUGUAGCGGGAGCUGCAAGCUUCACGUGUCUCAACUGUCAGAGAACUUUGGCAAAGUUAUCUGUGGUACCCAUGAGUUACUGUUGCGUAUGGGAAGUGGGUGAUUGAACAAUACGAUUCAUGUGCUUUCUACUUCGCCAGAAAUCUUCGACAGAAUGCCCAUAAUUUCCGCAAAGCUGAGUGUGCGUGUGACAGGUGCUGACAAGGCUGGAAAAGUAGGUGCCUCUUCGAUUUCUGAGAUCGGCCUUUGUGGUUUCUUAGCAGCCCAGCUUUUGAGAAAGCAAGCCUCUUCGAUUUCUGAUAUCGGCCUUCGUGGUCUUUGAGCAGCCCAGCUUUUGAGAAAGCAAACGCCUCUUCGAUUUCUGAGAUCGACCCUCGUGGUCUCUGAGCAGCCCAGCUUUUGAGAAAGUAAACGCCGCUUCGAUUUCUGAGCAGGCGCCUCUUCGAUUUCUGAAGCUUCGUCGAGUGCAGAUUUUUAUAGGGGCUGACAUUAAGUUCCAAAGCACACUUGAAUAUCCACCAGUAGAAGCUCCAUUCUUGUACUUCUAAGAUCUUGAUUUGUCCGACCUCUUCUCUCUUCAACACCUUUGAAAAUGUCUGGCCCCUCCGACCGUCGUUUUGACUUGAACCUUGUUGAAGAGGCAGCCCCGCCUUCUCCAGACAACAUAUGGCGCCCAUCAUUCGUCUCCCCUACUGGUCCUCUUACCGUUGGGGAUUCCGUGAUGAAGAAUGAUAUGACCGCUGCGGUAGUGGCCAGAAACCUUCUCACUCCCAAAGAUAACAGACUACUUUCCAAACGGUCUGAUGAGUUGGCUGUUAAGGAUUCUUUGGCUCUCAGUGUUCAGUGUGCAGGUUCUGUGUCUAAUAUGGCCCAACGCCUAUUUGCUCGAACCCGCCAAGUUGAAUCAUUGGCGGCUGAAGUGAUGAGUCUCAAACAGGAGAUUAGAGGGCUCAAGCAUGAGAAUAAACAGUUGCACCGGCUCGCACAUGACUAUGCUACAAACAUGAAGAGGAAGCUUGACCAGAUGAAGGAAUCUGAUGGUCAGGUUUUACUUGAUCAUCAGAGAUUUGUGGGUGGGUUUGUUCCAAAGGCAUUUAUUGCCUUCGUCUUCUGGGGCUGUACCGCGUAAUGAAGCUCCAAAUGAUCAACCUCUGAUGCCUCCUCCUUCUAGGGUUUUGUCCAGUACUGAGGCUCCGAAUGAUCCCCCUCUGGUGCCUUCUCUUUCUGGGGCUCUACCGACUACUGAGACUUCUCCUAAGCAACCUUUGUGAAGGCUCCCUCUUGUUUGUUUAUUUUGACUCAAGUAUAUGUACAUAUUUGUAACUUAUCGGGGAUAUCAAUAAAUAAGCUUUCCUUUAUUUCAACGUAUUGUGUUAAAUACACCAAAGCCUUCUUCGCUAAGUUCUUUGAAUUUUCUUUUGUUGAAGCUUGUAUGUUGAAGCUUUGUGAGUGAAGCAUGCAGGUUGAGGUAGUGUUCCCUUAAUUUCCCGAGUGAGGAAAACUUCUCGGUUGGAGACUUGGAAAAUCCAAGUCACUGAGUGGGAUCGGCUAUAUGAAUCUUAGAACGCCAUUGUGUUUUGUCCUGUGUCAUAUCCUCCGUUAGAUCCAAGUACUCUAAGUCUUUUCUUAGGGUAUCUUCCAAAGUUUUCCUAGGUCUUCCUCUACCCCUUCGGCCCUGAACCUCUGUCAUAUAGUCGCAUCUUCUAAUCGGAGCGUCAGUAGGCCUUCUUUGCACAUGUCCAAACCACCGUAACCGAUUUUCUCUCAUCUUUCCUUCAAUUUCGGCUACUCCUACUUUACACCGGAUAUCCUCAUUCCUAAUCUUAUCCUUUCUCGUGUGCCCACACAUCCAACGAAGCAUCCUUAUCUCCGCUACACCCAUUUUGUGUACGUGUUGAUGCUUCACCGCCCAACAUUCUGUGCCAUACAGCAUCGCCGGCCUUAUUGCCGUCCUAUAAAUUUUUCCCUUGAGCUUCAGUGGCAUACGGCGGUCACACAACACGCCGGAUGCACUCUUCCACUUCAUCCAUCCAGCUUGUAUUCUAUGGUUGAGAUCUCCAUCUAAUUCUCCGUUCUUUUGCAAGAUAGAUCCUAAGUAACGAAAACGGUCGCUCUUUGGUAUUUCUUGAUCUCCGAUCCUCACCCCUAACUCGUUUUGGCCUCCAUUUGCACUGAACUUGCACUCCAUAUAUUCUGUCUUUGAUCGGCUUAGGCGAAGACCUUUAGAUUCCAACACUUCUCUCCAAUGGUUAAGCUUUGCAUUUACCCCUUCCUGAGUUUCAUCUAUCAACACUAUAUCGUCUGCGAAAAGCAUACACCAAGGAAUAUCAUCUUGAAUAUGUCCUGUUAACUCAUCCAUUACCAACGUAAAAAGGUAAGGACUUAAGGAUGAGUCUUGAUGUAAUCCUACAGUUAUGGGAAAGCUUUCGGUUUGUCCUUCAUGAGUUCUUACGGCAGUAUUUGCUCCUUCAUACAUAUCCUGUAUAGCUUGGAUAUAUAUGCUACUCGUACUCCUUUCUCUCUCUAAAAUCCUCCAAAAGAUGUCUCUCUUGGGUCUCCCCCUAUCAUACGCUUUUUCCAAAUCUAUAAAGACCAUGUGUAAAUCUGUUUUCCCAUCUCUAUAUCUUUCCAUCAAUCUUCGUAAGAGAUAGAUUGCCUCCAUGGUUGAGCGCCCUGGCAUGAACCCGAAUUGGUUGUCCGAAACCCGUGUCUCUUGCCUCAAUCUAUGCUCAAUGACUCUCUCCCAAAGCUUCAUUGUAUGACUCAUUAGCUUAAUACCCCUAUAGUUCAUGCAAUUUUGUACAUCGCCCUUAUUCUUGUAGAUAGGCACCAAAGUGCUCAUUCGCCACUCAUUUGGCAUCUUCUUCAUUUUCAAAAUCCUAUUGAAAAGGUCAAUGAGCCAUGUUAUACCUGUCUCUCCCAAAACUUUCCACACUUCGAUUGGUAUAUCGUCUAGGCCUACUGUUUUUCUAUGCUUCAUCUUCUUCAAAGCUACAACCACUUCUUCCUUCCGGAUUCUACGAUAAAAAGAGUAGUUUCGACAUUCUUCUGAGUUACUCAACUCCCCUAAAGAAGCACUCAUUUCAUGUCCUUCAUUGAAAAGAUUAUGAAAAUAACCUUUCCAUCUGUCUUUAACCGCGUUCUCUGUAGCAAGAACAUUUCCAUCCUCAUCCUUGAUGCACCUCACUUGGUUUAGGUCCCUUGUCUUCUUUUCCCUUGCUCUAGCUAGUUUAUAGAUAUCCAACUCUCCUUCUUUGGUAUCUAGUCGCUUAUACAUAUCGUCAUAAGCCGCUAACUUAGCUUCUCUCACAGCUUUCUUCGCCUCUUGCUUCAUUUUUCUAUACCUUUCACCAUUUUCAUCGGUCUUAUCCUUGUAUAAGGCUUUACAACAUUCCUUCUUAGCCUUCACCUUUGUUUGUACCUCCUCAUUCCACCACCAAGAUUCCUUUUGGUGUGGGGCAAAGCCCUUGGACUCUCCUAAUACCUCUUUUGCUACUUUUCGGAUACAACUAGCCAUGGAAUCCCACAUUUGGUUAGCUUCCCCCUCUCUAUCCCACACACACUGGGUGAUUACUUUCUCUUUGAAAAUGGCUUGUUUUUCUUCUUUUAGAUUCCACCAUCUAGUCCUUGGGCACUUCCAAGUCUUGUUCUUUUUUCUCACUCUUUUAAUAUGUACAUCCAUCACCAACAAGCGAUGUUGAUUAGCCACUCUCUCUCCUGGUAUAACUUUGCAAUCCUUACAAGUUAUACGAUCCCCUUUCCUCAUUAGAAGAAAAUCUAUUUGUGUUUUUGACGACCCACUCUUGUAGGUGAUCACAUGUUCUUCUCCCUUCUUAAAGAAGGUGUUGGCUAAGAAGAGAUCAUAUGCCAUUGCAAAAUCCAAGAUAGCUUCCCCAUCCUCGUUUCUCUCCCCAAAACCAUGGCCACCAUGAAAACCUCCAUAGUUGCCUGUCUCCCUGCCCACGUGUCCAUUUAAAUCUCCUCCUAUAAAUAACUUCUCCGUCUGAGCAAUUCCUUGCACCAAGUCUCCAAGGUCUUCCCAAAAUUUCUCCUUCAAACUCGUAUCCAACCCUACUUGAGGUGCGUACGCACUAAUCACAUUGAUAAGUUCUUGUCCUAUUACAAUCUUGAUUGCCAUGAUUCUAUCUCCUACCCUCUUGACAUCUACAACAUCUUGUGUCAAGGUCUUGUCCACGAUGAUGCCAACACCGUUUCUCGUUCUAUUUGUGCCCGAAUACCAUAGUUUAAACCCUGAGUUUUCUAGAUCCUUUGCCUUACGUCCAACCCACUUAGUUUCUUGUAGGCACAUAAUAUUUAUCCUUCUCCUCACCAUAACUUCUACUACUUCCAUAGAUUUUCCCGUCAAGGUUCCUAUAUUCCACGUUCCUAAACGCAUUUUGCUCUCUUGAACUCUACCCUUCUGUCCUAGCUUCUUCACCCUUCCCCGUCUAAUAGGAUCAAAGUACUUCUUUUGUGUGUACCGUGUAAAGUUGAUAGGAGCAUAUGAGCCUAAACAACUUUGAGUGGAGUCGUUCGAAAAGAAGUUUCUAUAGCCCCCUUGCUCAUUUAACACUGCAUCCGGGUGCCGAUGGAGAUACAGCGACCCUUGCUCACUUAUCACUGUGCUCAGGCCACACAGCGCGCCACUUACGGGUGACGCCCUAGCUUUAGCGCGAUUUCGUUCUGGAUUCAUUUUCAUAAGGAUUCGACGUGAUCAUGGAGUGCCGGCUGUCGACUACCUGACGCCCUCCCCCUCAUCCUUUAUCCGGGCUUGGGACCGGCAAUGUAAGAUAAACUUACACGGCGGAGUUAAAGAAAAACGAAUGAGGAAAUUAUAGGAGAUUGUGUCGGCUUUGGCCAUGAAGGGUAUCAGCAGCUUUUUCCUCCCAUACAGGUGAUUAAUUGUUUUUCAGUCUGUGUUCAGUUUUAUUUAUUGGAUUUGGUUAGCAGCCAGUUUUAUGUAUUGGAUUUUUUAUUUGGAUUUAUAGCACUAAGGGUAUAGGUGAACGGUGAAGCGGUUUGUAUGGGCUCAUGUGUGUUUUAGAUAAUCUCAAGGACUAUGUAGAUACUAUGAUUUGGGGUUGCUUUUUUAAACCAUGAUAAAGCAUUCCAAGUAAUUUUAACAUAGAUAUCAUUUUUUAUGUAAGCAUGAGUAUAUGAAAUGUUAAGACGAUAAUAUAUCAUGUGAUUUAAAAUUCAAAGAGAGACAAUGAACCGUGUUUGAUAUUUUGUUUGUCUUGGUUCGUUUAAAUUUGGGCCUUUUUCAGUUGGAUUCAUGGGUUUUGUUUAAGAUAUCAUUUUUGGUUUAUGAAUGGUUUUAAACAUCCACAACAUCGCGCAGGCACACUUUCACUAGUAUUUUACUAAACUAGUGCACUUGAAUGUCCGUAGCUAAAUAUAUUAUAAUGAAUUAGUGGAACAUAAGAAAAUAUGGAAAAACGUAAGUGUACCAAAAAGUCCGUACCUAAACAUGGUAUACUAAAUUAGUGUAACAUUAUGUCUGUACCUAAAUAUAUUAUACUAAACUAGUAUACCGAAAUAUUCAUACCUAAACAUAUUAUAUUAAACUAGUGUACUGAGAUGUCUGUACCUAAAUACAUUGUAAUAAAUUAAUGGCACAUAAGAAAAUAUGCAAAACAUAGGUGUGCCGAAAAGCCUCUACCAAAAUAUUUUCUUAUAUAAGAUACUUACAAUAAAUUGGUGAUGCAAAAUGUCAACAAAUAAAAGCUAAUUCAUUUGAAUUCAAAUGAGUAUUAAAAUUUAAUUCAUAUCAGCAUAAAAUUAUAAAUAGGAAAAAAAAAUAAAGACAUUGAAUGCAUAUGCUGCCAUUAAAUAGAGUCUAGGAACUAAAAUAAAUUUUUAAUCUUGUGUGAGACAUUUUUCUAAAUUUUAUUUUAUUUAAGGAUUAAAAUCUAGUUUUCUAUUACUUAUAUUUCUGACUACAUAUGGUUAUUAGUUACUUUAGUCGAGAGUUGACGCACCUGGAAUGGUACGUGGAAAACAUGUUAGCACUUGAUUCCCAGUCAAAGCCACACACGAGAGCAUUGUGUAUGUCUUUAUAAGUAAUAAAAACUAAUAACCUGAAAUGCUCUCGUAUUUCUAAAGGCCCGACUCCAAGUUCAAAGCCAUACACGAGAGCAUUGUGUAUGUCUUUAUAAGAGACGUUGCUGUAGUCCUUGACGGAGUAGUCAAAGUGACCCAAAUUCAUCCAAGCCUUCCCCUCUGCACUGCAACCCUCAUCCAAAUCCCAUCCUAUCAUGGCCCCGACCUUGACGUAGCUAUACGUUUUUGGUUGGCUCGAAGAACUUGUAUUAUUCAAGCAUGGAGCAGUGUCCACGUACAGAGAAGAAUUCAACGGAUUCAAACAUUUCAAGUAAUAUAUAGAUGUUGAAUACAGUGAUGAAUAUCGUACGUAUGGAUGAGUAAUGAGCGGAAAAUUUCGAGGCCUGGAAGAGCAAUUGGUGUUCACAAGGCCAGGAUCUAGAAGUCGGAUUGUUGUGUCAGUGUAGUUGAUUGCCUGGACGUAGUAUUUUCCGGAAGGUAGGUAUAGUACUGUAAUGUUGCUCUCACAGGACAGGGUAUACCUUACGUCGCCACAAUAUUUUGGAUCAUGGUUCAGUCGAAAAGGAUAGCUUAUGUUGUGGAUAUGGCAGCAGGAUGAAGUACAGGACUUGGCACUAGUGUCGACCUUAGCGUUACAAGUUUCACUGCAGAAGCCAAGAAGAAGAAAGGCUAAACUUAAGGUGAAGGACCUGCUUCCACUAAUUUCCAUUGGGGAGAGAGAGAGAGAGAGAGAGAGAGAGAGAGGUGUACUAGUCCACACCAAGUAGUUAUAUAAUAUAGGAGGGGUCAAGCACCUUCCGUGAAAUUGCUGUUGAAAUAUCCUAGAGAAAAAUCGUCGUCAAUGGUGUCCUAGAGAAAAGUCGGGCGAUGGUGUUUGACAGUCAGUCAACGGCAAAGAUAUUUCUCUUUCAUUAAGGAAGGAUACUGCGUAAUUACUACGCAUAUAUCUCUGCUUAAUCACACAAAACAAAAAUUUCCAGCUAUAGUAUCAUUUGUGAUUCAUUUAUUAAUAAGAUAUUAUACAGGGAACUGUUAUUAGUACUCUAAAAAUCUCAUUCUACACAAGUUUAUUUUUCUUUUUAAUUAUAGAAAGUUUGGAGUGCAAAAUGAGAUUUUUGGAGUGCCAAUAACAAUUUCCUAUUAUAUAUAGCUCUACUUGGAAGGUGACUAUAUGUCUUCAUCGUGUUAAAUUGUAUAUGGCUCUUGAUGUCGGCUGAAUUGAAUCUAAAUGAAAACCAAGCUGUUGAUCUUACCAGCCCAUAUCACUUAUCUCUUGCUUAUUUAAAUUAUGUGAAGAUGCGUAUGUUGAUUGGUGAUUUUGUUGGAUUCACUCAGUUCAAAUAUAUGUUAUCUGAAUCGUUACAUUUGAGAAUGUGAUUAUGUUCCUACCACCAUUUUGCCUACUUUCUGUGGAAAUUAUUCAUGCCUAUUGUGAAUAAUACAUUCACCUCCUGCAGCGAAGCGCGAGCACAUUUUCUAAUUUAAGUUGAAUCGCAAUGGGUCAUCAAAAAUUACGAACUCGUCAUUUAUACAAGUCAAACAUGAGACCACCUACCUACUAGUUUAGUGGAAUACCACAAGUGACAUGUUGAUACCUUUAAAUCUCAUUUUCCAUAUAAUGGAUUGCAAAAUUAGGAUAUACCUAAACUAAUUUAGUCAGUGCCCGAACAAUUAAGCAGGGCUUUAUUCUUGCUUGAAUGUUUGUUAUAUGUUAAUAGUUUGACAAGGCAAUUAUAUUUCCGACUACAAAAGUUAUUAAUUUGGUCGAGAUUUGACGCACCUGAAAUGGUGUGAGGAAAACAUGUAGACACAUAAUCCGCAGUCCACUGUCCUGGGCAUCUAUCUUCAGGAGGUAUGAAUCCAAGCUCAAAGCCAUACACGAGAGCAUUGUGUAUGUCUUUAUAAGAGACGUUGCUGUAGCUGUAGCUAAAGCCAACGGAGUCGUAAAAGGAAUCCAAGGGCAUCCACUCUACACUGCAACCCUCAUCCAAAUCCCAUCCUAUCAUGGCCCCGACCUUGACGUAGCUAUACGUUUUUGGUUGGCUCGAAGAAGAACUUGUAUUAUUCAAGCAUGGAGCAGCAGUGUCCACGUACAGAGAAGAAUUCAAUGGAUUCAAACAUUUCAAGUAAUAUACAGAUGCAGAUCUUGGAUACCGUGAAUAUCGUACAUAUGGAUGAGUAAUGAGCGGAAAAUUUCGAGGCCUGGAAGAGCAAUUGGUGUUCACAAGGCCAGGAUCUAGAAGUCGGAUUGUUGUGUCAGUGUAGUUAAUUGCCUGAACGUAGUAUUUUCCGGAAGAAGGUAGGUCUAAUACUGUAAUGUUGCUCUCACAGGACAGUGUAUACAUUACAUUGCCGCAGUGCUUCGGAUCAUGGUUCAGUCGAAAAGGAUAGCUUAUGUUGUGGAUAUGGCCGCAGGAUGAAGUACAGGACUUGGCACUAGUGUCGACCUUAGCGUUACAAGUUUCACUGCAGAAGCCAAGAAGAAGAAAGGCUAAACUUAAGGUGAAGGACCUGCUUCCACUAAUUUCCAUUGCAGAGAGAGAGAGAGAGAGAGAGAGAGAGAGAGGUGUACUGGUACUCACCAAGUAGUUGUAUAAUAUAGGAGGGGUCAAGCACUUUCCGUGAAAUUGCAGUUGAAAUAUCCUAGAGAAAAAUCGUCGUCAAUGGUGUCCUAGAGAAAAGUCGGGCGAUGGUGUUUAACACAGUCAGUCAACGGCAAAGUUAUCUCUUUCAUUAAGGGAGGACACUGCGUAAUUACUACGCAUAUAUCUCUGCUUAAUCACACAAAACAAAAAUUUCCAUUUUUUCCCUAAAAAUUAAUUUUCUUUCACCUCCAACCCAUCAUGUAUAUUCUAUAAGAUAAGAAUAAUCCAUUGACUAGCUCCAAUUAAGCAAGUUUCAUAACUUGCUUGAUGACUCUGAUCAUGUGUAAUUUUGGGGAAUUGGAUGCUAUUUUAUCCCUACUUUGUUAGGCUUUUGUAAAUGGUUCUUUCACAUUUUUCAAAUGGUUUACAAUCUCUCUCAUUUUCUCUAUUUAUUUUUAAUCUUGUUUGUAUUUUCAAUCUUUCGUUCUUCCAAUUGCUGGAGCUCUACCAGAUUGGCUUUUCAUUGUUCUGAGUCUAUAUUAGACCCUUUUUCAGGUUUUGAUUUGUUAUGUCUCAUUUUUUUUAUUUACUCGGUUAAUUUGCUUCAAUUCUUUCAAUUCUUUCUUGUUAUUUUGAUGAUUUAUAUUAGUAUUAUAUAAAAUAGGAAGAACUUAUACAUUAAUCCGUUUAUCAAAUAUAUGAAAAAAUAAUUUACCCAACGAAUGUGUUAUGUCGUGUGUAAGAAUGUUUUUCCUUUUGUGUUUUAAUUCUGCACUUAUUUUUAUUUUUUCCACAUAAAUAUAACGAGCCUACAUUAUUUUUUCUAUGAAUUAUUUACCUACUUUAAUUAUUUUAUAUACCUACGUUAUUUAUUCUUGAAUCUUUUCACACAUGGCCAAACUUCUCUUGGAAGUUUAAUUAGAUGAAACAAUAUGAAUCUUGAACAAACCAAAGCAAAGCAAAACGUACUCAACACUUACAGGAAAUCAGUCCAAGAAUGAAAACUUUCUUAUCACUUUCUAUCCAAAAUUUUGGAAUUAUGUGUGUUGCAACGGUUGUCCGAAGGAUUAUUCUUCUUUUAUUAAAUUUCUAAGGAAAAUUAGCAUAUGGGGCGUAAAUGUUGAAUGGAUGAAUUUUCAUUGACUUGGAAAGGGAUUGUGACUUUAACACGCUAUUUUUCUUCAUCUUAUGCACUCAUGUUUAUCAAAAGACAAAUAAAUAUGACUUUACAUAAGGAGAGAGAAAGAGUAUUUUCCUUUGUAAAAAUCAACUAUUCAUUUUCGAAGUGGUAGUCAUUGACACGAUACUUGAUUAGAAGAAAAGUCAUAGUAAUUUGUUUUUAUGGGAACGAGAGUGCAAGUUCUUAAUUGGAAUAUGAGAUGAAGUUUCUACAUAACUAUCUGUGGCAAAGAAAGAAGUCUAAGUUUCUAAGUGGUAAGGGCUCCAAUUGAUGCGCGUUUGUUGAGAAAUGAAGAUGAAGAUGAAUAUUGAUAUUGAUGUGAGUUAGUGAACAAGUUGCUUCGAUCUCCUUUGGCCCUCUAAGAUGAUUAUUGAUUGGUGGACUAAGACGUACCAUACAAUUUUUUAUAACCAGCGAAGAUGAACAGUGUCGUGACAAAAUUUAUCCAAGUAGACCCAAGGGCAAGACUUAGGAACUUCAUAUACAGUGGGAUAAAAUGUUGGGCUAAUUUCCUAUUUUAUCUUAUAGUCAUUAAGUAAAAUGUAUUGCACAUUUCUGGAUGCAUACACAUUAAUGUACAUAAUAUUAGUUGAAUAUCAGAGUACGCAACUUUUACAAACAAAUUAACUGAAUAUAAAACGUUUAUAAAAUUUUAUUAAACGGAAUUGCCAAGAAGGCUACAUGAAUCCAAGAGACCACAUCUUGAUUGACUUGUUAUCUCUCAAUAACAAAGCUCUCUAUUUAUAAUAAACUAACCCUAGUCCCUAAUAAGCAAGGAAAUGAAAACCUAAUUUUAAUGGGCUAAGCCCAAAUCCAAACACUAAAUAAAUAACUAUUUUCCAACACCCCCGUCAAACUUGUGGCGGUACACGUCAUGAGUUUGCCAACAAGCAGAUGUGGAUGCAAGCUCCGUUAGGCGGACACGACAAGACAAGCUUCGUUAGGCGGACACGACAAGACAAGCUCUGUUAGGCAGACACGACAAGACAAGCUCUGUUAGGCGGACACGACAAGACAAGUCUCUAUCCCUCGCACAUCAAUCAAAAGACUCCUUUUUGGUGUGAAAACUGAAAACUUUUAUUCAUUUUAUUUCUUUCAUUUUUCUCAUCGGCUUCAUCUUCUUUCCUUUCCACUUCUUCUUUCUUUUUCUUUCCGUUUUCCUUCUGUACAUUCUCCCUUUUUUCUUGUUUCCUCUUCUUCUGUUUUGCGUUGUAAGUUCCUCUUCUUCGAUGGAUUUCAGAGAGAGGGAGUCACAACAGCUAAGAAGGUGGUGGUGCAUAGAGAGAGGGAGUCAAAGCGGUGGAAUUUCUUCUCAGGAAACCUCCACUCCGCCUACACCACCACCUAGACAGUCGCCUAGAUCGUCGCCUAGACCGCCCAAGCUGCCUAAGAGCGCCUAGGCGAGCGCCUAACAGCUCCAUGAUUUUUCUUAACGAUUCAGACCUAAUCGCAUCGGCACCACCACGCCCAGCUCCUAGGUUGCCGCUUAGGUCAUUUUUUAGAACACUGGUAAUACUCGUGUGGUGCAAUUCUAAUCUCUUAUAUAUAACUUUUUUGUGAUCCAUUUCUCCAUCACCAUGCCUAAAUCCCUUUAGAAUUUGCAAUUUCCUCACCCCAACAAACCCCAACAUUCUGUUGGAUAUGGUAAAAAAAAAAAACUCAGAAUUUCAUUUAAACUUGAAAAUUUAGGGAUGGGAAAGCAAUUUUCUCUUGUUUGGCAACUUGUAGCGAGAGAACAGGAAAAUUCCACAGGAAAAAAGUGGAAAUUGGGGAUGAAGAUUCUUGAGUUUAAUUUUGUCUAAAUAAGUGUAAUUUCACAAUUCCAACUACGACAAGAUUCACAAAUUCAUAUAUGGGGAAGUUUUGCGAGCACCAAACUUUACUAUUAGGGCACCAAAUUUCAUGAUAAAACCUGAUAAGGGUUUAGGGCUGCAUCGUUCACUCUGUUAAGUCUCCAAUCUUCGACGAGAUUUUUAGCUCGUGCAUCAUCUUCUCACUUUGUUGUAGGGUUACAUCUCUUCGUUCUUGAAUUAUUUUUAGCUUUUCGGGUAUACUUUUUCUGCUCAUUGUGAAUUUUGAAAUGGGGCAGGAAGAACAUACAAAAAAAAGAUAAGAGCUGGAGCCCAUCCCAGACAUAAUACGACAGUGUUGGAACCCCAGUGUUGUCCCACAUCGGCUAGAGGGCUCAAGUGAAAGUGCUUUAAAUAGAAAUACCCCUCUCUAACUAACAUCGAGGCCUUUUGUGAUAAAACCCCACACCUGAGGAUUGUGCAGGUGGUUAAGUGGGGACAGUAUCGAUGUUGUUGGAGUGGGCCCUCGGCCCGUCGACCUGAAAAUUUCCACAUGGUAUCAGAGCCAGGAGGCGGGCCCGUACUGCCACGUGAUUGGGUGGGUCCCCUUUGGCCCCGCGCGAUGUCCACGUAGGCCAAAGAUGCCACGUGUUUGGGUGGGUCCCCAAUGGCCCCGCAUGAUGGGUGAGUCCCCAAUGGCUCCACGUGGUUGUCGAUGUGGAUUUUCACGUGUGACCCAUAAAUGGGGUCUCACGUGCGGGGGAGUGUUGGAACCCCAGUGUUGUCCCACAUCGGCUAGAGGGCUCAAGUGAAAGUGCUUUAAAUAGAAAUACCCCUCUCUAACUAACAUCGAGGCCUUUUGUGAUAAAACCCCACACCUGAGGAUUGUGCAGGUGGUUAAGUGGGGACAGUAUCGAUGUUGUUGGAGUGGGCCCUCGGCCCGUCGACCUGAAAAUUUCCACAGACAGUUUUCCAUCCUUAAUCCGAUCAAUGCACUAAGACAAGUGGAGAGCAAAAGAGUUUCCAUGGGUUUAGUACCUAGUACCAAAAUAAGGUGGUACUUCGGCUAUUGCGAUGGGAAUCUUUAUGAACACUAAAUUUGGAAUGUAAUGUUUUUUCGAAUCAACACCAGGGGGCUUCGAGCUAUGUGUUCUGCCCUAUUAUUCAUUACUUCAAAGUUAACGUACUUUGGAAAGAUUGUUGGAUUAAAUCAUAUUCUAAAAUGUUAAAGCAAAGGAUGGAAUGUCCCAAGCACUUAGUCACUUGGGUAAGAGCUAUUUAGACACAGGCAUAAAUGAUCCAAAAGACCAUGCAUUCACAAGUAAAUUGCACCAAAAUAAGAUAUCCCCAAGUACCAUCACUAGGGAAAAGAUGUUGAAGUUAUGGAAAGGACAAGCCCUCAUCCUAGCAAACAACAAAUUAAUGCAAAACAUUGUCAACAACCCUAUUUGGCAACAACUUCCCUUUUGGAAGAAGUUGAAGGAUCUACGAAAAUACUGGCUGAUGGAUCACCAUUGGAAGUAGAUCCUCUUCUUCGGAUGCCUCAAAGUCAGAAAUUUUGCUCAGUAAGUCUUUAAGAGCAGCGAAAUCGGCAUCCCAUAUUUUUUUCAGAAUCUGGUAGGUGUCUCAACCUCCAAAAUGAUCUUACUGCGCGUAGCCAAAUAUAUACCCAAAGUUGUACCCCUCUGCAUAUUUUUCUUCGGACGCCUUCUUGUGAGAUGCACGCACGCCCAUUAUUUCUGACUCAUGCUCAUCCUUGAGUUGUUUAAGAUUUGCAAAGCGAACUUUGUCUUUCUAUUCGAUCUAACGGCGAAGUCUUUCCACCUCUAACGGCGAACAUUGUGAGAUGCACGCACGCCCAUUGUAAGCAUUCCGCUUCGAAGACAACGUUCGAUUGAUUAAGCUUCAAGACGCAACAAAGUUUGUUCCACCUCAACUUUGGCUUUGCAUUCUAGCUCCAACUUUUCCUGCAGUUCAGCAAGAGUUGCCUUGUAUUCAUUUGCUUUAAUAUAUUCAAGAGUGGCUUCAUUUAUGCAUUUCUUUACCUCUACAUUAUGGGCUACUCUCAUAAUUUGUUGCUCUACCUAUACCCUCUUGAGCUUCGCCAAUUGAGCUUGCACUUGUUGCUUGAGCUGUAUUUGGCCUCUGAUUCAUGCAAGGAAAACCGCUUAAGAUGACAAAUUCACUUCGCUUGGCCAAAAAGAGUCGCCUCUGUCCAGACAUGAGUCUGACCAAUGCAAGUAAAGGAAAGGAAAAACAAAAUUACCAAAGUUAUUUUGUAAGAAAAGAAUGAAGGAUUACCUCAUAUCGACUUUCGUGACAUCGCAUCAUGGCGUCUUCAAAGGACGUGCGAGCUUCCUAGUAGUCCGCAUGGGUAAUUGCAGCGCUAAGAAAAGCUCGGGUAAAAUUUAUGUUUCGAGUCUUAACGACAAGCAAGGGCAGCGCGCCCCCUUCAAUUCUGGUUAAAGUCGCCAGCAAGGGAAUGUUAGGUUCGAGAGGCACCUCGACAGGUUCAGGUAAACUCCUUGUCACUAGAGGAAUCAGAACUGGGAUAUAAAGGGGUUUAAGGACUCGAACAUCAUUCGGAAGUGGUGGCAAAGCUGUCUGCUAUUGCGCAGGUAGAGAUUCAAGCUUGGAUUCAUGUGGUUGUUGUUGCGUCAGUUCUUAAAAUGGAAGGAAAAGAGGUUGAGAUUCUCUUAUGAGAUGAUGCGGAGCAGGAGUAUCUGGAGUUGUAUUUAUCGAAACAACCAGACGUCUUUUUCUCCUCAUAGUGGAAUUUCUUCCUCCUCUUUGGGAUUCUUGGGUACCACCUCUAUUAUUGGUAGACUUAUUUGAAAAGGUGUAGCUAACGACGUUGAGGAAGUUUUACCAGACCGUUUUAGCUUUUUUUUGCUGGAGUGGGAUAAAUUUUGGGUUUGAGAUGAUGGACCCCCUAAUAAACCUAUUUCACUUUGAUCCAAUUAGGAUCCAGAAUGGGGAACUUAGAACAAUGAUUGAUGAUUGUAUUAUUCCCCCAAUCCAAAAAUCGAACUGAGGAAGUCAGCCAGUUCCAAUUACGGUGCUUAGUAAGGAUUUGCGUUGCCUGAGUGAUCAACUCUGGUCAACACGUGCCAAUAUUCUUCAGGUCAUUGUUCAGACAAAGGUUGCAAUAAGUGAUGUGAUAGCAGCAUAUUUAUGCGACUUAGUUAGCUUGUUUUUCUUGCAUUUAUGUUGUGAGUUCUUACUUAUUAUAGUGUUUUAAGCUAUUUUCGUGUGUUUGUAGGUCCAAUUGACAAAGUUGGCAAGAAAAUGCAAUUUGGAGCAUUUUGGAGCAGUUUUGGGCAUCAAAUGGAUAGCUUAUGAAUGGAGUAAGAUGGAUGGACGAAUUUGAAGUUCAAGAGGCUAGGAAUGUGUUGAAAAGAUGAAGAAAAUAAAUUCAAGAGAAAGAAGAUAAGGAAUUAGCUCAAAAGAAGGAACAUUAUCCAAAACCUUAUCCAACCUUAUCUUAUCCAAACAAACCUUAUCUUAUCUUAUCCUUGCCUAAUCUAGCUUUAUCCUAUCUUAUCUAAAUCAGUUUGUGCCUUAAAUCCAGCUGCAAGAGGACCUAAAUAUCUGAUUUCUAGAAGGCCUAUCAUUUCCUUACACUUAUGCCGCACCUUUAUCCUUCUAGAACCCCUAAAUUUGUGCCGCAUCUCAGCCCUAUAAAUAUACAUCUUUGAUGCACAAAUAAAUGACCCACGCACCCACAUAUAUUCAGAUACAAUUGAGAGAUUUCAGAGAAUUCAAAAGGUGUACCUGCGUGGAGGAAGGAGAAGGAGAAGCUUGUGUCGUGGCUUGCAAUCCAAGGGGGAGUUUGAAAUCUGCCAUUGGAGUUGCUAGGGCGUUCUUGGUUCUUUCUAUCCUUAGAUUUGUUUCAAUGUUGCUUUUAAUUUGGUUUUAUGUUUUCAAAGACAUGAGGAACUAAUCUCUUUUUAGUUGGAGGUGAAUUUGAAGCCAUGAUUAUAUGUUUUGAUAUGAAUUGAUUACAUCCAGUUAUUGUUUCUUGAGUCUUGAAUGUGAUUUGCUUAUCUGAGUUAUCAAAACUUGUUUAUGUAUGUUGAUUGAGGGUCGACACUUAAUUUGCAUGCAUGAAUUUGAUGCUAGAGUAUAAGGGAGUUUCACCUAAUCAUUAUGAACUUAUAUUCACAAGUAGUAAAGGUUGCUAGUCACAAUCGUGUUAAGUAAAUCCUUGGCAGGAGUAUCAUGCUUUUCAUAGUUACGAAUGCCUCGUCAAUGCUUAUGAUUUUCAAAGAACUUAAUGACCUUUGAUAUGUUUUCUAUCAUGCUUUUCAUAGUUAGGGAACUUGAGAAGGAUAAUUUGGUUGUGAUGUGUAUCCCGUCCAAUUCAAUGAAAUAAGGGAAAUCUGAUGGUUAAUUUGUGCUGUCACGGUUAACUUGGGGUGUUGUCAUUCAUGGUUUAAGGGAACAAUACUGGAAAUUGGUUUAUAUGCAUAUGUCAUGUGUGGAGAAAGAUCCUCUGGCUAAGUUUUCAUCAUUCAAAUCACCUAAUUUACUUUGUUUUGCAAUCUGUUUUGUUUAGUUAAUUUUCGUCCAAAUCAAUCCCCCUUCUAAUUAAGUGUCUUAGAUUAGUUAAAAAAGUGUUUCAAUCUGUCCAACUUAGUGUUUUAAGUCCCACUAGUGUUAAAUUCGUCCAAAUAGUUCUUAGAACCUGUUUUGAGUCUUUUUAACUUAGUUUUGCUGUUUUGAGUGUUUUAUGUCAAUUUUGAGUUUGUAGUGUUUAGUUGUGUGUUUUUUAGUCUAUUUGAGUGUUUCUAAGUCUAAUUUGGUAUUUCUGAGUCAUAUUUGUGUAGAUUAACAUCCCUAGUUAAUCCCCGGUUUAGAACGAUCCUUACUUACAUCUUUACUACAAUUAUCAUUCAUAGGGUUUAAUUUGUGUGUCAAGUUAAUUUUCACAUCAAAUUUGGCGCCGUUGCUGGGGAUUAGCAAACUUGCUAAUCUCUUUUGUUUGAGUAGUGUGUCUUUAUUGUUAUGGCAGAUGAGUCUACAAAAUUUGUGAAAACAUUAGAUAUAAAGAAAUGUGAGAAAUAAGAACCAAAUAACAGUGAAAUGAAUGAUAUAAGACUCAUCUGUCAGAACAACAAGGCAUUCGAUUUUCAAAAGUACACUCAACGAUCACUGGAGGAUGAUCUUAGAGUUGUAGUUGGAAUCAUCUUCCAGUGAUUUGAUAUAAAAACAGAUUUGAUGGGAUUUAGAAGCAAAUGUUGGGUUUGAAGAGAUUUAGGUAAUGGUUGGGGACGGGGAGUGAGUUGAUGGGAUUCAGUAGCAAAUGUUGGAUUGUAGAAUCUAAAAACAGAUUUGAGAGGCUAAAAUGUAAUUCGGAUAUUAGUACUACGGUCUAAUAACGUAUUUGUAAGUGAAAAAUUUUAGGUUUGUAUUUCAAGAAUAAGGAGUUCAUAACCAAUUUAUUCCAUAUAUCAUUGUGCAUAUAAAAUAAUGUAAUUCGAAAAUUAAUUUAGUGACGAUGCUACAAUUAAUUAUAUCAUCAAUUUUGGAAUCCCAUUCUUGGCUUAUGUCAAAAUCCAAACAAAUUUAAACCCUCAUUUUUUUCAGAUUUUGGAAAGAAUGGCAUCAUUGAAUUCAAUAUCGUGAUAUGGGAGACUGAGUAAGCUAAAUUUGGAGUAUUUUAAUGUCACAGUAUAAAUAUGGCACCAACAAUAGACGUAAGCCAAAGUCAUAGGUUUAAUGCAGACAAUAGUAAAUACUGAAUACUGAAUAUUGGAUACUGAAUGGAGGGCGGCUUUAACGCUUUCAGUGUACCAAAUUUUGAUACUAAUUGACUUGAUCUCUUCACAUGGUACAUAGGUAGUCUAGCUCGAAUGUUAUGCAGCCAUAAAAUUAAAUAAAUUAAUAUUGUAUCAUGUCCCGGAGUUCAGCACGUGACAUUAUUGUGAGGUCUAGGUACAGUCCUUAGAGUGAUAAAAACAAGGCUCCUCCAGGGAGGGCUAGUCGGAGGUGUGAAUGGACAUUUACUUCACACUCAUAGGAAAUCAGUCCAAGAAGUGGACAUGGAUGCUGGGUACUCAACACUCAUAGGAAAUCAGUCCAAGAACGAAAGCUUUCUUUUUAGUUGCUAUCCAAAAUUUUGGAAUUAUGUGUGUUGUCCAAAUGAUUAUUCUUCUUUUAUUAAAUUUCUCAGGAAAAUGAGCAUGAGGCGUAAAAGUUGAACGAAUGAAAUUUCAAUGAUCUGGAAAGGGAUUGUGAGUUUGCCACACCAUUUUUCUUUCUUUUAUGCCUUCAUGUUUAUUAGAAGAUAAAAAUAAAGAAGGAAAACUAAUGAAAAGUCCAAUUUUUUUUUAGUUUUAAUGAAAAAUGACAAAUAAAUGUGUAGUGAAUAGUACCAGAGAAAGGUAAAAAUGUGGCUUUUCGUUAGAAGUGAACAGUCCUGGGAGUGUUUCGUUAAAACUUCCAAAUAAAUAUGACUUUAUUUGGAGAAAAAAAAGUAUUUCCUUUGAAAAAAAAUCAACUAUUUAUUUAAGAGGAUGUGAAUGAUUGAUGGUGAAUACAAAGAACCACCUUAGAGGGAGACGAGACAUUUAUUAGAAGCCAAAAAAAAAGUUACAAUGAUUUAGUAAAAAAACAAGAAAACCUCAUUUUCUAAGUGGCAGUCAUUGACACGCUAUUUGACUAGAAGAAAAGUCAUAGUAUUGUAUUUACUUUCAAGCCUCUAGGGGGAACGAGAGUGCAAGUUUCCAAAUGGAAUAUGGGAUGAAAUUUCUACAUAACUCUAUCUGACAAAGAAAGAAGUCUAAGUUUCUAAGUGGUAGGGCUUCCAAUUGAUGUGAGUUUAUUGAGAAAUGAAGAUGAACAUGAAUAUUGAUAUUGAUGUGAGUUAGUGAACAAGUUGCUUCGAUCUCCUUUGGCCCUCUAAUAAGAUAAUACCGGAAAACAAGUUGUUACUAAUACAUGUAUCGGAUUGGUAGACUAAGACGUACGGUACAAUUUUUUAUAACUAGAGAAGAUGAACACUGUCACUGUCGUGACAAAAUUUAUCCAAAUAGAUCCAAAGACUUGGGAAGCUUCAUAUGCAGAUCUAAAGCUAAUUUCCUUUUUAAUCUUAUAGUCAUUACGUAAAAUGUAUAUGCAUAUUUCUAGAUGGAUACACACCAAUCUUGAAAUAGGGGAUGAAGAUUCCCGAUUUUAAUUUCGUCUAAAUAGGUGUAAUUUCACAAUUCCAACUAUAACGAGAAUCACAAAUUUAUAAGCGGAAAAAUCUUGCCAGCGUCAAACUUUCUUGAAUAAGGGUUUAGGGCGCCAAAUUUCAUGAUAAAACCUGAUAAGGGUCUAGGGCUGCAUCUUUCACUCGAUUAACUCUCCCAUCUUCGAAGGGAUUUUCGGCUCUUGCAUCAUCUCUUGCUUUUGUUCUAGGUCAACGCCUCUACUCUCUUCUUUCUUGAAUUAUAUUUUUAACUUUUCGGGUAUACUCUUUAUGCCAAUUGUGAAUUUUGCUAGUUAUUUUUAUUUUCUGAUAGUCAUAUGUUUGUGUGCUUUUUUUCUUCCGAUUGAAUUGUGUAUUGGUUGGAUCUGUUACACAAUUUUUUAGUUUUUUUAUGGAUUUUGAUGUUAGUUCCUUGUUAUAGAUAUUGUGUUUUUGAAGGUUUAACAAUAGGCAAGACUGAAUAUGAUGAUUUCGGUGUUAAUUACUUUCUCAUGGUACUAUACUAGAUUGUUCUCUCUUUGCAUUUACAUGUAACCAACUGUUCAUUGUAGAAAUGUAGUAUUUGGAAGACCUUUUUUUUUUUCUUUCUGAUUUAGUGUAUGUUUUUUGGACAAAAGAAACAUGUAGAAGAGAAAACAUGAUUGAUAACAUUGUGCAUCUUUUUUUUUUUUUUUUGACAGAAAGCGAUAGAGUGUUCCAUGGCCAAUUUGUUUUAUCUAGAGAUAGUUUGCACAAGAUGCAAACAUUUUGUAAACCCUAUACGGCUACCAUAAUAGACAACCACAAACAAGGGUCCCGAUAAAAUUGUCACAAAGACGACAAACGCGGCAAUCCUCACACUGGUACCUUGACAUAAAACCAUCGACAAUAAGACCAAAUAAAUCGCAUAAGAAAUACAAACAAAUCACCACAGUAACACAAAAUCUACUACCCUAACCUGCUCAAGGUCCUACAAACAAAAACUUAAACCUAAAGUCGAUGACAUGUCCACAUGCAUGUCCAAAGGGAAGAGACGUGGCAGGAGGCAUGGGUUGCACGACCAUGUGGGUGUGUCGGUGGCAAGGACAACAAAGGCUUGGGGCUUGGGUGGCAGAGGAGAUACCACGACACGCCAGAGCCACUGUCACAUUGUCAUCGCCGCCGCCACGAGCCCAUAGUAACCUGCAUAAAAUCGUUAGUGCUAAAAGCCGCCAAGGGUUUCCGCCGACUGGGAAAAAGAUAAGAUUUGUGAAGACGGAGGUCACAUGGAUGGCAUCAUAGCAAAAUUGAAAUCUUUUAAUCAUCCUCAGCAUUAUUCCGACAGCUAUCCACAAACUGAAGCAACGAAUUGGGCAAGUGUGCAACAAAUUUUCAAUGUGCGUCCAUUGUGAAUGAUUUACAAGGAGUGGGUUUAAUGACGUUUGUAGUUAAAGUGGGAUGCAACUUAGAGCACCAUCACUUGACUAUGUUCCUCUCAUUUUAUCUGUUCAUUUUUGCCUCAUUUGUUUUUUGGUUGCACCGCCUCAAAAACCUUGUGCGUCUACAUGUAUAUAGAACUUUUGGUUAAAACAGAGUCACAUAUCUUAUAACUAUUUAAAUUUUGUUGCAUAUCACAAUAUAUAUUUGUUCAUACAUUCAAACAUGUAUGGCAAAUACUGAGGAGGAACAUAGAAAAAAAAAUGAAAAUUAUUGUUAGUACAAUUGUAUAUGUUAUUGACAUGGUCAUGCAUUGGUAUAGUAAGAGUUUUCUCGUCGUAGAACUUUCAAAUGAUUGGAAUCAAGGAAGACAAUCUUUUCCCCAAUUAAUUAUUCUCGCCAUAUUUUUCCUUAGCGCCGUUAAGUUUCACUUAAAAAGCAAAAGAAGAAGGCUAAAAUUAAGGUGAAGAACCUGCCUCCACUAAUUUCCAUGAAGUUGCAGUAAGGACAUAAAUCACCUUCCGUGAAGUUUCAGUAAGGACUUCAAAUAUCCCAGAGAAAAGUCAGUCAAUGGUGUUUUGACAGAGUCAGUCAACGGCAAAAGACAGAAUUGUGUAUCAUAAUGCUCUCUCCCUCUCUCUCUCUCGUCAAUGGAUGACACCGUAUAAUUACUACGUAUAUAUCUCUGCUCAAUUACACAAAAGAAAAAUCCUUGCGCAUUAUUUUUGUUAUUAUUAGCUCAGAAAUGCAGAAAUUGAUCAUCUCUUACUUUUGCAUAUUGUUACUGGUUUUCUUCAAACUAGUUGGAGCAAGCCAUGCGUGCCUGGAAUCCAAGUGUGGCGAUGAUCAAGGCGCAGCUAUCCAUUUCCCAUUGCGCAUCAGCCGCAAACAUCAUUGUGGAAAUCCUGGGCUUGAAUGCAAUGUAAGAUAUGAGCAGCAAAUACUAGUAAAAUUAUUUGUCAAACACAUAGAUUACAAGAGUCAGGAAAUCCAAGUGUAUCCCCCAAGUAGCUGCCUGCUGCUAAAGUCUGUUGAAAUCCCAAACAUGCCACCCUCUCCCUUCAACGUGUCAGUCGAUGACAUGAGUAACUUGACCUUAUUCAGUUGUACUACUUCUGUUGCAAGCGAUCCAUAUCCGUAUCAAUUCCCCUGCCUCGGCGACCCUGGCCGCAUAAUUUAUGCCGUUGAUUCCAGUUCUACAUAUCUAUUGGAAGAUCUCUUCCAGAAAGUACAAUCUUGUUCAAAGAUGUAUGAUGUUUUAUCAGUUCCAUUCGGUUCUUGGGUAGGCGGUUAUAAUGUUCGUUUCAAAUGGUCUGAACCAAAUUGCACAGUAUGUGAAGCACAGGGAAAGAGGUGUAGGUGGAAGAACGAUGGCACAAAUAGUGAAAUUAAAUGUCUUGACUGGAAGAAACCAAGUAAGGAUAACAUAUAUAUUCAUUGCUAGUUUUAAACAUCUUUACAUUUACGUCUUAGUAAUUAUUAUUUAAAAUAUGUUGUCCAAUCCAUUUUUACUAGGAAUAUUACCUGACAGUCUCGUUUAAAUUUGCAAUGAUCUUCUACAGGCAACACAUGGAAAAAAGUGGUUACAGGUGGAAUCCUGGGUGCUUUGCUUCUUGUUCUACUGAUGAUUGCAGCAUAUCGGGUACAUAGCGCUGAUAGAAAGGAGAAAGAGAGUCGAUUAAGAAUUGAAAGAUUCUUGGAGGAUUACAAAGCACUCAAACCAACCAGGUAUUCGUACGCAGAUAUUAAGAGGAUUACAAAUCAAUUCAAGGACAAGUUGGGCGAAGGAGCCUAUGGAACUGUCUUCAAAGGAAUGCUCUCUUCCGAAUUCUUUAUUGCUGUCAAAGUCCUCAACAGUUCCAAGGGAGAUGGGGAAGAGUUCGUAAAUGAAGUGCGAACGAUGGGUCAUAUCCACCACGUCAACGUGGCUCGCUUGGUUGGAUUUUGUGCUGAUGGAUUUGCACGAGCUCUUGUUUACGAGUUCUUCCCCAAUGGUUCCCUGCAGGAUUUCAUUUCAUCUGCAGAUAGUAAGAAUUCAUUUCUUGGUUGGGAUAAGUUGCAAGAUAUUGCCCUAGGCAUAGCCAAAGGAAUUGAAUAUCUUCACCAGGGAUGCGAUCUACGAAUCCUGCAUUUCGACAUCAAACCCCAUAAUGUUUUGCUAGACCAAAACUUCACUCCAAAAAUUUCUGAUUUUGGUAUGGCCAAGUUAUGUUCCAAGGAUCAAAGCUUGGUGUCCAUGACUACAGCUAGGGGGACCAUGGGCUACAUUGCACCUGAAGUGUUUUCCAGGAAUUUCGGAAAUGUGUCUUACAAGGCAGAUGUCUAUAGCUUUGGAAUGCUGCUGCUUGAGAUGGUAGGAGGAAGGAAGAAUAUUGGUUCAAUCACGGAUAACACUACAAAUGAAAUUUACUAUCCACAGUGGAUUUAUAAUCUUCUAGAGGAAGGGGAUGACCUACAAAUCCACAUUGGGGAAGAAGGAGAUGGUAAAAUUCCAAAGAAACUUGCAAUUAUAGGGCUAUGGUGUAUCCAGUGGCACCCGUCGGAUCGUCCUUCCAUGAAAAUAGCGGUUCAGAUGUUAGAAGGAGGAGGAGAAAGCUUGAGUAUGCCGCCUAAUCCCUUUGUGCCUACUGGUCCUACAACUAGAAAUGCAAGACGCCUAGAGCUAGAAGCUAUUGCUGAAUUAGAGUAAAAUGUAUAUGCAGAUAUGUAGACGUAUAGAUAUAGUAAUAUUUACAUUGAAUAAGAGGCCGUUUGAUAACCAUUUCGUUUUCAGCUUUUAAUUUUUAUUUUGCACUUUUUUGAAAACUGAAAACUAAAAUCUUGUUUGGUAAAUACUUUUAGUUUAAGAAAAAAUGAAGACUGAGAACUAAAAAGUGAAAGCUCAAAGGAAGUAGAUUAAAAGUAGUUACCAAACAAACCGGAAUCUCAAUAAUAAAAAAUGAUUGAAUUGCACAACGCAAUCCAAACCAAUCAAAACAUUAAAAUAGCAAAAAAAAUUAAAAUUCUAGUUGAUUAGAUUAUGAACAUAGUAAAAAUGAACAGAUCCGAUGAAAAAACAAAAAAAAUUCUCAGAUAAAAAUAGGGAUAAAGUAAAAUAUUUAUAAAUAGCUCCUUGUCUCUUAUGUCAUCAAUUAUUUCUAUAGUAUAUACAAGUUUUUGGAAAAAUUAGGUUCCCAUCCCUUAUUUUCAUAUUACAUUGAUUGAAAUCUUAUUAUUUUUCUAUUUUAGAUCAAGGUCCCUUGACUUAUUCCAUGUCAUCAUUUUAGUAUUUAAAAUAUUACACGUCAUCAUAAACGAAAUCUCAUCCCCUUUCUGCAUUUAAGGCAAAAUAAACUAUAUGAGUAAGUUUAAAACAAGGAAAAUCCAUUUGAACUCCUCCAUUCUUCUUCUUCCCUUAUGCACAUCUGGAAUCUACAACACCCCAAACCCAAUUUUCUCCAUUUUUUCUCCAUUCCUGAAUUGAUCCAAUGCAUAUAUGUUGAAUAAACCUAUUGUGAUUAAAAUACAAAUUAGCAUCAAUGGUUUUAUCGGCUUGUGAGAUUUGUGUGGCAUAGGCAAGGCAAUGCAUGCAUCGCUUUCUCAAGGAAUCUGGUUGAUUCAAACAUGCAGAGACUGUAGAGUGAGCGGGCUAUGUAAAAACUGUACCAUUCUGAAGUCAUUUUCUUUUGUUCUUUAUAUUUUUUUUCUUUUUCUUUUAUUAUUAUAUAUUAGUCUUGAUUAUUCAAUGUCUGGUUGGCUACACUUAUGUCCAUGGGUACAUUUUUAAUCAACAUGGUUCGUUCUAAUAUAUCUAUUGCUAUAAUAUGUUUUGGUUGGUUCAAAUUUGUUUUACAUAAAUAUAUGGGUACAAAGUUUUUGGAGAAUAUUAUGUAAAAUGGUUUUUAAGGUUGCUGCAUUUUAUGUACCCACAUAUGCAUGUCUAUAAAUGACACACCCCGUCCCGAAGGAGGGCAUGCUGGCCGUCACGUGAGAGUGACGUAACCAUUUGCACAGUACGGAAGCUUUAAGAUACAAUUUAUAAGUUGAUACACCCGAAUGUGAGUCCUAAUUUUGUCCAAUCUGUCAGAACACCGUCAAAUUCCUCGUAGUCACCACACCUUUGUGAUUCCUGAACCUGGAGGGGCGCAAAACCAAAAUUGAGUGGGUCAGUAAAACAAUUCUUUUCCAAAUCCAAACAUUUCUCAAAACGUUGUAACCCCAAUCCGUAAAACUUGUAUAUUUUCCCAGAAAUGUAAAAUAUAAAUAUACAUAUAUAUUCUCAAUACUUCAAUUCAUUAACUCAACAUUUUUCAGUACAAUUAUGCCAUGCCAUGUCUAAUUCAACAGUUAAGUAUGGAUGCAUCAACAAUAAUCAUAUCAGGUGCAAGAAAGUAAUCAACCGGAGGCCCUCUAAUAGCCAUGUACGGUUGAACCUAGAGCUCAAAAUCUAUCACUCUCACUCUACCGGAGUCACCUCUGUGACCUGUCCGGCCUUCUGCACACAAGUUACGCUCUAGUGCUUUCUCAUCAAUCAUCUGUGCACAUAAUCUAAGGUCACCCACCAGUCGAAAUCUCACUAACACUCUUCGACUGGCCCGUCGCACCCACUCCGCGUGGACUGUGCGACCAGCAUCUACUUGGAUCCAAGGCGAGCGUGCGAUGCGGUGAAUACUAUAAGCACUAAACCAUGGUGCAGGAUUUGAGCUCAAUAUACAUCAACAUCAUCAUAAUAGUAAUUAAAUACUCACCUGAUACUCACCUGUGCGUCCGCCGCACCAAUUCAUAUAUAUGCAUCAUAUAUCAAUUCAUAUCAUUUCAUACAUGGCAAUUCAAUUCACGUUUUUCAUAUAGUUCUAUAUACUUUUCACAUAUUUCUAUUUAAAGCAUAAUUUCAUGCUUUUUCAAUUUCUGGGAAAACGGCAAGUAUAUAUAUAUACGGAAAACAAAACUGCCCACUCACCUGGAGUUCGCCCUACAACUCCCUAGCACAAUACGCCAAGGCGUCAUGACGAUCGGCGCCUAAAACAAUAAUCAAUUCCAACCUUAGAAUUCAUAUCGAUAGAAUAUAUAACUUAUAUAAAAUACGUCACUGCGUAGUUCGAUCCGGAAGAUCCACCACUCAGAUUUUAAAUCCAUAACUUCCAGAGGUCCACAAUAUAUCUCUAGGAUAACAUCCUAAAAUUUCAUUACCAUCCAACGGUCGGAUCUCCGUCAAUUUCCAAAACUAAGUGACGGUUAACAUUUUAUUUUAUGAACUUACAACUCCAAUUCCUGAAGAUCCGUAAAUCGGAUUCCCAAUCCGAAAGUUCCAAUAAUCCUCAAAUAUUACGUAUUACUACGUAUCAAAGUUUAGUGACGAUCUAACGGUCGGAUCGUCAAUUCACGUUUUCACCUAAAUGUGAAAACUAUAAAACGUUAUUCGAACAUCUAACCAACAAUCCUUAAUAACUUUCUCAUACGGUGCUCAAUUUGGGUAUAUGAAUAUACCACGGUGAUCUACUCGACGUCACGGACGUCGACAUAUUUUUAAAAUAAUUUUAUUUUAUUUUAUUUUUUUUACUGUAGCACCUUCUUCUUCCUUGGGUCGCCGGACUGGUUUUUCCAGCGGCCGUUUUCUGGGCAGUUUUUCAAAUUGCCAUAACUUUGUCAUUUCUCAACGAAAUCAAGUGAUUCAAAAACGAAAGUUGUAGCCCUUGAAGAGACAAAGAGAAUGGUACCUUACAAAACACCUAGUUCUCCGUGGUUUGGCCGGAAACUGCCUCGAAAGCCUCGGAGGUCGCCGGAAACUGGGUAUUUUUCAAAUGAGUAUAACUUCUUCAAUACUCAACGAAAUUGAGUGAAACAAAAAGGAAAGUUGUAGUAAUUGACGAGAUGAAGAGAUUGAUACCUACCUCGACUCCUAACUCGCCGGGGAUUCGCCGGAAAAAGCCUCGAAAGCUCCGGCCAAACUUUGAACUUGUCGAUCUCCGUGUUCUUACGUCCAAAAACUUCCAACGAAGCACUCCGAGCUUCCUUGGGACCUCACUAAGCUCACUAUGAGCUUGGAUUGUCCUAAAACAAAGUCAAUUCGAAAAUCAUGAACAGUGCACUUUCACGGGGAGUUUAGAAUCUAGGUUUUCCGAAGUAAAACUUACCUGAAAUUGGUGUCUACGUGAUCGUGGAGUCUCCAGGAGUUCGAUGGUGGUCUUAACUCCGUCGUUGGUGGAAGUUUAAGGUUGUUUUGCGGUUGGUUUGUUCGAACGGAGAAGAAGAGUGACAGAGAGAGAGAGAUUCGUGAGGGAGGAGAGAGAGAGACAGUAUGCAGAAAAUAGGGAGAGGAUUGAGGGGUGUGGGGAUCCCAUGUGGUCCUUUUCCAAUCCCCAACUCCAAACCACAAAAUUUUAACCUAAAAAUCUAAGUUCCAUCCUUAAUAAAUUCCAUUUUAUUUUCAAAACUUAGGAACCUAGAUAAUUAUCAACUUGAGCUUCACAUACUUAGUAUUUCUUAAGGGCAAUUUCGUCCAUUCACAGCCACGAAUGUAAUAUUUUUGGAACGGGCUGUGACAAUCUUCCCUCCUUAUAGAAUUUCGUCCCCGAAAUUCCAGCAACCAACUAAAUCAACCAUACUUCAACAAUAGCUUCGGGUAAAUCUCUCUCAUCCGAUUCUCUUUCUCCCACAUAAUUUUCUACUGAAUGAUUUCCUUCACAAAGCUUUUACCACUUACUCUGUCUUAAUUCUCAAGACUUUCUUUUUCCAAUCUAAAGUCGUCCUUGGUUCCUUAUCAAGUCGAAUCCAAUUUAAUUCUCAAUAGUUGCACCAGAAUCUCAUGUGACGAAUCUGCCACCUAGUGACAACGUAUCGAACCCAAAAUACAUUAAGUAUCUUAGCCAACUCUGAAGACAUCACCACAUGUAUGCAACUUUAUUGAUUCCUUUAGUGAUCAAAACGGACUGAUGUGUUCAAGACUUAUCUUGUCUUCCUUUCUGAAUCUUACUAUUUCUGUUCAUGGUGAAAUUUCCAAAAAUAUCAAACCAUUUACCUUACACACUCGAUUAGUGGCAUAUCCAUCUGUUAGUCUCUUUUGCCAUUCCUGGUUACUUCAGGUUAACUUAAUCACCUGAAUACUUUGAGGAGACUCAUCCAAAAUUUCGGGUCCACCAAAAUUCUUUUGUGAUCGAAUCUUUCUCUACCCAGAAGCAUUCCAUCCACAAUUCAGCAAAAAUCGACACACAUGACACGCUUCAUGGACAUUAUGGCGUUACUUUGAAAACUGGCGAAACCAACAUACUUAAGAAACUCAGCAGUCCCGUAACCCAAUUCUCUUUUCCAUAAAACAAAUAAGUACUGUUGCACUGUCUGGGAAAGGUUGUUACUCAACACUGGAGUAAAUAUACUAACUUGUUACGUUGCCCAACCAUCACUUCACAUUCAAUCGUAACCAUCUUGUAUACAAGGAAACUUGUACACAUAGUCCAAAGUAAUAUCUUUCCAUUUCUGUUUAGAAACAGAAAAUAGCUGUCUCAAUCCAAAGGUUUAUCUCUUUCCGCCUCAAUCUGCUGAUCAAAUAAACUGUCGAGUGGUAUGAUAAAUCUUAUUACUUUUGGAAUAUUGCAGAAGUUGAACAGUGAACUUUGUCCAAUAUUUGCUUGCUUCAAAUCCUCAGCAUUAGGCACAUACUUUUGGUUUUCUUGUAUCCACAUACCAUUUGAUUCACGAAUCAUGUAUUCAUUCUUUUUCCCUUCUUUCUCUACCUUGGUUAAUUCUUAAAUUUCCUCGUCAAACAUUUAAGUUUCGAGUACGACCUUACCAAACAGGCCUAACUUGAAAUUUAACAAGUAUAACUUCUUCUCGAUCUUUCAUUCUUAACUUUACUUUAGUUGGUUUCCAAUCCACAAGAAGAUAAUCAUGGCAAGCGUACCAGAUAUUAAUUAUUACUGCAGUCUUCUUAUCAAGUGCUUCAGUUACAACAAUUCACAAUCACCCUGAUCGUACAAUCAUAAUCACUAAGUAAUUCAAUCCACCUUUGUUGCCUCAUAUCACAAUCCUUCCAAGUAAACAAAUAUUGGAGACUCUUUUGAUUUGUAAAAUCUUGUAUUCUUAUCAACAUAUAAUGUCUCCAUAACUUCACAGCAAGGAUGAUAAUCGUGACUUCCAAAUCACCAGUAGGGUAAUUCAUCUUAUGAGGUUCCAUUUAUCGUGAAACGUAUGCAAUCACCCUAACAUUUGCAUCAACAUGCCUCCAAUACCAUUCAAGAAACAUCACUAAAAAUUUAUGAUUACCACUAUUCUCUGGGAAUACCAAAAUACGUGCAUGAGUGAGGAAAUACUUCAGUUGUUGAAUCCUUUGCUCACAAUUUCCUUCCCACUCAUACAUAACCUCUUUUCUCAACAGUCUCGUCAAUGACAAAGCAAUGACUAAAAACUCUUUCACAACCAUCCAAGAUAGUCUGGUAAGUUAAGAAUUUCCGAAUCUCAAUUAUGGCUUGUGGUUGUUCCAAUUUCUCAAUUCUGCUGCCUUUUAAGAAUUCAUUUGAAUACCUUAAGCAGAUAUAACCAAUCUCAUAAUGCCACUUGAUUCAUCCAACAUUCGCAUUUGCUAAACUUAGCAUACAACCAACGUUCUUUCAAUCUUUGCUUCAUCGACUUAAUACGUUUACAUGCUCUGCUCUGGCUCAGAAUGUACCAGAAUAUCGUCAAUGAAAAUGAUAUCAAUUAUCAAGGCAUUAUUGGAAUACUUCAUCCAUCAACUCAUAAAACCGCAUGAGUAUCCACAUAGCAUCACCAAACCUCAUAAGGACCAUAACAAGUCCAGAAAACCAUCUUAUGAUCAACGUCAUUCAUAAUCUUUAAUUGGUAAUAACCAGACUUCAAGUCAAUCUUUGAAAAUAUACAAGCACCUUUGAACUGAUCAAAUGAGCGUCAAUACACCACAAUGGAUAACGGUUCUCAUUCGUUACCCGACUCCAUUGUCUAUAAUCAAUGAACAGUCUCAAGAUCCAUUUUCUUCCUCACCAACAAACUGGGGCUCCUCAAAAGUGUUGUACUAGGUUGAAUAAAACUUUUAUCAACCAAUUCUUUCAACUAAAUUUCCAAUUCCCUUAACUCAUCAUGAACCAAUCUCCAAUAUAAAUUUAUACCUGGCAACAAAUCAAUAAUGAACCUCAUAUCUCUGCCUGAAGACAAUCCAGGUAUACUUUCAGGGGAGACAUCAAGAAAAGUCUAACCCUUUUGACAUUAUUCACACUACUCCAAACAACAUCAUUUAGCACCCCAUGAGCUAAGUAUUUUUAACAGCCUUUCGAAAACAAUCUCUUUGCUCUCACAGCAUUAAUAACGGCCUGACUCAAUCCACCUUGCAUACUUACAAAAGUAAUCUCUGGUCAUCCAGAUCGAUGGAAAGUACUGGUUUCCCGUAACAUUCCGUCUUGUCACAAUUAUAACCAACCGAUCUAAUGGAACAGAAUUAACUGAUACAAUAUAUAUUCUAUUAUUAUUAAGCAUUCUAAAUAAGUACAAUACUAACAUAAAAUAAUCUACCGGGUUGCUUGCUUAACGAAUCCACGAAUGAGUUAUUAAUAUUACGGUCUGCAGCCCGCAAUACUGAUAAAUCAUCGUUGUCUCGAUAAGUAGGCAACCACUCUCAAAGAUAUAACAUUACUAUUUUGUCACUCAAUGCAAAAUACAUACACUUGUCUCAACUACAUUUAUUUACUACUCUCUAGGUAAUAACAUACAUAAUAAGAAAUAUAUCAGUCGAAGUCAACUAGAAUGACCAAUACGGCUGAUUCAACUCUUAUCUCAAUAAUACGUCGGCCGGAUCCACUCCGCGUGGUCGGUACGGCCGAGCCUAUAACUCAUCCAACCUCUCUGUACUCACGGUCAAUCCGACCAAACUACUAAGUCCAUAACUCUGCUGAAUCGACACUAUGAUAUCAUGGAAAAUUAUUGAGUACAACUGAUUCUAGGGACGAUUCACAAUUCUGUGUCCCCUCUGUUCACAUAAACACAUUCAUUAAUUUCACACUUCCCAAAGUGUUAAUUUUGUACCUGCUGCACAAGGUACAUUUCCUUUACUCGAGACACCUUGUCUCAAAUAUCUGGGAUUACCAGUAUAUCCAUCACUUUUACUCUGACCAGCAACAUUAAAACCUCAGCUGGAAGAAUUAACUCUAGCUUCACUUCUUUCGAAGCUCUGAAUCUUUCUAUAUCUUUGAUAUGACGAAUCAUUAACUUUAUCGUCUUCUUUUAAUUCCCAUUCAUUUCUUAUUCUUCUUUAUUCUCGUUGCUCAUGUUCUCAGAGUCCUCAAGACUCAACAGCAUCUCGUAUAUUCCUGGUAAGAAGUACAAUGGAUAGUGGUCACCCAAAAUACCACUUCCCUUUUGCCACCCAGCUUAAAACAACAUAACACCUCCACCAAAUUAGCAGCAAUAUCCGAAUGGAAACGAGGCUAGUCUGAAAACUUUCUAUAAUAUUCAUUUAUCGUCAACUUCCUUGAUUCACAUUUGCAAAAUCUUGCUUACUACCAACGAUAAAUGCCGGAGGGAUAAACUUUUCCUUAAAUAAGUCCUUAAACAAUUUUAAAUCGGCUACUUCCUCUGAUGACAACAAUCAAUACUCCUGCUUCCAUCAGGAUACACGUUCAUAACUCAAACCAGGUAGUCGUCUCGACCCACCUGUCAGAAGGAAAUUUCCUUUGACUUGCAUAAUCUGAAACAUCUUUUCCAAUUGGUUAAUCCGUUACUUCGCUCCCUCAGGUUCAUCAUUCCAUAAGGUGAUUCAAAUUCGACUCAUAACCUGUCUUAAAAUGUCCCUUUUUAUAAUAGACUGAAUCACCAUAAUAAUAGUUUCCCCUAAACCGCUAUAUUAGGGAGACUAAAUUCCUCUAACUAAGUGGCUUGCUACGAGGCGGUGUAGUUCUGACAGAAUUCACUAGAACUUCUCAAAAUGUCCAAGAUUGCAACCAUGCUCUGAUACCAACUGACACACCCCGUCCCGAAGGAGGGCAUGCUGGCCGUCACGUGAGAGUGACGUAACCAUUUGCACAGUACGGAAGCUUUAAGAUACAAUUUAUAAGUUGAUACACCCGAAGGUGAGUCCUAAUUUUGUCCAAUCUGUCAGAACACCGUCAAAUUCCUCGUAGUCACCACACCUUUGUGAUUCCUGAACCUGGAGGGGCGCAAAACCAAAAUUGAGUGGGUCAGUAAAACAAUUCUUUUCCAAAUCCAAACAUUUCUCAAAACGUUGUAACAAUAAAAACCAGUCCGGCGACCCAAGGAAGAAGAAGGUGCUACAGUAAAAAAAAUAAAAUAAAAUAAAAUUAUUUUAAAAAUAUGUCGACGUCCGCGACGUCGAGUAGAUCACCGUGGUAUAUUCAUAUACCCAAAUUGAGCACCGUAUGAGAAAGUUAUUAAGGAUUGUUGGUUAGGUGUUCGAAUAACGUUUUAUAGUUUUCACAUUUAGGUGAAAAUGUGAAUUGACGAUCCGACCGUUAGAUCGUCACUAAACUUUGAUACGUAGUAAUACGUAAUAUUUGAGGAUUAUUGGAACUUUCGGAUUGGGAAUCCGAUUUACGGAUCUUCCGGAAUUGGAGUUGUAAGUCCAUAAAAUAAAAUGUUAACCGUCACUUAGUUUUGGAAAUUGACGGAGAUCCGACCGUUGGAUGGUAAUGAAAUUUUAGGAUGUUAUCCUAGAGAUAUAUUGUGGACCUCUGGAAGUUAUGGAUUUAAAAUCUGAGUGGUGGAUCUUCCGGAUCGAACUACGCAGUGACGUAUUUUAUAUAAGUUAUAUAUUUCUAUCGAUAUGAAUUCUAAGGUUGGAAUUGAUUAUUGUUUUAGGCGCCGAUCGUCAUGACGCCUUGGCGUAUUGUGCUAGGGAGUUGUAGGGCGAACUCCAGGUGAGUGGGCAGUUUUGUUUUCCGUAUAUAUAUAUACUUGCCGUUUUCCCAGAAAUUGAAAAAGCAUGAAAUUAUGCUUUAAAUAGAAAUAUAUGUGAAAAGUAUAUAGAACUAUAUGAAAAACGUGAAUUGAAUUGCCAUGUAUGAAAUGAUAUGAAUUGAUAUAUGAUGCAUAUAUAUGAAUUGGUGCGGCGGACGCACAGGUGAGUAUCAGGUGAGUAUUUAAUUACUAUUAUGAUGAUGUUGAUGUAUAUUGAGCUCAAAUCCUGCACCAUGGUUUAGUGCUUAUAGUAUUCACCGCAUCGCACGCUCGCCUUGGAUCCAAGUAGAUGCUGGUCGCACAGUCCACGCGGAGUGGGUGCGACGGGCCAGUCGAAGAGUGUUAGUGAGAUUUCGACUGGUGGGUGACCUUAGAUUAUGUGCACAGAUGAUUGAUGAGAAAGCACUAGAGCGUAACUUGUGUGCAGAAGGCCGGACAGGUCACAGAGGUGACUCCGGUACUAUUUUGACCAUUCUAUUUAACUUGUGUUUCAUUUAUUUUAACCAUUCUAUUUAAAGUUUAUCCCAAGUAAUCUAAUUAAGACUAGAGUCGAAAGUGAUGCAUUUAGUAAUUGCUUACACUUGUGAAUAUGAGUUGAUUGAGGUGGUGGUGGUUUCUUGUAUUAAUAAUUCUAUUUAAACUCAUACCCUCCCACACCAUCAGAUCCAAGUACUAUUUUGAUAAACUUUAAAUAGAAUGGUUAAAAUAAAUGAAACACUUUUAGAAAAUAAGUGAAGAUGUUGUUUACAAAUAUAGAUGCAUUUGUAUAUAAAAGCUUUGGCGGUUGAUCCGUAUACACUUCCAGAGAUAUAAGCAAGUUCAUUGGAUUAUACAUACAUAGUUAAUGUAUUACAGUAUAAUUAAUAAGAAAACAAUUGCAUCCCUUUCAGAUUAUAUAUAUAUAUAUAUAUAUAGACACACACACGCACACAUACAUACACACAGGCCCUUUAUGCAAAGGAAUUUUCAAUUUUUUUUUUAAAUGGGGAUUAGUUGUGGGGCCCACGCUGCAUUGAACUUUAACGAUCCGAACAGUCUAUUUUGUAAUUCUCGAUUCAUAGAUCAUCCUUGUAAAAAUUCAAUUCAAUCCGAACCUAUUUGCCUAUUUAAUUAUCAAGAUAAAAUUUUAUUGUUUCUUAUAUAACAAAGUAUUCGUUAAUUUCUUUGAACUCAAUUAGAUAUCUUAAACAUUUCCGAUUUGGUUAAUAUUGUGUAAGGAUGAUCUAUGUGGUGCAACUUGAAAAAUAGACGAUUACGAUCGUUAAAGUUCGAUGUGGUGAGAACCCUACAAUUAAUCUUCAUUUUUAUAAAAGAAUGGGAACCCCUUCCCUUAAAGGUUUCCUAUGUAUAUAUUUGUUCUCCAGACAUAUGCAAAAGGUAAUGUAAAACCAAUGAGAACUUAAAUAGAUAUUCCAUACAUAGGACAAUUCCAUAUAUGCUUUUUCAACAUUGAUAUCGAAAAGCCAAAUUGUUUUGAGGAAAUUAAUUGUAGCAAUGAUCCCUUAACUUUUAUCUUAUUGGAGCAAUGGUCUCUCAACUAAAAAUUCAUGACCAUUGGUUCCUUAACUCCACACAACGUGUAGUUAUGGUCAUUUUCAUUAACCCCGUCAGAACUUUUGUUAAAACAAGUAAUGUUAGAAGAAUCAUUGCUACAAUUAGGUUAAAGUUGGGGACCAUUGCUCUAAUUAAAUUAAAAUUGAGGGAUCAUUUCUCCAAAUUGCUUAAAGUUCAAUGACCAUUUCUACAAUUUUCUCAUCUAGUUUCCCAUAUUUACCCCAUGAUUCAGCUUCACAUGCAUUGCACAUGACUCAUUUUGACAAAAAUUUUAACGAAAUUGACGAAAAUGACCAUAAAUACACGUUUUGAAUAGUUAAGAGACCAAUGGUCGUGGAUUUUAGUUGAGGGAUCAUUGCUCCAAUUUGGUUAAAGUUGAGGGACCAUUGCUACUUUUUUCUCAAAUGUUUCGUAUGCGAAAAUAGGCAUUUGUAAAGUUUGGCUUGUUCAUGGCAUUAUUACUUUAGUCUAAAGUAAGGCUGGAAAUGGCACUGUAGAAAUGAAUAGUGUUCCAAUCUGAAUUUCAGUUUAAUUACAACAAUGCCAUUGCUCUUUGUGUUGCCUUUAGGUGAGCAGCCCAGCUUGCAGCCAGGCCCAAAUGUAUUGGUUUUAGCUGAGAAGCUCGGCCCUUGGUCAUGCCCAAAAUUUUAAAUUACAGUUUUGCCCAUACAAAAUAACAAUCCGAUUGUAUCGGGAAGGACAAUUUUGUCCUUUCAGUUUUGGGUGAGAUAGGGGGUAACAGGGUAAGUUUCAUUUGCUGUCGUUGAAUGAGGGUUUCGGGGAUGAGGGCUCUGUGUGUGUGUGGGUGAGAGAGAGAGAGAGAGAGAUGGCGAUGGAAGGAGAGUGAGGGGGAAGGGAAGGGUUCUCGGCACUAUUGUUGCAUGUGGAUUUCACAAGUGGGAGAGUGGGUAUGGUCAGAGAAGACCAUAUAGGUCGUUGGGAUUUCAGGGAAACGGGGUAGGGGUCAUGAAUGAACCCUGCUGAGAGUGGGUACCGGAUCUUGCGCUGCAUGCCUCAAAUCAAAGAUAAGUUCGUUUUUUUUAUUGUAUUUUUAUGGUAGCUUAGCUUUUGGAAUUGUUUAGUAUGUUAGGUCCGAUUUUGGGGGAUUUAUCUUUUUAGAGAGAGAGAUAGACAGGGAGAUAGAGAGAGAGGGAGAGGGAGAGAGAGAGAGAGAGAGAGGAGGAAGCAUGACUGUGUGCAAUUUUUGGUGUUAAUUAAUGGGUUGGUGCGCAGGGUGAGUGACAGAGUGACAGAGUGAAGGAGGGACGUGUGGGAGGGUAUGAGUUUUCAGUUCUUUCUUUUGAUUCAACAGGUUAUACACUGUUUGAAAAACUUUUUUUUUAUUAUUUUGUUCUCGUUUGCUUUGUUCAAACCAUCAUUUGAAUUUUUGGGUUUCACUGUGCUCAUUUCUCUGCUUCUUCAUAAUUUGCUGGUGUUUGCUUCUCAUCCCUCUGUUGGUAGAUCUUUUUCUCAUUUCUUGGUUCCUUAUGUAUUCUUUUGUACAAAUCUGUUUACUUUUUUGCUGUGUGAUAAUCUUAGCAGGUGAACUAUAUGAACGUUUUUUUUGAAACGAGUUAAGAAGAUCCAGCUGAAAAUAGCAUACAAGAUAGAGAACUGGUAUGCUGCUCGCCAGGGAAAGGCUGCUGGAGAGGCCGAGACAGAUGCCUCCUUCAGAAACCAGGUCAGUUUCCUGCUGCUCGGCGUCUUAAUGUAUCCAAAUUGUUUAUCUUUUGAUGAAAUUAGCUGGCUUUAUUUUCUAUUUUAUUUAUCUGCAUAUUAUUUUGGUUUGUUGAAAUUUUGACUAUAGUCAUUGUCACAUGGGCGCCCAGCCCAACCCAAAUUAGUUGAGGAUAUUUAAAUCUUCACCAUGGUAUUAUAGUACUCACUCACAGUUGUGAAUACUAAGGUGCAGGCAUGGCAUGAAGAAGUGGACCGUGCACGCCAAUGUCAGAGGGAUGCAGAGGGCAAGCUUUUUUCUUUGGAGGUAAGUAUCCUUUGUUUAUUGCCCAACAGUGUUGUUAUUAUCAAUUUGUAGCUUUGCGUUCUGAAUUUUUUGCUUUGUCAAACAACCUUCUUGAAAUGCUCGAUUUCAAGCCGAAGUCCAAAAAAUGAGAGUUGAGAUGGCUUCCAUGAAAAGGGAUGUAGAGCAUUACUCGCGCCAAGUGAAAUCUGCUUCCUCUCUUUUCGUAUAUCUUCAUAUGAAGAGUUUUACUAAGUUAUAUUGAGAACUAUGUUAUUUAUAGGUUAUAUUUUCCAUUUUGCAGGAACACAUGGAGCUAAGGAAGAGCUAUCGUGAACUCACUGAUCUACUGGUAAUGUCACUCAAACUGCUUUAUUUGUGCAUGCUGCUACUAUGCGCUUGAAUGCAUUUUAUUACUGGCGGGAUGCAAGAAAGCUAGAUAUAUGUGCUGGAUCGCUUGAUUAGUGUUAGGGUUUUAACAACUAAUUGUUAGCAGCUAGAAGCUCUGGUUAGAUGAAUGCUAAUUUGAUUUUCCUUACAGUACUUGAGUGCCAGUUUCAUAUUGUUUGUUCCCUGCUGGAUACCUGUUGUACAGUUUCAUUUCUGUUUCUUUAUAACUUUCUUGGCCCUGGGAUAUAUGCAUAUUGAGUACAAUGAAUAUCCAUUGUUCUCUAACUGUUGGGCUUUACUAUCUUUGUAGCAGCCUGCCUAACAUUUUUUAGGCUCUACACUCUACCAUCCAAUUUAUGAAAAAUUCAAAGAUUGAACGGUAUUGAUUGCAGAAAUGAAAAAAAUACUAUGAUAUUAGAAAGGUGAAUGUAAUUGUGUUAGAAGAAGCGUCUAGCAUGAUGGGUAAUAUUUUAAGUUUGUAUUUCUAAAAUUUUUUCGUUCUGGAGUAUGAUUUACCUCAAUUGUUUUGUACUUUAAUCUUUACUAAUUUUCAUUGUGGAGUAUGAUUUGCCUCAACUAACAACUUUUCAUUGUUUAACUUUUUCCUCCCUUAGAUAGUUGCAUAUGUUUGAUUUGUUAAUCUGCUUCUUACACAUGUUGUUUCCUAAUGGUGUAGGUGGGUUGCCGGAUGCAUGUGCAGAUUACUUGAAUAGACGAAGCUAAGAAUGACUUAGUAUUAAGUGAGAAAGAAGCUUGGGUCAGUUGGAUUUUGAUAUUUGAUUUAUUCAUGUUUUUUGUUGCUUGCAAUGUUCUCGCAUUGUUGUUCUGAGAUUCUGUGAUCUUAUUUUUCAUAGGAACUGACAUUGGUUUGCCAUAUAAUGUUUCAUGAACUAAUACAACAACUAAUCACCUUGCUUAGCUCUCAAGACACAUACUUAAUAGGUUAACAAACACUAACCUAUAAACUGAUCUGCUAAGCUGGACCAUUAACCUCUGUUUAUAUCCCUGCCACUCAUCUUUUGGCACUUAUCAAUAGCAAAAUUUAGAGUUACUGAAACCCCAAUUUUAAUGAAUAUUAUUUUUAGUUGAUAAUUAAAAUUAAUUGAUGAUUAAUCUAUUCCAUUGUGCAUUAUUUUAUCGCCAAAUACUUUGAAUAUUCAUUAGCAAAAGAUAUAGGGUUCACUAUUUAAUGAAUAGAAUUUUGAUGGUGGAUUGCAUUUCCUGAGUUAUAAAUGUGGUGAAUCCAUUAUUUACUAGCUGAAUAAUCAUAAUGUUUUGGCCACUUACCUUGAAUUUUGUUCAAAUUGAAGAAGUCACAUGUUUCUUUCUGUUGUUGAGGUAAUCUCUCUGUUGAAAGCUUCUAUUUCUUUUUUCUUUUUCUCUUUUUCAUUUGGGUAGAUUUUUUUUUUAUGGAUUUAUGUAUUUUUUUUCAGAGAAUUCGAAAUGAAAUAAGAAUAGCGGAUUGAGCAUAAACAAAUUGAUGAAAUUUUUAUUUGAGUGUUUGUGUUGGUCCUUUUUUGAUUUGUUGAGGUUUGGAAUUAUUUGAGUUUUUUUUGCUGUUAGUACUGUGAAGGAUGCUUGGCAAUCGCGAAAUGGGGGCUACCUCUUUGGAAAGAGAAGUCUCGCUAUCCAACCUCUCAUGAAUUACAAACAGGGUGCUUUCUUGCUGAAAAACCACUAAACCAGUAGAACUUUCCUCGGUUCUUCAAUUCGAUUCGAAUAAUUUUUUUACCCAGAAAGCCAGCGUUUCCUGGUGGGUUUUACAGCUUUCUCAAUGUUUUUGUGAUUUUGGAUUUGCAAAUUUGUUUUCUGUUCAAAUUUCCUUUUGUGAUUUUGGAGGUUUUGUUUAUCGAUUCUCUCACUCAUCUCUCAGCUCUCUCUCACUUUUGAGGUACAUGCCGUUGGAUUCCAUUUGCUGCUGCUGAUCUGCAGGUAAAGCUUCAAUUACCAUAUAAAGUUUACAUUUUUCAUGAUUUCUUGAAUUUGGGUUUUAAACAAAGGAAAUAUUGCUAGAUUCUUAUCUUAUGUGCAAAUUACUGGCUAUUUGGAUUGAUGCUUGAGAUUUAGAGAAUGCCUCGAAGCUUUAAUUUCUUUUUCCUUCAUUAUUACUGUUUUCAAAAUUUUUAUUGCUGGGUAUUGAUAAUUUGUAGUAUGUGAGGGCUUCAAUAUGUUGGAAUUUUGAAUGGUUAUUGCUUCAUCGGAAUUUGGGUGGUCCAAAUUUUGAAUUAGAAGAAACCCAUUUGAUUAAUAUUUUUGGUGGAUUGGUUCUCUGUGUUUUCCUUGCUAUUUCUCCCCCAGUUGGAAAUUGGAAGCCCCAACUUUGAGCUCAGAGCUUGAAUUUCUCAAUCGUUCGUUUCUCUGCACUCUCAUCAGUCACUCUUGAUCCUCUAUCUAAAGAACUGGGUAAUUUUCCAGCUCUAUCAAGUAAUACUCCAUUUAAUUGCUUAAUUGAGGUUUUUUGUUUCUCUUUUUCGCUCUUUCAUCAGUUCAUUGGCUUUGAUGUUGAGCUUAAGUAAAUGGGAGAUCAUUAAUUGGCAUUGUUCAAGAUAUAAUUCUGUGUUUUUGGAUUUGUGAAACGAUUUGCCUAAUGAUGAUAGUGGUUAAAAUAAAUUUUUCGUUAUGAAAGAGAACAUUGUUCUUCAUUUGCCUAUGGUUUUAAGUACAAAGUUAAACUACUAUGCUUUUGUUCAAUUGACUGCAACUCAUGCCGCAGUUUGCUUCACAAACCUCUACGGUUAGCUUCCAUAUAGUAUGUUGCAAGUUUGAGGAUAUCUUUACAUCUUAAUUUUUGCUCUCUCUGGUUGCUUCAAGUUUGUAAUUUUACGUGUUACAUUGCUACUUGAUUUGAUUAUAAAAAUGCAAAACAAAAUCCGUUUUGCUUUUAUUCAACUUAAAUGUAUCCUUUUGUUUGUUCAUAAUUGUGUUGAAUUUAUUCAACUUAAAUGUGUUUUAUUCAUCUGUUUACGCUUAAAACAACUGGUUUCCCUAGCAAUGCGCGGGCCUAAUUUCUAGUACAUAUACUAAAAGCCAGCAGAAAAUUACUGUUCAUCAUGGGAGAUAGAGCACUGUUCAUUAACCGUGAAAGGGCGAAAAUGCCCUCGGAUUCUUCUUUACUUCACGUACUGUUUACGAAUUGCUACAGUAUAAAGUCCGUUUUGUCCUUCCUGUCCACGCAUCUUUCAUCGUCCGUUUCUCUUGCUUCGACCACAUCUUUUUUGCUUUACCUUUCCUCUUCGUUUUUCGCAUUCGUUAGGCUACGAUUUUCGGAGGUGGAUUGUUUGCCCUCCCAUUUCCAUGGUCUCCCCAUGCCCUCCCAUUUCCAUGAUCUCCCCACGUCAAUAUUUUAUAAAAAUAAUAAAUAAAAGGUAAUAAGAAUAUAAAAUGUUGACGUGUCUUAACGUGACCACAUAGGCAUUGGGAGAGCAUGGAAAUGGGAGGGCACACAAUCCACCUCCGACUUUCUCCCUUUUCGCCAGCCCCUCUUUUGCUCUCAAAUCCUUGCUCUUUCUUUUGCAAAAUAGUCUCAGAAGAGAUCCUGGGUUUAUCGAAUCCUUUGUUGUUGGGCGUUUUGUUCUCAUCUUGCGAUCGUCGGGGCAGCAGCUUUAAGGUAAGUUUGUUUUUAAUGAUUUAUCCUCAUUUUACGAUGUCUGGGCUAACAAAUUUAAGAUCUUUAUUUUUCUUUUUGCUGCGGAUCUGCAGGUUUUGACAAGUUUUUUGUGAAAUUGGUGCUGUCAGUGGGUGUUAACAUCAGGUACCCAUGUUCAGUUUUUCGUUUUGAUUUGAAGGAAUUUCUUGCGCAGAAGAGCUAGGGUUUCUUGGUGAGUUCUUCGGGUUUUUCAUAUGGGUAAUUUUCUUUUCGGUUUAACCCUCUGCUUCUGCUGCUCUCUCUCUUUCUCUCAUCCCUGCCUGCUCCUCUCCAAUUGUUUGCUGUUCUUAAAUAUUGUGUUCAUUGCCUGAUACAACGAGGCAAUGGCGUGACAACAGGUGAGCUUGGAUAUCCAAAGAAAAAGAACAGUUGGUUCAUCUGCUGGAGUCUGAAGCUCAGAGAAGUGGAGGAAAAUUGCAGGUGUGCGAGAAAUUUUAUUUUGCUGAUAGGACUCCUUAUUUACGGAUGCAUUUUGAAAUAAUUGAAAAGUUGGAUUUGAGUUAACAGCUAUAAAAAUGUAGACAUGAUUGCUGAGAUUAUGCUAUGAAAGUGGAAUAAAAAAAUGGUAGUUUAUAAUAUUGCGUACCAAUUGUUUUCUCUCUUUUUUACCAAAUGAUAAGGGUGGUGGCUCAGGCCGCCCCCCUAAGCGUCCCCACUCUUCGACAAGUUGAAAUCGUGGUGAUAGUUUAUGGGCUGUGGUCUUGGGAUUCUGCAAAUAGAAUGAAAAACAGACACUUAACUAUCUUGUUAUUAAGCAUUUCUGCAUCAUUCAGUUGCUCUUGAUUUUCGUCUUUUAAGCGAUCUUAUUUCUGCGAUCUGACUUGAGGAGGGUUUUUAGACCUAUGGUUGUGGGUGUUUUCUCUGACCCCAUUAUCCGAGAUUUGUAGACUUGCGAUCGGCGGUCAAACAUUUUGUGAUUCUUGUUUUCUCUGCCUUUCGGUCGUUAAGCGCCGGCAGUCUUUAGAUCUUUGGCAAAUCAAUUUAAUACAACCGAGGUAUGUUUUAUAACUGCUGUCUUUCAAUUUUUGUUCUGUAUUUUUGUUAAUUUGGAUGAAGCUCUAAUAAUUUUGUUUUGGAUCAGUUGUGGUCCUCUGUUAGGAUUUUCCUGGCUAAGAGGGUAUUUGCGUUUUUGUUGCUUGGUUGGUCGAUCACAGAUUUACGAACAGCUGUGGUGGUCCUGUUAUUUUUUUGGUAUGUUUUUUCUCCUUUUUGGUUUUUUCCCGGUUUGAGCACCCAUUCAUGAAGAAUUAAAAUGUGUUUAUAGUUUUUCAGGAGAGAUUAGAAAAGUGAUUUCAAUUUGGGAAAAUUUAAUGUUGGUUAAAAUUUGUUUAUAAUUUUUGGGAAGGAAUGAGAGGACCCAUUGAAGUAUGUGUUGUGAUUAUUUUUUAUUCAUAUUUUUAACAAAUUGGGCAUGAAUUGGUAGGUUAACUGUGUGUGUUUAUUAUUUGAAUCGGCCAUGUUUGUCUUUCUAUGGUUCUAAAAAAUUUGUAAAGGCUGUUAACUUGGAAGAAAAUGGGAUCGAGGGUGAGGGGAAAACGGCAGAGAAAGCAUGGAAGAGAGAUUUGGGAUUAGGGGUAGGAAAACAGAUGAAAAGAAUAUGAUAGAGGAAUGGGUUCAGUUCAUUUUCACUAUUUUUUUUAACUGAUUUGGAUUUUGUUUGGGUUUGAGGCCAUCAUUGGCGUUAAGACGUUUAUUAUCAGAUCGUGUGUUUUUUGCUAACUUUUAUUGGUAAUUUUAAUGUUGUUCUUAUGAUUUUGUGUGGUAGGGUUUCUGAAUUUUAUCGUUAUUCAUUUGGUUUUGUGUGUGUGUUGGUUUGUUUAUUUUGCAGGUUGUGUUUGUGCUGGGACAACAUUUUCCACCUUCUGUUUGCACUGGGAUGAUUGCGUUUUAAAACUGUUGGGGUGAGAUUUACAUAUGGAAUCAUUCCAUUUUUUUUCUUCCAAAUAUGUGCAUUUAGUUCUCUUUUAUUUUAAAUUUUAAAAAUUAAAUCGUUAUUUGAGUAAAAUGUUUUAUCAGUUUAUGUUAUGUGUUGUGACCAGGAAUUCUGUUGGAUUUGCGAAUUUUGGUUUGAUGAGAGAAAUGAGGAGUUUUUUUUGUUUGAAUUUUUUAUUGGACCGAUUUUCAAUUGGAUUGCAUUCUGCCUUUUUGCACCAUUCUUAUGCAAGCAAUUCAUUGUUUUAAAUACAAUUUGAAGAGAGCUGGGUUGCGGGUUGGAUAUAAAAUGUUAAGGUGAGAUAAAAUCGAGAUACCAAGGGUGGAAGAAUGAUUCAGAAUUGGGGGAGGAAAACAGAGGGAAGAUAGAAGAAUAUAAGAGAAGGAUAGGGUUGACCUCAUUUAGAGUUUUUAUUUACUUAUUUUUUUUUAUAAAUUGAUUCAGGACUUGCAUAUCAUUUCUAAAUUUCUAACAUUUUUGUUUAAUUUGACUCCAGUUGAUGGAAAACAGAGCUCUUACUCCUAUCAAUCAGAUGGUCCCGUACAUAAAUGCAGAAAAAUCAAGGUUCGAGUUUGCAGAGUAUGCAGACCAAGGUUUCCCGAAACUACUGGUGCAUAUUCAGGCUUGCAUUGUAUAUUACUUACCUAUUAAAAAUUUGUUUGGAAUUUGCUUUUCCCACAGAGGAGAAGAGCUGACAGUUACGCUGUGGGCAGAUGUUGCUCGAAGUAUUGCUUCUUUAUCCAUUGAAUCAUUGUCUCUGCCGAUCAUUGUGGUUUUCACAAGUUUAAAGGUCAAGCUGUACCUAGGUAUUUGACUUAGUUAAAAACUAAUCUAUUUACUAUUAAUUUUUCUAUUAUAUUCAAACGUUAUUUAAUAUAUACUCUACUAAUAUUUUCUUAACAUGUCACACAAACAUAUUCACUUCUUUUGAUCAAUUUUUUUACAGCAUUUCAUAUAAAAGCUAACAUUUAGUUGAAAUUGAUUAGCAACUCUUUUCUUGCAUGUAUACAUACGAAUUAAACAAUAGUAUUAAACUAUUUGUUAUCAUUCUCAGUAUUUGUUUUAGAAUUAGAUUAAUAUAUUUAACCUGUUUUAGAAUUAGAAUUAUUUGGUAUCACUCUCAGUAUUUGUUUUAGAAUUAGAAUUAGAUUAAUAUACUGAGAUUAUUUAGACAAAUCUAGCAUUUUCUCAAAAUAUUUGACUUUUAAACUUAGAUUAAUAUAUUUAGCAGUUUUUUAACAUGCAAUUUUUCAUUAAUUUUUCAACACACAGACAAGAUAGUCUUGAACACCAUUGGUUCAUCACUUUUCUUCAUUGAUCUAGAUAUUCUGGAAGUAAAUUCAUACAAAUCAGUGUAAGUGUGUUUACUUUGUUUAAAAAAAUAUUAUAUGCUCUCACAAUAAAAGAAGGGCUAUUCUCACAAAAUUUAUGAACUAAUGUUCUGUUUUAACCUCUACAGCUUUUCCAAAUGCACAGAACCUCUAAAAAUACUGCCACCUUUUACAAAACAGGCCCGUGAAGCUCAAAUCUUGCAGACAGCGAAGGUCACAAUUGCAGACGCUGAAAUUUUCAUGCCAAAAUAUGAUGUGGAGGAUGAGAAAUUGUUUGCUGUUGUUCUCUUUUCAGUUUUGCAGGCGAUGAUCUUUUACCAAAUGUCGAGGAGCUUCCAUGGGACAUGCUCUAUGCUCUCGCUUCCCAGUUGCCUCUGUUGGGGUUGGAAAAGCUACAGAUCACAAUGUAAGUCAAAAACAGUAAAGUUCCCAAGAUGUUCUGUGCUGGAGCAGAUUUAAAGGUACGAAUUUUUAAUUUUUUUGUGAAGUCGAUGUUUUGUUUUAAAAGGAGUUUAUAAUGGAUUGAUUGGACAAGUACAGCGUGUUUUGCAGAUAAAGGGCCCUAGCCAAUUUUCUAUGACCUAUAAAGCAUUAACCAAAUUGGGUUUUGUUUGUUUGGUAACAGGGGUUGUUCAGGUUAGGUUGGAGAGGUUGGAGGUGAGAAAUGCAAUUGGGAAAGAUACGCUGAGAGUUUUACAGAACACCUUUGAAGCUGUCAGUGAGGAUUCUUCUGCUAAUGUUUUGUUGAUCAGCAGUAAAGUUCCCAAGAUGUACUGUGCUGUAGCAGAUUUAAAGGUAGGAAUUUUUAAUUUUUUCGUGAAAUCAAUGUUUUGUUUUAAAAGGAGUUUAUAAUGGAUUGCAUGGACAAGUACAGAGUGUUUGUUUGUUUGGUUGAAUGUAAAAAGGAAUUGGAAGAAUGAUGAAAGUACUUGCAUUUGGUUGUAGUUGGUCAGGCACUGAAGGACCGGUCAAUACGAAGUGCAUCUGUGGGACAAUAGUUGAAAGAAGGCCAGAGCAGGAAGAGAAGGCAAGGUUUGUGAAGAAAAACAGUGAUGUGUUUAAUUAGAAGAAAUGUGCAUUUUUUUUUCCCAGUCAAAUUCUGCUUUUGUUCUGACUAUUUUCCUUACUGUAUGCUGAUUUUAUUAUUUAAUUUUUGGUUUUUCCUUGAUUGGCUUGGGAAUUACAAUCAAAUGAUGAAUCUUCAGUUUACUUGGGUAAGCAUUUUUUAACAUAUAAUUUAGCUGACCAUUUUAACUGUCAGACCAUGUUGUUUUUGGUUAUCUAAUCAUUCCAAGAUGGCAAGUUAGGAUUGGAAGGGUUGCUAGAAAUAAGGAUUAUAUCUUGGGACAUUCGGUGAGUGAUUUUUCAAACUUUCAGUUUUACAAGACAAAAUAUCUAUUUUUGUGUGUAUUCUUCAAGCAUGUUAUCAUUAUUUAGGUUGUAGGAAAAAAAGAGAGUGACUUGAGGUGUUUUUAGAUAUUUUUGUGUGUAUUCUUCACAAUGUAUUAAAAGCGCGAGGCGUGGGCGAGGCGUCUGAGGGAUAGCCCACGCCUCACGCCUUACGGGACCUAAAUUUUUUAAUAUAUACACUGAGCGUACACAUAUAUUAUAUUAAAAAAAAAUUAUUAAUCAAUAAUUACCCUGAGCGCACAUAUAUAUUAUAAAUACAUAUAUACACAUAUAUAUACAUAUAUUAUGUUAUAUAUAUAUAAAAUAGAGGAUGAAAAGCACAAUGAGCACACAUAUAACAAUGCAUGCAGACGGCACACAAUAUAGUGCAAGGAAUAGGUAUGAGGUAGUUAAAACCCUACCCAAAAUCUGGGUUUGGGAGUAAAAAUAAAAAAUAAAAAAAAAAUUGCUUGAGGCGCGUCUAGGCGGCUCCGACAACGCCUUCCGGCGCCUUCCGCCCACUCCCUCAAAACAAAGGCGGCAACCCUCAAGUCCAGCCUCACAGGGUGCCUAGGCGCACCCUGAGGUGAGCCUUUUAAAACAUUGAUUCUUCAAGCAUGCUAUCAUAAUAUUUGUAACUAUAAAAAAUAAUAUACUAUUAUACCUCUGUUUCUCUUUUCUUUGUUUUCAUGAGAAAUUAAUUGCCAUUGGCAGCACUAUAGAAAGCCAUCUUUCUCCAUUAUUCUCCGCUUCAUGCAUAAUUACAUAAUUCUACUAUCACAGUUGUCAGUCCUGAACAAUCAUGCAAGUCUAGUGGCAAAAACCACCUCAAUGAACAACUCUCACACACACACAGACACUGAUCAUACAUCUCUAACUCUCUUUUUCAAAUAACACACACUCUGAUCCAAAACAGGGUAAAUAAAAUGCACAUCCUUAUACAUUUCUAACUUUGUUUUUCGAAAUCCAAAAUAGGGUAUUCUAACUCUCUUUUUCAUUCAUUUCUUACAAACCAAUCAUACAUUUAAAAUAGGCUUUGAAUAAAAAUAGGGUAUAUAAUUAUAUACCUCAAAAUGCCUAGGAACCAACUUCCCCCUCCAACGAUUCAAAUUCUUGAAAUUGCCAACACAGUAAAUCCAUUAGUACUAUAUAAAUGAAAACACAAUUGAAACCCAUCAAACAAAACAAUCCCACAAUUUAAAUGAUUCAAUCCUACUACAAUUGAAAUUCACAGAAAGAAUGAAAAACCAGAACAAAACUGCAGCACCUAAAAAGUUGUCAUACAAAAAAACAUGGAAUGUAAAAAUAUGUUAAGAAAUCUAGUUCGUUAAUUUCCAGCUGCUAAGUGGCAUUAUGUAACUUUAGUAGUAUACUAAUUAACUACUUAUCUGGUGGGUUGCACUUUUAUCCAAUUGGUAAGGAAAGGAAAAUAAAAAUCAACCCCUUGGUCUUAGUUGUGGCUGCAAAGUGCAGGCCACCACCAAGUCUCAGUGUUUGUGUUUUAGCAAAACACUUAAAUAAAUUAAAUUCUGAAAUGUAAAUUAUAUUCCUAUAACUUUAAGAUGCACAUAUAGUAUUGUUGAAGUCGAACUGAAAGCACUGACAAUUCCAAGCAACAGAGCAGCAAUUAUUAAGAGCCAAAACUCAUUCCUAGUCUCCUCAUCCUGGUACUCAACUCCGUAAUCUUUGGUCAGCAUCAUUGACUGAAAUUAGGAGAGAAAAAGAAAAGGAAUUUCAGAAAUUGUCUAUGAAGCAAAGGAUACUGCAGUUACUUCAAGACAUGUAAAUUGCAUAUGUAUAAAGUAAUUUUCUACAUAAAGUAAUGAGGCAUAACUUUCUCUCUCCUCUUCAAACCCUAAACAGAGCAAAGCAACAAACUUUACAGAGAUUAGAAUGAGAACUGGAACUAAUCGAACAAUGACUGAAAAGUAACAUACUUGAGGAGUGAAUGAUUUAGUGUUUCCAUCAUCGGAAGCCGGAGUAAGUCGCUAAGAGAGGUCGCAAACAGCCCAAAGGGACAAACCCAGAUCCCCGGCCCCGAUCCAUACCCUUCCCCCUCAAAUCCCGACGGCCCCCAUACUUUUCUCUGACUGUACCCCCUCUCCCACUCAUGAAAUCGAGGAUCUGUAGCAAUGGUACUGAGAUCCCCACUCCUCCCUCUCCCUUUCUCUCUGUCGCUCUGUCUCCCUCUCCCUCUGUCUGUCUAUCUUUAUCCCAGAGCGGCAUGGCCUCCCAUCCCUGAAACCCUCACCGAAAGGUGGCAAUUUUGUAAAUAACUUGAAAUCCACCAACAACAGGGGCAGAGAAUUGAAACAAACAUUUAGGCUCGUUCGAUAACCAUUUAGGCCAAAACUGAGCACACCUAAACCAUUCCUACCCGUGCCAAAUGUUAGUGGGGAAGCAAGAUGAAGACUUAUUUUUCAAAACCAAAAGAAAAAAAAAAGAGAAAACAAAAUAACAAAUCUAAUGGUUGUAGUGUAAAAGCUGAGAACGUAAAUAAGAGCAGUUCCAGCCUUGUAAAUAGGCCGGGGGACAGGGGAGAAGAAAAGGCCUGAGGGCCUGUCAAGUUGCUCCAGCUAUGAGGAGCCCGAGCUCGUGGAGAAGGCCCGAGCAGGGGGUCUGUCAAUUUGUGACAGCCUCGGAGCCCGAGCUCCAAGCCCAUUUUUUAUUUUUUUCUGUCAGGCGCGUGCACCCCACUCGCGCGUGGGGGCGCGUCGCCCGACAACUUUUCAGAAAAACAGACAACUUUUCAGCCUUUCACAGUUACCGUUGGGAAGCCACGUGGCUUCCCACGGUCUGUUCGAUCUCAACGGCUCCUUCAUUUGGACCGUUGGAUCUCAAUGGUAAAAAAAAUAAAAAAAAUCUGAUUUAAUAUCAACCGUUCGAUCCGAGAUCAACGGUCGAUAUUAAUAUGCUUUAUAAAUAAAGAAAAAAUAGUUUUAAAAUUAAGAAAAGUUACCGUUGUGACACGUGGCACAAUCUGGAGUGUUGGAAUUCAAAAUUUUUUAAAUCCAACGGCAGAAAUUAAUUAUUGGAAUUUUUUUUUAAAAAUGGAAAAAAUCCGAAAAAAUUGUAAAAAAUCUGAAAUUUUUUUUGUAAAAAUUUGUUUUUACUUUUCUAUAAAUACCACUUCUUCUCUAUCUACCUUACACCACAAUUUCAUAUUUUCUCAACUACUUUCAAUCAAAUUCCUAUCUUUCUCUUAAAGUUUCAAUCCAAUUUUUUUCCACAAAAUGGCUACUGAUGCAGGUUCGAAUUGGUCGCUUCUUGAAGAUGUUGCGUUGUGCACUAGCUGGGUUCAAGUUACUCAUAAUUCCGUUACGGGUAAUGAGAUGCAGUUGCGAGAAAUGUGGAGUUUAAUUCAUACCAAAUUUGUUGAGCAAAUGAGUGGGAAAAGAACCAAAGAAUCGAUAUCGAGUCGUUGGAAAAUACUUAGCCAUUCCUUUAGUACGUGGAGAGAUGCCUUGACACAAGCUAGUAAUAAUGUUCGAAGUGGGGCAAAUUAUGCGGAUGAGGUAAGAAUAUAUUAUAAUUAUUUGUUUGUAUUAUUAUUUUGUUACCUAAUUUGAUUAUAAUUAUUUGUUUGUUUCAUUUAUUUGUUACCUAAUUUCAUUAUUAUUAUUUGUUUGCAAUAUUUAUUUGUGACCUAAUUUCAUUAUUAUUAUUUGUUUGUAUUAUUUAUUUGUUACCCAAUAAUUUCAUUAUUAUUAUUUGUUUGUAUUAUUUAUUUGUUACCUAAUAAUUUCAUUAUUAUUAUUUGUUUGUAUUAUUUAUUUGUUACCCAAUAAUUUCAUAAUUAUUAUUUGUUUGUAUUAUUUAUUUGUUACCCAAUAAUUUCAUUAUUAUUAUUUGUUUGUAUUAUUUAUUUGGUACCUAAUAAUUUCAUUAUUAUUAUUUCUUUGUAUUAUUUAUUUGUUACCUAAUAAUUUCAUUAUUAUUCAUUUGUAGCAACUUCAAGCACAAGCAUGGUAUGCUGCCAAAAUCAAAUCAAGAAACAAAUCAUUCCACCGAUGGGAAUGUUGGAAUAUUGUUAAAGAUUGUCCUAAAUUCAAAGUUGUGCCUGUUGGUCCAGAAGUAUGCAUGAACAGCAUCCCUCUACACAGCACCUUUGUAUACAGCAACCCUCCACACUCUACACCUGAUGAUGGCACUCAGGUUGAUGAAGAAGAUGUAGAUUUAUUUAAUUUCGUAAUAUAUUUAUCCUAAUAAUAGAAUCUUUAUUCAUCAAAUUGUUCACGUAUAAUGAAAUAAUGAAACACACCAAAUAAAACUAAAAAACUCACCAAUUGGAAUUACAUAAACAUACCAAAUAAAAUUACACAAACAUACCAAAUAAUAAAAAACUCACUACAAAAAACACACCAAAUUAAAUUACAUAAACACACCAAAUACAAACAAAUAUAGUAAAUAAACUUAAGUAUCUUCAGCUUGUUUCAAUGCCCACUGGUGCUCUAUCAAGUCAAUUUGCCGAUCAUUGUGUAUAGAUGACCUUUGAAGUGCAGUAUAUUGUUGAAUAACCCUUUCAUUGUAACGUCCAUCCCUUUCUAAUGGCUCGUGUUGCACGGGUUCUUCGGUGGCAUCAUGCGCACAAUAUAUCCGUGUUCUUGAAUUGUUCAUCGUGUCUGGCUCUGGCUCAUAUUCAUCAACCGCAUCAUAAUCGAACUCAUCUUCCACAAUCAUGUUGUGAAGAAUGACGCACGUCAUCAUGAUGGAUCGAAGUGACUCUACAUCGAACAUUCUGGCAGCACCCCUGACAAUCGCCCAACGAGCUUGAAGGAUACCAAAACAACGCUCCACAUCCUUCCUGCAUCCCUCUUGACAGCUUGCAAAGUGUUUUUCCUUUGCACUUCUCGGACGUGGCACUGUUUUGACAAAUGUUUCCCACUGUGGGUAAAUGCCGUCAGCUAGGUAGUAUGCCCCGUCGUACCUACGUCCGUUGACGACAUACGUGACUUGUGAUGCCUUUCCUUGGAGGACGUCGUUGAACACUAGGGAUUGGGUAAGGACGUUGAGAUCAUUUUGAGCCCGGGAACCCCGAAAAAGGCGUGCCAUAUCCAUGUAUCAAAAGAUGCCACUGCCUCCAAAAUGAUAGAUUUUGCUCAUUUUCUGUCCCCAUAUGCGCCUUGCCAUGCACUUGGACAGUUUUUCCACGUCCAGUGCAUACAAUCGAUGCUUCCUAUCAUCCCAGGAAAACCUCGCAUCUCGCCCUUCUUCAGAAGCCUUUGCAAGUCCAUGUGAGUAGGUCUUCGGAGGUACUCUGCCGUGUACAAAGAUUCGACUGCUCCGCAAAACCUCAUCAGGGCCUCAAGAAUGGUUGAUUUCCCCAUCCUCGUUAUCUCAUCCACUUGGUCUGCAGAUGCUCCAUACGCAAGCAUCCGCAACGCAGCAGUGAUUUUUUGCUCUGGCAGAAGAUCCAUAACACCACAAGCAUCCUUCUUUUGCACGAAGUAAGAAUCAUGGUUGCAAACAUCAGUCAUGAUUCUGUUGAACAAAUGUCGUUCCAUUCUAAAACGGCGUCUGAAGUACGUAUCAGGAAAUGCACUGUUAUGGACGAAGUAAUCGUCCAACAGCUCUUCACCCCGUCGUUGCCUGCUUCUAUCAAGGUUUUUUGAACGGCUGGGCCUGCAUAUCUGAGCAACAGUCUGGAUGACUCGACGAGAAUGUGAGGCUCUGGCCAUUCUUGUUUCGUCAUCUCUCUUUCUACGCUCCUCAUCUUCUUCCAUCUCAUUUCUGCCUAUAUGAAGGUUGAACAUUCCUUCAGAUUGGUUAAACAAUUCUUUCUCUUGCUGAUUGAUUUCCCACAUCAUCCUUGAUGAAGAAGAAGACAUUGUAGGAUGGAUGGUGAAGAAGAAGCAAAAUCUAUGAAUAAUGAGAUUGAGAUGUUGAGAAAAUUGGUGUGAGAUUUGUGAGGAUGGAUGGUGGAUUAUAUGGACGAUUCAGAAAGGAUCGGAUUGUAGAUAAGGCCACGUGGCAUGCCGUCAUUCGUUAAAAAUCUGAUCGAAAUCUGUCCUGAAAGAUUCUGAAAAGAUAAUGACACGUGGCACGAUCGUAUUGGAUAAAAAUCUUAUCGAAAUCCAUCUCCAAUAAUUAUCAUUUUGGAUAAUGACACGUGGCGCAAUUUUGAACGAGUUAAAAUCUGAUUGAAAUCUGUCUUGAAAGAUUCUGAAAAGAUAAUGACACGUGGCACGAUCGUAUUGGAUAAAAAUCUUAUCAAAAUCCAUCUCCAAUAAUUAUCUUUUCGGAUAAUGACACGUGGCGCAAUUUUGAACGAGUUAAAAUCUGAUCAAAAUCUAUCGUCAAAGAUUCUCAAACGAUAACGACACGUGGCACGAUGACAUUUGAUAAAAAUCUUAUCGAAAUCCAUCGUUAAAUAAUUGUUUUUUUUUAUAAAAUGAUACGUGGCGCAACGAUAACGAUUUAAAAAAUCUUAUCCGAAAUUACAAAUAAUUUUAUUUUGUAUUAUUUAAACAAACAAAAAAAACUAAUAUUUUAUUGCCUAUUGCCAGGGGGAGGGCUCCAAGGGUGGAGAUGCAAAUGGCAAUUACUGUUCAUUAAUGUCAGUUACUAUUCAUUCAAGGCAGUUACUGUUCAAUAGGGUGGAUUCAAUAGUGGAUUGCCAGGGGGAAGGUCUUCAUGGGUGGAGUUGCUCUAAACAUGCAGGGAAAAAAAUGAAGAUACAAAGUAGCUGCAUCAUGAAACACAUACUCCAAUUAGACGCAAAAAGUGAUGGUGAUGAGAAGAGAGAAAAUGUUGUCGUUUUGAUUUUUCUGGCUUUUAAAGGGAGCAGCUUUCUUCGACCACCAAAAAAAGGAAGUUGCUUUUCGUGUGGUUGUGAUUUCCUGAGUGUAUGUGAGCGGGUCUAUGGCACUUGCACUGUUUGUGUCGGUUAUGGUAACCGGGCGAGCUGGACACAGUAGCGUGGGACUGAAUUCGGAGAGGUGAGAAAAAUUAAAAACACAAAAAGAAGGUGUUCAUUUUGUCACAUUUUUAUUACUAAAAAUUCAAUAAAGUACAUUCAUUAGUAUGGUAACUUAACUAUUUAAUUCCAUCUCAUUAAACUAAAAAAAACAAUUACAAAAAAAUAAGGAAAACCUUGUCCAGAGAGACCUGAGAGAAAGUGACGACUUCUCCUCUCAUUCCACUCCAUACUUGAUCUCUAAAGUCCAUUUGGCAUGUAAUUGAUGUUCAAUUUCAAAUAAAGUGGUGGCAAUUAGCAAAGCUAAUGAAAGAAUCAAAUAAAAUGAAAGAAAAAGCAUCAUGAAAUAAAUCAAGAUGAAGAAUGAAAUUUUGGCAACUCGCCAUUCUCUUCUUUUAUAUAAAAGAUACAUCCUAUUUGUAGUGAAAACAGGUCCCGACAAACCCAGUUAUCCUCAAGAAGUAUUUUGUAUGACUUUAAAAACAUAAUCCGUGAAAUUAUCUCUUGGCAGAGAACAACAACAAAUCUUCAUGCAUAGCUUGUAGAGAAAGACAUCAGGCAUACAAAAGAACAGGCAAGCAUAAAAUAAACGAUGCAUGGAAAACCAAAAAUACAAUUGAAUAUGCUGUCAAAAGAACAUGAAUAAAUGAAAAUUACAAAACAAAGAAGUGAUGGGAAACCAAAGUAUUCAUAAUCUAAUUGCUUUUUAGUUUGCUUGCCAUUUUUAGUUCUUCAAUUUAGAGAGAAACCAUAAUUCAGCACAUGAAUAAAGUGAAAACGUAAAAGAUACGUGGGAUAAGCUGACAGCCAUCCCUGAGUAAUGCAUUCACUUUUGAACCCCAAACACACCGAAACAAAAAUUCACACACAUGAACUACAGCUCCGCUAUGUAACAAGAAUUAAAAGCAUCUCAAAACAAAAUGGCAAACUAUAAGAGCAUUGUAAAAGUAAAAUUGCAUCUAAUACUUGGAGGGCAAGUACUAAUCAGACGAAAAUGAAAGAUUGAACUACCUCACGUGGAACUGUGCCUUGGUUUUUUCCCAUGCUUACAAGAAGCUUUGCACUGAGCUCUUAUAGCCCAAAUUUUCUCUGAAGGAAAAAAAACACAAUUUUGGAAUAAGAUUUUCAUAUUAUACCUUAAAGAGAAGAAUUAGACAACAAAAAAGAGAACAAUGAGUACUAUUCAUCAUAUAUUGUUAAGAGUAUGUGGUCUUCUAGUCCAAUGGUCCUGCAGUCAUAUUUACUUUAUAACUCUUUCUUUUAGUCUAAAAAAACAUCUUGGAUCUCAAAUUAUUAUGAAUACGGAUUCAUACUUUAUAACUAAAGAUCUUACUGCUCUUGAUAAGAUGAACAAUACGCCAUUUAUCGCAUGCAUUGCAUUACAAUCACAAUGCAACAUCUCAUUAGAAAUCCCCACACAAAGCAGCUCCACUCAUUGUGGUCCUUGCAAACCGAAUUGGCCCAACGAUCAGCGAGAGAAAGGAGACGGCGGCGAGAUGAGGGAUAUGAUGGAUGCGAGAUCGUCUGUAUCGUUAUCGCGGGGGGUCUGCAAGACGGACGAGGAAAGUAGGGUUUGAGAAGGCAUUGUCUUCUCGCGGGGUAUGUGUCCUUCCUAUUCCACGAUUAUCAACACGUGUGCAUCAGGAGGAGCGGCAGAGAGAGGCAUUGUUGUAAAUAAAGUGAAAUCGAAGGGUAAGGGCCCAUUCUUUAAGGUAAUGGCAUGGCCAUAAAUAGAAUGAAAUCCAGAUCAAAACACUGUCAUUUGUACAGUACAAUUUCUCCAUCUUCUUCAGACUAAAGUAAUGUAUAUGUUAUACGCACCAACACAAGUCCUUCUUAGAUAAAUCCAAGCCAAACAAUUACAAACGACAGUUAUUCACAAGAAAAUCACUUUAAAGCAAGAAUUUAAUUAAUAAUACAUUACUACACUUUCUUAACAAUUUGACGGUCACCUAGCUAACAAUGAACACGUUAGCUAUGCGUUAGAACAUAUUGGGUUCAAUCCAUAGUCUUGAAUAUCACCCCGAGUCACAACUGUCUCUUGGGGCAUACAGAAGGCCUGAGAGGCAUUUGCAGACAUUCAAUCUCUCCUCCAAGCAUUUCGACAACUUUGGAAAUCGAAAGGCGAUCACUUGGUUUCAUUUGAAUACACCACAAGGCGGUUAUAACCAUCUUUCUUAUCACUUUCUUUUCCUCCUCUGUAACAUUGUCUAUUUCCAAGUCAUUUCCCACAAUAUACUGAUCAUAUACCCACAUCGGGAAGUAGAUUUGGCUUGGAUGCUCUACCGUUGCAUUCAAAUUCUUCCUUCUGCUUGCCAUUUCCAUCAACAACAUUCCAAAACUAUAGACAUCGGCCUUGUAUGAGACACCUCCAAUAUUUUUGUAGAACAACUUAGGAGCAAUAUAUCCCAUUGUACCCGUGUUGCCGUCAAAGAGACAAUGAGAAAACUCUUGAGUUCUUCAGAAACCACGAGAAACUUAAAACUGAGAAAGCUUCGUGAUCUCCCUUCCAUCUCUGCUACGCAAUCUCUGCUUCCUCCGUGAUUUCUUCCUUCCUGAUCGACAUCUAUUCGAAUUGAAAACCUUCUGGAGCUCACUACCCCCUUUGUCAGCAGUAAUUAGGGGUGGGUUCAAAAAACCGAAAACCGAAAAAAAUCGACAACCGAACCGAACCGAGGCCGAAAAAAACCGAACCGAAAAAAAACCGAACCGAAACUGUCAAACCGAACCGAACCGAAUCUGACCGGUUCGGUUUCGGUUUUUGAGGUUCAAAAACUGAACCGAACCGAACCGAACCGAUAUAUAUAUAUUUAAUUUUUUUUUCAAUAUUAUAAAUAGUUUAGGCAUACAAUCAUAACAAAACAGAACUUGUUGCCAAGUUGGUUUAAGCGAAAUUUUUCACACUGGUGGCAAUGGGUUCGAACCCUCAUGCCUUUAGGAUUUAUGAGAUUGUUUUUUAAUUUUGUUGAGAAAUCAACAAAAUCCUUUAACCCUAACUUUUUUAUUUUUCAUUCCCCUCUUCUCUCUCUUGUUCCCUGCCUCCAGUCCAAACUCCCUCCAUGAACCCUAACCCAGUAACCCUCUCGCGCCGCCUGAGCUUCCUGUCUCUCUCGCUCGGUCUUCAAUCGCUCUGUCUCUCUCAAUCUCUCAGGCAACCCGCGACAGUGCGACCCUUCUCACUCUCAAUCUCUCACACCUCGCCCUCUCCAUCAGUCUCUCAUCUCGCCGUUUCGAGUCUCGAUAGCAAAAGGUUAGCCUCCUCUCUCUCUCUCUCGGUCUUCAACUUCAAUCACUCUCUGUCUCUCUCAAACUCUCUGUCUCUCUCGGUCUUGAAUCUCAGGCGACCCACGACGGGGCGACCCAUCUCACUCUCAAUCUCUCACACCUCGCCCUCGCCGUCAGUCCUUCAUCUCGCCGUGAGCUUCUUCUUGCCGUUUCGAGUCUCGACUGCAAAAGGUUAGUCUCGCCGUGAGCUUCUUCUUGUUCGUUCGCAGACGGAAGCUCUCUACUCCAAACUCUACGAAAAGUACACAAAAAUCAAGGUGUUCUGUGUUCUUUCCCACUUCUUUACAAUUUUUUUUGCUCAUUCAUUUUUUUUUGCUUAAUCAGUUAAUUGUAUGUUAAAUUUGCUCAGGGGAGAAAUUUGAGGUUAGGGAAAUAGAAAGUAAUUGUCUUUUUUUGUACUUUUGAAUUUUUUUUGCUCAUUCAUUUUUAAUUGCAUGCUAAAUUUGAGUUGGGAACUUUUGCUUACUUGUUACCCAGUUGGAUUUUUUUGAGCUACUUUUGCAGUUUCUUUCUUCGUCUUAAUUUGGGAACAAUUUGAUCAUGUUUGACUUAUCAUUUUGUUAUUGGAGGAAAUCAGCAGCUUUAUGGUUUGGCAAGGUGUAGUGACGAUAGAUAGCCUACUUUUAUGUAUAAUUUGAAAGAGGAUGGAGAUAAGUAUAUUUCUCUGGGAAUCAGAGCUUCCAUGAUAUGUGAUUACCUGUUAUCUUUGAAUUUCUCUUCCGACUCUUGUAUUUCCUUAAGUGAAACUAUGGCCCUGCAAAUUUGACAUGUUGUUGAAGGUUGUAAAUCAUAUGUUGUUCUUUUAGUGGUAAAAAUCUUGUUAAACAUGUAUUUUCAUUUAGGUUAUGGACUCUUGGACAUGCUAAGUCAUGAUGGAAAAGACCAAAGAUUCAUUGGUAACGUGUUCUGAAAAGUAGCAUAGGCAUUGCAAUUCUCUGAGUAGCGUUUUAUUAUGGAUAACGUUUUUGGUGCUGAAGGAAGAUUUCCAUCAAACCUAGCAUCAAUAGAGCAUAUUGUUUCUUGACUACAUUAUGUAUGAGUAUUAGAGUUUAAAUUGUAAACGGAUCUGGACAAUAUAUGAAGUUGGUAUUGAUUUCUCUCAGAGAACAAAUAGAAUUGAACAUCCAGGCUUGUUCUUGUUGACAUGAUUUAUAUAAGAUAUACUUAUAUCACUUUAGAGAAAACUGGUUAUAUGCAUCUGUAUUGUCUCAAAUUAAUUUUAGGCUUCCCUUCAAAGCGUUCUUUUUGUCCAUCCAUCUGGGUGGUGUUCAAUUUUAGAUUAUCCUUUGAAUACUAGACGUCCAGAUAAUGGCUUUGUGGUCCUUCAAAUAAAUUACUGAUAAUGUUCAUGCAGUUGAUGGUGAAACAGGUAUGGUAAUUAAACGACUUCAUGUUUAGGAAUGAUAGGCUUGUACUUUGUAUUUUAAAGAUGUGUGCAUUUUUCAUAUAAAUUUUGUUCAUUGUGUUAGAAUGCUUAUAUUAUAAUUGUGUUGGAGAUGUUAAAAUUUUAGAUUUCAAUUUUGUUUUCAUUUUUCCCAAAAAAAAAAAAAACCGAAAAAAACCGAAACCGAAAAAAACCGAAAAAAAAAAUGGACCGAACCGAACCGAACCGUUUUGAACCGAACCCAGCUCUAGCAGUAAUAAUUUGUUUUUGCAGCUUUAUGUGUCUCUGUCUCCAAAUAUGAUGAUCUCUUAAUUUGCUUCUAUAGCUUUUGUAAUAUGAUGAUCUCUUAAUUUGCUUUUGCAUAUCUUCUUUGCUUCUUCUGCUAGCUCUAUAUGAGAUUCCAUCUCCAAAUAAUUGUUCCCUAUUUCCUAUUUUUACAGGAAGCAAAUCAUUGAAUACACAUGGAAAAUUAAAAUGGUUUCAGUUUUUGGUUAGUUUAAAUUUUUUGUUGGUUAUUGCUUGUAUUGUGAAAUCUCGUUCCCGGAUUUCACUGUUAUAAUGUACGUGUUUGUAUUCUCGAGAAUUUAUAUUAAGUUAUUUGAAGUUAUACUUUAAUUAAACUAGUUACGAAGGUUAGAGUUUGGAAAUUAAUUAUUUAAAAUUCGUAAACCGUCCGAGGUCACAAUUUAUAUCUGUGGAUAGAGCUAGGGGUGGGCAAACGGGUCUAGGAACCGCGGGGCGGGUCGGGUCUAGCCGGUUCGGGGCGGGUACAAGUUUUGUAAACUCAAAACGGGGCGGGUCGAGGCGGGUCCAUGUAAUUGGCGGGGCGGGGCGGGUCUAAAUUUCUGAAAAACCGGGUACCCAGGCCCGGACCGUUUCCACCGUCCAUAUACGAAGAUUAAAUCUCUACCAUUCAUUACUACCACUCUUUCUCUUAGUCGCUGACUCUCGCCUCCUCUCUCGACUUUUCCAGGAUCCAUCCUCUCUCAAGAUGGACUCAGCGCCUACUCCACCGCUCACUCCUCCUCUCGUUGAAGCCACGGCGGUCUUCAUCGGUGCUACCCCUGCCCCAUAUUCUCUCAGAUCAGAGUCGUCACUCCCCUCUCCCACUCGAGUCGAGGCCUCUUGUGAACACCACCACCGCCGUCGAAACCUCCUCCAUGAAAGACACCUUCUCCAAAUAUUCUGAUUACCUCAACAAUCUCGUAAUCCCUAAUUUAAUCUUCACCAAUUUGCAGCUCUGUGAGCGACUCGAAGGUUUGUAGAAUGACAAGCGGGAAAGGGUUGUAAAAGCAAGUCGCGAUAUCACCAUUAAUAGCAAAAAGGUCAUCUUUAAGGUUCACAGGUAAGAAAGCUGCGACCUUUUGCUUCAAAUUUUGUUUCUGUUUUUUGGGUUUUUGAUUUUGGAUUUUGGUUUUUUUUUUUAUAAUAAUUUUAUUUAUAUCAUCAUUGAAAUGAUGUUGCUGUGGAAUUUGAACUUGAACAGAAUCAAUAAACACAACAAAGAGGAAGUUCUGCAGAAAGCUGAAAAGGAUUUAGUAGCUGUGAGUCUGCGACAGAUCAGUACAUUUCCCAGCUUGUUAGAGAGAUGCAGGCUAAGUUUUUUUCUUUUAUUACUGUUACUCUGGGAUUCUUUGAGAAAACUUGAAGCUUGAAUUGUUUUUGUUUUCUGGGUGAUUUGGAAAAUGGGCGAAAAAAAAAACAAGGACCCGUGUACCCGGCCCAAACCGGCCCGUUUGAAAAGGGUCGGGUUAGGUCCGGUUUCUAUUUUAAAAUUUGUUGCACCCGGCCCGCUCCGGCCCGUUUCUUUUACACCCGGGUCCGGUCCGGUCCCUUCAAAAUUGGGCCCGGCCCGGCCCGUGCCCAGCCCUAGAUAGAGCUCGAUCUCACGAACGCGUAGGCGCAAAUCGUUCAUGAAACAGAUCUAUAACGAAGAAGUUAUAGACGUUUUAGUUGUUGGAAAAUAAAUAAUUAAAUGUUUAGAAGCUGCCAAGUGGCAGCAAGGGAGAGGGGAGAAAGGAGAGAGUGCGGGAGAGAAAAGAGGGGGACACCCAAUAAGAAAGGAGAAAGGAGGGAAAUGAGAGAAAAGAAAAAAAAAAAGGGAAGAAAAGGGAGAAACGGGUUCGUACGACCCGUGGGUAUUGCCGGCCACCCAUCUCCAUUUGCCGACGAUUUUCCGACGAAUUUCUUCAAACAACCACUUGGAAACACUCCCUUGUCCUUCCCUCUACAUGUUUCACCCUAAAAAUAAAAGGUUUUGGACUUGAAUAGGGAGAAACCGCACUAAGGGUGUAGCGGGUGUGUGUGUCAAAUCUCCCAAAUCCAAAAUGUUUACACCCAACGACCACCAUCAAAAGACUUUCCUUAAGCCCCUGAACAAAGCCCAGGCAGUGGUGGAGACGUCGGAGCAAGUUUAGAGGUCGAAUUGGAGCACACCCAAUUCUAGGGUUCUUACGGGUUUUAGAGAAAUUGGAAUACUUCUUGAUCAAAUUAGCCUUGGUCACAGGUAUAAAGUUUACUCUACUCAUUGAGAUCUUUAUUUCUGUAAUUUUUGGUAAUUUUUAAAAAUAGUUGAAUUUUUCCGGCAAAUCGGGGCGGCCGACCGCCACCCGCUGCGGCGCGUGCGGCGGCGGCCUGGCCAGCGAGCCAACGAUGUCCUUUUAAGUUCAAUUAGAUGCCCUGAUUUCAUAACUGACAUCCUUAUGUUAUGGUUUGAUUGUUUAAACCUAAUUUCAUUACGAUAUGUGGGUAGGUCAAAAUGUGAUUCGACGAUCCGACCGUUGGAUCGUCACCAAACUUUAAUGCGUCAUAGAAUGUAAUAUUUGAGGAUGGUUGGAACUAACGGAUUGGGAAUCUGAUGUAUGGAACUUCCUGAUUUGGAUUUCUAAGUUUGUAAAUCAAACAUUGGUCACCACUUGAAAUUGUAAAAUCAAACAUUGCAUAUAAGCAUGCUAGAGCCUUUAAUUGUUAAUUACAUGUAUAUGUGUUGCUAAAAUGAACUUAGUUUAUCAAAUUUUUAUUUCAAUAUCAACUUCUAUGGCAUGCGUGGUGUCUCAUGUCAAUCACACAAAUGUUAUGUAAAAAGAAUAUACACGUUGUGUUGCAUGAUUGACAAUUAACGACACAUAGUGUUAUAACCGUGUCAAUGUUAUGAAGGUUUUUAUGCAAAGUCACUUGAUAUGCCGCAACAAUUAGUAAACAAUAUUAGAAAGACCUAGAGGAACCCACAAUUAAUUCCGAUUCAAUAAGUAGGUCAUGUGCAAGCAAGGCAUGGGCUUCCCAUGGGUAGGAGCUGGAAUUUACCCAUAUUUGGUAGUUAUGUACCAUAUGUUUACCCGCAUGACGCUGAGUGUAAUCCUUCUUAAGGUUCAACAAUAUUGUUUCUAUUAACAAAUAUAAAUAAAAAAUAAGCAAAAUACUAGAGAGAUUACACGUUUAUAUUACAUUGUUGUACCAUAUUGUGAUAUGGCUGUGUACAUACCAUGUCUUGUAAUGAGUUUAUCUCAUUAGAUGUUAGACUGUUAAUUAUAUGUAUCACUUGUCAUAUCAUACAAUACAUCAAUAUGAUAUAAAUAUGCCAUCUCUCAAACAUUACUCUUAUCAGAAACCCCAAAAAAUAGGAAAUGCUCUAUACUAAAGCGGAAUGAGAAAAACAUUGUUCAUAGGCAACAGUAUUUUUACUUUUUUGCCCUCAUUUUUAAUGUUUCUGUGUUCCUACUUUUAUGCCUCUAUACGGUGAAAUCGCCAAUUGACCUAUGGGCAUGGGUGUGUAUAAAAAUUGUUUUGCACACGUGGCGUGCUAGGGAGAUUUCUCUGCAGCACUGCUUCAUUAACUGUUUCAUUUCUCUGCACCGUUUCCUUCUAGCUCCACUCCGAAUUGAUACCGAAUACUGGUCAACCAAAUUUUCUCAUCAUUUCGUUCCGUCCUUCUCCACAUCUUCAUUCUUGCUCCACCAUGAAUCGAAACAAAAAAUUGCUCAUCCAAAUUGUUUGGUAUCAGCCGCUCCAAGGAGACAAAUUGCUGAGAAAAGUAAAGAAUUCAGAUAAAAAGUGAAAUUGUUCAUUCAUAACCUUUAGGGAAAUACAGAUGGGUUCUUUAUACCCCAUUUCAGCUACUACAGACAAAAGGUUAGGUAACCCCAAGUGCUGAGUCACCAUAUUCUAAUAUUCCAUUACAAUGCAAAGGAAAUAACUUAAGGGAAUGAGCUAAAGCAUAUCAAGGUCCUAACACAAGUCAAUUUCAGUUAACUCAAAUCCCUAAAACCCAAUUUUCUCCAGAUCGUUGGAUUUAGUUUGCUGUUGUUGUUGCUAAUCUACAGGUAAAGCUUAAAUUUACAUACAAUUUUUUAUUUUUCUUGAUUGGAAUUUGGAAAGAAUUAGUUGUUCUUGGAAAGAAUUACAGAAAAUUGGAAAAGGGAAAUGGGAAAGCGAGGAAAUGCAAGAAAAUGUGUUUGGAAAAUGGAAAAUGACUUUUCUUUGGCAUUCGCUUUGACUUUCAUCCUUUCUGCGUUUGCUUUUCCUCAUUUUUUUUCUCAAGAACCAAACAUAAAAUAAAUAAAUAAACCUAUAAAAAAAAGAAAAGGAAAAUCACAAGAUUAAGAACCUGGGAAUGCAACAAUCGAGCUUCUGUGCCGAAAUAUCAAUUGGGUCCCGUUGGAUCUUCGGUGCUUCUUCUGCAUUCAAAAAGUUGGGGUAUUUCUGCAUCAUUUUUGUGUGUAUUUUUAAAUUCCAGAAGAAAGUGGAUAGAGAGAGAGGAAUAUGCUUUGGGUCGAAAUGGGAACACAAUUCCAAAUUCGCCCUCAAUCCCAAAGUUCAGUAAUUUAUGCAAUUUUUGUCGAAAUUGAUAUUCUUUAUUGCUGAUAUUUGUUAAAAAAGAGGGGGAUAAGAGCAGUAAAAAGAAUCUACAGAAAAUAUUUGUUUUGGAAGAGUAUGUCUUGAUUGGAUAAAACUCGCACCAGAGGGCGAGCGCAUCUGCUAGUAUGCAUUUAAACUUAUAAGGCUAAAUCCUUUAGGGGCGUUUGUUUGCCCUCCUUAACUCUCAUUGGACUGGACUAGAUUAAGGGUUAGUCCAAUCCCGUGUUUGGUACCCGCUAAAACUAACUUUAAUGAGACUAAAGGGGAUUCGCUCCGACUAUCUCCCUCGCUAGGAGGUCUUAGCGAGAGCGCCCUGUGACUAUGGGACUGCUAAGCCCUUCGGCUGGUAUGUCCUCAUCUCCUCUCAUCCACUCUUCUUUCUCUGUUUUCUUGAGCACCGACAGCCACCAUCACACCACCACUCCCAACUUCAGCGAGAUACACUGCUAGCCCAACACCACUCUCUCGAGAUCCAAGGAAAGCAAGCAUCAUUUGGCAAUUUUUGGUAGAAUUGCAGGGGAAGAAGAAACGAAAUGAAAAGGCUUGAAUUUGUUACAGGCCAUUGAUGGACAAGAUUUUUUUUUUGGGAAAUCGAUGAUCAGGGAUUUUUUUUUGGAGAAAUCUGGAGAUCAUGCAGCUUAUGGAACUCUCUAGAUAGAUUAAAACUCACAUAACCAAUAUGGGCAAUAAUUCAUACCUGAGAUAGAGUUUGAGAGAGCUUAAGCUCUCUGCGUUAAUGGCAGAGCGCCCGAUGGUGCAUCGAUGAUACGUACAACGCCGUAGGUGGAUUCCCCAUGUCCCAAGGGUUCGAGGUUUAGAUUUUUUAGGGUUGAUUUGGUCAGCAUCAAGAGAAAUGGUGGGGGUUCCUUCUCGGAGAUUAGAGAGAGAAAGGUUGUAGAUUAUUGUUGAGGAGAGAGAGAGAGAGAGAGAGAGAGAAAAGUGCAGAGAAAGAAAGAGAGAAUGAAAGAGGGGUCACGGGGUGAGGGACCGUAAGAGCAAGUCCACCCAUGCCAAUCGGCCGGGGGACGGGCUACAGCAAAGGGCCCGAGGGCCAGUCAAUUCAUCUCCAGCCAUGGAGGGCCCGAGUGAGGGUGGGAGCCCGAGGGCCGGGGGGGUGGGUAAUUGACAGGCCUGUGGCCCGAGGCCCGUGACGUCAGGCCUGGGUCCAGGCUAUUUUUUUAUAUUUUUUUUGUGUCAGGCGCGUGCCCCUCACUCGCGAGUGGGGGCGCGUCGCCCGACAAGAAAUCAGACAAGUGGGGUUUUCGGCCAGUUACCGUUGGGAAGCCACGUGGCUUCCCACGGUCCGUUCGAUCCCAACGGCUCUUUAAUACGAGCCGUCCGAUUUGCAACGGUAAUAAAAAAAAAACUGAUUUUAUAUCAACCGUUCGAUCUAAGAUCAACGGUUGAUAUUAAUCUGCUUUAUAAAUUAAAAAAAAAUAGUUUUAAAAUUAAGAAAAGUUACCGUUGUGACACGUGGCACAAUCUGGAGUGUUGGAAUUCAAAUUUUUUUAAAUCCAACGGUAGAAAUUAAUUAUUGGAAAAAAAAAUUUAAAAAAAAUGGAAAAAAUCCAAAAAAAUUGUAAAAAAUCUGAAAAAAAAAAUUGUAAAAAAUUGUUUUUACUUUUCUAUAAAUACCACUUCUUCUCUAUCUAUCUUACACCACAAUUUCAUAUUUUCUCAACUACUUUCAAUCAAAUUCCUAUCUUUCUCUCAAAGUUUCAAUCCAAUUUUUUUCCACAAAAUGGCUACUGAUGCAGGUUCGAAUUGGUCGCUUCUUGAAGAUGUUGCGUUGUGCACUAGCUGGGUUGAAGUUACUCAUAAUUCCGUUACGGGUAAUGAGAUGCAGUUGCGAGAAAUGUGGAGUUUAAUUCAUACCAAAUUUGUUGAGCAAAUUGGUGGGAAAAGAACCAAAGAAUCGAUAUCGAGUCGUUGGAAAAUACUUAGCCAUUCCUUUAGUACGUGGAGAGAUGCCUUGACACAAGCUAGUAAUAAUGUUCGAAGUUGGGCAAAUUAUGCGGAUGAGGUAAGAAUAUAUUAUAAUUAUUUGUUUGUAUUAUUAUUUUGUUACCUAAUUUGAUUAUAAUUAUUUGUUUGUUUCAUUUAUUUGUUACCUAAUUUCAUUAUUAUUAUUUGUUUGCAAUAUUUAUUUGUGACCUAAUUUCAUUAUUAUUAUUUGUUUGUAUUAUUUAUUUGUUACCCAAUAAUUUCAUUAUUAUUAUUUGUUUGUAUUAUUUAUUUGUUACCUAAUAUAAUUUCAUUAUUAUUAUUAUUUGUUUGUAUUAUUUAUUGUUACCCCAAUAAUUUCAUUAUUAUUAUUUGUUUGUAUUAUUUAUUUGUUACCUAAUAAUUUCAUUAUUAUUAUUUGUGGUAGAUUAUUUGUUAUAUAAUAUUUAUUUGUUAUUAUAAUUUCAUUAUUAUUAUUUCUUUCUAUUAUUCAUUUAUUAUUAUUAAUUUUUAUUAUAUUUAUUUUUCCUUACAUAAUUUCUUAAUUUAUUAUUUUGUUAUUUCUUUAUUAUUGUUAUUCCAUAUUAUUUCAUAAUUAAUUUCAUUCAUAUUAUUUAUCUUCCUAGAUAAAUUCAAUAUUUGUCUUUUGUAUAAAUUUCAAAGAGAAUUAUGUUGCAUGAAGUAUGGCCAUGCAUGUUAGUGUCCCAAAAUUCAAGCAAUGGCAUGUUGGAAGUCAUGCCAUUGAAAGCCCGUUACACCCAGGUUGCAUUGAACAGCACCCUCCCAGCACAUUUUGUACACAGCAACCCUCUCCACACUCUACACCCUGAUGGACCUGAUGAAGAAGAUGUAAAGAAGUGCCUGAAACACCCAUUCCUGAACAAGCGUCAAGCGUCGGGGUCGACCGUUUCAUUAAUUAGGCUCAAGGUAAGAAGGCUUCAAAGAGGAAAGGGAGUGCUUCCAUGAAUUAUUUACAUGAAUUUUGAUCAUUGGCUAUUUGACGUUGAAUAAUGACGGCGGGAUUUAUAGAGAUUUGAGCAAAAGAAUUGAGGCAGAAGAAGGCAAGAAUUGCAAAUUUUGAGCAAACAGAACAGAACACAAGAUUGCUACUUAGAACAGGGAAAGGCAAGAGCUACUUAGAGAAGAAACCUUAGAAGAAGAAAAAGAUGAACAAGAGAUCGUCAAUUUGAACACGCGUUUAGGAAGGUGAAUUGACGUUGGCACGGGAUUUGGCGAAAUAUGAGGCUGAAAAGGCUAGAGAAGAGGCAAAAGCUGCAGCUACUGAACAAACAUUUCAAGUUGAACAGAGGGAAAGAGAGCUACUUAGGCAAGAAAGGGAGUUGCUUAGAGAAGAAAGAAAUGCACAACGAGAUCGUGACAUUAUGAACACGCGUUUAGAAGGGAUGUCUCCAAAUUCUAAAUAUUUUUGGAAGUCGGAGAAAGCGGAUGUGGUGCGAAGGAGGCGUGUAAGAGAAGCGAGAUCAAGACAAGAUGGUCCUAGCACAACAAGACAAGAUGAUCCUAGCACCACAAAUUGGUUAAGUGAUGAUGAAUAGGGUACUUUUUGUAAUCGGACCCCAUAGUUUUCCGAUCACUUUGGGUUGUAAUUUAUUAUUUAUGUUGUUUCCAAUUUAUUGAAGUUAGUACUUUAUUUAACGUGAGAGUACAUUUAUUUAAUUUCGUAAUAUAUUUAAAAUUAAACUACAGUCAAUGACGUGUCCAGAUGCGUGUCCAUAGGCAAGACACGAGUACAGACGUGGCAAGAGACGAGGGUUGUACAACCAUGAGCUUGUGUCCGUGGCAAGGACAACAAAGGCUUGGGGCUUAGGAUGGCAGAGGAAAUACCACGGCAAGCUAGAGCCACCGACACAUCGUCGUUGCCGCCAAACUUACGUAAAAUCGUUAGCACAAAAAGCCGCCAAGGGUUUCCGCUCACUGGGAAAAAGAUAAGAUUUGUGAACGCCAAGACCACAUGGGUCACAACAUAGCAAAAUUGAAAUCUUUGUCAUCCUCAGCAUUAUCCGACCGCUAUCCACAAAUUGAAGCAACGAAUUGGGCAAGUGUGCAACAAAUUUCCAAUGUGCUUCUAUUGUGAAUGAUUUACAGGGAUUGGGUUGAAUGAGGUUUGUAGUUAAAGUGGGAUGCAAUUUAGAACACCAACGUUUGAUUAUGUUUCUCUCAUUUUUUUCUGUUCACUUUUGCCUCAUUUGUUUUUUUUGUUGCAUCGUCUCAAAAACCUUGUGCGUCUACAUGUACAUGUAUAAGUAUAAAUUUUGGUUAAAACAAAAAGUCACAUAUUUCAUAAUUAACUAUUUAAAUUUGUUGCAAAUCACAGUAUAUCUUUGUUCAUACAUUCAAACAAGCAUGACAAAUACUGAGGAAGAAAAUGAAAAUUAUUGUCACUACAAUUGUAUAUAUUUUUUUCUUUUUGAACAAACGAUAUUAUCUACACUAAGGGGGUGAGGGAGUGGCCUAAGCCUAACAAUGAGCUAGCAAUAAUAUAGUUCAAUUUGCCUUUGAUGAGAAUCGAACAUAAGACAUUUCACUUACAAGUGAAGAGAAAUAUCCUAGACCCUAACUGGAUAUGUUAUUGUCAUGGUCAUGCAUUGGUAUAGUAACAAUAUGUUUGGAUAAGGACAAUAAACUUAUAAUUUUGCCAAAAGUCAGAAUUUUUAAAUUGACACAAUCAAUUCCUUUGUUUGGAUUCAUAAAUAUAGAAAUUUAGACUUUCCGCGUGAGAAAAAACUUGGAAUUUGGUACCUUCAAUUCUCAUGUUUAAAUUUCAUGUAAAUAUGUGUCAUUUAUAAAUUUCAGUAAGUGAGAGUUUAAAAAUAACAAACAUGUAUUCAAAUUUCAUUCAUCCUUUAGGUUAACCAAACAAGAAAAUUUAUAAAUUCUAGAAAAUAAAAUUUCGUUAUUUCAUUUCUGUUAUUUUAAAAUUUUUAGGGCAUGUUUGGUACUCUACUUGAAUCUAACUUUUUAAACUCAAAAACAAUUUUCAAGUUUUAGGCCUUAAAAACUUGUUUGGUAGAACUAUUUUAAAAAACUGAACUUAAAACUAACUAAAAAAUAUAAUCUAUUAUCUAAAAACACAAAAAAUGAGUUUUUAGAAUUUGUAAACUUAAACUCACUCCUUUCUUUUCUCUCCCUGCUCCCCUCUCACUCCAAAUCUCUCUCUCUCUUUUCUUCUUUCUCUCUCCCCCUUCUUUUUUUUUAACCUUUUUUUGUCUCUCAUCCAAUCCGCUCUCUUUAUUCUCUCGGUUCUUUCUCUCACUCCUCUUCCUCUCUAUCUCCUCCGAUUCUCUCUCUUCAUUCUUUUUCAACCAAUCAUUUCUUAUUUUCUUUCCUCCCCUCUCCUCUUUCUCCCUCGACCACCUCUUUUUGGAUCUCCUUGUUCAGUUUGAGCUAUAAGAUUUAAAAAUUUUAAAUCGCAUAUCAAACAAGUUUUUGAGUUUUAAAGAAAAUUGUUUUCAAGAAAUAUUUUGAGAAAUGAUAAAAAAUUUCAAAUAUGAUACCAAACAAGCCCUUAAUAAUCUUAAAUUUUCUCGUCCAAACAAAAAGUUUUCUUGUCAUAGAACUUUCAAUUGAAAUCAAGGAAGAUAAUCUUUUCACAACUAAUUAUUCUCACCAAAAGCAAUUUUUAUUUUAUAGCAGAUCAAUACCAAAUUGCAAAAGCAAAGUAGUAAGGCUAAAAUUCAGGUGAAGAACCUGCUUCCACUAAUUUCCUUAGGAGGGAGAGAGAGAGAGAGGGGAGAGAGAACCAAGCGACCGAGCAGAGAGAGAAAACACCAAGUAGUAUUCUAAUGUUGGUGGGGUUAAGUCACCUUCCGUGAAGUUGCAGUAAGGACUUCUAUCCCAAAGAAAAGUCAGUAAAUGAUGUUGACAUCCGUCAACGACAAGGACAGAAUUGUGUAACCAUAAUUCUCUCUCUAUCUCUUUUUUCAUUAACGGAGGACAGUGUAUAAUUACUACGUAUAUAUCUCUGCUCAAUUAUUGAAAAGAAAAAUCCAUGUGCAUUAUUUUUAUUAUUAUUAUCUCAGAAAUGCAGAAAUUGAUCAUCUCUUCCUUCUGCAUAUUGAUACUGGUUUUCUUCAAACUAGUUGAAGCAAGGCAAUAUGUGUGCGCGAAAUCCAACUGUAGCAAUGAUCAAGGCCCGGCUAUCUAUUUCCCAUUGAACACCAGGCACACACAUCAUUGUGGAAAUUCUGGGCUUGAAUGCAAUGGGAGAAAUGAGCAGCAAAUACUAAUAAAAUUAUUUGUCAAACACAUAGAUUACAAGCGUCAGGAAAUCCAAGUCUAUUCCCCAAGUAACUGCCUGCUGCUAAAGCCUGUUGAAAUCCCAAACAUGCCACCCUCUCCCUUCAUCGUGUCAGUCGGUUACCUGACGAACGUUACCUUAUUCAGUUGUCCUACUUCUGUUGCAAGUGAUCCAUAUUAUCCGUAUCAAGUCCCCUGCCUCGGCGACCGUGGCAAGAGAACUUAUGCCAUUGAUUCUGACUCUGGUUUUAGAACUCUUUUCCGGAAUCUACAAUCUUGUACAAAAAUGUAUGAUGUUUUAUCAGUUCCACUAACCUAUGAAGAUUAUGUACAUCGUUUCAAAUGGUCUAUACCAAAUUGCAGAAAAUGUGGAGAGGGAAAGAAGUGUGGAUGGCAGAACAAUGAAAUUAAAUGUAUUCAAUGGAGGAAACCAAGUAAGGAUAACAUAUGUAUUCAUUGCUAGUUUUAAACAUCUUUACAUUUAUGUCUCAGUAAUUAUUAUUUAAAACAUGUUGUCCAAUCCAUUUUUACUAUGAAUAUUAACUGACAGUCUCAUUUGAAUUUGCCUUUAUCUUUUACAGGCAACACAUGGAAAUUAGUGGUUACAGGUGGAAUCCUGGGUUCUUUGCUUCUUGUUCUACUGAUGAUUGCAGCAUAUCGGGUAUAUAGCGCUGAUAGAAAGGAAAAAGAGAGUCGAUUGCGAAUCGAAAGAUUCUUGGAGGAUUACAAAGCACUCAAACCAAGCAGGUAUUCGUACGCAGAUAUUAAGAGGAUUACAAAUCAAUUCAAGGACAAGUUGGGCGAAGGAGCCUAUGGAACUGUCUUUAAAGGAAUGCUCUCUUCUGAAUUCUUUAUUGCUGUCAAAGUCCUCAACAGUUCUAAGGGAGAUGGGGAAGAGUUCGUAAAUGAAGUGCGAACGAUGGGUCAUAUCCACCACGUCAACGUGGCUCGCUUGGUUGGAUUUUGUGCUGAUGGAUUUGUAAGAGCUCUUGUUUACGAGUUCUUCCCCAAUGGUUCCCUGCAGGAUUUCAUUUCAUCCGCAGAUAGUAAGAAUUCCUUUCUUGGUUGGGAUAAGCUGCAGGAUAUUGCCCUAGGCAUAGCCAAAGGAAUUGAAUAUCUUCACCAAGGAUGCGAUCUACGAAUCCUGCAUUUCGAUAUCAAACCCCAUAAUGUUUUGCUAGACCAAAACUUCACUCCAAAAAUUUCUGAUUUUGGUUUGGCCAAGUUAUGUUCCAAGGAUCAAAGCUUGGUGUCCAUGACUACAGCUAGGGGGACCAUGGGCUACAUUGCACCCGAAGUGUUCUCCAGGAAUUUUGGAAAUGUGUCUUACAAGGCAGAUGUCUAUAGCUUUGGAAUGCUGCUGCUUGAGAUGGUAGGAGGAAGGAAGAAUAUUGGUUCAAUCACGGAUAACACUACAAAUGAAAUUUACUAUCCACAGUGGAUUUAUAAUCUUCUAGAGGAAGGGGAUGAC
rnacentral:lncRNA from 1 species